AGGGUUGCACAAUCUCCUCAUUUACUCACUAUCCUGAAGAGAAAUCAACCCCUCUAAACUGUCUUUGUACUUUUGAGAUAGAAACCCAGAAUGGCUUCCACAAGCUCCUUCAGAGCCUCUUCUUCUUCUUCUACUCCUUCCAUCCCUCAAACAAGUACUUAUGAUGUUUUCUUGAGUUUUAGAGGCGAAGACACCCGCUAUAAUUUCACUGAUCACCUCUACAAAGCUUUGGUUAACAGAGGCAUUCGCACCUUCAGAGACGAUAAACUCAGGAGAGGAGAAGCGAUCGCUCCAGAACUCUUGAAAGCCAUCGAAGAAUCAAGGUCUUCCGUAAUUGUUUUCUCUGAAAACUAUGCUGGUUCGAGAUGGUGUUUGGAUGAGUUGGUAAAGAUCAUGGAGUGCCACAAAGAUCUGGGACAUGUUUUCCCAAUUUUCUAUCAUGUGGAUCCAUCCCAUGUACGAAACCAAGAAGGAAGUUUUGGAAAGGCCUUUGCCGGUUAUGAAGAAAACUGGAAGGACAAGAUACCAAGGUGGAGGACGGCCUUGACGGAAGCAGCCAAUCUUUCUGGAUGGCAUAUACUAGAUGGGUAACUAUAAUUUCCUUUCAACUAUUUGUAAGUAUAGGAAUGAGUAGUUUUGCAUUUAUAGAGUGAUGAUAAGCUCAAAUUUUUUAUUUGGAGGUCUACUACUUAAGCACAAAUUUCUCCUCAAAAUGCUUUUAGUUGAAGUCUUUUAUGUGUAAAUGUGUUUAAUAUUCUUUUAUAGGAAAUGUUUUCACUAUAAGUGUUUUCUAGAAAAUCAGCUAUCUUUUCCACGAAUUUAUUUUUUCUAACCUUUUUAUAAGUGUUUUUUUCCUUUUUCUUUACUUUUUAUAAAAAGAAUAGUAGAAUAACAAUUAUAUUGAGUUAGAAUUCAUGAUAAAUGGUAGAAUGAACUUAUUAAAACCCAAUUAAUGAGUUUUACUAUUUUAGGUCAAUUUAUGAGAAUCUAUAUCUAAACUAAUUUAAUCAAAAUUUAUUACUAAUUUUUCAAUUGUCAAGAUUCAAUCCACAUUAAUGUUACAAAAAUUAAUCAAUUUAUUUGAAAUUUUGUUUGAAUAAUUAUAUAACAGGUAACAAUAAAAUUAAUGACUAUUACUAUCUGUUGAAGAGCUUCAAAAUUUUCAAUUAACCAAUCUCUUGUGUAUUCAUAGAACAACUUAAUCAAAUUAUGUAACAAGUAACAAUAACAAAAUUAUUUGACCAAAUAGUUUGAUUAAUUAUGUGACAAUUACUAAUAACAAAAUUAUGUGACGUAAAUUAUUUAGUAGGAAUUCAACUUCCCUGAGAGUUUGUGUGUGUGUAUAUAUAUAGACAAUAAAGAACAAUGGUUAGGCACUUAAUUUUCUUACAGAUGAUGCUGAAGAAAUCAACUCAAAAUAAAGAUAAAUGAAUAACUUUUUUGCAAGCCUUUAAUUUUUUUUUUUUAUUAUACAAAUCAAUAAUAAGGAGAUGAUCUUGCAGGAUAGAUAAGUUUUGAAGCUUGAGGAAUUGAAAAUGGGGUCUUUAAACUAAAAACUUCUUAUAUUAAGAGGUUGAGUACUAUAUCUACAACGAGGCUUCAGGCAUUACAAGAUAUAAAACGAAUGUCAAAGAAUAAAAUAUUUGCUCCUGCAAGGUUUCUAAUUGCCAUGGGCUGUUAAAGCGUUUUGGAAAUGUGCAUAAAUGAUAAUGCCACACAAGGAGCACAACUAACAAAAUUCAAAAUUUAUGUUUUAUUUUUUAUUCUCAUGAAUACUUGAUACAAAGAAAAAUGUCCUAAAAAUGUAAAUGAACUAAUAUCUUUGAUAGGUAUUGUUCUACUUUAAUUUAUUUCUCGUAAAUUUGUCAAACUUAAUGUGUUUUAUUUACCAUUGUGGCUUAUUGCUUAAAAUGUUGUACUCUUAUAAUUGGCAGGUACGAGUCCAAUCAAGUUAAAGAAAUAACUGCUAGCAUAUACCGUCGAUUGAAAUGUAAGAGGCUUGAUGCUGGUGACAAUUUAGUUGGUAUGGAUUCCCAUGUAAAAGAGAUGAUUUUGCGGUUGCAUAUGGAAUCAAGUGAUGUUCGUAUUGUUGGGAUAUAUGGAGUUGGUGGGAUAGGUAAGACUGCCAUUGCAAAGGUUAUAUAUAAUAAACUUUCUUGCGAAUUUGAAUGGACGAGUGUGGACCCCGCAUUUCGAUUGCUCGAUGUGUUUCCCACUCGAUGGCGAGCUCGAUUUUUAUUUGAAAUAUUGAUUUUUAUUGAUUAUUUGAAAAUGACUUGGAGUCGCCACUUAUUUUUGUUUUAUUUUUUAAAGGGUAAACAAAAUAAGAAAGAAAAACCCUAAGUGUGACUCCUUAUUUUGGAAAAGGCGGUCUGUGAAAAACCGGAUCGGGUUCGGGGGUCAGGUUACUUAUCGGGAAGGUACGGUACGGACCGUAGCACCCCUCUAAGUCCCUAAUGUCGGGUCUCUACUAAUAGAAUGAAGAUGAUGUGACAGUCAACAAGAAAAUCGAUGAAUACUCAAAUCGAUCAUGCACAAUAUGAGAAGCAAAGCAUGUAUAAAGAAUGAGCAAAAUAUGAAUAGAUGCGUACCUGGGCGGUAAUCACGAAUGCGCUAUCAUGAAACAUGGUUAGUGAACAAUGAACAUAUAUAAUAAAGCGCAUAUCAAGGAAUAAAGUAAAUCAAUCACAUGUGGCCAAUGAAGCAAACAAUCAGUUAAUCAAUCUUGAAAUCUCAUAUGUAGGCCCCCACCAAAGCCCAUUUAUUUUGCAUGAACCAAAUCUGUAAAUUCCAUCACUAAGAAUUACAAAAUUUGAUUUUUGCUUAUUUUAAAACAUUUAAAAAAAAAAAAAACAAAGAAAAUGAAAAAGGAUUGCCAAAGAGAAAAUGGCAACCAAUGUUAUUGGAAAAACGGAAUUUUUGAUGAAGGAACAUAUAGAGUUGCGAUUAUUUAAAAAGAUUAAAAUCCGAAAAAAUUAUUUGAAUGAAGGGAUUUGGAAAAUUAUUUUCAAAACUAGGGAUGGUGACAUGAGAGAAGUAAAAGGAGAUGUCAUGUGGCCACUAAGAUUUGCAUGGUGAACAGGGCCAUGCAAAGAAAAUCCCUUUCUUAGCCCAUUUGAAAAAAACAGGUCAAUUUCUGAAUCUGUGGCUUCUCAGCAAUCCUUGACCUGGGCAGGUAUGUCAAGACCAUGAACGUACCUCUCCCCUAUAUUUUGCCCCAGCAACCAAAGCACCCAUAUCCAAUGCCAUAGGUCUCACUUCAGCGAGAUUACUAGGAACGCCCCCCUCUUACAAUUUUCUGAGCUAAUCUUUCAACAACAGCAGUCUUACCCACACCUGGUUCUUCAAUAAGAACAGGGUCGUUCUUAGUUUCCCUUGGAAGAAUCCUGAUGACCCUCCAAAUCUCUUCGUCUCGGCUAAUGACAGGAUCAAGCUUUCCAGUUUACUCAACAAGGCCACACCCAUAAGUCUUCAAUGCUUGGAAUGCAGUGUUCCCAAAAGCACUUUCCUCUCCGGACAUUGGCGUCUUGUGAAGCUACUGGCACAAUGCCAUUUUGAAGGAUCACAACAACACUACGAUACACUGGUCCAUAAUCUAACCUCCUUAUUGUAGUGGCUGUUCAAACGGGAUCACUAAACAUGACUGGCGCAUUCUUGUCAUUCAACUAAAACGGUUCAUACUCCCCACAGUAAUUAUCAUAUCCAAAACCUGGACUUUUAUAUCCAGAAGCAACACUUGGAGAUUGGCCCAUGGGUCCUGAAACACCAGCAUCGACCAGAGCAUCCUGAGGACCUGUAGCUCCAUAGGUUGCAUUUGAAACGAAGUCUGCAGCACCAUAUCCAGAAGGAGUUUGGUUGUUCCCAUAAACAUGAUGUGGCGACAAUUUCUGCUGCUCAUCCGAUAUAUAGCUACUGCCGGCAGAGAACCUCGAGGUUCCAGUACUAUUAUGUAAAGAUAAACCAGCCAAGAAGAGACCCAGCGCCCAAGGUACAUCUUUUCCCGUGACCUUUCUUUAGAACCAUUUCCACGUAAACAUCUUGACUAUGUUUUAAGCUUCCAUCAGGUAAGUGUAGCUGAGGUGAUCUUGAAUCUUUUGAAGGCUAGGUACAACACGUCAUGUCUUGGAGGUGUAUGGAUCAAAGGUAUCGUGACUUUGCAUCUUCAAACCAGAGGAUGAUCCCUUAGGUUGACAGUAAACCCCUGUAUUCGUGCCGAUCACCUUCAGGUAAAAGCUUCCUUUGGCGUCAACAGUGGUCAAGGCCACGACCAUGGCAGAUUCGGUGAUGAUGCCCAUCGACGGUGCUACGCAAGGCAUUGAGAGAUAGACAUUGCGGCUGAAUUUAGUACCCAGCUGGACUGAGUCGACAGUGAAGUGGUGAUGGUGGAGGCGUUUCGCCGCCGGCGGCUUGCCGCCGGCGUCGUUCGAGGGCAGCUUUGCUUGUUACAGUCCAUUGGAGAUUCAAAAGUUAAACACCAUGCACAAACAGGUAGGCAACAAAAAUACACCCGCAUAUGAUUCACGCACUAUCCGAGACUGUAUAGGUGCCACGGCCUGACGUUCUUUUCGUGCUCUUUGAAUAAAUCAUAUGAUGCACAAUCCAAUGCAUGAGAAAACCGGUGCAUGCAUGAGGGUUGGUGUCAUGUGGAGUAAAGAGAGAAACUAUAAUAAUGAGAUGGAAAUAUUAGAAAAUGGGUAUGAAGAAUGAGUGAGUCAAAUGGGUUGUAUAGUGGUAUGAAGAUGAGCUUGGAGCAUGAAGAUAAAGGUUAAGAGAUGGGUGCAAUAGGUAGCAGAAACUGGUGAGAGAAAAGGGGUAUGUAUAGGGGCAUGGUGGGUAUGGGCAUGAAAUGUACGUUGAAGGAUAGCCCUAAGUGCAUGCAUGAUAAGAGACAAAUGAUAUGGGAGGAUAUUUGAACUCUGUACAUGUGGAUAUCAUGCAUUUCAUCCCCUUAAAGUUGCACCGAAAUUCCUUACUCAUCAUCCCAUUGAUAUAAGCAAAACAGAGUCCAAUGAAAACACUGCUUCCUAAAGAAAAAUGGUGCCUAGCACCAGAACCUGAAAGCAGACCUCUCAAAUCGCAAGCAGCUCCAUCCGCAGCAUCUCAGAAUAUCGAGCAGGGCUCAGAUUGUUUGUAUACCUAAACUCAUCCUCACAAAAGAGAGUUGAUAUCUGAGGCCAAUGGAUCCACUCAAAGUACAGAUCUUCCAAGCUUUCUGGUAAACAAAGACCAUGACCAAUUGGAAUGAGCUCCAGCUGACCAUACGUCUCAAUUCCAUCAAAUUUUCUGACCAGAAAGUUUCCUGUUUGAUGAAUUCUAUAGCUUCAGGACUUUCCUUUGAAAAGGAUGCGGCACUGUCACCAUUCACAAACUGAGAAAGCAAGCUUUGGAAGGAGUAAUGAUGUUGGAUAUCAAAAGGAGUAGAUGUUAAAUGGAGGGUACAAAACUGAUGAAGCAGACAUGAUGCUUUUUCGAAACCUUCUACAGACUGCAUCUUAAAAAAAACACUGUGAUAUUCCGGGGCAUAGUUACUUAGCAUCUUUCAUUCCAUUCAUCAACGGUCAUUUUACCUCAAUCUCCACUGAUUCAUGUUUCAUCUCUGUUCAUCUUCAAAUCUUAUUCAGUCUUUUCCCUCUGGAAGCAAUUCUAUAAUGCAAACACCAACACCCCACGUUCUGCUCAUUUCAUUGACAUUCCCCCGUGAGCUUCCAUUCACUAUUAGCAAAUAGCCAUCCUAUACCACGAUGAUUCCAUCAACACUGUUGGCUACUCAGAGGCCAUCAAAUGAACCCGAAACUGGAGAUUCUCAAUCAGUAAGGGCACACUGAGAUAGAAUAGACCUGAGUUGACCCACUGACAACUCUUAUAUGGCUUCCUCAGGCAGAGAUGAGAAAUCAGAUGUGUGCCAUGGAUGAAUACCAAGAACAGAGAAAGAUAGCCAAGACAGAGUACAAUGGAUAGGAACCAAAUGAAUCCAUACAAGCCCCCUUUCCCAUAACCAUCAAUGAGCCCAGAUGUAAAAAUGGAUUAAAGCAAAUUUCAAACAAGUUUUUAAACAAAGAAAACAGAGGUGGGAAUACUGAUAUCUCAUAAGAGAUCUCAAAAUAGGGGAUACGAAACAAGUUAGAGAUCAAGCAGCAUGUGAGAACAAGCAAGUACAAAUUCCAUGAGAAAAAAAUAAAUAAAUAAAUAAAUAAAUAAAAAGAAUAAACGAGAAGCAUACCACCAAUCACCUUCAAACACUAAAGCAGAGUUUCAUGAUGCCUAAAAAAAAAUUGAGACGGCCAGAACAUGGAAGAACUAACCCAUAGAAAUAAUACCUGAACCUUCUUCUUUUCAGUUUGCCCUUCUUCUCUCCAAAACGGCCAGGUCCCCUCCACUGCAGCUGCCUCACCUCUCUAAAAAAUAUCUCCUCACUGCAACCGGAAUCCCCCCAUCUCCUAAAAUCUCUCCUCCACGACCCCAAAAAUCCUCUCUGAAAAGCCCCACCACUCUGCCUGUAGGAGACGCUCCUCUAACCGUCUGCAGCUUUUUUUUUUUUUUUUUUUGCAGAUUCUUUGGACACGUGUCGACCUCUGGUUGGCCAUCAAAAACACCACUCUGGUGCCCCAACAGCCAACCAUGCAUGGACAAGUGGCUCCUUGAGAUCGUGACACUUGGCAAAAUCAAGCUGCAGAAAAUGAGCCCCAAAUGGGGGUCAGGGGAGUCAAAAUAUAAAUGGUGUUGCUCGUAGAGCAGGUAUGAUAAAGGACAUUCUCUUAUCUAAAAGAGUUUUUAUGGUUCUUGAUGAUGUUGAUGAUCCAAGUCAAUUAGAAUAUUUACUUGGACAUCGUGAAUGGCUUGGAGAAGGAAGUAGAGUCAUCGUAACUACUAGAAAUAAACAUGUGUUAGCUGUACAAGAAGUGGAUGACUUAUAUGAGGUUAAGGGAUUGAAUUUUGAAGAAGCUUGUGAACUUUUCAGUUUGUAUGCCUUUAAACAAAAUCUUCCCAAAUCAGAUUAUAGAAACCUCUCACAUCGUGUUGUAGGCUAUUGUCAAGGGCUUCCAUUAGCUCUAAAAGUUCUAGGUUCUCUCUUAUUCAAGAAGACAAUACCUCAGUGGGAAAGUGAAUUGCGUAAAUUGGAUAGAGAACCUGAAGCGGGAAUUCACAAGGUGCUUAGACGAAGCUAUGAUGGAUUAGAUCGUACAGAACAAAAUAUAUUUCUUGAUGUUGCAUGUUUUUUUAAAGGUGAAGAUAGAGAUUUUGUGUCAAGAAUAUUAGAUGCUUGUGAUUUCCCUGCAGAAAUUGGAAUAAAAAAUCUAAAUGACAAGUGUCUUAUAACUCUCCCAUACAACCGUAUAGCUAUGCAUGAUUUGAUACAACAUAUGGGUUGUGAAAUUGUUCGUGAAAAAUUUCCUGAUGAGCCAAACCAAUGGAGCAGAUUGUGGGAUCCCCAUGAUAUUCAACAGGCACUUAGAACAUCUAAGGUAAGAGCCAAGUGCAUAAAUUCACAUAAACUUCAAUAAUAUCAUUCUUGUAUAAGAACUUACAUAUCCAUAUAAGUUGAGUUAGUUUGUAUUUAUGUUUACCUUAUCCUUGUUAUUUUUCAGGAAAUACCAAAAGCUCAAACAAUAUCCUUGGACUUGUCUAAGUUAAAAAGAGUAUGCUUCGAUUCAAAUGUUUUUGCAAAGAUGACUAGUCUUCGAUUGCUCAAAGUUCAUUCAGGUGUCUAUUAUCAUCAUUUUGAAGGUAUUCACGAGAAGGAUUAUUAUGCUAUAAUAAAAAAUACUUCUAAAAUGCGACUUGACAUGAAAUUCGAAUUUCCUUAUGAGUUAAGGUAUCUUUAUUGGGAUGGAUAUCCUUUAGAUUUUUUACCAUCAAACUUUGAUGGAGAGAAGCUUGUUGAACUUCACUUGAAGUGUAGCAACAUAAAACAGUUGUGGCAAGGGCAUAAGGUAUUAUUAUCAUUUAAUAAUGACUUCUUUAUCUUUGUAUUGAUUUUGAAAUUUAUGAUUGUUAUGUCUUUAUUGAAACCAAUUUUCGUUUGGCACAGGAUCUUGAAAGGUUAAAGGUCAUUGAUCUAAGUUGCUCAAGGAAUCUCAUUCAAAUGUCAGAAUUCUCAAGCAUGCCAAAUUUGGAGAGACUAAUUCUUGAAGGUUGUGUAAGCUUGAUCGAUAUUCACCCAUCUGUUGGAAAUAUGAAGAAGCUUACUACCUUAAGUUUGAGAUUCUGUGAUCAGCUUAAGAAUCUGCCAGAUAGCAUUGGAUACUUGGAGUCUCUCGAGUCUCUUGAUCUCUCUGAUUGCUCAAAGUUUGUGAAAUUUCCGGAGAAGGGAGGGAACAUGAAAAGUUUAAUGAAGCUUGAUUUAAGAUUUACUGCUAUUAAGGAUCUGCCUGAUAGCAUUGGAGACUUGGAAUCUCUUGAGUCUCUUAAUCUCUCAUUUUGCUCAAAGUUUGAGAAAUUUCCGGAGAAGGGAGGGAACAUGAAAAGUUUAAGGCACCUUUGUUUAAGAAAUACUGCUAUUAAGGAUCUGCCUGAUAGCAUUGGAGACUUGGAAUCUCUUAUGUUUCUUAAUCUCUCUGGUUGCUCAAAGUUUGAGAAAUUUCCGGAGAAGGGAGGGAACAUGAAAAGUUUAAUGGAGCUUGAUUUAAGAUAUACUGCUAUUAAGGAUCUGCCUGAUAGCAUUGGAGACUUGGAAUCUCUUAGGCUUCUUGAUCUCUCUGGUUGCUCAAAGUUUGAGAAAUUUCCGGAGAAGGGAGGGAACAUGAAAAGUUUAGUGGAGCUUGAUUUAAAAAAUACUGCUAUUAAGGAUCUGCCUGAUAGCAUUGGAGACUUGGAAUCUCUUGAGUCUCUUGAUCUCUCUGAUUGCUCAAAGUUUGAGAAAUUUCCGGAGAAGGGAGGGAACAUGAAAAGCUUAAAGUGGCUUUAUUUAACAAAUACUGCUAUUAAGGAUCUGCCUGAUAGCAUUGGAGACUUGGAAUCUCUUUUGUCUCUUCAUCUCUCUGAUUGCUCAAAGUUUGAGAAAUUUCCGGAGAAGGGAGGGAACAUGAAAAGUUUAAUGAAGCUUGAUUUAAGAUAUACUGCUAUUAAGGAUCUGCCUGAUAGCAUUGGAGACUUGGAAUCUCUUAGGCUUCUUGAUCUCUCUGAUUGCUCAAAGUUUGAGAAAUUUCCGGAGAAGGGAGGGAACAUGAAAAGCUUAAAGAAGCUUUUUUUAAGAAAUACUGCUAUUAAGGAUCUGCCUGAUAGCAUUGGAGACUUGGAAUCUCUUGAGUCUCUUGAUCUCUCUGAUUGCUCAAAGUUUGAGAAAUUUCCGGAGAAGGGAGGGAACAUGAAAAGUUUAAUGGACCUUGAUUUAACAAAUACUGCUAUUAAGGAUCUGCCUGAUAGCAUUGGAGACUUGGAAUCUCUUAAGUUUCUUGUUCUCUCUGAUUGCUCAAAGUUUGAGAAAUUUCCAGAGAAGGGAGGGAACAUGAAAAGUUUAAUUCAUCUUGAUUUAAAAAAUACUGCUAUUAAGGAUCUUCCCACCAACAUUUCUAGGUUGAAAAAUCUUGAAAGACUUAUGCUCGGUGGCUGCUCAGACCUGUGGGAAGGAUUAAUAAGCAAUCAGCUUUGCAAUCUGCAAAAACUUAAUAUCAGUCAAUGCAAAAUGGCUGGACAAAUUCUGGUGCUUCCUUCAAGUCUACAAGAAAUAGACGCAUACCCUUGCACAAGCAAGGAAGAUUUAUCAGGUCUGCUCUGGCUUUGCCACCUCAACUGGUUGAAAUCCACAACGGAGGUAAUUUAAUAUAUAUAUAUAUAUAUAUAUAUAUAUAUAUAUAUAUAUAUUUUAAUUAUGCCACUUAAACCUUUUUUUAUUUUAUUUGAAGUCAAUAUUUACAUAAUAAUUUGUGCAGGAGUUGAAAUGCUGGAAACUCGGUGCUGUUAUUCCUGAAAGUAAUGGAAUUCCAGAGUGGAUAAGGUAUCAGAACAUGGGAAGUGAAGUAACAACAGAGCUUCCAACGAAUUGGUAUGAAGAUCCUGACUUCCUAGGAUUUGUUGUAUCAUGUGUUUAUCGGCAUAUUCCUACAUCUGAUUUUGAUGAACCUUAUCUUUUUCUCGAGUGUGAAUUGAAUUUACAUGGCAAUGGAUUUGAAUUCAAGGAUGAAUGCUGUCAUGGAUACUCGUGUGAUUUUAAAGAUUUGAUGGUAUGGGUUUGGUGCUAUCCUAAGAUUGCUAUUCCGAAAGAGCAUCACCAUAAAUACACACAUAUUAAUGCUUCAUUUGAGAGUUAUUUGAUAAACAUAAAAAAAUGCGGCAUCAAUCUUAUAUUUGCGGGAGAUCAACAAAAUCAUAUGCCCAUGUUGGAGCAUCCUCAGAAUUCUGGUGACAAUGGAUCAGCAUUACAAGAUACCGAUGGUAAUGUUCAUGGGGCUAAUCAAGAUGAUGAACACUACCAUAUUCCCAUCGUGUUAGAUCUUCUUGGGAAUUUUGGUGACAUUGGAUCAGUAAUACUUGAAGGCACUGAUGGAAACCGUAAGAGAAGACGUGAUGAUUCCUUACCCGAUGUAGUGGAGGAGCCACAUUAUAAAAGAUUGGGAGCACCCAACACCCAUCUCUCGCUUUGAACUCCAUCAGUAAGUGCAUUAUCAACCCUUUUUCAUGUAUUCUAACUUCUCUCCUUUUUAAAUUAUUUUUAAAGUUAAUAAACUAUUUUUGUAUAUUUCUUUAAACUCAUUUCACUUAUUUUUCUCCAUUAUAUAAAAAUUAAAUAAUUUAAAAAUGUAUACAUCUCUAAUCAAUUUUAAAUAUAUUUUAUUUUCUUUCAUAUUUUCUAUAGAAAAACCAAGCAUAAAAAAUAAUUUUUCUCAGUGUUUUUUUUAUUUCCUAAGUACUCUCUAAGAUUCAAACAUAGUUUAUAGUGAUUGAUAUCAUAACUAUGCAUGUACCACGUUUUAUAGAAUUUCUUCAUUUUCAAAAAAUAUGAAAAAUAACUUCAACUAACUUUGAAAGUCAUCAUUAGUUUAAAAACAUGUAUAGUUUUUUUUAUUUUUUUAUUUUUUUUUAUUUUUUGUACAUAUAUAGCAUAGAUAUGGUAGAGUGAAUUGCUUUUCUUUUCUUUUUUUUCAUUAUUUAUUUAUUUAAUUAGUUAUAUAAAAACCUCUACAAAGUGAUUAUGAAGCUCUAGGGAUUCUUCAUUACCUUAUUAGAGAUAGCAUUAAUUAAUUAUUUGUUUAAUUAAUUUUUUUUAUACUUGUUUUUAAGAUAAAAUUUGAAUAAGUUAUCAAAAUUAGUUAGAGAAGAUCAUGUACACAAAUUAGAAGUUAAAUUUGAAUGUAUUAUGAGGUAGAUAUAUGUAAAAACUUAUAGUGUGUUUGGUAGUAAUUCUGGAAAAUGUUUUUAGUAUUUUUAACAUUUGAAUGAUAAAAUUUUUCAAACGUUAAAAAAGUUAGAAGUGCUUUCUAAAAUCACUGUCAAACAGGAUCUAACGUACUCUUAAUAUUUUUAAUAUUUGAAAAUUUUUAUCAUUCAAUUGUUAGAAAUAUUAUAAAUGCUUUCUAGAAUCACUUUCAAACACACUCUUACUUGAUGGCAGUAAAUAAUGAAACUCCCAUAUAUUGAUUUUAAUAGUUUUAAGAGUCAAAUUGUUUAUAGUUUUUGUAUUGAAGAAUUAAAUUUCUUUAAGUAUGCUAAAACAUUUUUAAACAUGCAUACUUAUUGUCUAUUUCUUGAGAUGGAAGUCUUGGAUUAAUCUUAUAUUUACUUAUGUGAAAUUUGUGAUAUGCUCGUGAAGUUUACUUAACAAAUGAUCAUACUAAUCUUAAGUGAAAUUUGUGAUAGUACCGAUCAGAACGAAAUCACAUGUGGUAGCUGCAGGUGGACUUCAUGUUUUUUCCUAACAACUGAUUGGUAAGUCAUUUUGUUCAUUUAUCCUUUUAGUACGUGUAGAAAAUUGAUUAAAGCCUCUUCAACUUCUUUACUAUUUUCUCUUUCCCUUGAUCCCUGUUUUGUGCGAUUAUGUUUGGUUUUUGGAAAACUUAAAGGAAAAUAUAAGGAAAAGAAAAUAGAGAAAAAAAAUUAAAAGGAAAUAAAAAGUGAAAAAGAAUAAAAACAAGAUUUAAAGUCAAUCAAUUAUUUUCAUAUGUUUCUUCAAUCUUAUUUCAAUUAUUUUGCUUCAUUAUAUAAAAAUUAAAUAAUUUUAAAAUGUAUAUAGUUCAAACAUAAGUUUUAAAAUGUAUAACUAAUUUUAAUUAUAUUUAAUUUUUCCAUAUUUUUUACAAUGAAACCAAACAUUUAUCAUUUUUCUUGACAUUUUUUUAUUGUUUCCUUGGUACUCACUAAAGUCAAACAUAAGUUUAAACCCACUAGAGUGAUCCAAUUGGUGAAGGCAAAUAUUGAGAAGUGUGGUCCCACUAAGUGACACAUGGUCCUGAGUUUGAAUCCUACCACUAAUGAUACUUUGAAUUUAUCUAGUGCUAGUUAUUGUGACGCGAUUAACACUUUGAGGUUUGGUUCCCCAUAGAGUCCUAUAGGCUUAGCCAAGGAAGGUUUUUCAAUUAUUAAAAAAUAAAAUAAAACAUAAGUUUAAUGUUUUAGGAGGUAAAAAAAAAAAGUGGUAGCGCAAUUGACAAUUAACUAGGAUAUAUAUUUUUUCUCAUGUGCUUGGUAUAAGGCACUAAGUAUCAUUAUAUUAAAUCCUCCAUCUACCGCAUGAUAGUUAGUUAUAAAUUCCUUACUAUUAUUAUAGGUAAACAAUAAUUUAUAUAUGUUUAAAUUAAUUCUUAAGUUAAUGGUUAAUAUCUAUUAAUUAUGUUUUUAGUUCCUUUGAUGAUUAUGUUAUAUUUGAACAUUUUAGGGGUAUGAUUUUAGCUUCAUUAGCAUGAAGUGUAUCUAAUGAUAUGUGAUUCCCUAUCACUAUGUUUGAUUUCAAGAAAGUAUAAGGAAAGAAAAAUCCUCAUGAAAAUUAUUUUCUCAUGAAAAAAUCCAAGUACGAAGGAACAUGAAAAUGAAUUUUGGAAAUCAGACACAACCUUGUGAAAUAUACUUGUGUUAAUAAUUACAGUGUGUUUGUUGUACUAUGUUAAUGACAUUGAAAUGUUGUGUUUUAUUCUUUAGCUUUAGGUGGAAACAAGGACAAUGAGGAGAAGUUAAUCUCAAGAUGCAAAUGAGAUUCCAAAUGUUGCUAAGGUGGUCUACUCUUGCACAUGAUUAGUCUCUUACAAUCAUGACCAUCAAGAAAGAUGGUACAAUUUGUGUAUUGAAAGUGUGAAUUAGGAAUGUUAAAAAAUGAAAACUUGAAUUGAUAUAUGUUUUUGCCCAUAAGAUGUGUGGUUAUGGUCAAUUCUUGUGGGUAUGUAAUUGACCUUGAUGUUGCAUAUGAAGCAUGUCACCCUCUCUGUAUCUUCAAGUUAGUGGUUGGAGCUUCUAUAGAUGGUGGAAGACAAGUGUCACCAAUUUAAGUAUUUCUUAAGCUCUCAUGUGGCACUUAGACAAUUCAAGUCUAUUGAAGUUGUUGCUAAGUCUUUCAUGUUGUGACAAAGGUUUUUCACAUUUCACACAUUAUAAUCAUCACAUUUUAACUCAAGUUUUUAAAAGUAUUAAAUUAAUACCAUUCCCUAAUCUUACUCGGCUUGGUUUGUCAACUUCGGUGGUUUAUUACUUUUUAGAGCCAACUUUCAACUUAAUCAAUCCAACGUAAUUGUUAUUGAUUCAUGGUUAAUAAUUCUCGAUCUAAUGUUAUGAUUGUUUUUUAAAAAAUUUGAGGAAAAUAAAAUAAAGAGAAAAAGUACAAGGAAAGGAAAUGUGGAGAAACAUAAAAGAAUUAUAUUUAAAAUUAAUAAAUUAUUUUUAUUUGUUAUUUCAAACCUAUUUUACACACAAAAUUAUAAUAAUAUUUAAUUUUUUCUCUAUUUUCCAUGAGAUACCAAAUAUAAAACAAAUAUUUUUUUUAACAUUUUUUUUAAUGCUUUUUGGAAACUAAACAUAACUUAAUACUUGUCUUUGUGUUUCAAGAUACCAAUAAUACUUCUUGAUAAAAUCAUAUCUAUUAAUGUGGCAUGUAUACAUGUGUGGGAUAUUCAUGGUUCAAUACUAUCACUAUCUUACAAUUGUGGAUUCUAAUUGAAUUUUAUGAAUUAAUGAUAUGAUCUUUCUUCAAACAAAAUGUCUUUGUGAGUUGAAUUAUUUCAAUUGGUCAAACCUCUAUAUUCCAAAUAUUUCUACUUUGAUUAAUCAAGGUCUUUGUGAGUUGACUUUAAUUUGCUUUUAAAUAUCAUCUAUUAAAGUAUUUUAGAUGCUUCUUUGUUUUGUGUAGUAUUGUAAUAGAUUAUGAGAUAAUUGUAGACCAAAUGAUAUACAAAUUAUCUCCUUUAUAGAUGUUUUUUCACUUGCUUUAAAGCUAAGAUUUUGUAAACUAGCUUUUGUCUUUUCUUAGCUUUAAUUUUUUUACUCUAAAACACCCAAAUAAAGUCAUUUAGUUUUGUAUGUGCUAUUUUCUUUAAAAGAGAAACUAAAAAGGGAUGCAUCCUAGUAUAUAGUUGAAGCAGAGAAGGAUUUUAUUCUAAAAUUAAUAUAAAAAAUAUACUUUGAUAAUAUAAUUUUAAACCUCUUUUAGAUGGUGUUUGGUAAACCAACUUAAUAAUUUAAUAUAACAUAAUAACUUAAUUUGUUAUUAAAUAGAUUAAUUAUUUUUGGUAAAAUAAUUUAAUAUUAUAAUAUAAACAUAGUAUUAAGUCAAAAUAGUUAACUUAAGGGUAUUUGGCAAAUCAACUUAAUGACUUAAUAUGAUUUAAUAAUUUAAUUUAAGUCAUUAAAGAGAUUAAACAUGUUUGAUAAAAUAACUUAAUAUUACGACUUAAAGUUAUUUUUAACUUCAAGUAAUAAGUCAAAAGGGUUAAUUUCAUUGAGACCCCUUGAGGUUUGAUAUAAAUAUACUCAAUUACUGUUGUUUUCAAAUUUCAUCAAUUAGCACCCUUAUGAAUUUAUUUUGUUUAAAAAAUUUAUUUUUUUAAGAGAUUUCAAGUAAAAAUAUUUUUGAUAGGAGUGUUUAAUAAUUCACUAAAAACUAAAUUUUAUUUGUUAAAAAAUAAAAUUUAUAUACAUAAUACAUUUAUAGGGAUGUUAAUUGAUGAAAUUGAAAUUUGAAACUUAUGAUGACUUAAUGUAUUUACACUAAACAUGAAGAGUCUCAAUAAAAUUAACUUUAAGUUAAAAUAGUUAACUUAUUCUUAAUCUCAAAUCUUUUUUACCUUAUUUGUCUACAUUUAUUACUUAUUUUUUAUGAUUGUACUUGUAUCUUUAAUACUUUAAAUAUGAAUAUUUAACAAAUAAAUUUAUUAUUUAGGAUUAGUGAAAAUAUAAUUAUUAGUUAAAAUUAAUAAGGAUGAAUAUGUCAAUUUGACAAUUUAAAAUAAAAGUUUUAAGUUUACAGUUUAAGAACCAUUUAACUUAAAAUCAAUUUAAAUCAUUAAGUAAUAAGUAAUAAGUAAUAAGUUUUACCAAAUGCCCACUUAAAUAUAGCUUUUAAAUGAAUUAUUUAAUCAAAAGACAAAUAUAAAAAAAUAAAAAAUAAAAUAAAAAGGAACACACUAAACAGGCAUCAUAAAAUCUUUCACAUGAUUUCUUUACUUUUUUAUUCACCUUCUUAGAAGACGAUUUUAAUAUUUCCUAAGAAAAUUAUGAAAACACAAAAUUGGUGUUUCCAGAUUUUCUAUUUUUAUAAAACUCUAUUUUCUGAAAUAUUGAUUUAUGUUUUCUUUACAAAUGAAAACAAUUUAAACAAAAAAGUGAUUUAUAGUUUCCAUUUUUAAAAUUGAUUUUCACUUCUUUUGACUUAAGGCAUUUUCAAGAUAAGAAAAAAAAAGGAAUAAAAGCUAUUUUUAGAGAAUAAAAAUAAAUGAAAAACAUUUUCCAACCGAAACCCAUUGUUAAUGUUUUCAUCUCAUUGUGCCUUUUUCUAAUCUCCAUCCCGCACUUUGAUGGGCUAAACUCGAAAAUGGAAAGUUAUAUCUUGGCACUUGCUUUAAUUUACAUUUGUUAAAUUGGUUUUGACAUACAUUUUUCAUAAUAAAUGCAAAACAAUAGCCUGAGUUACAAACAUGAUUUCCAUGGUUUUUUAGGUCUCUAAUCACAUAAAGUAUUGAUUCCCAAAUUAAUGAUGCUCUAAAUUUAGUGCAUAGGGCAUUCAGACUCUCAGUUCCAUCAACAUCCAUUUUCAUUUUCUCACCUGCCAAAACCUUAUUGUACAAAUUUCCAUUCAACCUUCAGAUCCAUCCCAUGUUCCAUUUUCAAUCCUAGCCACAUUGUUACCAUAGGGCAAGUUGCUAGUACCAAAUAUUUAAGACAAGUAUACAUACAAUGCAAAUCAGUCCAUUACCCUAAAAGAAAAGGAAAAAGAAAAAGAACUUGUGUCACAGAAAGGAAUAAUCUAUUGGGUCAGUGGCUUGUAUCCAAAGUGAUACCAAACUGUGCUGACAAGGAGCCUUUGUAAGAAUCUGAUACAGCUCCUGCUGUUUCUGAAAGGUUGCUCUUCAUCUCUGAAAUUUUUGAUACCAUGGGCUCUUUGUAUUUCGAAACUGAGUCAACCAAAGCAUAGAGUUCCCAAGCACAUAUCUGAAUUUCAUCCUCAUUUUGCUUGAUUGCUUCCUGCAACUUCAAUUUGGACAUCUUCAUGACGACAUCAAAGUCUAGUCAGAAUCCCUUGAAUUUUUCGAUAAUAUUCACAUUAAUCAAGAACAAUUAUAAAGCCAGGUAGAAAUUUUUAGCUCUGAAAAGGGAAACCAACUUAUGUUAAAAUAAGUUUCUUUCAGGUUUACGAGAUCCACCCUGGCAAUAUUGAUAUCCUUAACUAACUAUUUAAGAGAAGAAAAACAAAAUUAUACCUCCAGAACAUCUGCCACUUCUCUUUCCACAAUAUCUACAUUAUGGGUUUCUAUCUCAACAUCCUCCACCAACUUCUUAGCUUCCAUUGCACAUCUGGAGGUGUAGUUUUGCGUUUCCUUCUUCAAAAAAUUUAAUUGAGCUUCCACCUGACAAAUUGAUCAUUCAUCCAUGGUUAACCUCAUACAACAAUAGCCUAAAAAGAAUUCAUUCUGAUGCCUUGUCAAAAAUCAACCAGAAGAUAAAUAUCCAUGAACGAAAAACAAUUAGAUUAAACAAUGUGUAACCCAAUAAUUUAUGUUGCAAAAUCAAGUUAAACAUCAGAUCCAUCAGAAACAACGAGAUGCAUGAUACUAUUCGAUAGCUUAUUAAUAAAAUCACAUUAUUAGGAAGACACUACUCAAUAGCUCGACACUAAUAAUGGAGUUCUUUAAUAAUGGAAUAACCUUACAUGGCAUAGUUAUGCAAGCAUUGUUUAAGCUAAUGUCAAAUAUAGUCAAAGCCUUGACAAUAAUUUCCAAUCAGCAAGUUGGAAAAUUACUUGCUAAAAAAUAUACUUGGAAAAGGAAUCAAAUGUAGUCAAUCCUUUGUAGGGACUAAUUAUCAUCCAAAAAUAAUUUUUCUUAAGUGUUUUAUAAGCCAUCAAAGCUACUUUGAAAAUUUGGGGCCUGACAAUCUAUGUGCAAUAACAAUUGACAUCUCCAACAGAUUAUUUUUUCUUUUUUAAUCCAAAACAAAUCAUUCAUUGAUAUGAAUUUAAUUACAAACCAAGGAUGAGAAACCCUUUCAAAAUAUAAAGGAUGAUUAAAAAUUGAGGAAAAAUCUAACAAAAGUAGCAAGAUAGCUAUACUAAUCAAGGACGAUACAAGAACUUGAAUAUAGCGACAAUGUACACUUGAAGGGGGUAAAACAUACCUUACAGAAGAGUCCAUUUGCAUGGCUCCACAUUUAGCCAAUCAAUCUGCAACCUGAUUCACUAAAUGAGGGGACCAAUAGAAGGAACAACCCAAGCUACUAGCUAGAUCCAGGGUUUUAGGGAGCUACAUGUCAUACAUCCCAAGACAUGUGAUGGGGGAAAGCCUUUCAAAGUAUAUUCAAAAAGGAAAGGAAGGCACAAAUAAACUUUAAGUGGGAUUAGUAUUAGUUAGAAUAAAAUUAGAAUUAGUAUUUAUUGGAAUCAAAUUAGGAAUAGCUAAAUAAUUUAGAGGAGACUUAGAGUCAUAAUAGGUUAUAUUAGAAUCCUAGUAGGCUUUGAAUUUCUUAGAGAAGCCUAUAAAUAAAGCUAAUUGAUGUAAAUCAAAGUAAUGGAUCGAUAAUUAAUAAUAUAACGUUUCCUUGCAUACUUUGCAAUUUUGAAUGGUAAGACUCUUGAUUUUCUUCUAGGUGAGACUCUUAGAAGGCCUUAGUGAGACUCAAAGCUUUCUAGCUCUUCUUCUCCGUAUCUUCUUUCUCAAUGUUUUUUCAUUUUAUUUUUCUUUACCAUAAACUUUAUCCUUUAUUCCUCACCUUAAAUGGUUAAACCCUAAAAAAUAAAAACCGUAGCCCACUUAUUUGAUUGUAGGCAACCAUCAUAGGGUUGUCUUACGUCAAUAUGUCCAACAAUUUAAUCAUCCCUUUUAAUCCAAUUUGAAAAUAGCACCUAUUCUUAACUGAAUUAUACUAAAGCAUAUUUGGGUCACUUUUCUAAAGCACAUGUCUGGUUUCCAAAAGUGGACACAAUUCUAGAAUUAUGCAAUUGGAGUAUGUGCAUCUAGGGCAUCCUGAAGAUAUGUGCAUUCUGAAAAUGAACACGUAUUCCUAUUUCUUCUCCCUCUUCUCCCUCUUCCCUAUAUUUAUUAUUUAUCAUAUCUUUACAUCACCUAGGUACCAUAUCAAAACCAUACAACAAGCUGGCCCUUGAUCAGCAUCCAUCUGACCCUGAUCAAUGGACUUCAGAAACAAUGGCAUGCACCCUACAUUUAACUUCCAAGUCCUCUGGACCAAUUUGACAUAACUAUGGUAGCACACUUUUUGGGUCACCCUUUGUAUUAGUUCAAAGGAACAUUACAACCUGAGCUGUCCAUUGAUGCCAAAAAGCUGUAAUGUGGGUAAUACAUGCUUUGCUCAUAUACAAUAAUUGUUUUUAGCAAUGGAUACAAAAUGGAUGUCUAUCUAAGGCAUCCAAAAGCUAAGAUUUUAUCUACAACCAGAAGAGUACAACCCCUAAAGUUGAAUGGAUACAAAAUGCCCAUGAUUGUCCCUUAAUAAUAACCCCUAACCCACAACCGGCUCCGAUUUCCCAAAAAGCAACCUUCCCAGGAAGUGUUUCUAGGAGGAAUAACAAACUUAUCUCUCAACUUAUCCCCUUCAUCACCCACAUAGUUUUAAAAGGUGCAAGGCGCACCUAAGAUGCAAAGUUUCCUAUAGCUUAAGCACAAGGCGCAACACAAGGUGUGCGUCUAAGUGAAGUGAAAUGUGACCUAGAAUACACAUCAAUUUUAUAAAAUAUGAUUCAAAAUCUAAUCUGAUCAAUAAAAAAUUUAAAAUUCGAAACAUUUAAAAGAAGCAUUCAAUAAAAAAGUAAUGAAAUUAUAUACAUUUCAGUAUAUAAUUAGAAAUUUAAAAAAUAAAAGUGUUUACAAAGGAAGAGUAAAGCUGACAAGGCACACUUUUUCAAUAAGGCACAUAUCUUGGCAAGCAAGCGCUAUAACUUGGGAGUGGUGGCGCCUUGAGCCUAGGCGCACUUAAAGCACGCCUUUUAAAACUAUGAUCACCCAUUAGACAGAUGGUUAGACCAGGCAGCUCUUGCUUUUUUUUUUUGAUAGGUAGACCAAGCAGCUCUUGCUAUUAAAUUUUGAGUGACAACUGCUUGUGUAACUGACACCAUUUGCCCUUUGUACCAAAUUUUAGAUUGACCAUCGGGUGGUACUAUACUCCUUUCCAAUUAUUUUCCCUCCCAUAUUUCAUUUGAGUCAUUCUGGAAUUUAGCAAUAUUCUAUCCCAAUGGAAUUUCUAGGAACAACAUUUUUCUGUCAAAAUUUGAAUACAUCCAAAUUAUCACCUUUUUGAAUUCUAAUUGUAGUCCAAUCAAUUUAACCGCAGUAAUUGAUUUUCCAAGAAAUUUUCUUAUGUGCAUUCAACUACUAGCAAUUCAAGAAAACAUUUUUUUUUUUUUGGAUAGGUAAAUCACAAUUAAAAAAACAAAUUAAACGAAGGGGCAAGCAAGAUUAAAAAACAAUUGUCUUUUAGAUUGCAAAGAAAAUACCAAAGAAGCUUACGGUUACAACUUUAGUUUUCCUGGAGUGGCAUCCAUGCAAUAUAAUGACCAUGCAAUUGUAUAUGCUACUGCUGGUACUUUAGAAAUGGUAUUGCUAACAAAGUCAGACCACUAGGUAAAGAAGACCUGCUUUGAUUUGUUAUAUAGAUAGAUGGAUACAAAGAGAGAGAGACAGAGAGAGAGAGAGCGAGAGAGAGUUUGGCCUUUUCUGAGAGCAGCAAAAAGAGGUUGAGUUAAUUUGUACUUCAGUUAAUUGCAUAUUCAAUAGGGGAUCAUUGGCUCCAACUAUGUGCCCACCCCCUCCAUCUGUAUCCUUAUGUAUGUGUCUGAGAAUUUUAUGGGUCUGUCAUUCUUUCCAAAAUUUUUAUGUGCUGAGGAGUUCUUCUUUCUUGUAACAUGAUCAAUCUUGUUAUUUGUACCAAAGAUAUUCAGGAAUGUCUUUGAGAAUUUUAUGAGUAGAGGAUUCAUCAUCCUCUCCAAAAUUUUUGUCUUCUGGAGUUAAUCUGUAUCUAACAUCACCAAUACUUUUACCCUUCUUUAAAAUUUUUAGGAAAACAAAGUGAAAAUCUGGCUGCUCCGGUUGACACCCUAAAAGCAUAUAAAAAAGGCAUAGUUUUUUAUUCUUCGUGAGAGGUAUAUAAAUGCAUAGCUGCUGAACAAGAAAAAUGAGUUCUAAUUCACUUACUUCAUCACAACUAGUUUGAAGUGCAGCAAGACGAUUUUUUUUUGCUUCAAUUUUAGCAGCAUUUUCAACUGAUUGUUCCUGAAGAGAAAUCAACUCUUCCAACUUUAGCAUAGAGCAUUUUAUUUAUGUCAUCAGCAAAGGAGUCAAGUGCAGGCUUAAGCGUUGAUUUGUAAUCAAUUCCCAAAACCUCAGCAGGCAAAGACCCUUUGGCAUUCAAAACAUACUGCAAACCAUUUCCUAACUUUAACCUGGAAACCAUCCAAGAGAAAAUACUUCAAUCACACAAUAGAUUGUAGUUUAAUAGGUUGAAAGAGUUGCAUGAGGUGGCAUGCUAAUUUUUCAAUUCAAAGAUGCUCCUGAAAAUUAAGUAUUUAGUGUUGUCUCUUCAUGGCUAUUAGUUUACUUCAAAAAGUUAAAUAGAACAUGGUCCCAAGGGAAACAAUAGGCUCCUAAGGCAGGGCUCAGGAGGCAAAGGGUUGGGUGGGAAUGGGAAGGUUCCAAGUUGAAAUUCAUCUACCGAGAGAGAGAGAGAGAGAGAGAGAGAGAGAGGGGAGGGGGGAAGAGGGGAGGCUACCUCAAAAAAAGAGGUUGCCAAGGGCAACUGUAUCACCUAUCUCUUUCUAAAUAAAUUAUUAGAAAACUUGUGAGGAUGGAAGUGUUAAAUGGAGGUUUUUUUUUUUAAAGCCAAAUCGAGAAUGAACAUUAACUAACCUUAAAAACCUUUUUAUUUUUCUUACUUUGACAAAGCUCCAGAAUGGUUAGCAGUUUGAGAGUAACACUUAGCUCAAAAGGUUAAAGAAGAUGAACAAACAUGAAAUCAUAAACCAAUACAAAAGAUGUAAUGCACCCAAAAGAUAAAUGCACGUAAGGCAAAUUACAACUCAGAAACUACCCAUUGUUGGUGUUGAAUCACAACCCAAGUAAACAAAUGAAGUUUGAGUUGGCUACGUGGAAAUAAUGCAUGUGACUCAAGAAGACAUAAGCCAUUGAAUGAUUCAGCAACUACAUUCACCUGGUCUGAAUUUUUGUCGACUGAAAUUUUAUUUUUUUGUUAGGUAAAUUUUUUUGUCCCUAUUGGGAUUUGAACCUGAAACUUCCACAAACCCUCCCAAACCUUUACCUCUUGAGCCAGGCCUCAAGGGCAUGUUCACCGGAAUAAUUUAAGCAGAGAACAGCAGCUGGAUCCUUCUUAGGAAUCAUCAACUAGUCAUGCUGUAACUACAGAGCCAGAUCCUAUGUUCUCACUGAAGUUAUACUAAAAUGUUGUAUAUGUUAAUGUAUUUGCUAAGAACAGGAAAAUAUUUCAUAUCACCCAUAAAUGACAAAAAAAAUCUUGUAAUCUAAUUCAUGGAGGUAGAUAACCUAAUGUUGAUAAGAAUCACAGUAGACUUCAAUGGAAUAGAGAAAAUUAAUUCCAAGCAACACCAAACCUAAGAAAGAACACGAUUCUACCAUGUUCAUUAAUUAUCAGAAAGCAUACUGAAGAUUACUAGAAAGACUUUAGAGUAUGCAACUUAAGAAAUUAAGAAAAUCCUAGUGGAGUGGAUUAUAGAGGUACCAAAGCCAAACAAAGAGGAUAAGGAAAAGAAAACCUCCAGAGAGCCUGGUUGCAUUCAAUUGAAAGAGCUUCAAGCUCCUUAAACUUGUGCCCAAUUGUCGUGUCAACAUCCCAAGACUUCUCCUCCCAACCAUUCCUUGCAACCUCAGCCUCCGUGAUAUCUCUCUCAACUGCCUGCAACUCCCUCUUCAUCCUCUCUGCAUCUCUUGCAUUAAACGUCUGCAACUCAACCCUCUUCUUCAGCUCUUCAUUCUCCUCGCAAAUUCUAUUAUUCUCUUCAACCUUCACCCCCAACUCCUUCUCCUUCUCAUCCAAAAUCUUCUCCACAGAUGCAAUCCUUCCUGAAAAUUCUGCAAUUAUUGCAUGAAAUUUCUUCACAUCCUCCUCCAACACCCCCCUCUCCUUCUCCACAACCUCCUUAGCCGAAGGCCCCGACCUCAAUUCCUCCAACCUCCCCUCCCUCUCUGCCACCUCCUUCUCCAAUGCCUUCACACCUUUCGCCACUGCGUCCCUCUCCCUUUCCAACUUCCCCAUAAACUCCCUACCCACCGCCUCCAUCCCAUCAUCAUCCCCGCGAAUAUAAUGCAAGUAACUAUCCAAUGCAUACACAAAAGUAUUGUCAAAAUACUCCAAAUUCGACACAAGAUGGUCAUUAUACAAUGCGAUUUGAGCCAACCAAUGCAUUACGCCUAAAAGGGAAGGCCAAACAGGCGGGGUUCCGGGGGCUUUGAGAGCGGACUUGUUGAGCUUGAUCGGGCAAUUGAGAUGCUUGAGGAGGAUAGGAAGAUCGUCUUCAAGUUUGGUUGUGGGGAAAUCGNNNNNNNNNNNNNNNNNNNNNNNNNNNNNNNNNNNNNNNNNNNNNNNNNNNNNNNNNNNNNNNNNNNNNNNNNNNNNNNNNNNNNNNNNNNNNNNNNNNNUGAGGGGGAGAGGAGAGGAAUGGGAGGCGAGAAAGGAGUUGAUGGUGCGGAUGGCGGAGAGUUGGUAGGACCGGUUGGUGAGGGCAUCGCCGGCGGAGGAGCGGUUGAUUCCAAGGGAGGAAGGGUGGCUGCUGGCGAAACUAGCGUCAGAGUUGCGGCUGAAUUGGCGGUGGUGGUCGACGGAGGGAGGUGGUGGCGGCGGUGGGUGGAUAGAGUCCUUCGGACGGCGGCGGCCGGUGGCUUUCAUCCCCGGCUGUGAUGGGCGUCUCUCUCUCUUCUGAGUUCUUGUGAAUUCUGAAUCUCUCUUUCCCGCCUAUGGGCUACUGGGAAAAUGACACUGCUUUUUAAAUUUUAUUUUUGAAAACAUUUUUUUUAAAUGAAUUAUUUUUAAAAAUAUUAAGAUAUUAUUUCGUAUUUUAAUAAUAUAAAAUAUUUUCACCGAAAGGAAAAAACAAAUCAAAUUACCGAAAAAACACUGUUGACUGAUCAAGGACGGGCGGGCAGCAAAGUAUUGAUGAACUUCAACAGGUUAGAAGGAUGAAAGGUGCUGAUUGUGUAUUAGUUCAAUUCUUCUUUAAAUCUAUUUUCCAUACAUCUUGAUUAACCUCUAAGUAAUUGCAUACUCAGAUUAUGCAGUCAAAAGCAAUUUCAUAUUGAUCCAGCCUGCAUACGUGAGGUUCAGGAGAUCUCUCUUUCAAGUCAGUUCCAACAUAAGCACAUUGUUCAAUAUUAUGGCACAUUCAAGGUAUUUUUCAAAUUUUUCUUGUUGGAUUGGCUUCUUGUUAUGUACCACUCUUGGAAUCAGGGCUACCGUUUGCAAAUUUGCAUUUUUUGNNNNNNNNNNNNNNNNNNNNNNNNNNNNNNNNNNNNNNNNNNNNNNNNNNNNNNNNNNNNNNNNNNNNNNNNNNNNNNNNNNNNNNNNNNNNNNNNNNNNUUUGGGAGAAUAAUAUCGAUAUAUAUAUAUAUAAAAAACCCUACAUAAUGCUGCAUGCAAGACACAAAUUUAGGAACUUGAUCUGGGUCUUGUAGAGUUGUUGCAUGAGUCCUCUGGCAUCUUUGUACCUCAGAGGACUUAACUCGCUGCUAGUGCUGGGUUGGGCCUAAUUUAUAGGGAAGAAACAUUGGUGGAGGCAGUUGAUAAAGCCCAGAGUUGACGGCUGUUAACACUGGUGAAGAGGACGGGAAAAUUUUUAGCUUUGAAGAGUUACCUCAUUCUCUUAACUACAUCUGUGCUCAAGUGGCAGAUUACUAGUCCUAAUAUUCCUCAGAAUGCUCCUGGCUUUAGGAAGAAGACAUGAAUUAUGGCAUCAAUUUGGGCAUACGUCCCUCCUCUGCAGUAAAUCUAGAGUGCCAACUAAAACUUGGGACUGAUAAUUUGUUGCUCUCACUUGGGAACCCCCAUGCAGUAACAUUAGUUAGGUCUUUUCCUCAUAGAAUAACCAUGAAAGUCUUUGUGCUUAUUAGUAUAAUGGCUACUCUAGUGAAGGCCCAAUGUUCAAGAGGACUUAGAAAGGAUCUUAAUGUUAUGGGAUUCAAAAUCCUUAGAAGGCAUGAAUCUUUGGUGGUAUCUGUCUUAAGUUCAAUUAAAAUUCGAUUGAAACUUAUCUGGAAGAUCCGUAGGUGUUUGAGGUUUUGGACCAAAUCAAUUGCAGCUUAGGGAGAAGCUGAGUAACUGCUCAGGGUAGCUUUUGAUUUGGUGCACUGAGGAGAGUUCAAUGUUAUUGGGUCUUUUAGGGAAAAGCUAUUUUGUCUAGAAUUCCCAGUAGCGUGAAUGACACUGAUGAGCUAAUCAAAAGUUGUGGCUUAGUUGAUUCAUCUCUUAGAGUGAGGCCUUUCCAUGGUCAAACAAGCAAGAAACCCCAGUUUGAAGAGGUUUGGUAGGUUCUUGAUCUCAACAGAGUGCAACAUCAUUCAAGAAUCUUACCUAGGCUAGUAUUUGAUUAUGGUUCCAUGAUAUGGAGGUUAACUAAUUAGAUGAUUCUCACCCUCUUUUCUUUUGAAAAUAUGUGGUUGCUGCACCCAAAAUUUGGUGAUAUUAUUAUGGAUGUUGCAUGAGAUUCAGGUCUCAGUAUGGGAAUGAUAGAUUUAUUGUGUAGCCUUAAGUCAAUCAAAGCUUUCUUUGAAAUAUUGAAGAAAGAAACUUUUGAUAUUUCUGGCAAGAGGAACACUGUGAUAAUCACACUUGAAGGAAUGGGUCAUAUGAUGGAAGAACUUUGAUAUCUUAGAAUGAAAAGGAAAAUAAGGUUGGAGGAAUUAUGGGAGGGAAGAGCUAGAGACAAGAGUCUAGGUUGAAAUGGGUCAGGGAGGGUAAUUGCUACUCAAAAUUGUUUCACUGGGUGGAUAAAUUAUGGCAGGUAGAAGAAGCUAGAAAGGAAUGCCUGGGUAUUUGAAGAUAGGAAGAGUUAGUCUACUGAAUUUCAGGAGAAUUACUAUGGAUAUUAGUUACCAAGAAUUUAUCAGAAUUCCCUUCAACAUCAGUUACGUUCCCAAUUGGAAUAGUAGUGAGCUGCUUUGACAGUUGGUGUUUUGAAGCUUAAUUUUGCUGAUGUUCCUUGGAAAUUGGGAUUGGAUGGCUAUUGGCAAUCUAAUAUAGGAUCACAGGCAAGUUUAUUCAAGGUUCUCAAAGAAAGCUGGUUUUGGGCUGACUAUUGAAGCAAAAAUUUCUUGCUCUAAUGGUGGAGGUGGAUUAACUAAUAGUUUUAUCUUGGGUGGCUAGUAGUCGGAGAGUGUUGUGCGAGAUACAAUCAUUGGGUGCUGAGGAUCAUGCAAUUUGAUAGUUGUGUUCUCUUUUCCCUGGAAGCCUAGAUCCUUGAAUUAGAAAGGCUAUUAGUUGGCCAAAAAUGGAUCCUGUUCUUGGUUGGUUUAACUGGGGAUAUCAUGCCCCGUGUUUUGGUGGUUAAUUUCCUUAAGGUUGGGCAGCGAAAGGCUCUCUGGUGUGCGGACUUCUGUAUUUGUCUUUUUAUAAGCCUGUGCAAUUUUUUUGAUGGAUUUGUUUUGCUUGUUCCUUUUUACAAAUUCUUUGUAUAUUUUCUUAAUUUCUUCAUAACUAAAAAUAAACAGUACUAAAGCUCUGUUUAGAUUGACUUUUUGGAAGCAAAAAGAUCCUUUUUAAGUCUAAUAAGAUCUUCAAUAUGUGUUUUUGGCUUCACUGAAGUACUUCUAACCUUAAAAGGAGUUCAACACAUACGUAUGGGCAAGCUGUUUUUCAGUUUAUGUGGGAAAUUGUUUUAUGUUUAGUGAAAUCACACCAAUGCCAAGAUUGCCCCUUUAAAAUAAUGGUUUUAGCUUUAGCUUCAGUUCCUCACCAAAGUUAAAGGCAAAAUAAUAUCCUCAAACAAGACCUAAAUCUGAGGCCACAGCAGCACUGUUGCAAUCUUCAUGAGGUUGACUGAGUACAUGUCUCUGUUAGAGAGUUAAUAGGGAUUCUGAGUCUAUGUUGAGUAACCAAGGUUUUGCUUUUAGAGUUGUUAUUAUUUUCAAUCAUAUUUUUGGAUGUUAAUCACAAAAUUUUAUUUCAGAGGCUAUAGAAGGAUUGCCCUGACUGGAUGACUCUUAAAGUGGCAUGUUCUGUUUUAGCUGCUUGAUGAGAACUAAACCUUAGACUAAAAUUCAUGAGGGGGUCUCUUGAGCUUCCCAUCUGUUAUUUUUCAAGUUCACUUUUUCCUCUAAAGAACCUUUUUUUAAUCUCUCAUCUACUUAUCGUAUCAGCUAUUUUAUCAUGGUAUUUGGCCUUAUUGUUGUUUCAAGCUAUGUUCUUGCCUUGUAGGUCUGCUUCUGAAUGCAUGUUUCUAAACAUUCAUGCAUCAUAUGCAUCUUUUAUUUCCCUCGCAGGCUGUCUAAUUGACAGUCUAAAUACUCAGUAGUUACAUUUUUCUGUUCUUUGGGGUGAAUUAGUAUUUUUCAUGUUUUUGUUGUUGUCUGUUCCUUUAUGAUCUGGUUCUGGUACUGCAUCAAGAGGAUUGGAGUUCAUGUCAUAUUUUUUUUCUUGCUUACUCACAAAAUGUCUUGCCAUUCCAGGACAAGACCAAACUUUAUAUCUUUCUUGAGCUUGCAACUGGAGGUUCACUUUUAAAUCUCUAUCAAAAGCAUAAACUGUCAGACUCCCAAGCCUCUAAAUACACAAGGCAGAUUGUGAAAGGUUUGAAAUAUCUACAUGAGCAUAAUGUAGUUCACAGGUGAUUCAAAUGAUCUUACUACUACAUUUUUUGGUUAUAUUGCUUGUGCUUUAUUUGUUUAUACCUUGCUCUAUCCACAUGCCAUUACUGCUUGAAACAUGUGCUGAUUAUUUCAAUUAUCUGCCUUUGCUACCAAGAGAAUUGCAUAUGCAUAAACUAAAUGGCCUUCUUACUCAGGGAAAAUUGGUUCACUCUGUUGAGAAAGUUCUUCAGUUUUUAUUUUAUUAUUUUAUUUUUGUUUUUAUCUUCUUGAAACCUUCAAUAUUAUUUGGAUUGCACCGGUUAGCCCACUUACUGAAUUCUGUGAUUACAGACUGCUUGGUGAAGUGAAAAGUUCAACACUCCCACCUGCCCUCUUCCAGGAAAAGAAAAAUGGAAAAACCAAAAACAAAAAGAAGAGUCAGGAGCAUGGAUGUUAAACAUGGUCAUUGUCUGAUAACUAAGAUGAAACUACCCAAAGCCUUGGUAUAGAUAUAGAUAUCCCCAAUUUUCUGUGUACCUUACAUUGUGUCUUCACAUGUGGGGUUUACGUUGUUUGUUUUGAGAUUAUUGUGUAUCUUAAUAGUUUAAUCCUUUCAUAAAACUCCAUGUAAGUUAUGAUAUGAGGUGUGGUCCAUUUCCAUUUGACUUCAUGCAAUUAGCUGUAUUAUAUAUCACUUUGUAUAUUCUGCCUCAGUGCUUGAUCUUGCUAUAAUAUAAUUUUUUUUUUCUUUUUUCUUUUUUCUUUUUUCUUUUUUAAUUUGUAAGUCAAAAUUUUCUUUAAAAGCAACAUAUAAGAAAACAUACAUAAUAAUGAUUCAACUUUCUCUCUCUCUCUGAUUCACUUGAUUUGAGUGUCUCUUCAGGAGAGUUUUUGGGUCAUGAUUACAGAAUGGAAACCUGAAAAUUGAAAGAAUCCUAAUGCAAAAGCCAUUUACAAUGCUACAAACUCUCUCUCUCUCUCUCUCUCUCUCUCUCUCUCUCAUAUGAUUGAGAUGGUAAAUGGCAUAACUAGCAAGGCUAGAACCAUGGAGGGAUGUGAUCAUGGGACUCAGAAGUACCACCAGUAGGUCAUAAGGGAAAUUAGGCUUAUUGAUUUGGUCAUGCGCAACAAAGGCCAAUAAUUGCAUUGUUAAGAAGAGAUGGGUGGACAUUGGGAAUCAAUUGAGGUUACUUCAGGAAAUUAGACAUUUGGAAUGACAGUUGAAGCCACAAUGUUGUACAUUUACUUACACAUAAAUUGUUUCUGUUGUAAGACUAAUAGGUUCUGUAUCAUCUUCGAGGGAUAUCUGGUGGAUGUAAAUGGAACCGUGAAACUUGUGGAUUUUGGAUUGGCAAAGGUUAGUUUCUAUUUACUAGAGUUAUCUCUCUAUUGUUUCAAAAUGCUAGACUUCUAAAUAUUAUAUUUCUGGUUGUAUAUCUUUUCAGUUUUGCAAAUUGAACGACAUAAAAUCUUUUAAAGGGACUGCAUUCCGGAUGGCCCCUGAGGUAUCUUCCUCUCUUUCAUUCCUUCAUUUCUUAAACAAAUCAUGUUUGGUUUUGAAUUGAGAACUAUAUUUUAUGGAACUGUACUCGGUAGAAUCUUCUUAUACCAUGAAGAAGCAUGCAUGCUUAAAAUGUAGGCUCUGAAACCCUUGCCUUUUAGCAGGUGGUUGCGUCAGAAAAGGAAAUGACAUGAUUGAAUUGGGUUAUUGAAUAGCUCGAUUAUUGGACUGGAGCUAUCCCAACUAACAAAUUGAUAAGUUGUUGUUUUCCCAAAUUGUUGCUCUUUCUAAGAUUUUAUCCUACAAGGCAUUUAGUCCAUGCCAUGUCUUAUUACCAAUGCAUUUUGAUUUAGCAUCAGUCAUUAGUAUCUUUCUGUACAACUGCCAAUAUACUGACACUAAUAGAUGCAUGGAACCACUGAGUGCUCAAUUGAUGAGGAUUUUCCAUUCAAAUCUGAGAAUUUAGGCAUCAAGCUACCUUUUUCCAUUAACUCUCUCUACUUCUAAGGGUGGUUAAACCCUUGCUUCAUUAUUUGGUAACAAAAAUUAGUACAUCACCAGAAGAUUGGUAGGGGGAUCCUACAGUUAGGGAUGCAAUGAAGUGGAUUGGAACUGAGUGACCCAUCCUUCUUCCUGAGAACCCGAUUUAGUACAUUUCAUUCCAAAGCUGCUCCAUUGGGACAAAUUCUUUAACUUUCUGGACUGCAGGUUUGUGAAGAGAUGUUAAAGCCCUGGCUAAAAAUGAAAUAGUGGUGUCUGUUUUAUAAAACAAAAUAUGGUCACCAGCAAUCUACAUUUUAGCUCGAUAUUGCCCUUCUGAAAUAAAUUUCUGACUCUUUGCCCCUGAGAAUGAAUUGUGGUUUUGCAACCGCCCAGAUCUGUGGAUUUGAAUCAGUUUUUACUUUGAAAUCAUGCUCAAACACCCUCGUCUUACAACUGUGUUUAUUUAUAAAUCCUGCACCAGUUGGGAGUAGAACUCUUAAAUCCCUGUUCUAAAUCAUGUCCAAACAUGUUAUAAGUCUUUGUGUUAACCAUAUUUGAAAGUUUUUUACCAAGGACAUUUGUCAUUAUAUUAUGUGGCACUGGCACAGGAUGCUCCAAGCAUUAUGGUUUCUUAUAAGUGUUGAUUUUACAAAUAAUUUGUGCCACUGUAGGUCAUUAAUGAGGACAAACAAGAGAACGAUGGUUAUGGGUUUGCAGCUGAUAUAUGGAGCCUCGGGUGCACUGUAUUAGAGAUGUUAACUCGGCAACAUCCAUAUCCCAAAUUGGAGCCGGUAUGUAUAAGCUUCAAUGGAAACAAAUAAUCAUUCCAACAUUACAUUCUUAUAAUGCAUCCAAACAUAAGAAUUAGAAUCACCAAAUCUAUUUCUAUUCAAGAAGAUAUAGGAAUGAAAACAAAGUUUUUAUUCUUAUUCCUCAUUCCCAUAUACUAAACAUGGCUUGAGGGCAAUGGACUGAUUUCAAUGGUAUGUAUACUUGUCUUAAAUAUUUGGUAUUAGCAACUUGCCCUAUGGUAAAAGUGUGGUUUGGGUUGAGAAUGGUAUAAAGAUGAGCCUAGGGUUGUCAAUGGAGCCUGCAAAUAGCUGUUGGAUUUGAAGGUUGAAUAGGAAUUUGCACAAGAAGGUUUUGGGAGGUGAGAAAAUGAAAAUGGAUGUUGGUGGAACUGAGAGUAUGAAUGUCUUAUGUACUAAAUUUAGUAACACUCUUUCAAAAUAUACAAUAUAAAAUUAAGAAAAUAAAAUUUAAUUCAAUAUCUGUAAAACAGUAUUGGGAGACCGCAUAUUGGACGUUGUUUUCAUAAUCUUGUGUUUGUCCUAAGUCUUAACUCUUAAUAGGAAAAAACAUGUUUUUGAUGGAGUAUAUUCCCUGCAAUGAGGUGUACUUGUCCUUAACCUCCUUUCAAAGUCGAAUCAAAAAACAAUGUUAGGAAUCAAAAUCGAAUCAAAAAGAGGGAAGUGAGGGUUUAGAUAUUAUCUUGUCCGAGACCAUCCAACCUUGAUUAUAUAUAAAAUUAAUUUUAAAAAAUAAUUUUAUUGAUUUUUUUCUAUUAUCAUUUUUAACACAUAAAAUAUUAAAAAAUUAUUUUUUAAAUAAAAUAAGUUAUAGAAACUAUAAUAUUUUACUUAUUUAUAAAAUAUAUUUAUUUUUAAUAUAAUUUAAAAAUUCUAAAAUUAUUAAUUUUUUUUAAAUAAAGAAAAUACAAUGAGUAUGGUGGCCAUGAAAAUUACUUUGUAUAAAUGUGAUAGGAUUGAUAUGGGUAACUCAUCGUCAACCCAACUAAUCAUCAUCCUUACAAUUAAAAUUUUACGUAAAGGAAGGGUACAAUUGGUAUUUUUAUUUAUUAUAAAGAAAGUAACUGAAAUGGCUUUUGAAACCCGAUGAUAUCCAAUUGGAGAUAAAUUCCCAACUUCAAAAUUAGUAAAGUUAAUUUUUUUUUCUUGAACAAAUUUAGGAACUUUAUGAAUGUCACGUUGUUGCAAGUGUUUAUACUAUAAAAAUAUUCUUAAAUAAUUUUAUUGGUAAACAUUUUUAGGAAUAAUUAAAUUAUUUUUAAUAAAAAAUCUUGAAGUAAUAACAUAAUACAUCGAAUAUUAAUUUUUUAAAUAUAUUUAUGUAAAUUAUAUAUACUUAUUUCCAUCCAUUGAAGAAAUUCCAAUGUUAGUGGAUGGGUGAAAAAAAUAUGAACAAUAAAAAAAGAAAAAAAGUUGAUAAUAACAAUUGCAUAACUAAAAAAGUAUUUGCAAUUUAGAAUCAAUCAUUUGAUGGUUAAUUUUUGAAAGAUAUUAGAAAGAUUAGUUUUGAAGAUUAUUGUGACUUAUUUUUCAAUUAUAUUUGUAGGUAUUCUACUUCGUAGUUUCCUUUUAAAAAAUGAUAAUAAUAAUAAUAAUUUUCUCUUAUUUUAAUAUCUUUGGUACAAAACAAUAAUUUGAUUUUUCUCUUAUUUUUAUUUCUUUGAUACAAAACAAUAUUAUAGUUUAUAUUUGGACCACCAAAAUGCAAUAUGAUUUAGAAAAAGGUAAAAAGUUUUUUUUAUAAAUUAAAUUUGUAUUAUAUUUAUCAACAUUGUAAGUUCUAAAUUUGUUAUACUUCAAAUAUUUUUCUUAAAAAUGUAAUAUAUUGAUCAUAAGAAAUCAAGAUUAAAAAACCUGAGAAAUCAAAUAUUUUUCUUAAAUAUUUGUUGGUGACAAAAAAAAACAAAAGAAAUUAAAAAUUAAUAAUAGAAAAAUGUGUUUUGUAUUAUUUUAUAUGAAAUAACUACCAUUCAUUAGCGCUAGUUCCAUUAAAUGCUUUAUUAUCACACACUUAAAAGAUGUUUAAAAUCACAUUAUUAAAAUAUAUAUUUUAUAUUAAUUUGAGACUAAAAUCCAUCUUUAUUUCAAGUACCUACAAACUAGGAUCCAUUUUUUUAAAAAUAAUUUUUAUUUAUUUAUUUUUAUUUUCUCUUUUAAAGAAAAUGAUGUAAACAAAACUAAAUGUUCAUAUCUUGAGGUUAUGUUUGAUAUGUGGGAAUGAAGAGUGAUAAUAGAUAUCUUAUUCAUUUUCACAUUUAUUUUUAUAUUUAGAUAACUCAAGUUACUUAUAAAUGAUAUUUCAAUUUAUCCUAUGAGGUAUUUUGAUUCUAUAAAACAAUUUGUUUUUAAAGAUAUUUUUCAAAAAUUUAAAAAUCUAAACCUUUUACUGAUAAGUUGUUUUUAAAAAUAUUUUAUUUUGAUUUUAUAAGAAACGAAUUGUAAAUUCAAGUUAUAUAAUAUAAACUAAAUUUAAUUUGUGCCUUAUUAAAAAUAAAAAAUAAUUUGUAUUUAUAAAUAAAUUAAAAAUAAAUAUUUUAAAUAAAAUAUUAAUAGUAAUAUUAUAAUAAAAUCAUAAAUUAUAUUUUUUUAAAUAUUAUAAAAAUAUGAUAACGUAAUUGAUUUAUUUUGUUAAUAAUAAUAAUAAUAAUAAUAAUAAUAAUAAUUCAAAAUUAAUAAUUGCUAAUACUAAUUUAUUUUAAAUGAAUUUAAAAUUAAAUAAAGUUUAAUUUUUUAAGUAUAAAUGAGUCAAAUUUUUCAUUACAUACAUACAUUUAAUACUCAAACAUGGUAUUCUUAAAUUUUUUAUUUAAUUUAUAAUUAAUAAAUCAGUUUUUUGAAUUUCAAAUUAUUAUUAAAAAUUAAAAUAUUUAUUAAAAAAUUCAAAAUAUUAAUUAUUUCCAUUAUUUUUUAUAGUCCUUAUAUAUAUUUUUUGAGUUUCAAAUUUUCUUUUAAAAAAUUAUUAAACUUAUUAAUAAAUUUAAUACAAAGUCUUCCUUAAUUUGAAUUUCUAGUAAAAAAAAAUGGUUUUCUAUUUUGCUUUGUUUAUAGAGCACGAUAAUCAAAUAGUGGUACAAUUUUUUUUAAAAACAAAUUUGUUUGUAAAUCAUAUGUGCAAAUAGUUUUUAUUAUUUAGCAAAAACGUUAUAGACCCUCUAUUUUGGCCCUAACACACACACACACACACACACACACACACACAUAUAUAUCUAUAUAUAUAUAUAUAUAUAUAUAUAUAUAUAUAUAUAUAUAUAUAUAUAUAUAUAUAUAUAUAUAUAUAUAUAUAUAUAUAUUUAUUAUUUUUUCUCUCACCCCACUAUUUUUUUAGCAUGUAUUUAGAUCCAUUUUUGCUCAGUUUUUCAUCAUCCCGGUCCAUGUUUCACAUUAUUGAUUUUUGAGCUAUAUUUUGGAGACCAUUUAAAGGGUUAUUUCAGGUCCUAGCAUGAUUACCGGACGCCCAUUAGGAUUAGUUUUUUUUUAGGGUUUGCUUUUGGAAUUUUAGAGCCUUUGAGUAGUUGGGUUGGGAUGAGGACACGUGUACUCAUUCUAGCCUUCCUUUGUCUCUUUUAAAGGCCUUUUUGGCCUUUAGUGAAGGGUUUUUUUUUUUUUUUUUUUCAGUCUUUUGGCUCAAGUUUUCUUGGAGGGGGUUUGCUAGCCACCUUUUAAGGGUAGUGGAGAUGCUCUCUAUAGCUAAGGAAAAGGGACAGAGAAUUGAUUUUUAUAGCGAGAAUGAGACAGAGAGCAAGGGGUUUAGGGGAGUUUUUGGGAAAAGUAGCAGACGAAGAAAAGUUGUGGGCGAGGCAUUGUGGUGGUGAGUGGGCUGCAGAGUAAGACGUUGCAGGGGGGGCACCAUCUAUUAUGAUGGGGAGUCUUAGAAAAGAGGGACAUGAGCUACAGGCCAUCUCGGGGAGGCAUUAUUCUUCUUUAUUCUUGGUGAGAGUAAGAGAGGAGACGUUAGAGAGAGUAAAAUAUCUUUCUUUUGGUGGUUUUUGGUUUUGAGUAGAGGAGAAGAAUAGCAUUAAGAGAAGGGAAGCAGAUGGGACCCUUCCAGGAAUGGAUAUUUUGAGUUCCCUAUUCAUCUUCAUUUAUCAUAAUUGUUAGGGUGAAUUCACAAUAUUUCAACACACACCAGGAUUUUUCUACCAUUUCUUUGUGUAAAAUUAAAUAGGUAAUAGCAACUAGCAGUAAUAAAUAAAUAAACUUAUGCAAUAGAAAAAUAAACCAGACACCAAAAUUUUUAUAUGGAAAACCCCUCAAUGCGAAGGAAAAAACCAUGGGACCUAGUCUAGUUCAAACUCCACUAUCAACAAUAUUGGGUUACACCUGUCUUCUCUAGAAUAAUCUCUAGAGGCUACUAAAUACAUCAAGAGCAUAUAUAGCCUUGGAUUAUAUAAUCUUUCUUGGUAAAAAAACAAGGAAAAAUGGAGAAAGAACACCCAAAAACACGUUGUUACUGUUCAUGGGCAAUAACACCAGUUCCCGAGCUCAAAAUCUGAUCUCCACCUUUUAGAUUGUAGCUACUCGAGUUUUGAACCUCUCCUCCAAAUUUCAACUCGAUCGAACCAUAGAUGAAGCGGGAUUGGCUCUUUGAUGAAAUCUGGGCAAUGAGAUGUGUUUUUUUUUUUCUUUCUCUCUUCUCUCUGUUUUUUCCUUUUUUUUUUUCUUUUUUUUUUUUAAUCUCUUCUAUUUUUGUUUAUUUAUUUAUUUUAUUGUAACUGACUUAGGCCCCAAGAAUAUGGGGCUCACUCCCUCACAUACGAAGGAGCCUAACAAAUCUCCAAUUGGAUUCUAAUUGAUUAAUUAACCUAAUAGGGUGUACUAAUUAAUCAAUUAGCUUAAUCCAAAGACCUUGUUCACUUACCCCUGUGCAACCUUAUGUUAUUACCAAAAUGCCCUUAUACAUAAAGUGAACCUAAAACCAAUCUGAUCCUCAUAACCUAUGCCAACAAGGUAUAUGAGCUCAAACCGGGGACCAUAACUCCAGUAUUUUAUGUAAAUAACAACAAGACACUGUAUACUCGGGUCCGUGACUUGUUAUCCAUUGUGUUCAGUCUCCCUAUGAACUAAUGUCCAUAGUUUAACAAGGUAAAAAUUGUCAAUAUUUUAAGACUACCUUUAUUAUCAUUGAGUUAUAGAUCCUUCUAUUAUGUGUUCAACUAAAAUGUCUUAGCUCUCAAAGAGCCUAUGUCAAGUUCCACUUAAGGAACUACUAUAACCAUAGUUUCCAUUAACACACCUCCUUAGAACCACCCAAGGGGACACAUUGUCUCCAUCCUAUGAGAUAUCAUGGUGCUUCUAUUAAGAAUACCUAUUGCUACCAACUUCCAUCAAUAGUGACCCAAUCCAUAAGGAAUAUAUGAUCAACUUACAAUCUCACCCAUAGGUCAAAACCAUUGCUAACUUUGGCUUAAGCUUCAAUAUUCUCUUAAGGUUGAGAGACAACACAAUGAAGUAGCUUGGUAAGGUCACGAAUACUUGAUAGCCUUAAGUCAUGACUCACCAUAAGUCCUGUCCAAUAUGUAACCAUACACACCAGUGUACUCACCAUGGAAAACUCAUCUCGAUAUUCAAGACCAGUUAUCCCUCCAAUUAGAAGGUGGUGGUGCACUAUAGCCUCUAAUAAGUUGUCUAAACCCACGAACCGACUUUGAACAAGUCAUCUAUUUGCAAGGAACCCAUGACUUGGAUUUUCCCUAUAACUCAUAAAUGCACUCAUGUCACACACACUACAAAAGAUGUAAACAAGAAUACUCAUAAAGUGUAAUGCAUGGAAUACAGAUAGAUAAAAGUGAAAUUGGAAUACCAUUAAAUAAAUAAGGAAUUCCAAAUCUAUUACAUCAUGUCAUGCUUUUAAGAGUUCCAUCCUAACACAACCUUCACAUUUCAUGGACAGUACAAAGCGAGAAUUUGUUUAGGUUGAUAACAAUUUUCAGAGUGCCUUGUCUUUGAGUUUAAAACCUUUUCCUAUAUUCAAUGAUUCUAAUGUGAGCUCUAGCUUCCUUGGUCUUUAGUAGUCAGGCAUGCAAUUUUCAUUGGAAAGUAAGUGGAAGAGGUGUCUUGCAAAGUCUAGUAAUGUGUACAUUCAAGCUGAGAAGGCAUGAGGUACUCCCUCGAUGACUAUUAGGUUGUAAAAAAACAGUACUUGGCUUGUCCAUGUGAUUUGCACUCUUGAGAGAUAUGUGAUUGGAUUAUCCUAGAGCCCAAUGGAAGAAAAUGGGAAAUCAUGUUGCCAUGAGCAACUGCAGAGGGAAUGAAAGUGAGAGAUUAUGCUUAGUGUGGUCCUGAUCCCACAUCUAUUGUAGUUAUGACAGAGGAUGGCAUUACAACUACUGGUCAUAUUAUUAUAGGAGCAUUGCCAAUCGUUGUACAUAUGACUAGGAAAUCCAACCUGUGACACAAUAAGUUCAAUUGUGGUUGGAAAUUUAUAUAGAAUAGUAGCUAUAUUUCUCAUCCAAGGAGUUGUUCCAUUUGCGAUGAUGAUAAAUGGGAAGUUAUAUGUGAGUGCCCUCUGCCUAUAGAAAAUGAUAAUAAGAAAGACUAUCCAUGUUCUUUUUUGUCCAUUCCAUCAAAUUUGACAUGUGAUUUCAAACACAAAAAGAUCUUCCAAUAAAUGGAAUGAAGAAUAGUUACCUGCUAUGCUCAUUUGGGAAAAAGACUCCAAAUUUGGAAUUAGAAAUGAAAAGUUGCAAUGGUUUCUUGGUGCUGUGAAAGCACAUCCUAAUGAGUUGAAGCUUGUGGGGGUCAUUACCAUUUGGGGUCUGCCAUUACUAAGGUGGGCAUUUUCAGGGAUGUUGUAGUUCUAUUUGGGUUAUGUCCACAUGGUUGAAUUUGAAAGCCAUAGAGUUGGGGCUUGAUCUUCUUGGAUCACAAGCUCCUGAAAGAGAUUCAAACCUUUUUUUUCCAAAAUCAAGAAAAUUUAUUAAGAAGCAGUUUGGAAUGUACUUUUUUCCUUCUUUGCCAAAUGGCAGUAAACUAUUUAAUAAAAAUUAAUUAAAUUUUUAUAUUAAAAACUUUAGUUAAAAUUAAUUAGAAAAUGUGGUAAGAUAAAAUGAAGUAAAACGAACUUUAAAGGAUCUUUUAGACAUUUUAUUUAAUUCUUUUAACUAUGACAUCAUUAAUCAACCAUGAAAAUCUUUCAAGAUUUGAUAACAUCAUUCAAGCGAUUGUUAUGCUCCAUUAUGGUCAGGUGGUGUUAAUGUAAUUUAAAAAAUUUAAGGGUGGUUAAGUGCAAUUGUCAAAUAGCUGAGGGGGUUAUGCUAGGGUACCGAAAAUCACUUUUCAGUACCAUACCCACUUUUUCUGGCUAAUAGGAUUAAGACAUAUGGCAUGCAAAAUAAAAAAAUUUAAAGAAAACCAAUUCUUCAGGUUACCCAAUCGGUUGCCAUGGGAAUUAAUCCCAUGCAACACACAUUUUUAUACUUAUUACAAUAACCAAUUAUAUUUCAAUGACCAAUUAUAAAAUCAUGUUUAAUGUAAUUAUUUCGUUUGGAGAAUUUCUUUUAUGAAACAGAAAAAUAAAGAAAAUUUUGGAAAAAGAUAAACAAUAUAAUUUGGUAAUAUAAUUUAUAAAUUAAGGAAAAGUAAAUUUAAUUUAUUUUAACAUUAAAUAAUUUGUUGAUAAAAUUUGAUGAAUAUUUGAAGUGUGAAAAACAAUAUAAUUGGUUUAUGAAGUGAAAAAAUGGGAAGAAAUAGAAAGAAAUUUUAUAAAAUAUAUAUUAACUUAAAAUUUAAUUAGUUGUGUACUAAUUAUUAAUUGAGAAUAUAUGACUAAAUUAUUUCUUAGCGUUUAAAUUGAAUUACACAACAAAAUUGGUUGAAAUAUUGAAAAUAUGAAAAAGGUAUAAUUACUAACAAUAUGGAAAUCCAAACCCCUCGCCGAUUUUUUUUGUAAAUUUCCAUUCUGAAUUUUUCAAGGAUCCAUUUAACACCCUCAAAAUGGACUGAACUUAUCUAAACAAAAUCUAAGUCAUAUGAAAUCCCAAUUAAAAAAAAUAAAUCAAAGAAAUGGAUAGUAGGGAGGGCACGAAGAAUGUGAGAUUCCCUCACUAAUUUGUUAGUAUUUACUGAUUUUGAUUUUUUCGAACAUCAUUUAAAUACCUACUAAGUGUAAUGAAAAAAAUUCAAAAAAUGUAUAAGCCAUACGAAGUCCCCAAACAUAUUUAACAUAUCAUAUAAUCGGAGAAUAGAGAGGGCUCCUCAUAUUCCUCAUACCCUUGCUAAUUUUUUAGUAUUUUUGGAUUUUUAUUCUUUCGAAAAUCAUUAGACUACUUCCUAAGUGUAAUGAACCUAUUUAAACAACAUCCAAGCCAUAUGAAGUCGCCAAAAUUUUUAAAAAGUUCAAAGAAGUGAAGAAAUGGGAGGGUACGAAGAAUGUAAGGACUCAUCACAUUCUUCGUACCCUUCCUAAUUUUUUAGCAUUUUUGGAUUUGGAUUUUUUCGAAAAUCAUUUGAAAACCUCCUAAGUGUAAUGAACCUAUUUAAAUUAUAUCUAAACCAUAUGAAGUACCCAAAAUUUUUAAAAAAUUCAAAGAAGUGUAGAAAUGGAAGAGUACGAAGAAUGUGAGGAUUCCUCACAUUCUUCGUGCCCUUCCUAAUUUUUCAGUAUUUAUGGAUUUGGAUUUUUUUGGAGAUCAUUUCACCAUCUUCUAAGUGUAAUGAACCUAUUUAAACAAUAUCCAAGCCAUAUGAAGUCCCUAAAAUUUUUAAAAAGUUCAAAGAAGUGAAUAACUGAGAGAGUACGAAGAAUGUGAGGAUUCCUCACAUUCUUCGUACCCUUCCUAAUUUUUUAGUAUUUUUUUAUUUGGAUUUUUUCGAAGAUUAUUUGACCACCUUCUAAGUGUAAUGAACCUAUGUAAAUGAUAUCCAAGCCAUAUAAAGUCCCUAAAAUUUUUAAAAAGUUCAAAGAAGGGAAAAAAUGGGUGGGUACGAAGAAUGUGAGGAAUCCUCACACUCUUCCCACCCUUCCUAAUUUUUUAGUAUUUUUGGACUUGGAUUUUUUUAGAGAUCAUUUGACCACCUCGUAAGUGUAAUGAACCUAUUUAAACAAUAUUCGAGACAUAUGAAGCCCAAAAAAUUUUAAAACGUUCAAAGAAGUGAAGAAAUGGGAGGAUACGAAGAAUGUGAGGAUUCCUCACAUUCUUCGUACCCUUCCUAAUUUUUUAGUAUUUUUGGAUUUAGAUUUUUUCGAAGAUCAUUUGACAACUUCAUAAGUGUAAUGAACCUAUUUAAACAAUAUCCAAGCCAUAUGAUGUCCCCAAAAUUUUAAAAAAGUUCAAAGAAGUGAAGAAAUGGGAGGGUACGAAGAAUGUGAGGAAUCCUCACAUUCUUCGUACACUUCCUAAGUUUUUAGUAUUUUGGGAUUUGAGUUUUUUUGGAGAUCAUUUGACCACCUCCUAAGUGUAAUGAACCUAUUUAAACAAUAUCCAAGCCAUAUGAAGUCCCUAAUUUUUUUAAAAGUUCAAAAAAGUGAAGAAAUGAGAGAGUACGAAGAAUGUGAGGAUUCCUCACAUUCUUUGUACCCUUCCUAAUUUUUAGUAUUUUGGGAUUUGGAUUUUUUCGGAGAUUAUUUGACCACCUCCUAAGUGUAAUGAACCUAUUUAAACAAUAUCCAAGCCAUAUGAAGUCCCCAAAAUUUUUAAAAAGUUCAAAGAAGUGAAGAAAUGGGUGGGUACGAAGAAUGUGAGGAUUCCUGACAUUCUUCGUACCCUUCCCAUUUUUUUAGUAUUUUUUUGGAUAUCAGUUGACCACCUCCUAAGUGUAAUGAACCUAGUUAGACAACAUCCAAGCCAUAUGAUGUCCCUAAUUUUUUUAAAAAAAGUUUAAAGAAGUUAAGAAAUGGGAGGGUACAAAGAAUGUGAGGAUUCCUCACAUUCUUCGUUUCCUAAUUUUUUUAGUAUUUUUUUAUUUGGAUUUUUUUGAAGAUCAUUUAACCACCUCCUAAGUUUAAUGAACCUAUUUAAACAAUAUCCAAGUCAUAUGAGGUCCUCAAAAUUUUUAUAAAGUUCAAAGAAGUGAAGAAAUGGGUGGGUAUGAAGAAUGUGAGGAAUCCUCACAUUCUUCGUACCCUUCCUAACUUUUUGAAAUUUUUGGAUUUGGUUUUUUUUCAGAGAUCAUUUGACCACCUUCUAUGUGUAAUGAACCUAUUUAAAAAAUAUCCAAGCCAUAUGAAGUCCCUAAAGUUUUUAAAAAGUUCAAAGAAGUGAAGAAAUUGGAGGGUACGAAGAAUGUGAGGAUUCUUCACAUUCUUCGUACUUUUCCUAAUUUUUUAGUAUUUUUGGAUUUGGAUUUGUGGAUCCUACAUAUAAUCUUUACUUGGGACAUUUUAUAUUUCUCGUAGUGUAUAAUUGGAUUUUCAAAAUAGGGUAGCUAGGAAAAAUAAUAAAAGAAAAAUAAAACAGUUAAAAUCAUUAGAAAUAAUUUGGGCCCAUUGAAAAGAAAUGUGACUUAUGAAAAGCUUGAUAUGAAUGUUUAAUAUCGUCUACAACUUAUCCAAUGGAUAAAUUUGCAAAGAAGGUCCAACCACUUGCCCAUAUAGUCGUCUUCAUCAUCAUGGGCAUGAACAACAUUAUCAUCAAUAUUCUUUGUUAUUGACCUGAUUGGAGUAUGGUCGCAACCUGUACUUAAUGUUUUGUCACUACCUCUCUAUGCAUUAACAUUAGCAUCUUCAAGUACUGAUUUGUUGUCACAGCUUCUCUGCACAUUCAUGUACUGUGUCAUUGUUGCAUGAUUGUGCUUGACUCCUACAUAUUCAAGUAAUAUAUUUUAUUACGACUAUCUAUAUGAACAAAGUAAAUUAUUUAAAGUUUUUUUAGUUAAUUUAUCAUGUUAUUUUCAAGAAUAAAUGGAAAUUACUUUUAGCAUCUCAAUCACAAGUUUGGUCAUUAGGAAAAAAUUUAACUCUUCGAUAAAAUGCCAUGGUCUAAUUCAAUGCAGAAGACAAAUUUCCCCAUCUACAAAUGAGGUUUAUUACAUAAACAAUGGCCUACCUCAAGGCUCUAACAAAAGAGUAAAAUGUCUAAUCAAACCACGAUGUCAAAAUAGGGAUUGUCGAAUCGAAUAAUAUACAUUUUCAAUUAUAAGAUUCAUAUCAUUUACCCCAAAAAAAAAUUAUUCCCUAAACAUAUAUAACCUGAUAGAGUUCGCCACCAGGUCAGUCUAGUGUCAUUGCAUUCACCAUCAUACUUGAUCUUUUUGCUAGAGGAUUAUCCCUACCUUGUGUACUACUAUAUUAGAACUUCCAUGUUUGGAGGACAACAAUUCAACCUUAAGGCCUUCAAUUCCAGCUUUAUUAUCUAUGCACCUACUCAUAAUAGAUAUAACUGCUACCACCCAACUAAAUGUUGGUUUAUAUGGAUGUUGGAUUAGCAAAAUGAUGUCUCUUUAAAGUAAGAGCAAUUAGAUGUAGCAAAAGACCAAAUUGAGUAUCAAUACAACAAUCUAUGUUGGAAGCCAAUCACAUUACAACUUCUAAAAGUAAAGAUUAAUCAGUCAACUGGUUACAUGUAACCGGUUGACUAAUUAUCUCUAUCGGUAGAUACUACCAAAGUGUUGAUGCAACACCCAAAUGGGCAAUGGCUACCGGUAGCAAAAAAAAUGGAACCGGUUUAUUUGAUGAUCGACCGAAAUUGGACUUUCCUUUUGUUUUCAUUUAGGUAUGUGAUCUGGCGAUCAUACAGUUAUGCAUAAAUAUUAAAUACUAAAAAGCAAGAACUUGAACAAUAUCACCUUUCAUCAGGAUAGAAGGUUAAUUACCUUAUGAAAACUUAUCAAAAGAGAAUAGUUUAGCAUAACAAUUCAAAAUUUAUGACAACAAUCAUCUCUUCCUACCAAGAUCACCUAGCUAUUGUACAUGGCCAUUAUUUUAGACCUCCUUGUCCUACAUGCAUCAUCCAUUGCUGUUGUGACUAUACUUCCACCAACAUUUAGUUCUUGUACCAUUAAUAUAACACAUUUACACAUUCUUCUUUAUUGUGCAAGAAAAUUACAUGAAAGCCACAACCUUAGUCCAUAGUCACUAGUAGACCAAAAAUUUUAUAUUUAAAAUAAGCUUGUUUUCAGAUUGUAGCCAUCAUUCAGGAUAUGCAAGCAUAAAUAAAAUGGAGUAAAGAACUACUUUCACCACUUCAAUCACAAGUUUCGCCAUUAGUAAAAAAAUUUUAACUUUUCUAGAAAAUGGGAUGAUCCAAUUCAAUCCUAUUGCCACUUUACCCUAUUGAAACCUGAAAAAAAAUGCACAUCAAGGAAGUUAACGCUUCUAGAAAAGAAGAAUAUCAUAUUACUAUACUUUGUGCAUUUUGAGGUAGCUGGAUCAAAAAACUUGUAUAGGUCAAAAGAAACAAGUGUAUCAUUAAAAAAGAUUGUCAUUCUAAUUCCAAGUUGAUAAUCCUAUUGAGUACAACUGGAAGUUUAGUAUCCUUUAAAACCUACUAGACCAUUUAUUGGGUCUUACAAUUAGCCUACAUAACAGGCCAUACUAGAGUUCCAAUAUUUAAAUGGUCUUCUCUACAACCUAGCUCAUAACUUUUAUUUACUAGGUUUGAAAAGUUUCUUGAUUGUGGACUACCAAAGAAAGAAAAAUCCCUCAAUUGUGAGCAUCACAGGAUCCUCCAAUUGAAUUUGCAGAUAGGGAAAGAUUUAUGGCUAAACCCAGAUGUUGCUUGACGAAGUAGGAGGAUGUCUUAACAACAAUGGUAAGAGCAUGGUGGAGUAUGAUUGAUGCCUAGACUAGGUUUCUUUGGGAAGACCCUUCUUAGUAGCCUCAACUGCUGCUUUCUUUGCUUUGAUAUCAGCAACAAUGGCAUCGAUCUCAGCUUCUGCAAACUUAAAGAGUAGCAUUCUUCUGUAGAAGCCAGAUUCCAUUAGAGUGUCAUUGCAUUCUAUUUCAUUUCUCAACAAAUGACCAUAAAGAACUUCUCAACUAGUCAACUAAUCUAGCAAAUGCACAUCAAGUUCAAUAUAGGGUAACAAUUACAUCUUAUUAUACUUUGCAGCUGGCAACACUAUUCAUCAUGUAACCAGUUUCUUGUUUGCUAGGCAGCAUAGCAUUUAGGAGGGAAUGAGGGUUCCAAUCUUGAGUAGGGAAUUUGGACUUUGUAAUUAUAUCAUACUAAAUAGAUGAUUCCUAAAAAUCAAAACUCAAACUUCUCUAUAACUGAUGCUUUAAGUAAAGCAGUGAGAAACAAUGUCAUUGUUAGUAUGGUAAGUAAAUAUUGUUAUGAAAUGCAGUAAGAAAUUUCAACUUAGAGUAAAUUGAUAAAUAAAAUGUAGUAAUUUUUUGUUGUAUUACUAUUACCUAAUACAAGAAUCAAAUUCUUUGGUAGUUAUUAUGAAAAGUCAAAUUAGAAAGCCAAAGAAGCACUAGGCAGGUAAUGGAAGUUGCGAUUAUAAUAAGUGAAUCAUCAGAACUACCCAGUCCUUGCUUCAGUGCAUCUGGUCCAAAAACAGAGGCUAGUAUCAUGCUAUUCUUAUAUGUAGCUUUCAUUUUUCAUUUUUGAGUUAUAGACUUCUUUAAGGGAAGAGCUCUAAGUUAAAAUUUUAGCAUAGGACCUUAAUUGCCUGUUAUUAGGGCUUUAACUAGAGUGGAUCAUGUAGGAUGCAAUUGAGAUUGUAGGAAAAUUUAUAAAAGAGAUUAUAGGAAUAUUUUGAUUUUUUUCUUUUUUUUUCUUCAUAUUGUUAUAAGCUUAUAAAUAUCCUUGUAACCUCAUUCAAAACGUCAUGAACAUGAGAUUAAUUCUCUUGCCUUCAAUAUGGUAUCAAAGAAUGGUUGCCCUACAGCUGCCAUCUUUCCAUCCUAAUUAUGCCAGCAUCUUAUUCCCAUCUAUCAGUCCUUAACCCUCAACCCUCAUAUUUAAGUCAUUAGUCCUCCUUCAUACCUAGCUAUUCACUAUCAUCUUAAAGUCUACUUAUGCUGAUGUUAUUUUUCACGGCUUUUUUUUUUCAUCUCUUGGAUGUCUAUUCAUCUUCUUGAUCUCUUGUUAGGAUCUUGAAACUUAUUUCUUUCUCAGACAUCAUGUGUGACAACAUUCCAACUAAAGACAUACUCUUCUAUGGCUUUAUGACUCAUUCAAAUAAAAUGGAUCUAAUUAUCUUCCAUGGUUUUCUUCAAGGCAUGUGGUAGGAUUUCUUGUAUUUGGUAACAUAAAUCUACAUAUGCAAAGUUGAUAGAAACUUGGGAAGUAAGGGAUGCACUAGUCAUGAUUUGUGUUUGGAACAACAUAGAACUAGAGGUAUUGUGUCUCUUAUCUCAUUUUUAGUAAGGAUAUUUGUAAUUGGCAGAGAUGUGUUAUUUUUCCACAAAUAUCUUGCUUACCCAAAAAGGCAUCAGUCUAACAAUAUUACAUUAUUACUUGGAAUUAAAGGACAUGUAGGAAGAGUUGAAUGUCUAUCCCCCUUUGACUUUAGAUCUAGAGAUUCAAAAGCACCACUAAGAAUAAUUUUGCUUGGCCAAAUUCAUCUUUGGUAUUUGGCCAGAGGUUGAACUCACAUAUUACAACAAGUCAUGGAUGAAGGUAAUCAGAUGACAACUUACAAAAGUAAAGCUUAACCGGUUGACCGGUAAUAUGCUACCAGUUUACUAAUUAUCUCUACCGGUAGACACUACCAAUGUGUUGAAGUAGCACACAAAUGGGCAGUGGCUACCGAUAGCAAAAAAAAAAAAAAAAAUUGCAACCGGUUAAUUUGAUGGUCGACCGGAAUUGGACUUUCAUUUUGCUUCCAUUAAGCUGAUGAAAAAAAGACCAAAUUGAGUAGCAAUAAGCAUGUAUCUUCAUUUAUUUUAAUAAGAAGAUAAGCAUAAUACAUUUAAAAAGGUGUUUAACAUAGAUAGGGCCCACAUCUCAUGUACACACAAUAUAUACAAGCAAUGACUAGAAAACACACUACCUCACAACUAUGCUUACCAAUCCCCAUACCAUCCACAAAAUCCAAGAAGGACAACAAAUGAAGCCCCAUGCCCCACAUAAUCACACAUAACUUCAAUCCCCAUACCAGACACUUGAGCUUAUAUGAGGAAAAUUUCUGAUGGGAAAGGUGUGCAAUGAUAUGCUCUUUCAAAUGACUUGCAUUGGAAAUUAAGGAAUACAUAGUUCACAAACAACUCCCAAGUGUCAAAAUUCAAGCAAGCAUGAAGCUUGGGAAGAAAUAAUAAUGCGUUGAUAAUUCAAAUUACUGCAAAACUAACAACUAGUCAUCAAAAAGCAACACAUGCCUUAGGACGCCGUAUUCUGUCUUUGAAUACUUGCCGACACACUUCAAUGAUAAAUUUGCCUUUGUAGAAAAUUCAGCCUAAAGUGGCACCUUAUCUUUGUGUUUCAGACAAACAAGAAAGAAUUUAGAACUUGAAAUUUUCUUAGUAAAUCCCAGACCAUAAUAACCUUGACACUCCCACUAAUGGAAUCAUCAGGUACACAAACUAAAUGUGCAUCUAAUAUUCCAUUAUAUUAAUCCUUGUCACUACAAUGAGUUUAAAGUGUACGCUAAGCUUUUUAAAUAAUGGUACUGCCUGCUUGGAAUUAGACAUAUAGUAACAAUAGUUCAUUUGUAAGUAAUAAGCAUAUUGAUGGUGAAAACACACUUUUUCUACCAUUACCUUCCAAAGAUGAAAAUAAUAAGAAUACAAAAGCAGAAGUGGAUGGCAAUUUAGCAGGAGGCCCCAUUUGGUUAUUCCUCUCCUCAUGAGUGGUAACUCCACUAUGAGAUUUAUUUUAGUACAACCCUAUGGCAAUACGUAUUACGUAAUAGUUUUUCUUAACCAUACACAAUUUGGUAUGACUAAUUUUUUUUCCCCAUAGGUUGGCAUGGGCUCAUUUUCACUAAACACUAUGAUUUGAAGAUCACAUUUUUUCACACUGUUAAUUAGGUUCUGCUCAAAUAACACAGUUUUUGAAAUAUCAUUUGAAGCUGAAUUCUCCUAGCAUGUUCAUAAUCAGUUUACAUGUUCAUUUGAAUGAACUCAAUAUAUGAAAUGUAGGUGAUGCGAUCGGUGAUGGAGAAUACAAUCAAGCAGGAGUUUGAAGUGAAAGAUGAGGAUGUCGUCAAUGACGAUGCAUAUACUGGUGGCAACGAUUUGAAAGAGAAGGUGUUGAAGGGUAUUUCAGUUGAAGAAGUAUACAAAUUGCAAUUCGAUUGCGUAGAUGAGAUUGAAACAUUUUACAACAUGUUAGCCAAAGUAACCGGAUUUAGUAUUCGAAAAGAUGAUUUGAAGUGAGAUAAGAAUGAAGAUAUAAUAUCUCGAAAGUGGGUGUGUUCUAAAGAAAGACAUUGAGCGACAAAGUUUAUUGAAAAUGACAAGCGACAGUGUGAGCCACGAUCGUUGACUAGAGUUGGAGGUGAAGCUGCCUUUCGUUUAGGCUUGAAUAGAAAAGAUGGAAAGUGGAUUGUAAAGGAAUUUAUAAGAGAACAUAAUCAUACUUUGGUUGAUGCUAUCAGCACACAAUUCCUUCGGUCUUAUCAGAUAGUAAGUAAUCCAAAUAAGGCAUAAGUUGAUGUUUUGCAUAAAGUAGGUGUUAAAACCAAACAAAUUAUGGACUAUAUGGUCAAACAAUCAGGAGGACAUCAACAUGUUGGUUUCACAAAAAAAAAUAUAUACAAUUACAUUGAUGCAAUGCAUAGAAUUGAAAUUAAAGACGGUGAUGCGGAAGCUGCAUUGGCUUACUUGUGUGGAAAGAUAGAAAUGGAUUCUUCAUUUUUUUACAAAUUCAACUUCGAUGAAGAAAGUUGACUAGCAAACUUGUUUUGGGCUGAUUCAACUGCUCGAAUGGAUUAUCCAUGUUUUGGAGAUGUCCUAGCAUUUGAUACAACCUAUAGGACAAAUGCCUAUAAAAAGCCUCUAGUAGUGUUGGUUGGUGUUAAUUAUCACCACCAAACUAUGGUAUUUGGUUGUGCGUUAUUGAUGGAUGAAAGUAUUGGUACAUAUGAAUGGGUGUUGGAGACAUUUCUUAUUGCAAUGAUGAAUAAGAAACCCAUAUCCGUAGUAACUGAUGGGGAUAAAGCUAUGCGUAAGGCAAUUAAAAGAGUCCUACUCGAUGCGUGUCAUCGUAUGUGUUCAUGGAAUUUGCAACGAAAUGCAUUCUCAAAUGUGCAUAUUAAGGACUUCACAAGCAUCUUUGCAAGGUGCAUGUUCAUGCAUGGGAAUUCGAAAGAAUUCAAAAAGGUUUGACAUGAAAUAGUUUAAAAGUUGGGUCUUAAUGAGAAUCGUUGGGUAACCAAGAUUUAUGGGAAACAUAAAAGAUGGGCUGAGGCGUAUUUAUGUGGAAAUUUCUUUGGAGGGAUGAGAAACGCAUAAAGGUGUGAGAGUAUGAAUGCAUAUCUAAAUAGAUUCUUAAAAAUCAGUUUGUGACUGUAUGAGUUUGUACAACAAUUUGAUAGGGCGAUAAUGAGAAUACGACAAAGCGAGGCAAAGGCAGAGUUCGAGUCGAACAAUUCUUCACCUGUGCUUUCAACCAAACUAUCCAUACUAGAAAAUCAUGUUGCGACGGUAUACACGAAAUAAUCAUUUCUUAAAUUUCGUGAGAAGAUGAAGAAUGCAGAGUUAUUCUUUGUGGUAGGCCUUGUAAGUGAUGAUUCAAUGCGGACAUAUGCAUUAUCUAAGUUUAGACACCCGAACUUAAAAUAGGAAGUCCAAUUUUGCCUGAAUAUUGUAACAUUAAAAUGCUCAUGCAUAAUGUUUGAGUCAAUUGGCAUCCCUUGUUGCCACAUGGUUGUUGUUAUGAAGGUGGAGCAUUUGGAAGAGAUUCCUCUUUCAUUUAUUUUGAAGAGGUGGACAAAGUUAGCAAAGGUGCAUACAAGAUCAGCACCGGUGAAUGAGACGGAUAAUGACAUGGAUCAGUUUGUACCAUAUGGGUCAUUGAAUUCGAUGUGCAACAAGCUCUCCUACUAUGCGUCAAAUACGUCAUCUUCUUUUCUAGAAGCGAAAAGUGAAAUAGAAAAUUUGACGGUGAGAAUGGAGGAACUUUCUAACAGUAAUUUGAAAGGGAAGAAAGUAGCAACAGAUGGAGCCACAAGUCCUAACCAAGUUCGUGAUCCAAAUAUUGUGAAGACUAAAGGAAAUCCAGGCAAAGUUGCAAUUAAUUUUCAAAAGGGAAGAUAGUGUAGUCGUUGUAAAAGAGUGGGUCACACAAUUCGAAAGUGUCCAGAAGCUAGAAUCCCUCAUACCGGUAAUAAACGUGAUAUGGUAUAUUAGAUUGAAUAAGAAAUUGUCGCUAAGAUGAAGUUUUUUACCUGUACUUACAUAAAUAACUAAUAUAAUUGUUUUCAUUGCAUUAUGAGUAUGUAGCAGGAAAGUAAUUUGUCUUCCCAAUGUGACAUUCGUAUGGAAAUGAUGCCUUCAACAAAUUAAUCAGUUGACAUGUUUGCAACCUUACCUGUAUGUACAAUAGGCUUGUUAUAUAACAACACAAACUUUGAUAACAUCUAAUUGAACAAUAAUUGACAACACUUAAUCAUUGCAAAAUGCAGGGAAUGCUAGGGGAGCAUUUGUCAAAUGACCGAUCUGACAUGUAUUUAGAUUUUGGUGUACUUAGCAAUGUAAGCUCGAGAAUAAAAAACACUUUUGACAUGAAUUUUCCCUAUGCAUUAUUUAAUGAUUUGGUUGAAGUAAUUGGAAUGGAAUUGGAUGGCUCAAUUUUAAUAAUGGAAUGUGCAUGUGCAAAUAGCAGGAUUUCAGCAAUAUGAACAAACUAUGACAAUACCAUGUCAAGGUGGGGAUCUAAGCAAAUAUCCAAAAGAAAAGGAUAUGCAACCUUUUUUUAUUCCUUAACGGAGUAAACAAUGGCAGGUAUUAAAUCAGUAUUUAUAUUAGUUUACGUUAUCGCUUUGGCUAAUAUAUACUUUUAAAUUAACUAUUUAAUGAAAAGUCUGAAUUCCGAUCAAGAGUCAAGUUGAUUGAUAGAAUGCAAUAUCCUUGAUAUUUACAAUUUAAUUGAUAACAAGUGAUAAAUGAUUGGUAAGCUGAUUCAUUUAUAUCACAUCCAAAAAAUAGUUACGCAUGCGGAUAUAAUUAAAUUCAAAUGUGGUUAAAGUUUGACAAUUAGGUGGUUAUGAGUUAACUAUAGGAAAGUAAUCGAUAUGAUGUAAUUCAUAUGAAAUGGUAAAUGUUGUGAUAUAACUCAAAAUGGGUAAAUCAUAGUUUGGUAGUUUGGAAUUGCAUUUUCCAUCACUUCCAAACCUUUUAAUUAAACUUAAUGGCUUAGUCACCAAUGUUUACUGAGUGAAAAGUUUUCAGUACCACCUAUAGCCAUUUAUCGAACGGUAGUUAUACUUAGAAAUUGCAUGAUAGCAUUCAAUAAGUCAACCGGUUAAUAUUUGGCUUCAACCAGUUGAGAAAUCUUCUCUGCUGGUAGACUCCAUUCCUCAACCGGUUCACAUUGGUGAAAAAAUUCCUCAACCGAUUGAGAAAUUUCUUCUGCCACUCACUUCAACUCCUCAACCAAUACAUAUUGCAUCAAACUUUUGUUGAACCGGUUGUUAAAAUUCCUCAACCGGUUCGGACAAAUCCUCAGCUGGUUGACAUUGCAUCCAUAUAGUCAUUAUCCGAUUGAGGAUUGUUCUCAAUCGGUUGCCAUAAUUCUAUGGCCGAUAGACAUUGAACUAAGCUGAACCGGUCAACCGGUUCUUACUGGCUUUACGUCAUUUCUUAACCGGCCUCCAUUGCCUUUACAAGUCGUAGCUAUAAUUCAUACCUACUAAAAAUAUUAGUCGCCUAACCUAUACUCCUACCGGUACUAACUAUAUAAUUUUGAGCAUAGAUAAAUGAAUAUAUAUAUAUAUAAGGAAAAAUCUAAAUACCUAAAAGAUCGUAGAAAAUCAAACAUGUCGAAAAUGAAUGAUGCCUAUAUAUUACAAUUUCAUUUUGCCUACCAUAUUGAAAGAAGAAUAUAACAUAUUCAAAUUAAACAAACUUGGUCAUGAACAAUGUAUGGUCAUGCAAGGUCACAACUUCCCAAUAAACAUGAAGAUAUGUGGAGAUGGAAAUAAUAAAUAUUAGAAAAACAACAAAUAUCAUAAUAAUAACUUUUUCAUUGCUCGUGUAGACUUCUUUGUACAAACAAUAACCACAAUGGUUUUUUUUUUUUUUUUUUUUGUUUCUCUCGUGUAAAACUAAAUCACUUGCUAUUUCCCAACGUAUUUUAAUAGAAUUACAUAAGUCAGAGCCCGUCAUCGAAUCACCAUUUUUGAAUAUCUGUAUAUGUUUAAUGAAGGAGCCUAAUCAAUGGAGAAUUGAAAGACAUCUUUCCCUAUGUCAUACAGUUUGAAGAACAUUUGACAAAAUUCAACCUAAUUUAUUUUGAAAGUGUUAAUAAAUAUAGAAGAGAAAAACAAAACAAAGUAAAAGGAAAACAAAAAGCUAAAAGCAUACCACUAUUUUGACACUCUUAAACCGGAACUCGUCCCGACUCUUUUUUAUUGUAAUGAAUCCAAAAUUUGGAUAUGAGAGUUUUUAAAGUCAAUGACGCACAAAUACCAAUGAUCGAGGCAAUUGUCAUGCAUUGGAAUAAAUAGUUGUAAAGUUAGAAAAACAAUAUAUAUGAGUUGGGCCACAAAAUAUCUACUAUAUUAUAGGUGAAAACAAUAUCUACUCUAAAUUUGAUAUAUGCAAUUAAACAUUACUAACCUUCUCGCAAUCAUCCAAUUCGCUAAUGUACUUACUCAUGAUGAAUGUUUUUCUAUCAAAAAAAAGAUGAAGACUCCUGCACAAAAUCAUUUGCUAAUAAUAAAACAUAAUACGAAUAUUAGUAGAUUGUACUUAAUAUGUAAGUAAACAACAAGAGAAAUAUGAGCUUACUGAAAAAUGUCGUGGGAAUAUACUUCGUAUGCUUAUGAAUUGCCUCUUAAAAUAAUUUAGCUUUGAGGCUUCUAGAUUUAUUACCUGUUGUUAAACAAUAACUUCAAUAAAUUUAUUUAAUUAAUAUAACAUGCAUUUGAUAUAAAUGAAGUAGGUACUUACAACAUCCAUCAAAUUUUGUUUAGGAUGUAAGCACUCAAAAUGUCCACGAACUCCAUGAACUCCAUGUUCAUGAUCAAAGUUAACAAGAAGCCCACUAAAAUAAUAAUAUAUUAAAGCAUUCUUGACUAAAUUGGAACCAUAUGAAGACUAAAAUUGUAACAACACAUCUAUGAAUGUUCUAGACACUACAAACCUUUUUGACAAUGCUUUAUUGAAAACAUAAUCAACAACAACAGAUUGAAGUACAUUGAAUGAUUGAGCAUCCACCACGUCUUCACGAAUGGACAUGGGGAUUAACUAAAUAAAAAAAACAAGACAUAAUUAUUAGCUAUAUAUGUUGAGUAUCAAAAAUAAGAAUAUGAUAUUAAACUAUGUGUAUUAUACCUUUAAUGCUUGACAUUUUCCAUUUUCCUUAAAUUAUGUACAAACAGGGAGACCUUGAAUUUACUUGGUUUCCUCUUCCUUGAUGUACGUGUUUUCAUGACUUGAUCGGGAUAACCACAUAGUGCUUGUAAUGGUUCCUAAUAUGGAAAAUGUCAUUAAUAUACAUCUAUUUACUAUGUAAUGGUUUAAGUAGUUGUAAAUAAAAUAUUUUUUUUCUUUUAUAUGAUACAUACCUUUCCAUAAUCUCUUCUACUGCUUUUGAUUGGAAUUGAUAAAAUAUCUACAUUUUUGUUCGGAAUGAUAUUUACUUCAAUUGAUGUAGCACAUGCAUCUUCAUUAUUUCCAUUCAAGUCCUUAGUGCAUAACUUCUCAAUUGACAAAGUGUGAACAUAAUGUUCAUUUCCUUUCUUAUUGUUCUUAUCUUCCAAACUUCUCUCGCAUGAGAGAAUAUCAUUCUUUGUUCCCUCCUUGUGCAUUCUCAAAGGUUUUUCGCUUAACCUAAGGAAGAGACCUUUCAAUGUAGUAUAUUUUUCCUCAAAUUCAGUCAAAACUUUUUCAUAACUACCAUUACUUGCACCAUGACACAAAUCAAUUAGAUGUGUCUUUAAUUGUUGAAAGGUUUUAUCCAUCUCCAUUAAGCUCCCACCAUCAACCUAGUGAUAUUUAGGAACUUGAUUAAUAAUAUCACAAUACAAGGGUUCACUAUUAAUAUUGAUACUCACGAUGAAUAUUGUAAAACUUGUUUAAUAACAUCUUUUUUUGCAUUGAUUUCAAAUUUCUCAUCAUUCUCAUUCUCCCCCUCCAUUGUCAUCGCACUUCUAUCAACACAAUCCCUUAUCUCAUUUUGUAUCACCCAUAUUUUGACCUACAAUAUAUUCAUCAAAAUAUAACACAUCAGAUUAAAAAUCAUUAAAAACUUAAACCAAUAUUAAACAACUUUCAAAACUAUAACUUACAUUGUCAUCUGCAUAUCCACCUAGUUUUUUCAAUCUUCGUUUCAUGUCCAGUGCUUCAUCAUCUCCCCAAGCAGUAAUCCAAGGACAAAGUCGAGUAUAUAAUGGUAGAAAUUUCUCUUCGAACGAUAUAUGCUCGUGGUAGAAUAAUUGCGCUUAUUUGACAUAGAUAUAUAGUUAGUUAACAAAUUUUAUUAUAACAAAUUCGAAAUUCACUAUGAUGUAAAUUAAUUACAAGGACAUUACCAUUAAAAAUAAUAAGCAACUGCAAACCCGACUUUGUUGUUUCCUCUUAAACUCUUCAAUCCCGUGUACAAGAUAAGACAACACAAAUUCAGCCCAAUUCAUCUUCUUUAUUAAAUUGAUGUCUUCCACAAGAUGUAAGAAAGAACGUUUCACAAAUAGCUUCAUUAUUGGGCACAAUAAUGCACCCAACACAAAUAAUACAAAACGAACUUUGAAAUCGUUUCCACCUUCUUUAUCCUCCCUAAUUUGAUUUUCUAACAUCACUAAUGGCAAUCGCUCCUUUUAAUCAUAAUAUUUUUUUUAUAUAUAAAUCAUUCUUAUGGCUAACAUCUUUGUUCAUGCCAAUCUUCAACCCUCUUGCCCUCAAUCCCAUAAUAAAUUCAACAUCAAUGGAGGAUAAUUUGAUACAAGUAUUAUUCAACUCUAACAUGUAAGUGUUCGGGUUGAAACUAUUUAUCAACCAAACACAUAACCCAUGAUCAAUUUUCUUACAUCGAAGUUGCAAGAGGCUACCAAAUCCUAUUUCUUCUAUGGCUGCUCUUUGCUUUGGUUCUAAUUCUUCAAUAAUUUUAAUCACUCGCUUGGGUGAGCAUCGAGUCUAAAGAUAUAACUGAAAAGAUACACAAACAUCAAACAUGUUUACAUUAAUAUAAUUUCCAACAAAUACAUAAAUAAUGAAAUUAAAUAUUCAUUACAAAAAAUUACAUUUGGAACCACACCCUUUUAAAGUGAAUAUUGUUUUGAACUUUCUUUGGACUUUGCCAUGAAAUCUUCUUUUUCUACUUUUGAAAGUGCAUUCCACUUCUUGCCCAAUUUUUUCCUCAACUACAUUAAUUGGUCACAUACUUUAAAUUCUAAUUUUAAAAUGUAAUUAUAUUAGACACAACAAUAUUACUCCUUACAUCAUCAUUUAUCUUCACUUCUUUAUCAGGCUCUUUGAUCAUGGUCAAUUGAUUGUUACUACAAAACAAUUUCAAACAAAUUUAACUAUAACAACCACAAAAAAAAUACAUUAAAAAACAUAUUCUUUUACAUAUUUCUAUUUUCCCUUACUAGUAAUGUAUCCAAGCUCUAAUAGGCCUAUUUGGAUUUCUAACAACUUCAACACCAUCGCAUUCGCUCCUAAAAAUUAAAUCAAAUCAUUUAAGUCAAUUUUUAUAAUAUGAUUUUAGAUAUAAUAAAUCAAACAUACUUUCACCACCAGUACAAAAUCCUCCCUAAAUCUCUAUACAUUUUAAAUGGUCACAAAAUUAGCAUAUAAAUUAUUUUCAAUCUCCAAUUAUGGAUCUAACCACACUAUUUUUCAUUAAUGUGAUCAAUCCAUAAAUCUAACAAAAAACAUGAAAUAUAAUGGAUACAAUAUUAUAAAACACAUUAUCAAUACUCACAUUUUUUUCCUUAAUAUAGAACUCGACAAAUAAUUACAAUACAACCGCCUUUUGAUUAACAAAAAAUUGUGUCCUUUUUAGCUUUCUUUCUCUUAGUACUACACAUCUUCUUCUUCUUCUUCUUCUUCCAGCUAUGUCUUCAAUUCGGGUCUUCAAACCACAAAAUUUAGAACCCGAAAACACCCCUUACACCUCUUAAACAAAAUAUAAAAUAUGAAGAAAAUACAAGGGUUAUGGAGAUGAGAGGGAUGAGCGGGAAUAUCGCACUCUUUACUUCAAAACUCGAAAAAACCCCAAAUAUGAAAAUUAAAUAGGGACAUAAACAGAAGGAGGAUACGAAGAAAACUUGGAAAGAUGCCACCCAAAACGACUACAAUAUCUCACCCGAAAACACCCAACAACAUGAAAACAUCCAACAAUACACGAAGACAACUGAAAGCACCCAAAAAUAAUAGCCGAUGGAGAUGAGUGGAAAACACAAGUACCCGGAGAAGACUCGAGUAUGGAGAAGAGAGGAAAAUAUGGGGAAACUCGGCAAAAGAGGGAGAAAACAGCAACCCGGCCCGACUGUGGAGGAUGAGUGGAGAAGAUACCAAAUUAUGGGGGGAAAAUGGGAAAAAGAGGAGAGAACAAGAGGGAGAAUAGCUGCCCGGUUCAGUAAUGGAGGAUGACUGGAGAAGAGAGCAAAUUAAGCGGGGAAAAAAAGGGAAAUGGGUGAGAGAAUAGAAUGGGGAAAAACAGCUACAUGGCCAGCUAUGGAGGAUGAUGAGUGGAGAUGAGAGCACGGGGACACAAACGGGGGAAAACAGGAAAUGGAUAAGAGAAUAGGAUAGGGAACAAUAGCUACACUAGCCGACUAUGAAGGAUGAUGAGUGGAGAUGAGAGCACGGGGACACAACUGACUAUGGAGGAGAAGAUGGCUGGCUAUAGAGGAGAAGACGGUCAGUUAUAGAGAAGAAAAGAGGGGAAAUAUGGGAAAAAUGGUUGACAGAGGGAAAGAACAGGAGGGAAGAGAGGGGAAAAACAGGAAAAGAGGCUCAGAGAAGGAGAGGACAUAAGGGGGAGGUACUCGAUUAUUAUUAUUUUUUUUCAUUUUUUCUUUUUCUUUUGGAUGGCUAAGAUUUAAUCUCUUUCAUCCAACGCCUAAAAAAAAUGAGGCAUGCUACCUUCCCCAACACCAUAGAAUUUUCCUUGAUAAAAAGAGUCCCAUAUUUUAAAUCUAACCCAUCAUUUUUUUUCCUAAGAAAUUACUAAUUUUUAUAAAUAAAAAAAAUGUACUUGCUUUUUAAAAAAAAAAAACUUCCAUCAAAAUAAUAUAAAUAUCAGAGGAUAUUUAUAUCAAAAAUAAUUUUUUUAAUUAAAAACUUAUAUUUUCUAUUUUUAAAAUUUUAUAUCGAUUAAUUAAAACAAGUUAAAUAAAUUUAAAAUAAUAUAUAAAAAUAUUUUAUUAACUUUAAAUUUAUUUUUUAUUUUUUUUCUUUGUAUUUUUUUGUACAUUUCCUUUCAAAUUUUUCCAAAAAGGAAACAUUACUAAAAGAUCAUGUCAAGUACAAGAACUAAUCCUUUGAUAUGGAUGAAUUAAAAUAUAUUUUGUUUAUACUUUUAUUUUAUUUUAUAAAGGAAUUAAUAAUCAAAGGUUUAAUUUAAAAUAAAUAUUUUAUUUUAAAAAAUUUAAUUUUAUCAUAGAAAAGAUUUAACAAUAAAAAGUUCAUAAUUUAUAAAUCACUAAUCCUAUUUUGUCAUAAGUGAUUAGUUAGGUUUCUAAUGUUAAAUGAAUUCAAUAGUUUUUAGUUGGUUUUAAAUUUUAGAUGGUUCGAAAGUUAUAUUAUCAAUAUCACUUAAAAAUGAAAUCCUCUGUUUUUCUUUUCAUUUUUCAAUGAUUAGUUAUUUUGUCAAAUUCUCGCUUAGUUUCAAUUUUCAAAUAGUUUUGUUUAAUGUUUAAUAUAAACAACUUUAACACUUUGCAACAUUCUAAUGUCAAAAAAAAAAAACACUUAAUGAGAUUAAUCUUUAAUAGGUUUAUAAUUAAAUUUAAAUUUAUUCAAAUAUAAAAAAAUGGUGAUGUGGGGGCUUUCCCCAUAUAGCCACGUGGCAGGCCACUCUUGGUCUACGUGGCAUUCUUCUAUCUCUAUCCAGAUGAUCAUCAUCAAACCAGAGUCUCCUAUUCGACCAACGGGUAUCAGAGACUAGUCACAUUGUGCUCCUCUAAACUACACGAUGCAUUCCAGGUAGAUAUCUUGGCCCACUCCUGCAAGCAAUCAUUCCCCCAAGCCAUGAGUACAUUUGACGGGAUGUAACCCUGCCUUCACAAUUGAGUUGCUAUACGCUAUGCCAUACUUUCUACAGAGUAAGGUGACAAGUGAACCAUCAUGUCAUCCCCACUAGCAGCCCCUGUUAGCCGCCUAAAUGGUGAUGAUUGCCCUGCCACGAACUGUGCUGCCAUCAUGACUGCGAAAGUUAAGAUGUCACCUCAGCGCAGAUGUGACCCCAUCCCAGACACUAUAAAAACCCUCACACAACCAAAAUCCAAGAACGUAAUACAAGAAGCCCGAUAUAGCUCUAGAGAAUAAGCGAUUUCUCGAGCUAGUUUUAACUAAUUGACUUGGGCUUCGAAGGGUGUGUCCGGACAACUUGUCCGAACAUCUUUUUACAGGAAAGAAAAGAGAAGUCAAUCUUCACCGACUGUAUUCAGUCCUUUCUUGCUAUAACGGGGAGAAGCAUCAUCCCCAAUUGAUUCAGCAUUAACAUCGGCAUCAUUUGUGGGAAGGAAACAAGAAUGUCAACACCCUCAAGAAGUCGAUCGUUUGCCAUGGGCGACGAAGGUUACUUUGACUAGCGUGAGAGUAUGGAAAGAUGCUAACGAGAAAGCGAGCGACAAGUGCAAGCCCUGCUCCAAGAAACAAGAAGACUCAGAGAGGAGAAUGAGGUGUUGCGAAUUCAAGCAUCUUUGUCAGGCCCCUCUCGUAGCCAGCAACCAAGGAGUUAGUGAACGAACUCCAGGAAAAAUGAGGAAGCAACAUACCCUAGAAACACAGAGUCCCCCUUUGAUGAGCAUGGUAUACGACCUGAUGAAGGACCCCUAUCGGCCUAUCACGCGCCAUAGGACGAAAACUCUGAUUCCACUCGUGUCUCAUCUAAAAGGAGAUGCGAUAGGAAAUCCUAACUAUUAGAUGCAAUGCACGCAAGGUUAGGGCCACAGGUGCCCGGUAUGGAGAAACCACGUAUAGCCACGACCCAGGAGGUAUACCCUGCCCCAUUUGCUGCACCCGCUAUACUGAACUGGCCUCCAUACCCAACACUACAACAAUUGGAAGAGGAUAUGGUAAGUAGAGUUCCCCUCGGCUCUGCCAGCAGGCGACUAGACAACAUGCUCUCCAUGCCUUUUAGCUCUCGCAUUAUCAAUUACGAACCCCUGAGAGAGUUCAUCGAGCCAAAAUUCUCUACGUAUGACAAAUUCAUUGAUCCAUUUGAUCACAUCAUGCACUACAGAUAGCUCAUGACCCUUGACAUAGGGAAUGACGCACUGUUGUUUCUAGCUAGCUUCCAAGGUUAGGCCCUCUCGUGGUUCCACCACCUCCCAAUGAAUUCCGUCGACAACUUUCGGGACCUAUCGAAGGCCUUCGUGGGACAAUAUCUAUGUUCAACACAACACAAACAAAACAUCAGCACCCUGUAAAACAUAAAGAUGUAGGAGAAUGAGUCGCUGAGGGAGUUCGUAAAGUGGUUCGGGCAAGCUGUACUCUAGGUAGAGUCUUACAGCAUAGACAUUAUUAUCCAAAUCUUUAAAAUGAGUAUCUGUCCGGGCACACCUUUCUUCAAAUCUCUCACCAAAAAGCCCUAUGUAACUAUGGACGAUCUAUUCAGAUGGGCAAACAAAUAUUCCAUGCUUGAGGACAAUGUCCGUGCAGCCACCCAGUAGAUCCUGGUCACCAGUCGACCUGCCAAAAAUGUUGAGGCUAGGAAUUCCAAAACCGCAAGCCAACGAAGGCAAUCAAAUAAGAGGUAGGACAGACAACGCCAACCAAACUAGCCCAACUUCAUCCCACUCAAUGUUUCAUACGAGAAGCUCCUCCCCAUGAUCCGCAAGUUAUCCGACUUCAAGUGGCCAGAGCCCCUAAAAAUGGAUUCAACUAAGAGAGACCGCAACAGAAAAUGUGCCUAUCACAAAGAGCACGAACACACUACGGAGCAAUGUAGUAGUCUCCAUUAUUUGGUGGAGAAUCUAGUAAGAUCCGAAUGCUUGAGACAAUACGUUCACUCAGAAGGUAAAAAUGGGGUGACAUCCCGAAGUCCAACCACCACGACCCCCGCAGCUUCUAUAGCUCCUAGGGUCGUGAUCAACUAUAUUCACGGCGGACCUAUCAACGAGGAAUACAACUCUAAACAAAAGAGAUGGAUGCUACUUCAAGCCAUCUUCGUGCGAGAGCAAGUUAGCUCCAUCAAGCCCAGAUUAAUCAGCAGGAGCAUGCGCUCAAUAGAUAGGGAAAUCACUUUUCCCCUAGUAGACUCCAACCGAAUAUUACAAUCGCAUCGGGACGCCCUUAUCCUAUCAUUGGGAAUCAGUGACUUUGAUGUAAGGUGGAUCUUAGUCGACCUAGGUAGCUCAGCCGACCUCUUACAGGUAUCUAUAAUUAAACAUAUGGGGCUUUCACCAUCGAAUCUGGAAAAUCCUGGACGGAUAUUGUUAGGAUUCUAAGGAGCUUCAACAAUGUCUCUGGGCGACAUUGUGCUGCCCGUCCAGACCGGCCCCAUUGCCCUGAAUAUGCAGUUCUCAAUAGUAGAAGACCUAUCUCCAUUCAAUGCCAUAUUGGGGCGCACCUGGCUGUAGAGCAUGAAAAUCAUUCCUUCUACUUAUCAUCAGAUGGUGAGUUAUCGCAUCGAAGACGGACAGAUUAAUCUCUAUGGAAGCCAACUAGCAGCUCGAUAGUGCUACCAAGUGGCAUAGAAAACCGGAUCUAGUAGUGAUAAUGAGCCACCUCCAAAACUAUGAGCGCAAUCUUUUAAUAGCAAUUACAAUAUCCGACGAAGAAAGAUCCCCUGGUGGCCGACCCCUUGCAGACUAUUAAGAUCUCGAAGAAGGAUGAUCAUUUUACCUACGCAAGCUCCCUCUUAGAGUUGAACGAGGCGCGAAGCCUUGAAGGAGUACUUCACCGGAACAAAGAUGUCUUCGUCUGGACACACUCUAACAUGCUCAGGAUUCACCCAUCAAUUGCCUCCCACCAACUUAACAUUCUUCCAUUCUCAAGACCUAUCCGCCAGAAGGUCCAACAAUUCUAUUUGGAUAGGCAAAAAAUCAUUCAGAAUGAGAUAAACAAGUUAUUGAUAGCCGAAUUUAUCAAAGAGGUUAAGUAUCCUGACUAGUUGGAAAACGUGGUUGUAGUCCUGAAAACAUUGGGGAAAUGGCAAGUCUACGUUGAUUACACUAACCUCAAUGAUGCCUACCCUAAGGACAACUUUCCCCUCCCCCGAAUAGACCAAAUAGUGGACUCCACCACUGAAACACAGAAUGCUCUCCUUCCUACAUGCCUUUUUCGAGUAUCAUCAGAUCCCUAUGUAUCCACCAGAUGAAGAAAAAAUUGCCUUCAUAACACCACAUGGGCUCUAUUACUACAAAGUCAUGUCGUUUGGACUCAAAAAAGCUGGAGCCACUUAUCAAAGGCUGAUGACUAAAAUUUUCAAACCUCUAAUCGGACGCACAAUAGAGGUAUACAUUGAUGACAUUGUAGUGAAAAGCAGGACCAAGGGUGAACAUGACCAACACCUAGAAGAAGUCUUUCACUUGUUGAGAGAAUACAACAUGAAGCUCAAUCCGUCCAAUUGCGCCUUUGGAGUGAGUGCGGAAAAAUUCUUGGGGUUCAUGGUCACUCAAAGGAGCAUAGAGGCCAAUCCAAAUCAAAUCAAAUCAAAGUUGUCAUAGAGACAUCCGCCCCAUGCAACAAAAAGGAAUUGUAAUGCCUCACUGGCAAACUCACUGCACUAGGGUGCUUCAUAACCCAGUUUACAAACAAACUAAGGCAUUUUUUCCUUGCAUUAAAAAGAGCCAGCGCGACAUGAUGGAAGGAAGACUUUCAGUUUGCAUUUGAAGAAAUCAAGUUUUAUCUCACACAAUCGCCCAUUCUGACCAGCCCUCAACUCAGUGAACAUUUGUACGUGUACUUAGCAAUCUCCAACUGUGUGGUUAGCACUGUUUUGUUUUGCUGCAUAUCGGACAAAAAGCAAAAGCAUGUCUACUACAUCAGCAAAGCAAUGUUCGAUGCGAAAACCAGGUACUCAAAGAUGGAGCAGAUAGCUUUGGCCUUGAGAAGCGCUGAGUAGAAACUUUACCCCUAUUUCCAGGCUCAUCAAAUUAUCGUGCUCACCAGCCAACCUCUCAGAAGUAUUUUGCACAAAUCUGAUCUAUUAGGAAGAAGGCUGAAGUGGGUCAUAUAAUUGAGGGAGUACGGGAUCAAAUAUUAGCCUAAGUUAUCCAUAAAAUGAAAAGUCAUGGUUGACUUUAUAGUUAAGAUCCCCCAACAACCCUCUCAACUCAAAGAACCUGGUAGAGAGGGAUGAUGGAUUCUCUUCGUCGACAGAGCCUCCUGGACCUCGGGAUCUAGAAUAGGCCCCCUCCUACGAUCACCAAUUGGAGAACAGCUAGAACAGGCCAUCCGACUUGGGUUCCCAGCAUCCAACAGUGAAACCGAGUACGAGGCCAUCCUAUCCAAACUAAACUUUGCACUUGCUCUCUCAGCUUCUAAGAUCGAAAUCUGCAGUGACUCUCAACUCAUUGUUGGGCAUAUUCAAGGGGAGUACAAAGCUAAAGAUGGAUGUAUGACUCAGUACUUGAUUAAAGUAAGAGGUGCCCUGAAUCAAAUGAAUGAAUGGGCUAUCAAAAGGAUUCCUCACAUAUAAAAUGUACAAGUCAAUGCCUUGGUUGGAAUAGGUACUACACUCCUCGUGAAGGAGGCAAUAUUAUUACCCGUCCAUUUCCAAAUCGUUUCCUUAAUUGUAGUCAUACCUGUCUGCAACGCUAAAGAGGUAGGUGCGGAGUGGGCACAUGAAAUUGAAAAUUACCUCCGGACAGGUGACCUGCCCGAAGAGAACAAACAUGCGCAUAGGGUCCGGGUGCAGGCUACCCGCUUCACCUUAAAUGGGGAUUAUCUCUACAGGCGAUCCUUUGGAGGUUCAUACCUCAGGUGCUUAAAUAGAACGGAAGCUCAGUAUGUAUUAGCAGAGCUACAUGAAGAAAUAUGUGGCAAUCACUCAGGAGGACGAACCCUGGUGCACCUUACCCACUCGCAAGGAUACUAUUGACCCACCAUGAAACAGGAUGCGAAAAAUUAUGUCAAGAAGUGUGACCGGUGUCAAAGGCACGCACCCAUUCCUCACAUAUCAUCUGAAGUUCUCAACCUAGUUACAAGCCCUUGGCCAUUCGCAUAAUGGGGGAUGGACAUAGUAGGACCCUUACCCGUCACAGCCACUCAUAAGAAAUUCUUGCUUGUGGCCACUGACUACUUUAGCAAGUGGGUAGAGGCAGAAGCUUAUGCCAACAUCAAAGAUAAGGACGUCUCUAAGUUUGUUGGGAAAAACAUCAUCUGUCAGUUCGGAAUUCCGCAAACAAAUUAUAGCUGAUAACGAACCACAGUUUGACAGUGUUGAGUUCAGGACCUUUUGUUCAGAGCUAAAAAUAAAAAAUCUAUACUCCACACCACGAUAUCCUCAGAGCAAUGGAUAAGCGGAAGCAACAAACAAGACCCUGCUCUCCGUACUAAAGAAAAUGCUAGAAAAAGCCAAAUGGAAGUGGGUAAAAGAACUACCCGGCGUCCUGUGGGCUUAUCGAACAACACUUGGAUGACCAAUCGGAAACACUCCCUUCGCUCUUGCCUACGGGAUGGACGUAGUUAUCCCAACAGAGAUAGGCAUGCCCACAACCUGAACUGUUGUACAAGACCAAAGGGACAAAUGUCAAGAACUUGAGAGACACUUGGAUUGGGCAAACGAGGUGAGGGGGAGUGCAGCCAUCCGGAUGGCCUCCGAUCAACAAAGAGCUACUGCCUACUACAACCGGAAAGCCCAACCCCAUGCCUUUAAGGUUGGAACCUUAGUCUUCAAAAAGCUCCAAGCUAAUUGGGAGGGGCCUUAUAUUGUCUUGAAGGCUGGAGAAUCUAGGGUUUACCAUCUACAAAAGCUGGAUGGAAUGCCCCUGCUCCACUUAUGGAAUGUAUCUAAUCUAAGGCAAUACUAUCAGUAAAGUAAAAAAAGAAAAAGUGCACAAGAAAGAUAGUGAAAUAUUGCAUUCGCAUUCGUAAGUGAGAAAUUGUUCUUUACAAGUGUUGGCCAGACAAAUCACGGCGAAAUACAAAUGACUUAAUAAUAAAUAAAAAAUGUUUUAUGGCUCGACCGAAGAGUCGGCCAUAGGAAGAAUCUCAUCUCUUCAAGAAGAAUCGUCGGGUACCUCCCCCUUGUCGUCUGAAGGAAAGGAAUGAGUAUCUUAUGUGAUGUCGUUCUUCUUCAUACAACAUCGAUAGCCAUAGAAGAACAUUUCGUCCACUUGCUUUUGAUACUCCUCCUCCAACUCCUUCUUUUGAUCUGUGAAUCCGGCCCAGAGUUCCUCCAACUUUUUCUUCAGUUGGGCAUUCUCCUGCUCGACCUCUUUGCACUUGGCCUUAGUGGCCUUGCCCUCCUCUCUCAACCGGUCAGCCUCAGCAUGGACCGACUCCUUCUCCACCUCCACCAAUUUCAAAGCCUCGACUCCCUCUACAAUAGCCUUCUAUGCAGCGGCAAGGUCGCUCUCCACCUGUUCCAGCUUAAUGCAGAGCUCUUCACCGCCGCCCACGCGAUGGGUGAUGAAAGCCCUCAAAGCCUCAACAACCUCCAAUAGCUCAAAAAGUAGAGCGCGUUGUCGCAUCAGGUUGCGAACUCUGACCACCACCUAAAGGCGAUAACAAAAAUAGAGUAAGCUCGGGAUUAAAGUUCACAUUAUAGCAUAAGAAGGAAGGCAUAGUAGCUUACCACUUUUGCAGUCUCUUGAGUCAUGCAAUCCUGCAAUAGUUGAAUACGGGAGACCGUAGAGUUAGGCGUUCCAAGUGGAAGUUGGGUUGUGAUAGAGAUGAGGAGGUCGCCGCCUAAGCUCACCAAAACUCGGUUAGUGAAAGGAAAAAAGUCUAACAUCUUUGUCGAAUGCAACUCAACAUCAGUGAAGCAAGGCACUCGCCUCAGCAUCUCUAUCAUUUCCUCCUAGCUCGGAAGAGGAACGGAAGUAAGGGCAUCCUUCUAGUCUAAGUAUUCCUCGAUAGGAACCGGACCGUCAGAUGCCCCAUCUUGAACAGGGCAAGUCUCAUUCCUAGUAAGAGACGAGGCAACCAACGCGUUGUUGGACCCUGUAGCAUCUGGAUGGGGCAUUGGCGUCUGGGGAGCAUCUAUGAUAGGCUCUUCGUGAACCUCCUCUGGAUAGGAUCUUUUGGCAGGAGAAGAAACCACCUCAAUAGGAUCAGAUAGUCGUUUGCAUUGUCUCUCCCUAAAGCCCGACCCUCAAGUUGGACGUCGUAUCUUCCUCCACCUCCGGUUUGUAUAUGAUGACGAGUAUCACAGGCUCGAAUUUGGAACUUUGAGGAUCCAAGUCACUCCGUUCAAACCUUGGAAGGUCCAAGUCACCUUCUGAAUCCGGAACAAAGCUAUUUGUUUAUAGAGGUACAGAAAAAGUAGAAGCGGAAAAAGAUUCAGAUACCGAGGCUAGUACCUGAACCACCUUAGUGGAAGACUUCUUCUUCUUAAUUGGAUGGCGGACUACGAAAGAUAAAACAUGGCGUUUCUCACUGCAACCCUUCCUCAACUUUCCCUCUUGUCUUUUCUUCUCCCUCUGAUCAAGGUGCUCCUGGUGAGCUCUAGCGUUCGCCUCAUGUGCUUCUUUGUAGAAGGAGAGAUCCUUCAAAACAUGAUGUUUCCCGAGCACUAUGACCUUUGGGAGCCGCCUAGGGAUAAUGGGGAGAAUGUAAGGCUGGGACUCAUGGAUAACCGCAACCAAAUUCCAGGCAAUCAAAAGCGUCUGGUGGUUCUUUUUGUCGAAAGUGAUCACGAACAGCUUGUUCAGUAGGUCGAACGAAGCUUUCUCCACCCACUCGACCAGUCGACCUCUUCUGUCCUUAUCUGCAUCAAUCAAAAUGGACAGUGUUAGCACUAAAGUGAUAUCAGUUCAACAAAUAAAGACAAUUGAAGAAUCGCUUAAAGCCAUCCCUACCAGGAAUUUUAAGUGAUUCGUCCCAUUAUAGUCGUGCCAUUUGAUUCUGGUCCAGAUGGGUGUUAUCAACAAAAUUUAUAAAACCUAAAUCACCUUACACUAGGGUAGCAUAGCUAACAUAGUAUAGUGGCUCUAUGAUCGUCCACAGGGAUGGGUUUUCAUCAUACAGUUGACUUAAAUGAAGGAAAUAAAAUAGUGUUUUUUCUUAUGAAAAAUUAGCUUUUAAAGAAAAUGAAUUGUGGUUGCAAAGAUUGAUUUUAAGUUAAGCAAAAACAAUAAGUGAAGUUAACUAUAAAGAAAAGAUCUCUUAGAGCUUUAGGUCACUAGGAUUGGGUUUCUUAUACAAAUGGGGAGAUUCCAGAUCUUCUUCUCGCGUUGGGGAUAAUAAUAUAAAGGAUGGUUAUCUCCCGAACCGAUUUUGUAUUUAGCAAUUAAGAUUUGAUCCCAAGGGUUCAUGAAAAAUAAUAGUUGUUUUCCAUUAAUGGCUUCAAACACUAAAGACUCUCACCUUGAACCACCUUCCAAUGGCUUGUAAAUGAUAACUAAUAGACAUCCAUGGAUCUAACAGUAAGCAUCCAUAGAAUCCAAAAAGCUUACCAAGUAUUGGCCAUUCAAGGUGUUUUUAAGGGAUUUAAAGCUAAACCUUAAAAUAAAAACCAUUAAUGGUUAACAACUACUUUCAUUUAAAGCAAGGACAACUCCCAUCUUUGCAUUCGGGUCCUUCACCUAGCUUCCAUCACUCCAAGAAACGUAAAACCUAGCCACUCAUCCCAUGAGAAAUCAUCCUUAAAGGUUGUUUGGCUAGGAAGAAGAGUGAAAACAAAAUGAGAAGGAAAGGCAAAGCAAAAGCUUUGUAUGUUUCUUACUCCUCGAAAUUUACAAGUUUUCAAUGAAAUACAUACAUAUAUAUUUCCCUCUCUCUCUCCCCUCUUAUAUAUAUGCUACCUAAAAGAUAUAUAAAAAGAUAUAAAAGAAAAUAUCUAGGUUGGUUAUAAGGAGAAAUUAGGAAAUUACACAAAAUAUUUGAAGAUGAAAAUCGAACAGAGUCGGUGCACAGGAAGAUUUCGCAUACCAUGCAAAAUUUGGCAUGGUGUGCGAAAUCCUUUGGCUACCUCAAGUGGUUUCGCAUGGUGUGCGAAAUUUCGCACAGCCAUGCAAAAAUGUUGUUUGUUGGAUUUCUUCCUCAGGUUUUCUUCCUUGCAUCUCUGAUUGGCUUGGCAAAGGGCUAUGAAGUGCUCUAAAGCUUGGAUUAUUCAUGUAUUUGAGCUUUAACUUGCAUUGCCAUGGAUUUCACAAAAUUCUCCCUCAUUCUUGGCUUGGUUCAAUAAUCAAAUAGCUACCAAAAACAUUAAAACUGUCAAAAAUUGAUUAGUAACCCUUGCUAGGUUCCUUAAUGUGCCAAUUGAGUUAAAAGGUAUUAACUACUACUCAAAAGUAUUUAAAAUAGUUAGUUUCAAGCUAUAAAAGAGUACUUUUUGAGUAGUAAUCAUUAAGCGAAAAGUUUGGAUGGAAAUCCCUUUCCGAAUGCUCGACUAGGCCAUCCCACGGGCCCCAAACCAGGAUAUGCCUUUGGCUCUACCCUUAUUCAAGUUCGGGAGGUCGGUCACCAAUUGGAGAGAUGGGAUAUGAGCAAACAGGUUGAAGAUAUCUUUUUUGCUCUUCUUGAUGGUAUAGAUAAAGAGGACCUCUAAUAGGGAGAAGUCCAGACAGAAUAACAUGUCUAGGAUAAUGCAUCCCAUCAGCACUCGGACAAUGUUGGGAUGGAUAAAAACGUGAGGAAUUUGGAUGCAGUGUAAAAAUUGUUUGAAAAUAAACAGGAGAGAGAAAUAGAGUCCUGCGUUAAACUACUCCUUGAUGAAGAAAAUAACAUCUCGAGCUUCCUUCUCAGUAGAUGUCAGAUCUUCAUCCACCAAGUGAACGGAGAUGUCACUCAGAAUACAGAAGUGCUCUGAAACUCCCAUUCAAAAAUAAGCUCGGUAGGCUUUUCCGAUUAGGGGCGUCCGAAGCUUGCACCUGUCCGGCCACCCUUCAUAACAACAUUGGUCGAGGCAAUGUCCUUUUUCACUGGCAUACUAGAAGCGAUGGGCCAAGUUAGACCUGCACGAUACAAUGUCGAAUGUUAAAAAAUAGCCACCCGACCUUACCACCAAAAGGCAGUGCCCCUAAAACACACAACAAGCGAUUAUACCAGACUUAGGGUCUGCCCUAUUCAAGGCAUCCGACCGACCCUACCUAUCAGCGAAAAUCCUAACUAUGGAUUUUUUUUCUCUAUGACACCUCAAACAAAGGAAAAACAUACUGCAAACAAACUCUGAAAAAACCCCAACAAAGCAACAAACAUGGCAAACUCUAACCCUAAUAGGGGUUAGCAGGUCAUGCCAUUAACGAGACCUGAUGGCCCAGAAAGACCACAAAUCUAUUUUUACAAGCCUUGAAGCAACCACUUCGCAGUCGACCAAGACCCCCAAACUCCAAAAUAAUCCCCAAACAGCAACAAAUGAAGCUAUCAAGAAAAAUGGAAAAUCGGGGAGUAGUAGAGAAGAAAAACGAGCAUACCAGGAAAAUGUCUUCAACAAAGUGUCGAAGUCGAUCUGUAAAAGGCAAGAAAGAUUAGUCAGAAAGUUCGCUGAAGAAGGAGAAAUGCAGCACAACAAGCCAAAAGGACAAUGACUAUUUGAAUAUGGGAAGUGCGAAACGAAAGAAAAUAGACUGAAAGGACAAAAGUGAAACGACUAGAAAAUGUACUUCUUAGGGAUUAAUUCCCUAUUUAUAAGGAUAGACGCCCUAGAAAUUCCAAAUGACAAGACGCUUAGAAGUGCAUUCUCCAAAGCGACGCGUCGUUUGAUGACAACCUCGAUAACAACGCCUCUCCUUAACACCCUCAGAUGCCACGUGUCCUAAGGUUACUAAAAGGGUUUGAAAAAUGUUUUAACCUGCCAUUUCUGUCCAGACGAAAUACUCGAGUUAAAAUGAGGGAUUGUGGGGGCUUCCCCCAUAUAGCCAUGUGGCAGGCCACUCUUGGUCCACGUGGCAUCCUUCUAUUUCUGUCCGAAUGAUCAUCAUCAAACCGGAGUAUCCUAUCCAGCCAGUAGGUAUCAGAGACCUGUCACAUCGUGAUCCUCUAAAUUGCACAAUGCAUUUUGGGUAGAUAUCCUGGCCCACUCCUACAGGCAAUCAUUCCCCCAAGCCAUCAAUAUGUUUGACGGGACGUCACUUUGCCUUCGCAGGCGAGCUACUACAUGUUGCACCAUACUUUCUGCAAAGUGAGGUGACAAGCAAACCAUCAUGUCAUCCCCACUGGUAGCCCCAAUCAGCCACCUAAAUGGUGAUGAUUGCCCUACCAUGAACUGUGCUACCAUCAUGACUGUGAAAGUCAAGAUGCCACCUCAGCGCAGACGUGACCCCGUCGCAAACACUAUAAAAACCCUCAUACAACCAAAAUCCAGGUACGCAAUACAAGAAGCUUGAUAUAGCUCCAAAGAAUGAGCGAUUUCUCGAGCUGGUUUUAACCAAUUGACUUGGGCUUCGAAGGGUGUGUCCGAACAACUUGUUUGGACAUCUUUUUGCAGGAAAGAAAAGAGAAGUCGGUCCUCACCUACUGUAUUCAGUCAUUUCCUACUAUAACAAGGAGAAACAUCAUCUCCAGUUGAUUUAGCAUCAACAGGUGAGAGUUAAACAUGUAAUUUAUAAGUAUCCACCUCAUUCUCAUUAAUAGACACAAAAAAUAUUAACAUUUCAGCUAUGUUCAAUUCCCAAAAAAAUUGAGGGACAAUAUAAAAGAAAGAAAAUAAAAAAGAAAAAUAGAAAGAAAAAAAAAGUAAAAAAUAAAUAAAAAAUAAAUUUAAAGUUAAUAAAUUAUUUUUAUAUGUUAUUUCAAACUCAUUUCACAUAUUUUUCUUAUUUUAUAUGAAUAUUAAAUAAUUUAAAAAUAUAUACAAUUUUCAUUUAUUUUUUAUUUGAUUUUGUAUUUUUCAUAAUGAGAUUAAAAAUGAGAAAAUAACUUUUUUAAUAUACAUAUUUUUAAUACUUUUUGAAAUCAAACAUAGAAUAAAACAUUUGAACAUGAAAACCACUAAAUUCAAUAUACACUCAACAUUUGUCAAAAUGGAAAAGAUUAACGCUUACUGAGUGAUGGCUUUGUACACUCUUCCAAAACUAUCACUUCUAGAAACCUAACAUUUUCCCAAGAACUGUCAUGGAUCUUCAAUUUCCCAUUGUCAAGGGUUUUAGUAAUAGCCCAAUGCUCUAGUUUUGAAUUUCCACCCAUUCGUUUAGCAACGAUCGGCAUGAUAUUAAAUAAUCAUCAUUAUAAUUAUGUGAAGGUAUAUUUGCAUAAUCAUCAUCAACGUUGAAAUGCAUGCAUAGUACCUGAAAAAUUAUAAAGAUCCAUUAGAACCAAAAAUAAAAAAUAAAAAAUCUAAGCCCAGAGAAGGAUAACAAGGAGUUUUGAAUAUUGAGAAGACUGUUGACACAAUGGAUUAUCUUGAACCUAUAGAGUAACUACAAUACUUUGGAUGUAAACAAUUAUGUUGAACCAUAUCAAAAUUUGCUAUUUACAUCUUCUCUAUACUUUAUCUCUUCUAACAUUUUAUAUUAUUUAGUAUUUAUUUUAGUAUCUAUUACUUGCAUAUUUGUAAAAUUUCUAAAAAUAGACUAUUACUAAUUCACUCCCUUUUUAGGUGAUUACCUAAGUUUUUUAUAGUAAACUUCAGAAUAUUCACUUUCAAAGAUUGUCAUGAGCUCCCCUAAAACAUUAUGUAUUGUAAAUUUAAGAAGUAAAAAUAAAUAAAUAAAUUAAACAAUUGUUGUGAUUUUAAUACUUACUCAUUUCCUAGAACCUUAACUUUUUCCAAAGUGUCAUAGAUCUUCGAUUUCUCAUUUCCAUGGGUGGUAGAAAUAGCCCCAGGCUCUAGCUUUGAAUUUCAACCCACUUGUAAAGGCAACCUUUGUCUAGCAAUGACCCGUAUGAUGUGGAUAAUCAUCAUUAUCAUGGAAAAACAUACGUAAACACCUUCAAGAUUAUAAAAAUCCAUUAAAACUUGAGAAAUAUAGGUAUAAAGAAGGAUAAGAAAAAUCUUGAUUGAGAAGAAUGGUGAUAUAGUAGAUCAUCUUAAAACCUACGAAGGAGCUCCAAGGCAUAGUGUGCUGAACCGCAUUAAAAAUUGUUAUUUGCAUAUUCUCUACCUUUUAUCCAUUUACUUUAAGUAUUUUAUAAUAUCUAGUAUUUAUUUUGAUAACAACUAACCAACACAUUUGUAAAAAUUCUAAAAAUAGACCAUCAAUAAUUCACCUUUUUGGCUGAUUACGUAUGGUUUCCAUGAUAGACUUCACAAUAUUCACUUUCUAAGAUCAUAGUGAGCUCCCUCUUUUAACGGGAUGGGGUAAGGUUUAUGAACUAAAGCUAUGAAUAAAUAAAAUUGCAAGGAUAAUUGCUCACAGUUUUAAAUUGCAGAAUCCAUUUCUUAGAGUUUUUCGAAAACACUUCUAGUAUAAAAAACAUUUUUGAUAUAAAAAAAUAGAUAUUUAACAAAAGUUUCAAACACUUUUAAAAAGUCACAAAAACCAUUUCUAGUGUUUUUUUCGAGAAAUAUUUGAUAGAUGAUUAUCCUAAAAUAUCUUAGAGAGAAAGUAAUUCAAAUGAAAAUAUGUUCAAACUUAGGUGGUGUUUUAUUGAUUUAUUUUUACUUAAUUCUAAAUAGAAAUUAAAACUAAAUAGUCAUUAAAUAGUGUUAAGUAUGAAGUUAUUUGCUUUUAUAAUAUUUUAUUUCUAUUAAGCAAUAAAAAAUAAAGAAAUUUUUUUAUUUCUAUUAAAUAUUAAAAUAUAAAGAAAAACCAACAUAUUAUUUUUUGCAUUUAGAAAAAGUUAAAUAUUUUGCUUUUUUCUAUUCAACAAAAAAAAAUAUAAAAAGCCAUAAAAAAGUAGAAAAACAAAUAAUUUAAAGUCUGAAAGUAAAUUACUUUAAGCAAAAAAUUUAAGAAAACAAACACCCUUUAAGUAUCCACCUCAUUCUCGUUAAUAGAAACAAGAAACAUGAUACGAAGAGUGCAUUUGAUAAUAUUUCUAUUCCAAAUGUUUGUGUAAAAUUAUUUUUUAAAUGAUCACCUAUUAAGUGCUUCUUCAAAAAUUAAUAUUACAAGUAAUUUUUCAAUUUUUUAAAAUGUGUUUUUCUAAAUUUUACCAAAUCUCGUAUUUUUCUUCUACUCAUAAUUCAAUACCCAUUCAACAUAAUAAGAGGAGAGAUUGACGGGUGAUGGAUUUGUACACUAUCCCAAAACUCCCAAGUCCUAGAAGCUCAACCGUUUCCCAGAAGUUAUAAAUCUUGAAUUUCUCAUUCUCAUAGAUUUUAGCAAACGCACUAGGAUCUAGCAUUGAAUUUCCACCUGAAUACAUGCUGGUAGGCAUGGUAACAUACAAUGAUUUAUCCUGUAAGAAGAUCUACCAAGAACUAGACUAUUGUGAAACAAACUUUUGAACAGUUACUAGGGGGAGAAUAACACUUACUGGGUGAUGACUUCGUGCAUUCUACCAAAACUCCCACUUCCUAGAAGCUCAACCUUCGGCCAAGAACUAUCCAUGGAUCCUCAAAUUCCCAUUCCCAUGGGUUGCAGCAGUAGCCAUGGGCUGUAGCUUUGAAUUUCCACCCACUGGUUUGAAAGCCAACUUCUCUUUAGUGACGGCCCACAUCAUAGGGCUAACCAUUUCCAUGGAUGAGAGGACCGAAGCUUAUACCACUUCAAUCAUUACUUCGAUCGAAGAAAGAGGCAUGAUCAGGAUAAUCAGAUGCGUCAACGAUGCGACCAAACUGAGAGAUUUUCUCACCAUUAUCGCUUCCCUCAAAGAAAGCCACAUGAUUUUGGCCCAACCAAGAGAUGCUUUGGUUGAUGAUAGCAAAAGCUCCUGCUUCAAACCAUCAAUAAUAUAUCAAUGGCCCGCCGGAUCUACCCUCUUCCCAUGAAUUAUUUAUUUACUUGAGGAAUGAGUCAAGCUUAUAAAUUAUUUAUAGGUUAAUUUCAUUCACCACCCCUAAGGUUUUGAUUAAAUACAUCUAACUCUCACAGGUUUGAAAUUUUAUCAAAUACCUCAUCUAUCCUUUUCAUUUUUUAUUUUCACUCAGUCUCCCUUCUUACUCAAAAUAAGUGAAGUAUAUGAUGAAAUUUCAAACUUCUCAGUAUUAGAUAUACUUAGCCAAAAACUCAAGGAAGGUGAAUGAAAUUAACCCAUUAUUUAUUUGGUUGGCAGAGUAGUAAAUGAAGGUUCUUAUCAUGCUUGAAGUCAGACAUAGAUCCGAAACUUCAAUUUUGAGAAACACUUUAAAAAAAAAAAUGAUAAAGUAUUAAUUUUUUUUAUAAAGCCUUUGAUAGAUUAUUAGUUUAAAGAUUUUUUUAGAGGAGAUAGCAACACUCUGAAACUCUCACUAUUACUCCACUCAAGAUCAUCAUUCAUUUAUAAAAAAAUGUCACCUUAUAUUUGUUUCUAAAUCUUUAAUUUAAUAAAUAAGAUUAAAUAUAUUGUGUUUAAUUCUUUCUACUUUAAAAAUAAAAAAUAAAAUUAUAAAAAUGGAUCUAAUUUCACUUAACUUUUUUAUUUUCAUUUAUGUUAUUCAUGGCCUCCCAAGAACCUCUGCAGAAAGAGUUCAAAUCAGAAUCAAAGAAAAAUACAAUGGAGUAGUAUCGUAUGACUUUCUAACCUACGAAGAACUAAUAAACUUCGUAAACCAAGAAGUUUAUCUCUUUGCCCGCUUAUCAAAGUUAAUGUUAAGAUCAAGAAAGAUCUUAGAACCUCAAAGAAAGAAUUAGGAUCUUUUUGUGCGGGUAUGAGAAGAUUCUUCCACCCUCUAUUAAAAAAGAAAAUAUUAUAGGUCAAAACAUAGAAAACCAAAAUCAAACUGAAAAUACUCAAAAUAUAGAGGAAAAGAAAAACAAGAUUAUCAAAGAUCAAAAUCUAAAGAACAUUCAAAGAAAAUAUACAAAAGGGAAAUAAAAUUUUUCAAAUGUGGUAAAAAGGGACACGUAGCCCCAAACUAUAAAAUCAAAGAAAUUAUAAAAGACAUAGACAUACGAAGCCUUCUCAAGGAAUAGAUGACUAAUCUAAUCAAAUCAAAAUCUUCUAACUAAAUGUCCUCAAAGACAACAAGUAGUGAGGAACAACUCCUUCUAAUCGAAGAAGACUCUUUUGAAACCUUUGAUGACCUUUCCUUAAAUCCUCUUGCAACUGUGUAGAAAAUUGCCUUUGUAAUAUCAAAACUAUUAAUGUCCUAACAAGUGAACAAAACCUCUUAAUAAAAAUGAUAGAUAAAAUUCCAGACCCUCAAAUCCAACAUGAAUAUAUCAAAAAAUAUUUAGAAUUUCAAAAACAAGAAAGAGAGACUAGGGAAGCAAAUACAAAUCAAUAUAGUCUAAAACCUAUUUUGGAUCAACCUCUAAACCAAAAACAACAAAUAUUCAAGAUCUUCAAAAUGAAAUAAGUCAAAUUAAGCUUCAAAUUAGAGACUUAAUAAUUCAAAAUGAAGGAUUAGACAUUAGGCUUCAAAAAUUAGAAAAUCAUCUAAUAACCUUUAAACAGGAAAAUAAGUUAAAAACAGUAGGAUAUCAACCUGAAACCCUUACACAUAGAUUAUAAAAUUUCAAAUGUAUACAUAUGCAAUCAAAAUGUUUGUUAUAAAACCUCCUUCCUUCUAGUAAAAAAUAUGCAACAAGAAGUAAUAUUGGGAACACCUUUCUUAACUCUACUUUAUCCAUUUAAAGUAGAUAAAGAAGGAAUAAAAACAAUUAUAAAGGGCAAACGAUUUGUUUUGAGUUUGCUAGUCCUAUCAAACACAAAGAACUUAGCCUUCUCCACAAUGAUGGAAUGAAGCAACUGAAUUUAAUUCAAAAGAAAAAAAAACAUAUCAAAUUCCUAAGUAAAGAAAUUCAUUAUCAAAGAAUAGAAGAAAACCUCCUUCAAAGACAGAUCCAAGAUAUAAUAAAUAAAGUCAAAAACCAAAUUGAAACAUAACUAUGCUCUUCAGUUCCUAAUGCUUUUUGGGACACAAAGAAACAUGAAGUUUCUUUGCCUUAUAUAGAAGGAUUUAAUGAAAAUCAAAUUCCUACUAAGGCAAGGCCCAUUCAAAUGAAUGAACAUAUGUUAGAAUAUUAUAAGAAAGAAAUUUAAGAUCUCUUGGACAAUAACCUAAUAUGAAAAAGCCACUCACCUUGGAUUUGUGCGGCAUUUUAUGUUAAAAAGCCUUCAGAGAUUGAAAGAGGUGUUCCAAGACUUGUAAUCGAUUACAAGCCCUUAAAUAAGGUCCUCAAAUGUAUUGGGUAUCCAAUACCUAAUAAACGAGAUCUUAUUGGACGUCUUCAUAAUGCUUUGAUCUUUUCAAAAUUUGACAUGAAGUCUGGAUUUUGGCAAAUUCAACUUCAUGAAAAAGACAAAUACAAAAUUGCAUUCACAGUUCCAUUCGGGCACUAUGAAUGGAAUGUGAUGCCAUUCGUUUUGAAGAGUGCUCCUUCAGAAUUUCAAAAUAUAAUGAAUGGCAACUUCAAUCCCCAUACUAACUUCUCUAUAGUAUACAUUGAUGAUGUACUUAUAUUUUUUUAAUUCCAUUGAGCAUUAGUUUAAACAUCUAAACAUCUUUCAAAAUAUUGUUAAAGAAAAUGGUUUAGUGGUUUUAGCCCCUAAGAUUAAACUAUUUCAAACCAAGAUUAAGUUCUUAGGAUUCGAAAUAUACCAAAGGAAAGUCAAACCUAUUCAAAGAUCUAUAGAGUUUGCUAGCAAGUUUCUUGAUGAAAUCAAAGAAAAAACCCAACUUUAAAGGUUUUUAGGAAGUCUGAAUUAUGUGUUGGACUUCUACCCAAAUCUUAAAACCUUAAUCAAACCCUUCUAUCAUAGGCUUAGACAAAAUCCCAAGCCCUAGACUCAAGAACACACAUAUAUAAUCAAAAUUGUCAAACAAUAGUUUAAAAGUCUUCCUUGCUUAGAAAUCCUUAAUCUUUUAGUAUUUCCUAUUAUAGAAACAAAUGUCUCUAAUAUAUGGUGAUUACUACUCAAAAAGUGUUAUUUUAUAGCUUGUAAUUAACUCUUUUAAACACUUUUGAGUAGUAGUUAUUACCUUUUAACUCAAUUGGCAUGUUAAGGACCCUUGCAAUCGUUUCUAAUCAAAUUGUGUUAAGUUUUGGUGUUUUUCAUAGCUUUUUGAUCACUAAAGCAAUCCAAGAAUGAGGGAGAUCUUUGUAUAGUUCAUGGAAAAGCAAUUUGAAGCUCAAAUUCAUGAAAAAAACUAAGCUUUGGAGCUUCAUAACCCUUUGCCAAAGCCAAACGAGGAUACAAGGAAGAAAAUCACAGAAGAAAUCAACCAUCCAGCAAUUUCGCAAGUUGUGGAAUCCAACUUGCAAAAUUUUCUCAACUUGGAAAUAGGAAGAGCAAAGAAAUCGCUGCAAGAUAGAGAACUAAUUAGUUGCAGGACAAUUUCGCAACUUGUGAAACCACAAUUUCAACUUGCAAAAUGGACAAUUUCAACUUGCAAAAUUUUCGCAAGUUGCGUUUGAACUUGCGAAAUCCACCUGUAAUCUGAGAUAUUUGCGCUCCUACUCCGUUUGAUGUUUAUCUUCAGAUAUUUGUGUGUAAAUCCCUAUUUUCUCCUUGUAACCCACCAAUGACAAGUUUUUUUAUUGGAAAAUUAGCAGAAGGGAUGAAUAGCCUCUCUAUAUAAUAUCUAUUGUAAUGUUCUUUUAAAAAGAUCUCUAGGGAGUUUUUCUCGAAGACGAACUUUGUAUAGUUUUUCAGAAAGUAAUACACAGAGCUUUGCUCUAUCUUACCUUCUCAUUUUGUUUUCUCUUUUAUUUUUAUUUCUAGCAAAUCAAACUCUGAGGAUGUUUUCCUAGAGGAUGAGUGGCUAGGCUUUUUGUUUCUUGGAGUGAAGAAAGCUAGGUAAGGUUCCGAAUACAAAAGUGGAAGUUUCGUUGUUUCAAUUUUUAAUGAAGAGAAAGUGUGACCCGUUAAUGGUUUUUAUCUUUUUAAUUAACUUAAAAUCCCUUAAAAUCACCUGGGCCAACACUUGGUAAGGCAAGUGGACUCCGUCCGUUGAGAUCCACUAAUUUAUCUCUUGCGAGCCUCUGAAGGUGGUUUAAAGGUAGGAUUAUCUAGAAUAGCCAACACUUGGUAAGCUUUUGAACUCCUAGGAGACAUCCAUUAGUUAUCUCUUGCGAGCUUUUGACGGGUAAUCCAAGGUUAAGGAUCACCUUGAAUGGCCAAUACUAGGUGAGAGGUAUGAACCAUUGCAAGACGAUUCAGUGACAGGGAUUUAGUGUUUGAAACCAUUAAGGGGAAGCAUUUGUACCACACCGGUUCAGGAAAUAACUAUAUGUUAAAUCUCCAAUGCGAGGAAAAGAUCCAAGUGACCGGAAUCUCCCUUUUUGUAUAAGGAACCUGAGCCUAGUGAUCUAAAACUCCAAGAAGCACUUUUCUUUGUAAGUAAUUUUAGUUACUUUAUUUUUUGUUUCACUUAAAACCAACCUUUUCACACAUACUUAUGUUUUCUUUUAAAGUUAACCUUGAAAAGAAAAAACACCAAUUUAGUUUUUGAACUAAUAUCAGUUGUAAUUUGAAAACCCAUCUCUGUGGACGAUCCUAAAGCCACUUUGCUAUGCUAGCUAAUGCUACCCUAGUAUAUGGUGAAAUAGGUUUAUAAAUUUUGUUAAUUACUCCCGUUUGAGGACUGAAAUCAAAGCACACCAGUUGGUUAAACACCAAUCAACAGGGCAUACACCAGCUGGGCACGAAUCAAAUGGUGCCGUUAUCGGGGAUGGUGCCAACUUUACAGUGAUAUAACCUUUUCCAAAACACUUGUGAUCUUCAUGACAAGUUUGAUGACUUUUCUCUUCUUUUACUAACUCUUUUUAAUUGUUUUUUUUACUUGUUCAUAUUUUAGCCUAUCUUUUAAUUUAGUUUUUAGUUAAUCUUAGUUUUUUUUUUGUAGUAUUGUUUUCUUUUGUUUUCUUUGUUUUUGUUACAGUUGUUACUAGUUGUGUAUGCCAUAUUGGAUACGAGACAGUGGAGGAAGACAUGUGAAAAUUGAAACACCUCACAAAACAGGGUUGGAAUUGUGCUUGAACAUCAUGGAAGCUACACCUGAAGAUCAGCAUAGUCACCAUGGUCAGCAGGACAAUCCUAAUGCAUUCAGAUCAAUGAGGAACCGCAUGCAUCCACCUCGUAUGAGUGCACCAUCAUGCAUAGUGCCUCCUAUAGAGCAGCUAGUAAUCAGACUACAUAUUGUGCCACUUCUACCUACUUUCCAUGGGAUGGAAAGUGAGAAUCCCUAUGCGCAUAUUAAAGAAUUUGAAGACAUUUGUAAUACAUUCCAAGAGGGAGAAGCUUCAAUCGACUUGAUGAGGCUAAAACUAUUUCCUUUCACUCUAAAGGAUAAGGCCAAAAUUUGGCUUAAUUCUUUAAGGCCAAGGAGUAUCUGAAAUUGGACUGAUUUGCAAGCUGAAUUUCUCAAGAAAUUUUUCCCUACUCAUAGGACCAAUGGCUUGAAAAGGUAAAUUUCAAACUUCUCAAUUAAAGAGAAUGAGAAAUUCUAUGAGUGUUGGGAGAGAUACAUGGAAGCUAUCAAUGCUUGUCCUCACCAUGGCUUUGAUACAUGGAUAUUGGUGAGCUACUUUUAUGACAGUAUGUCUUCCUCAAUGAAACAACUCCUAGAGACUAUGUGCGAAGGAGAUUUCAUGAGUAAGAAUCUGGAGGAAGCCAUGGAUUUCUUGAAUUAUGUUGUUGUCAAGAUGAUGGGAUGAACCAAACAGGGGAGAAGUGGGAAGAAUGAAGUUUCAACCAAAUGCUCUUAAUGCUAAGGUUGGGAUGUAUACCUUGAACGAAGAUAUUGACAUGAAAGCAAAAGUUGAGCUAUGACAAGAAGAUUGGAGGAGCUAGAACUGAAAAAGAUACAUGAAGUGCAAGCCAUUUCUGAAACACCAGUGCAAGUUAUGCCCUGUUCCAUUUGUCAAUCUUAUGAGCACUUGGUGGAGGAGUGUCCUACAAUUCCAGCUGUUAGAGAAAUGUUUGGAGAUCAAGUAAAUGUUAUUGGACAAUUCAAGCUCAAUAACAAUGCUUCAUAUGGAAAUACCUACAAUUCAAAUUGGAGGAAUCAUCCAAAUUUCUCCUGGAAACCAAGAGCACUUCAGUACAUGCAACCAGACCAAGCAUCUCAACAAACUUCAAAUCUUGAGCAAGCAAUAGUGAAUCUAAGCAAGGUCGUGGGAGAUUUUGUUGGAGACCAGAAAUCCAUCAACGAUCAACUCAGUUAAAGAAUCGAUAGUGUAGAGAAUACGGUGAAUAAAAGGAUGGAUGGAAUGCAAAAUGAUCUAUCUCAGAAGAUAGAUAAUCUCCAAUACUCAAUCUCAAGGCUCACCAACCUUAACACAGUGCAAAAGAAAGGAAGGUUUCCUUCUCAACCUCACCAAAACCCCAAGGGUAUCCAUGAAGUGAAGGCUCAUGAGGGAAAAUCUUCAUAGGUGGGGGACAUCAAAGCCAUGAUCACUCUGAGGAGUGGUAAAGAGGUUGGGCUGCCAACACCUAAGCUACAUGAUGAAAUAGAGAGUGAAAAAGAGACAGAGAAGAUGGAGGAAAUCAAAGGAAAGAAGAAAGGGAGCAGUGGAAGGAAAGAGGACCAUGAUUCAACAGUGAAUGAAGAUCCGGAAAAGAUAGUUAUCAAUGAAGAUGUGAUGAAGAAACACAUGCCUCCACAUUUUCCUCAAGCUUUGCAUGGGAAAAAGGGAAUCAACAAUGCAUCAGAAAUUCUUGAAGUAUUGAGGCAAGUGAAGGUCAACAUCCCAUUGCUAGACAUGAUCAAACAAUUGUCGACUUAUGCAAAAUUCCUGAAGGACUUGUGCACUAUAAAAAAAGGGUUGAAUGUGAAUAAGAAAGCCUUCUUGACUGAGCAAGUAAGUGUCAUCAUACAGUGCAAGUCUCCAGUGAAGUAUAAAGAUCUGGGUUGUCCUACCAUCUCAGUGAUGAUUGGAGGGAAGUUAGUGGAGAAAGCUUUGUUGAACUUGGGGGCAAGUGUGAAUUUGCUACCAUACUCUGUCUACAAGCUAUUGGGACUUGGUGAAUUGAAGCCAACAUCAAUCACUCUAUCUCUAGUAGAUAGAUCAGUGAAGAUUCCAAGAGGGAUGAUUGAAGAUGUCUUAGUUCAAGUUGACAAUUUCUACUAUCCAGUGGAUUUUGUUGUUCUUGAUACGGACCCAAUUGUCAAAUGAACUAAUUAUGUUCCUAUCAUACUUGGAAGACCAUUCCUACCUACAUCAAAUGCAAUCAUCAAUUGUAGGAAUGGACUCAUGCAACUCAUGUUUGGCAACAUGACAUUAGAGCUCAAUAUCUUCUAUAUGUGCAAGAAGCCAAUCAAUCCGGAAGAAGAAGAAGGUCCAGAAGAGGUGUGCAUCAUUAACACUUUAGUGGAGGAGCAUUGUAAUAAAAAAAAUACAAGAGGAGUUGAAUGAAAGUCUUGGGGAUCUUGAUGAAGGGUUACCUGAACCCUCAUAUUUGCUUGCUACUCUACCACCUUAGAGGAGGAUAGAAUAAAUUCUACAUUUGUUCAAUGAGGAAGAGACACAAGAAGCUGUUAAAUAGGAGGCCUCAAAGUUUAUUCUGAAGCCACUACCCACGGAGUUGAAGUAUGCAUACCUAGAAGAGAAUAAGAAGUGCCCCGUUGUUAUAUCUUCAUCUCUUACCACUCUUCAGGAGGAGUGUUUACUUGAAGUUCUCAGAAGAUGUAAGAAAGCAAUAGGAUGGCAAAUAUCUGACUUGAAAGGUAUUAGCCCUUUAGCCUAUACACAUCAUAUAUACAUGGAAGAAGAAGCUAAGCCAGUUCGUCAACCUCAAAGAAGAUUGAAUCCUCAUAUGCAAGAGGUGGUGCGAGCUGAGGUUCUUAAGCUACUUCAAGCCGGUAUUAUCUAACCCAUAUCAGAUAGCCCAUGAGUAAGUCCUACUCAAGUAGUGCCAAAGAAAUCAGGGAUCACAGUGGUGCAAAAUGAUAAGGGAAAAGAAGUUGGUACAUGUCUCACUUCAGGUUGGAGGGUGUGUAUUGAUUAUAGAAAACUGAAUGUUGUGACAAGGAAGGAUCAUUUUCCAUUGUCAUUUAUUGAUCAAGUGUUGGAGAGAGUCUCAGGCCAUCCUUUCUAUUGUUUCUUGGACGGCUACUCCAGGUAUUUUCAAAUAGAAAUUGAUGUUGAAGACCAGGAGAAGACCACUUUCACAUGUCCAUUUGGAACAUAUGCCUACAGAAGAAUGCCUUUUGGUUUAUGCAAUGCACCUACAACAUUCCAAUGAUGUAUGUUAAGUAUUUUCAGUGAUAUGGUGGAGCGUAUUAUGGAAGUUUUUAUGGAUGAUAUUACCAUAUAUGGAAGCACAUUUGAGGAAUGCUUAGUCAACUUGGAAGCUGUUCUGAACCGAUGCAUUGAAAAGAACUUAGUGCUUAACUGGGAGAAAUGUCAUUUUAUGGUACAUCAAGGAAUUGUCCUUGGCCACAUCAUCUCCAAGAAAGGCAUUGAAAUUGAUAAAACAAAGGUGGAACUUAUUGUCAAAUUGUCAUCCCUAACAACUAUAAAAGGAGUAAGGCAAUUCCUUAGCCAUGUUGGGUUCUAUAGAAGGUUUAUUAAAGAUUUCUCUAAACUUUCAAAGCCUCUUUGUGAACUAUUGGUGAAGGAUGUUAAAUUCGUAUGGGAUGAGAGAUGUCAAAAGAGUUUUGAGCAACUAAAAUAGUUCUUGACAACCGCUCCAAUAGUGAGGGCUCCUAACUGGCAACUACCUUUUGAAGUGAUGUGUGAUGCCAGUGACUUUGCUAUAGGAGUUGUUCUGGGUCAAAGAGAGGAUGGAAAGCCCUAUGUGAUCUACUAUGCAAGCAAAACAUUGAACGAAGCGCAAAGAAACUACACAACCACAAAGAAAAAAUUGUUGGCUAUAGUUUUUACCUUGGACAAAUUUCAUGCUUAUCUGGUAGGGUUUUUCAUUGUGGUUUUCAUUGACCACUCAGCUUUGAAGUACUUAUUGACAAAGUAAGAUGCAAAAGCAAGGCUGAUUAGAUGGAUUCUCUUACUACAAGAGUUCAAUCUCCAAAUUAAAGACAAGAAAGAAGUGGAGAAUGUGGUAGCUGACCACCUUUCAAGGCUGGCUAUAGCGCAUAAUUCCCAUGGUUUGCCUAUUAAUGAUGAUUUUUCGAGGGAGUCACUCAUGUUGUUAGAAGAUGCUCCUUGGUAUACUCAUAUUUCUAACUAUCUAGUUACUAGUGAAGUUCCAAGUGGGUGGAAAGCACAAUAUAGGAAGAACUUUUUCUUUUCAAGUAUUGUGCAGAUCAAAUAAUAAGGAAGUGUGUCCCUAAACAAAAGCAAUAGGGGAUCCUCAGUCAUUGCCACAAAAGCGCAUGUGGAGGCCACUUUGCCUCUUAGAAAACAACCAUGAAGGUGUUGCAAUCAGGUUUUAGUUGGCCAUCACUUUUCAAAUAUGCUCACACCAUGUGCAGGAGCUAUGAUAGAUGCCAAAGGCUUGGGAAGUUAACACGUAGGAACCAAAUGCCUAUGAACCCCAUUUUAAUAGUUGAUCUUUUCGAUGUUUGGGGCAUUGACUUCAUAGGACCUUUCCCUAUGUCUUUUGGUAACUCUUACAUUUUGGUGAGGGUAGACUAUGUUUCUAAAUGGGUUGAGGCAAUCCCAUGUAAACACAAUGACCACAAAGUUGUUCUCAAGUUUCUCAAAGAGAACAUCUUCUCAAGAUUUGGGGUGCCCAAGGCCAUAAUCAGUGAUGGAGAUACUCAUUUUUGCAACAAGCCUUUUAAAACUCUCUUAGCCAAGUAUGGGGUGAAGCACAAGGUAGCUACACCUUACCACCCUCAAAAUUCUGGGCAAGUUGAGUUAGCAAACAGGGAAAUCAAGAAUAUAUUGAUGAAGGUAGUGAACACGAGUAGAAGAAAUUGGUCUGUUAAGCUCCAUGAUUCACUAUGGGCAUACAGAACAGCUUACAAGACUAUUCUUGGCAUGUCUUCUUAUCGCCUAGUCUAUGGCAAAUCAUGCCAUCUCCCUAUGAAAGUUGAAUACAAGGCUUGGUGGGUAAUUAAGAAGGUAAACAUGGACUUGAACAAAGUCGGGAUGAAGAGAUGCUUAGAUCUUAAUGAGAUGGAGGAAUUGAGAAAUGAUGCCUACAUCAAUUCCAAAAUUGCAAAACAGGGGAUGAAGAGGUGGCAUGAUCAGUUAAUAUCUAACAAAGAAUUUCAAAAGGGACAAAGAGUCUUACUCUAUGACUAUAGGCUCCACAUCUUUCCAAGAAAGCUCAAAUCAAGGUGGAUAGGCCCUUUCAUUAUUCACCAAGUGCAUUCCAAUGGAAUAGUGGAACUACUCAAUUCCAACAGCACAAACACUUUCAAAGUCAAUAGUCACCGUCUCAAGCCAUUCAUGGAGCCUUUCAAUCAAGACAAUGAGGAAGUCAGUCUCCUUGAGCCACAACAAUCUUAACCAAAAAGGGGUAGAUGGACUUAGUAUUUCUAAAGACUAACCAAAGUCCAUGUUUUUUGUUUCAAUUUUGUUGAUUUAAAAGCUUUAUUAUUUGUUUUAAUUUUAAUUCUAGCUUUAAUUUAUUUUAUUUUGAUCUAACUUAGACUUUUUGGAUGAUCAAAAUUAGAAGGAACUUCAAAGGAAUUGAAGGAAAGCCUUAAAGAACCAAAGAAGGAGAAAAAGCCUGAAAAACAAAGCAAUAUUUCAACUUGCAAAAAUUUCGUAAGUUGAAAUUCCAACUUGCGAAAAUGGGGGCCAACUUGCGAAAUCCUCAAAGCUCAAAUUCGCAAGUCCACCAUUCAACUUGCAAAAAUUUUCGCAGCCUGCGAAAGCACCUCCAAGCACACAUGUGCCAUUUCGCAAGUUCGUUUUCCAUUUUCACAGCCUAUGAAUCAACUUACGAAUCAAGUUGCGAAAUGGGGCAACUUGCGAAUUCCAGGGAACUUGCAAAAAUGCCAACCGUCAUUAAAUCCAUAUUUAAACCCCUAAUUCUUCCAUUUUCAUUUUGCACAGCCAUUCCAAGUUGCGAAAAAGCCCUAUCAAGUUGUAAAGCCCCAAAUUCCAGAGCAUCUCCUCCAUUGUAAGCCCUAAGGUCGUGCAUCUGAAGAGGAAACGCCUCCGCGUACCCAACAUGCACCCUGUGGAACACAAGCCGAGAAAUUCCUCUCCAUUUCAGCCAUGGCCAAGACAAGAGGAGCCCAUGUCGUGUUUCCAUCAACUCGCAAUCCAAGGCCAAGAGCUUUACCUGCACGGGAUUCCACAUCUGAGGCCCCAUAGGCCCCUACCAUUCCACCUUUUGAGGGUAGAGUGCGAUCUAACCCUCCUCAGCAUAGGUAUGAAACGAGGAGACCACCCACUACACUUGGGGCAAGCACUUUGCGCCCCAAGAGAUCAGUUCGUCACCCUCCUGCAAAGAAAGCUAAAGUUUCAGGCCCAGGAGAGUCAUCUGCACCUCCACACCCUCAGCCGCCUGCUAUAGAGUCUCAGAUUCCUUCUAGGAUGACUCCAGAAGCAAUUAUCAAGCGACCUAUGGUUACACAACCACCUAUUGAGGGAAAUUUGGAUUACAGAGCUAGGCUAUUCCACUCCAAGCUAUGUUUUGAUAUGUAGACUUUCAAACAGAAGCCGAAGCUUAGAGAUUCAUUCCGCCUACUACAGAGAUACCAUUUGGAGCACCUGAUGACUCCUAGAGACUUCUUCUAUCCUAGAGUAGCACUAGACUUCUAUCAGUCUAUGACUACUCAUCACGUCCAGAAUCCUAAUGUCACACUUCACUAUUGAUGGACGCCAUGGUAUCCUUGGAGCUAGACAGAUUGCAGAGGCCCCGCAUAUUCCAUAUGAGCCUGUGAGUCCAGCAGAUUUCAGAGAGUGGUCCCAUUUUUCUCAGAGAGACAUGGUCCGUAUAUUGUCCAGGGGGACCUCUACACGCUCAUUUCUUCUAAGGAAAGAGCUUCCACCUGGGAUGCUCCUUGUAGAUGUGGUGUUGCGCUCCAACAUCUUUCCACUUCAGCAUAUGGUGCAAAGUAGAGGAGCUAUAUUGGAGUUUUAUUCCGAAUAUCAGAGGGUUUCUGCUUUGGCCCUCAUCAUUUGAUUAUGACCUCUCUUCUCCACUUUGAAGAGAAGGUCCACAGGAAGAAGCUCCAAAGAGCAUAUGCCAUUCCAUUACUUUUUCCCAGGCUACUCUGUCAGAUAUUAGAGCAUUUGGGUUAUCCUUCUGAGCCUCAGCUUGAGCGUCACCGCAUUUUUCGAGAGCUAUUCACUCUUAACAAAUGAAAUCAUUUAACGGCCUAUGUUGCACCUCCAAGAGCCCCAGAUAUGCCAGCACCUCUAAAGCCACCACAGGAUGAGCAGCCACCACAGACACAACAAGCACAGUAGGCUGAGAUACCUACAGAGAUCAUACCACCUGCCCCUGCAGCACCUUCUACAGUGCCCACACCUGAGGCUACAUCUUUUGCUCCUCCUACCACUCCUAAAGCUCCACCAGUUGUACCAGUUACAUCAUCACCUCCUCCAUCUAAGUCCUCUAUCACCAUAUCCACUUCAGAGUUUAGAGGCCUAUGUGAUACAUUGCAAACAUUGAGCACCACUCAAGGUGCUCUCUUCCAGCAGAUGGCAGUCAUACGUGCACAUCAGGAUCAGCUUAUUACCAUGCAAACCCAGCAUACUACCAUCAUUAGUCAGAUACAGCAGCAUUUGGGUAUUCUGCCACCACCUGAGCAUGAUAUGCCUAGCCCAUCAGAGCCUACAGCUCCAUUUAAGGAAGCUACUCCAGCAGAGCAGACUAUGCCUCAUGAGGAGACUACUACAGCAGAGGUCGAGACUCCUAUCCAGAGCACUCAGGAGACCACAGUAAAGUCAUUGUCUCCACAUGAUCCUCCCACCACUACCUGAUCAUCUAUAUACUUUUUGUAUUUACUUAUUAUAGCAGAACUGUUAAUCUCAUGUUUUUUAUGUUUUCUAUAUUGGGAUUGGAUGUAGUACUUGCGCAUACUUUCUUAAAGUAAUACAUAUCCAUCAUUUUUUAGUAUACUUGGCAUAUUUUUAUUUAUUUCCUCUACUCAUUAUUUUUUUUUUAGUUUUUUGAAUCAUGUGGUUUCUCCUAUACAAUUCAGACUCUAUUCCACUCAGGAGGUACCACUUCCUCCCUUUAUUUUCAAUUACUCUUCACACAUUGAGGGCAAUGUUUAGCAUGGUUAGGGGGAGUUGAGAAAGGAAGUAUUUUUUAUAAUGCUAGGUUAUAAAUGGUAAUUUAGUUACUUUUUGUUUAAAUUUUUUUAAAAAUAAAAUUAAAUACUCUUCAUGGUUAUCAAGGAAAAAUUCUCAAAAUGAAAUGGGAGAAAUUGAAUUUUUGUCUUUUUACUUGACUUAGAGUUUGUAUUAUGCUUAUUAAAGUUGAUGAACUGUUGAAAAUUCUAUUGAAUUCAACCUUAUUUCUUCCACUUUAAGCUUACCACACACUGUGCACACUAGGUUCCGAUUAUAAGAUGAAAAACUAUUUCACCCAUUGACUUAGGAAAUUUUAAACUUGGUACCUUUGACCUCAUUUUAAUAAUUUUGGGACACCUUAGAAAAGGCCGAUGAGCCUUUGAAAAGAGAAUAAAGAAAAAAAAAUGUUUUACUUGCCUUGAAACCCGAGCAAGGUCUGAGGAGUAUAUGGUAAAAAUCUUUAAAACCUGAUGCCCUAAACCUUCAUUGGUUGGGAGUCACCAACCUCAAUGCUCGUUACAAGGGUGAAUAGGUGGAGUUUAACAUACUGUAGGUGCUUGGGUAUUGAAUUCCAAUCUCAAAAGUCCGGGGUAAAAUCCGAGGAGUUAGUAGUCGAAAGAUCCUUAAGCUUGAUGCCCUAAACCUUAAUUAGUUGGGAGUCAUCGAUGGACCCCCGUUACAUGGACAAUUUAGAAAAGAAUACCUUUAAGCUUUGUACUCCUACAAGAAAAAAAAAGUGUGAAAUAAAUGAGAUGUGUUCUUAGCCUAUUGGAGGUUGUCAGUUUGCUAAGAUUUGAAAAAGAGCUAAGUUGGGGGGAGAGAUUAGUUCAGCAUACUAUAUUCAGAAACUAAUAAGUAACACUUAGAUUUUUGUGGAAGAGUAAGGAUUGACCCUUUGGGAGUGGAAAUUCUUUUAAAGCUUAAAUUUGCAUAAUGUCUUCUCUUUAUGAAUUGUGAUUAGGCAAUUUAUUUGAUAACUCUUGUUGAAGUUUGAGUUUUAUAUCUUUAAUGUUCCAUGUGAGAGUAUGAUCAUCAUGCCACUUGAAAUUUUUUAGAAUGAUCAGCAUGAUGUUGCAAAUUAUAGUACUAUUUAUUUUUAUUUUUCUCUCUUUCAUUACUAAGGGACUAGUAAUAUGUCGGUUGGAUGGAGUGAUUACUACUCAAAAAGUGUUAUUUUAUAGCUUGUAAUUAACUCUUUUAAAUACUUUUAAGUAGUAGUUAUUACUUUUUAACUCAAUUGGCAUGUUAAGGACCCUUGCAAUCGUUUCUAAUCAAAUUGUGUUAAGUUUUGGUGUUUUUCAUAGCUUUUUUAUCACCAAAGCAAUCCAAGAAUGAGGGAGAUCUUUGUAUAGUUCAUGGCAAAGCAGGUUGAAGCUCAAAUUCAUGAAGAAACUAAGCUUUGGAGCUUCAUAAGCCUUUGCCAAAGCCAAACGAGGAUGCAAGGAAGAAAAUCACAGAAGAAAUCAACCAUCCAGCAAUUUUGCAAGUUGUGGAAUCUAACUUGCGAAAUUUUCGCAACUUGCGAAAUAGGAAGAGCAAAGGAAUCGCUGCAAGACAGAGAGCUGAUUAGUUGCAAGACAAUUUCGUAGCUUGCGAAACCACAAUUUCAACUUGCGAAAUUUUCGUAAGUUGCGUUUGAACUUGCUAACUCCACCUGUAAUCUGAGAUAUUUACGCACCGACUCCGUUUGAUGUUUAUCUUCAGAUAUUUGAGUGUAAAUCCCUAUUUUCUCCUUGUAACCCACCAAUGACAAGUUUUCUUGGUUGGGAAGUUAGCAGGAGGGGUGAAUAGUCUCUCUAUAUAAUAUCUAUUGUAAUUUUCUUUUAAAAAGAUCUCUGAGGAGUUUUUCUCGGAGACAAACUUUGUAUAGUUUUUCAAAAAGUAAUACACAGAGUUCUGCUCUACCUUACCUUCUCAUUUUGUUUUCUAUUUUAUUUUUAUUUCUAGCAAAUCAAACUCUAAGGAUGUUUUCCCAGAGGAUGAGUGGCUAGGCAUUUUGUUUCUUGGAGUGAAGGAAGCUAGGUAAGGUUCCGAAUACAAAAGUGGAAGUUUCGUUGUUUUAGUUUUCAAUGAAGAGAAACUGUGACCCGUUAAUGGUUUUUAUCUUUUUAGUUAACUUAAAAUCCCUUAAAAUCACCUGGGCCAACACUUAGUAAGGCAAGUGGACUCCAUCCAUUGAGAUCUACUAGUUUAUCUCUUGCAAGCCUCUAGAGGUGGUUUAAAGGUAGGAUUAUCUAGAAUAGCCAACACUUGGUAAGCUUUUGGACUCCUAGGAAACAUCCAUUAGUUAUCUCUUGCGAGCUUUUGACGGGUAAUCCAAGGUUAAGGAUCACCUUGAAUGGCCAAUACCAGGUGAAAGGUAUGAACCAUUGCAAGAUGAUUCAGUGACAGGGAUUUAGUGUUUAAAACCAUUAAGGGGAAGCAUCUGUACCACACCAGUUCAGGAAAUAACUAUAUGUUAAAUCCCCAAUGCGUGGAAAAGGUCCAAGUGACCGGAAUCUCCCUUUUUGUAUAAAGAACCUGAGCCUAGUGAUCUAAAACUCCAAGAAGUACUUUUCUUUGUAAGUAAUUUCAGUUACUUUAUUUUUUGUUUCACUUAAAACCAACCUUUUUACACAUACUUAUGUUUUCUUUUAAAGCUAACCUUGAAAAGAAAAGACACCAAUUCAAUUUUUGGAACUAAUAUCAGUUGUAAUUUGAAAACCCAUCCCUGUGUACAAUCCUAUAGCCACUAUGCUAUGCUAGCUAAUGCUACCCUAGUAUAUGGUGAAAUAAGUUUAUAAAUUUUGUUGAUUACUCCCGUCUGAGAACUGAAAUCAAAGCACACCAAUUGAUUGAACACCAAUCAACAGGGCAUACACCAGUUGGGCAUGAAUCAUAUGGUAUGGUGGUAUUCUCAAACAAAAUUUUCAAAAUCAAAUGUCCAUUGCCUAUUUUUAUUCAAGAAUAUGGAGUGGACCCCAAGAAAACUAUUUAACUAUUAAAAAAGAAAUUUUGGCAAUUUUUUUAUACAUUCAAAUAUUUCAAGAAGAUGUUUUUAAUAAAAAAAAAAAUUCUUCUUUGAGUUGAUUGCAAAAGUGCCAAAGAAAUUAUUCAUAAGGAUGUUCAAAAUAUUAUUUAAAAAUAGAUUUUUGCUUGAUGGCAAGCACUUUUAUCUUCUUUUUUUUUUUUGAAAUUGAAUUUGUAAAAAAAGAUUCAAACUCUCUCCCUGAUUUUCUCUCUCAGGAAUUUCUACAGGGAAAAUGAGCAACUCAAAAUCCAACAAACACAUGCCCAAUUCAAAAGCAUCUUAUGUUAUACUUAUUGAAAAACCUAAAGUUUCGAAGACCCAAUCUCAAACCCCUAUUUCAAACCAAUUCCAAGUCUUAGGAAAUAUUCCUAAGCCUUCUCAAACCUUUGCCUAUGCAACCCAAACCUCAAAAUAGGCGUCUUGCAAUUAUGUUACAAAAGGCCAUUUGAUGAAGGUGUGGAUUCUUGAAUCUCACCACUUUUCAAAGUCUGGUUCGUUGGACAUUACAAAAAUAUUUUCAAAAGGAAUUUUUUUUUUUCAAAAUGAUUUAGUCAAAAUAAGAAAAUUUUAUGAGUUUAUCCUAGUUGAUAUUGACUCUGUGGAAAUCACUCAUAUACAAAACAAGGAUUCCACAUACAUUUGCUAUUCAAAAUGUAAAAUUUUCAAAAUUAUUUUCAGAAACCCAAUGGGGACAGUCUCCUGAUACCUAUAACAUGUUUCUCAAAACUUCAAACCAGCAUCAUACGAUUAUCAUGAUUAUGUAGAUGCUUGGUUUUACACAUUUUUCUUCAAUUUUUUUUUAUUUAUCAUUCUUGGUUCUUCCAAUGGAAUGAUAAAAUUAAAAAUGACUUUUCAAAUUCGUUUCAAGAAUGGUGGCUAUGUUUUGGCACCAUCCCUGAAAUCUUUUGUCCUCAAAUCAAAUCUACCUAUGAUUAUUUCAAAGAGCAUGUUAGGAGAUUGAUCCCUACUCCUUGUUUUCAAGCCCUUUUCUUCACUUCUAGAUUCCAAAUCCCAUGGAUUCUAUGUUGGGACUUUGUCAAAACACAAAUGAUCAAAAGUUCAUUUCCCACGCAUUUGGCAAAGGAAUUUAAAGUCAAAUGGUGGUCAAACUUUGUACCUGCCACUUCCUAGUAACUUCCUCAUAUAAAAAAUUGGAAUGCAACACAUGCUCUUUCCAAUAUUGAAACACUUUUUCAAAUACCUUCUCUUCUUUCAAAUAACUUUAUCCCCUCUCAAAAAGUCUCUCUUGCAAUACUUUCUUCAAACAAGUAGUUUCAGGCUCAUCUCAAGUUUUUAUAGCAAUAAGCCACUAAAACCUUGUCAUAGCUUGGUUCUGCUUAUGAUGACGACACUACUUCCCCAAGCUUUAAAGAGCCUUAAAAUGAAGACAUGUGCUAUAAAAUGCCAUACAUGGCCUUGGAGUGAUGCUUCAAAAGCCUCUUCAAAAACAAUAUUCAAAUCUCUUCAAAAGUCGGAAUUGGGAGGUCAUGUCAACCGACAGUUGGUAGUUCUCUCCUUGGAUUAUACCUUCUAAAGAGAUUUUGGACAUCGUGGCAAGCUUUUAAAACUUUUCAAGACAAUCAAAUUUUCAACAACUAGAUGAAACUUUCAUCCUGUUGUGGACUUCAAAAUUUUCAAAUCCUGGUGGACACCUCAACAAAACUGCCUACAAAACAGUGGACUCAAACUUGUGGAUUUCAAAACCAUUGACAACUGGCAUAUGAUGACAAGUUACUUUCGAUGGAUCCAAAGUCUUUCAAAUUCGUGGAUUUUAAAGCUUUUCAAAUAUGUCACUAGAGCUCUAUAUAAGGGGUCUCUUCCUUCAUUGUGGGACAUUAGCCAAAAUUUGUGAGAGUUGAGAGAAACUAGUUGUGAGAAAAUCCAAAGCCUUGUAAUGAAGAGUUCUGCUUAAAGAAGCUCUACUCAAAGUUUGUAAUUUUCAAAAGUUUGCGUGUUCUCCUAUUUUAAUAACAUUUUAAAUUCCAAAUUCAAUUUUUGUCUUUCUUAUUUUAAAUAUCUUGUUUGAGGAUGAUGAACUCUAUUGAAUCUUUGUCUAGUAGACUGGGUUUUAAGUGAGACUGCUUGUGACUCCUCCAGUCUUUACUGAGAGAAUUCAUCAAAGUUCAUAUUGAUUUUGAAAUUUGAAGUCUUUCAUCUUUCUCUUUUGAUUUCAAUUUCAAUCCUACUAAAAGUUGGUAUAAGAGCCAUGUCUUGUUCAUUUCAUUAUUUAAAUUUGCAUUUUAAUUUAUGAUUAUUUGUUUUAUGAUUCAAACAGUUAGUGUUGGUCAGUCCUCAGUUAGCGUUGUCAUUUGUUCCUUGAUUAUUGAUAAAUGAUUAGUCUAAAGACUUUUUUAGAGGAGAUAGAAACACUGUGAAACUCUCACUAUUACUCCACUCAAGAUCAUCCUUCAUUUAUAAAAAAAAACAUCUUAUAUUUGUUUCUAAAUCUUUAAUUUAAUAAAUAAGAUUAAAUGUAUUGUGUUUAAUUCUUUAUAAUUUAAAAAUAAAAAAUAAAAUUAUAAAAAUGGAUUUAAUUUCACUUAAAUUUUUUAUUUUCAUUUAUGUUAUAAAAUGGCAAUAUAUAUAUAUAUAUAUAUAAACCCAAGUGAUACUUCCUUGGAUUUAAAAUAAAAAAAUUAAUAAAUAUAUAAAUUGAAUGGAUAGAUUAUAACACAACCUCGAAAAUCAUAAAGCAUGUGCCUUAAAAGUAUCAAAAGUAUGGCAUUAUUCAAAAAGAGUAGGUAAUAGCAGCAGAUAUACCUAGUGCCUAAAAUUAAAAAUAUGUCUAGCCUUAUUCAAAAGUAGCCACUAGAAAGUGCCUUAAAAAAAAAAAAAGAGUGUUUAGCUAGGUUGGCAAUUCCAGACAAAGUUCCUAAGUGUCUCCUAACUCAAUUUUUCCAAUCCUUCUAUGGACUACUAACGAAGAUCAAGUUGUUGAAUUUGUCAAGAGACUAAGGUAUAUAGUUGAAGUUGGAGUUGGAUGGAAUUGAAUCAACCAUAUUAUUUAAAUGUUGUUUUACUUAAAUAUUUUUUAAGGAGUUAGGAAGGUUUAGGAAGUUGUUUUUUUUUUACUAAAUGUUCAAAAUGCACUGUUCCAGGAUCGGUCCAGCUUUAGGUUGGAUCGAUCCAACUUACAUUUUUUUGAUGAAAUUUCAUCCGUUGGAUCAAGGGCUUCCUUCAAUUUAAAAACCCAAAACUUGCUUCUUGUGUUGUAUGUAGUAAGAGACAUAGCAACAACCAUCCCCUUUGGUUCUCUUCUUCUUUCCUAUUUUGGAGUGUUUGGUUGUCAAGAAAAUCCAACUUUCCUAUUGUUUUCAAUGGAUUUUCUUGAGGAAAAAAAUAGGUUGAUUCAUUCUUUCAUUCAUCUUUCAAUUUCUAAUCUAUUUAGGUUUGGCUAAAAACCCAUUUUUUUCUUGUGUGGAUUCAAUAAGAGAUCGAGAUCAAGCUUGGUGUGGACUCUAAGUGUGCUCCAAAAGAAGAAUGUGGGAAGUUGAAAGUGAAAGGUACUAGUGAAGUGGUCUAUGAAUGAUUGGUAAGCUUGAGUUAGGUAAAACUUUGUAUUCAACUUUUGCUUUUCAUAGUGGACGUUUUUUUAUCAAUUGUAGGCCUGUCGUUUUUUUUUUUUUUUUUAAUCUUUUCGGAAGUUUUCCACGUUAAAAUUUAGUGUCAUUGUCUCAUUGUCUCAUUCUACUCUUUGAUUUAUUUUCAGUUUUUGAUAUCAUUGGUUACUUGGGCAUAUAUGUUGAAUGGAAGAAAAAUGAGUUGAAAUAGGAGUGAUUAUCCAUUGGAUAUCUUGAAUAAUUUUUCUAUUCAUUUUGGUAAUGAUAUCUUGUAGUAAUUGGAAAUGAGUUAAGAAGAGAAUUGUUCUUAUGAAUUAAUUUUGAGAGUGUUGAAGCAUUUGCAUAUAAAUUACAUUUAUAAAUUGUUGGAAAAGUGUUGUUGCAUUCAUACUUGCUUGUGAAUUUUAUUCUUUGUUGAAAAGAAGUUCAUAGACAUUGAGAAAUUUUAAGGUUAGGUAAUUUUUGUUGGGAGAUUUUUUUAAGUUUGUUCAACAACACCUAUUCAAUCCCCUCUCCCCUCUAGGUGUAAUCCAUUAUUGAGAUUCACCUUUAAAAAAGUAUAGUACUAGUAAAAAAAAAAAAGAAAAUAAAGGAUAGUAGCAUGAACAUUUAAUCCUAAAGUGUCAAUAGAUGUAGAUAUAUUUUUAAAAUAAAAAUAAUAAUACCUUUAUAUAAGAUAUAAUAAUUUUUAGAGAUUUAUAUUAAAAAAAUAGUGAUUGUAAAAACUAUUUUAAAAAUUUUAAGGUAUAAAAAAUAUAAAUUAAAUUUAUUAUUUUUGUAUAAGACUCUGCUUUUAUAUAAAAUAUUUUUAUUUUAAAAAUAAAAAAUAAAAAAUGUAUUAGACAUUUAAUAAUUUUUUUAACCCUCUAAAUUAUAUGGGUUGUCUUUCCUCCUACUAUGUCUAAAAUAGAUACUCUAGUGUACUCUUUUGACUUUUUGACUCAAGAAUUUUGAAACUAAAGUUUCUAAAAUUAAGAUUCCAAGGAUUUGCUAAUAGUUGGCAAGGUAAUUGAUUUUGGGUUGAAAGGGUUUAGGGAUGAUGUUUGAAUUAAUGAGUCAAAGGUGUAAGUAUUAAUAAGAAUGUGUAUAAGUUCAAAAGUGUAGGUAGCAGUAGGGCCUGGGUAGAACAGAUUGGUGUUGAGAGUGAAAAGAAGUAGGCACUAAAAUGCACGGGAGCGCACACACUUGCUGAUGGCUGAUUUGGUUUUUUCUUUUUUUUCUAAUUUUUUAUUAUUUUGUUUAAUUGGAAGGAAGAAUGUGCAUGCACCAUCCACACAUGCCUCCAUUGUUUGGUUAAUUGUUUUGUUUUGUUCCUUCUCUUUUUUUUUUCUUUAUUUAAUUUAUCCUCUACUUUCUUUCUUGCCUUUGUCCUUUUUUUUUAACUCACUUUCUUAUGCAACCCAACAAAUUAAUUAGGCCGCACCUAUGCUAAGCUUUCAUCCCUUGGGUUGGCAUUCAUCCUAAGCUCAAGUUCAUUUGUUCAACCCUUAUCCCAUAUUCAAUCCAAACUGUAAUAUUCAAGCCUAUUUUUGAAUCUCUAGUUUGACCAAUGUUGGAAUCAUGUAAGCAAGGUAUCAUACAUGUUAAGAUGUGGGGAAAAAUGGUUAAAACUAUUUCUAACCUUUGUCGCUUUUUUUUUUCUAUCGUUUUUAACAUGUGUUUCCACGAAAUCGUACAAGCAGUAAAUAUUUUUGUUAAUUAAUUUCUUUCCUAUUAACUAACUAAUGUUUGUCAAAGACAUUAAUAACAUCAACUACUAACUAGGUCUAUGAGAUUGUUGUUUGGUAUUGAAAACAUACAUAUAAAUAUUUAAAAUUAUUAAGGGUAUUUAUAUCAAAAAAGAUUACUCUUUCAACAAAAACAUGAGGCGCAUUAAAUUCAUAAAUAUUUGGAUUAUUUUAUUUUUUAAUCAAUUAAUUUUAUUAUUAAUGUCAAUAAAAUAUGAAAUUUAGACCAUUAAACACCAAUAGUCUGUCUGCCCAUUGAUUCGACUCAUGGUAGCUUAGCUUUAAAGGCGUAUCAACAAAAUUUAUACCUUGAAUACUAUUACUAAAGUAGCCAAGCUACUAUAGCAUAGUGGUUCUAGGAUCGUUCACUAGGAAGGGUUUUCGCAAACACAAGUGAUAUUCAAAUUAGGAAAAUAGGUGAUUUUCUUAUGGAUGUUAGCUUUAAAAGAAGAUGUAAAUGUUUUAGAAAGAUUUAAACUAAUCUAAGCUAACAUUAAACACUAAAAUGAAAGGGUGUAAAAACAAGUUUCUCAAAGAUAGGAUAGCUAUGCUCUGGCUCUUAUGCAAAUUGGAAAUCUUAGGAUAGGCUCCUCGCGUUGGGGUUGCAACUAUGGUGAUGCUUGCUUCCCGAACCGGUAUGGAUUUAGCAAAUCAAGUUUUAAUCCUUGAAAAUGGCAAAACAGAUGGUAGUGAAUUUCAUCAAUGGUUAUUCACCUUAGACUUCCUUUGAAUGGCUCGUAAGAGAUAACUAAUGGUCUAAAGCCAAAAGCUUACCAAAUAUUGGCAACUCAAAGUCAUUCCAGGUGAUAAACUCACCUUUCAAUGGCCAUUGAAAUUGGUUCUAAUGGAUUAAUGCAAAACUCGGAAUUGAAAACCUCGCCUUCCAAUAGCUCGUAGGAGAUAACUAAUGGAUAGAAAUCCAAAAGCUUAUCAAGUAUUGGCCGUUGGAAGUUGUCAAAAGGAAAUAAAAACCAAACUUUGCAUUAAUGAACCAUUAAUGAAAAACGACUACCUUACCUUCCGGGUGCGAGAAAUUUCCAUGGGAUUGCAUCCAAGCCAUCACAUAACAUCCAUACUUUGAGAAACUAAAAGUUUUAGCCAAUCAUCCUUUGAGGAAAAACCCUCAGAGGCUGUUUGGCUACUAAGAAAAUAGAAACGGGAGAGCUCUGUAAAAAUUCUAUAUAUUGAUCGAUAUUCAAUUACAACGGAUGCAAGGGAAUAUAUAUAGAGAAGUUUUUCCAAUCCUUCCUAGCUAAGAAAUCUUAUGAUUGGUGUAUUACAAGGAGAAGAAUGGAAAUUUAUACAAAAAUAUCUAAAAGAAAAGAUCUUGUGUGGAGUCGGCAGAAACAGGGGAAAAUUCGCACGUUGGAGUUCCAAUUUCGCACCUUGGUUUGAGGUGUGCGAAAUUCCCACACUUUGGACUGAGGAAUUUCGCACCUUGCACAGUGGUGUGCGAAAUUGUCCCUCAGCUUGAUGCAGUUGUCUUCCGAAGGCCAUAUCUUCCUCAUUUCAGCUCCAAAUCAUACACGGUUUGAAGCGUUGAAUUCUUGACUUCCUGAGCUUUGAAAUGGUAUAUAGCAUGUAGAAAAUGGACUUCAGGAAGUGCUCCAAAAGUGUCAAAGAAGACUGCAGCUGCUGUCCUCUAUUUUCCUCUUUGCUUCUUUUUGCUUCUCUUUGCUUUUCUCCUUGCAUACUUUGAACGACUUUGGCAAAGGGCUAUGGAGCUCCAAAGCUUGGUUCUUCAUGAAUUUGAGCUUCCAAAAGCUUUGCCAUAACUUGUCCAAGUAGCUCCUCCAUCAUUUGGCAUGCUUGAAUUGAUUCAUAAGCUGAUAAAAACAUGUAAACUUGCCACAAAAUGGUUAAAACCAAUUACUAAGGACCUUAAUGAAUUAAUUGGGUUAAAUGAAUAUGAUUACUACUCAAAGGUGCUUAAAACCAUUAUAAUUAGGUCUACAAAAUAGCACUUUUUGGUAGUAAUCACACCCCCCAACCGACUCAUUGCUAGUCCCUUAGCAAUGGAGGAGAUAAAAACUAAGUAAACUAUAAUAAUUACAUAAAAGGGAUCAUGCAAGUCACUCCAAAAAAUGAUAUGAGUGGCAUGAUUGGAUCAAACUCUCACAUGGCAAGUCAAGGAUAUAAAACUCAAUCAUCAAUAAGAGUCAUCAAAUAACUUACCUAUCACAACAUGCAAAGAGCGGGCAUUAUGCAAAUUUGAGUAUCAAAAUAAUUUCCACUCCCAAAGGACCAACACUUAAUCUUCCACAAAAAUCUAUGUGUUAUUUAUUAGUUUCCGAAUAUAGUAUGUCAAACUAAUCUCUCCCCUCAACCUAGUUCUUUUCAAAGCUUAGCAAACUAAUCAACCUCCAAUAGGCUAAGAACGCACCUCUUUUCUUUCAUAAUUUUUUUCUUGUAGGAGUGCAAAGCUUAAAGGCAUUCUUUUCUAAAUUGUCCAUGUAACGGGGGUCCAUCGAUGACUCCCAACCAAUCAAGGUUUAGGGCAUCAAGCUUUAAGGAUUUUUCAACCACUAACUCCUCGGAUUUCACCCCGGACUUUUGAGAAUGAAUUUUAAUACCCAAGCACCUACAGUAUGUUAAACUCCACCUAUUCACCCAUGUAACGAGCAUUGAGGUCGGUGACUCCCAACCAAUUAAGGCUUAGGGCACCAGGUUUUAAAGAUUUUCACCAUAUACCCCUUAGACCUUGCUCGGGUUUCAAGGCAAGCAAACAUUUUUCUUUUUCUUUCUUUUUCCAAAGGCUCAUUGGCCUUUUUCAAGGUGUCCCAACACUAUUAAAAUGAGGUGAAAGGUACCAAGUCUAAAAUUUUCCUAAGUCAAGAGGGAAAUAGUUUUUCAUCUUAUAAUCGGAACCUAGUGUGCACGGUGUGUGAUAAGCUUAAAGUGGAAGAACUAAGCUUGAAUUCAAUAGAAGUUUCAACAAUUCAUCAACUUUAGUAAGCAUAAUACAAACUCUAAGACUAUGGCAAUAAGAUAAGAAUUUAAUUUUUCCCAUUUACUUUUGAGAAUUUUUCCUUAAUAACCAUGGAGAGUAGAAUAAAAACUUAAAAAAUUUUAAAAUUAAGCAAAAAGCAACUAAAUUAAAAUAACUUAGCAUUAAUAACAAAACUUCCUUCCUCAACUCUCCCCCCAACCAAGCUGAACAUUGUCCUCAAUGUUUCAAAAGUGAUUAAAAAAAUAGAGGGAGGAAGUGGUACCUCCUGAGUGGCAUGGAGUCUAAGUUAUGUAGGAGAAACCACAUGUUUCAAAGAAAACAUAAGAGUUAGUGAGUAGAGGAAAUAGAAAAAUGCCAAGUUUAAACAAAAAUGAUGUCUAUAUAUGAUGUAUCAUCAGUAAUACAUCCAAUCCCAGAAUAUAAGACAUCAAAACAUGGAUUUAUGUAUACUAAUAUAAUAAGUAAAUACAAAAAAUAAAGAGAUGAUCAAGUAAUAGAAGGGUCCUGUGGAGCUGAUGCAUUUGUGGUGGCCUUCUGAGUGGGUUGGAUCAGGACUUUGGCCUCUAUUCUGGUAUUCUCCUUGGAUGGCAUAGUCUCCUCUGUUGGGGCUCUCAGUUGGAGCUAUGGGCUUUGAUGGUUUUAGGAGGUAAGAAAUGGAAUGAGAGGCUUGGUGUGUGAUCCCAAGGUGCACGGGGCUGUUCUCUCCUCUAAUGCAUGUUCCUGAGGCUUGGAAAGGAUUUUUCGUGCGAAAUUCCCGCUUAGCUUUGUGUAGUCUGUCUUCAAACGGCUAUAACUUCUUCGUUUCAAAUCCAAAUCAUGUACCGUUUGAAGCACUGGAUUCCUGACUUCCCAAGCUUCAAAAUGAUAUAUGGUAUGAAUAAUUUGAGCUCCAGAAAGCACUCCAAAAACGUGUCCAACAGUAGCGAAAUGGGGUGCGGCUGCAACAUUUCCAUUCAGCUUUGCACAGUCGUCUUCAAACGGCCAUAACUUCUUCAUUUCAAAUCCAAAUCACUCACCGUUUGAAGCAUUGGAUUCCUGACUUCCCAAGCUUUAAAAUGAUAUAUGACAUGAAUAAUUUGAGCUCCAGGAAGUGCUUCAAAAACGUGUAUAACAGUAGCGAAAUUUGGUGCGGCUGCAGCAUUUCCGUUCAGCUUUGCAUAGUUGUCUUCAAAUGGCCAUAACUUCUUCGUUUCAAAUCCAAAUCAUGCACCGUUUGAAGCGCUGGAUUUCUGACUUCCCAAGCUUUAAAAUGACAUAUCAUAUGCAUAAUUUGAGCUCCAGGAAGUGCUUCAAAAAUGUAUCCAACAGGAGCAAAAUUUUCGCACCUUGGACUGGAAAUUUCGCACCUUGGAUUGAGGUGUGCGAAAAUGGCACCCUUUGGACUGAGGAAUUCGCACCUUGUUUCGCACGGUGCGAAAAUGGGCUUGAGGUGUGCGAAAUGGCACUCGUGUGCCAGGAGGUGGUUUCGCACGGUGCGAAAAUUUUCGCACCUUGAAUUGAGGUGUGCGAAAUUCCCGCUUAGCUCGGUCCAGUUUUCUUACAAUGACUAUAACUUUUUCAUUUCAACUCCGAUUUGGACACCGUUUGAAGCGUUGGACUCCUGACUUCCCGAGCUUCGAAACGGUAUAUAGUAUGUAUAAAAUAGACUCGAGGAAGUGCUCCAAAAUAUUUCCCGAAAGUGGCAAUAGAACCAAUGGCCAGAAUUCUCUCUUCUCUUCCUUUCCUUUCAUCAUUUUUGCAAUUCCUCCUACAAUGAUCAUCCAAAAACAUAUGUUAAAAAGAAAGCAUAGAAUUUAAAUGAAGCUGAUAGCAUGUACCCCAAAAAGAAGAUGAACUAUUUAGCUCAUCCUCACUCACACACCCACUUCAGGCUGAAUUCCCCCUGGAUCCCAAACAAAAUUGGCAUCCUUCCCAUUUGGUCCAAGGGAAUUCGUUUCUCUUCUCUUCCCUAGAGAAGUGGAUGCUUUAAAGGGUUCAAGUAACCCUUUAUCAUCUUGAACCUUAUGAUUUUCAAUGGAAGGUUGGUCCAUAGAGUUGUCAUAGCAAUCCCCCACCAAAGUGUCGAUCUUCAACACUUUCCUUGAUCUUUUUGCAUUGGUUCCUUGAAGGUUAUGGUGGGGUUGAGGAGGAAGCUUCCUUUUCCCCCUUGCUAUGUCGAGAUUGGUGAGCUUCUCAAUGGAGUCUUGAACUUUUUCUAUCCUUAGUGAUAGAUCAUUAUAAACCCCCUCCAUUCUUACAUUUAUUGAACUCUCCAUAUUAUUAAUCUUUUCAUUAAGCUGAGAGUUGAUCUUUUGUUGCUCACCUACAAAGUCCUCCAUGACUUUGCUUAUCUUCAAAAUGGCUUGCUCCAAUGAAGAUGUACUCAUUGAUGGUUGAGGUUGAGGUUGGGUUGCAAGGUUGGGAUGGUUUAUAUACUCAAAUGAAGUUGGCAUGGCUUGUGGUUGUGCUUCAGUAUGCACAUUCCUCAAUUCAAACUCUUCUAUCCUUCUAGCCAUAGAUGCUAGCUUUGCCUUCAUGCUCAUGUCUUCAUUCAAAGCAUACUUACUACCCCAUUGGCUUUGUUGAGCUUGCCUUUUCCCUAAUUCAAUCCGAUCCCUCAUGGAUAAGUAUGCAAAUUUGUCCUUCUCAUGAUCAUAAUGAGAGCUUUGAUCUUCAUGUGGAAUGUCCAUUUAUAAAAAAAAAAUGAUAUUCAACUAAGGCUCUUUUCUUCAACUUGUACCAGGGUUCCCUCUUGGUCUCGAAUCCAACAAGGAAUGCACAAAUUGAAAUUAAAACAAAAAUAAAAGAAAAGAAAAUAAAAAAAUUUAACUAAAUAAAAACUAAAAAAAAAAAAAAUUAUAAGAAAACUCACCAAACUUGUGAUGAAGAUCACAAGUUACCCUUAAUGGUUGCUUCACUGUGCUUGUGGCACCUUCCCCGGCAACAGCGCCAUUUGAUUCGACUCAUGAUUCGAUCCCCGGCAACGGCGCCAUUUGAUUCGACUCAUGGUAGCUUAGCUUUAAAGGCGUAUCAACAAAAUUUAUACCUUGAAUACUAUUACUAAAGUAGCCAAGCUACUAUAGCAUAGUGGUUCUAGGAUCGUUCACUAGGAAGGGUUUUCGCAAACACAAGUGAUAUUCAAAUUAGGAAAAUAGGUGAUUUUCUUAUGGAUGUUAGCUUUAAAAGAAGAUGUAAAUGUUUUAGAAAGAUUUAAACUAAUCUAAGCUAACAUUAAACACUAAAAUGAAAGGGUGUAAAAACAAGUUUCUCAAAGAUAGGAUAGCUAUGCUCUGGCUCUUAUGCAAAUUGGAAAUCUUAGGAUAGGCUCCUCGCGUUGGGAUUGCAACUAUGGUGAUGCUUGCUUCCCGAACCGGUAUGGAUUUAGCAAAUCAAGUUUUAAUCCUUGAAAAUGGCAAAACAGAUGGUAGUGAAUUUCAUCAAUGGUUAUUCACCUUAGACUUCCUUUGAAUGGCUCGUAAGAGAUAACUAAUGGUCUAAAGCCAAAAGCUUACCAAAUAUUGGCAACUCAAAGUCAUUCCAGGUGAUAAACUCACCUUUCAAUGGCCAUUGAAAUUGGUUCUAAUGGAUUAAUGCAAAACUCGGAAUUGAAAACCUCGCCUUCCAAUAGCUCGUAGGAGAUAACUAAUGGAUAGAAAUCCAAAAGCUUAUCAAGUAUUGGCCGUUGGAAGUUGUCAAAAGGAAAUAAAAACCAAACUUUGCAUUAAUGAACCAUUAAUGAAAAACGACUACCUUACCUUCCGGGUGCGAGAAAUUUCCAUGGGAUUGCAUCCAAGCCAUCACAUAACAUCCAUACUUUGAGAAACUAAAAGUUUUAGCCAAUCAUCCUUUGAGGAAAAACCCUCAGAGGCUGUUUGGCUACUAAGAAAAUAGAAACGGGAGAGCUCUGUAAAAAUUCUAUAUAUUGAUCGNNNNNNNNNNNNNNNNNNNNNNNNNNNNNNNNNNNNNNNNNNNNNNNNNNNNNNNNNNNNNNNNNNNNNNNNNNNNNNNNNNNNNNNNNNNNNNNNNNNNUAUGGAUUUAGCAAAUCAAGUUUAUCCUUGAAAAUGGCAAAACAGAUGGUAGUGAAUUCAUCAAUGGUUAUUCACUUUAGACUUCCUUGAAUGGCUCGUAAGAGAUAACUAAUGGUCUAAAGCCAAAAGCUUACCAAAUAUUGGCAACUCAAAGUCAUUCCAGGUGAUAAACUCACCUUUCAAUGGCCAUUGAAAUUGGUUCUAAUGGAUUAAUGCAAAACUCGGAAUUGAAAACCUCGCCUUCCAAUAGCUCGUAGGAGAUAACUAAUGGAUAGAAAUCCAAAAGCUUAUCAAGUAUUGGCCGUUGGAAGUUGUCAAAAGGAAAUAAAAACCAAACUUUGCAUUAAUGAACCAUUAAUGAAAAACGACUACCUUACCUUCCGGGUGCGAGAAAUUUCCAUGGGAUUGCAUCCAAGCCAUCACAUAACAUCCAUACUUUGAGAAACUAAAAGUUUUAGCCAAUCAUCCUUUGAGGAAAAACCCUCAGAGGCUGUUUGGCUACUAAGAAAAUAGAAACGGGAGAGCUCUGUAAAAAUUCUAUAUAUUGAUCGAUAUUCAAUUACAACGGAUGCAAGGGAAUAUAUAUAGAGAAGUUUUUCCAAUCCUUCCUAGCUAAGAAAUCUUAUGAUUGGUGUAUUACAAGGAGAAGAAUGGAAAUUUAUACAAAAAUAUCUAAAAGAAAAGAUCUUGUGUGGAGUCGGCAGAAACAGGGGAAAAUUCGCACGUUGGAGUUCCAAUUUCGCACCUUGGUUUGAGGUGUGCGAAAUUCCCACACUUUGGACUGAGGAAUUUCGCACCUUGCACAGUGGUGUGCGAAAUUGUCCCUCAGCUUGAUGCAGUUGUCUUCCGAAGGCCAUAUCUUCCUCAUUUCAGCUCCAAAUCAUACACGGUUUGAAGCGUUGAAUUCUUGACUUCCUGAGCUUUGAAAUGGUAUAUAGCAUGUAGAAAAUGGACUUCGGGAAGUGCUCCAAAAGUGUCAAAGAAGACUGCAGCUGCUGUCCUCUAUUUUCCUCUUUGCUUCUUUUUGCUUCUCUUUGCUUUUCUCCUUGCAUACUUUGAACGACUUUGGCAAAGGGCUAUGGAGCUCCAAAGCUUGGUUCUUCAUGAAUUUGAGCUUCCAAAAGCUUUGCCAUAACUUGUCCAAGUAGCUCCUCCAUCAUUUGGCAUGCUUGAAUUGAUUCAUAAGCUGAUAAAAACAUGUAAACUUGCCAUAAAAUGGUUAAAACCAAUUACUAAGGACCUUAAUGAAUUAAUUGGGUUAAAUGAAUAUGAUUACUACUCAAAGGUGCUUAAAACCAUUAUAAUUAGGUCUACAAAAUAGCACUUUUUGGUAGUAAUCACCCAUUAAACACCAAUCCAUCUUUUUAGUCAAUUGACUUGGCCCAUUCUAUAGUUGUGAUGUCCAUGUCCACCGUCUAACUCAUCUCCUAAAUUUUAUUGAAGUGAUGUUUGUGUCAAUAGUUAAAAUCACUCACCCACACCCCACUUGCAAGUUGCAAGGGAUUGACCCAUCACUACUCUUAUUUAUCCUUACUAAUAAAUGUUUUUUUUCCUUUGUUUUCCUUAUUCAUCCACCUCAAAAUCUCUUUCUAGAAGGUCUAAAAUAAAAACAAUGGAAACCAUUCUUCGAUAUAUAACUUAUAAAUGUUUUAUUUCAAUUAUUUUUCGUAUUUAUAUAAUUAUUUUUAUUUUUUUAAAUAACCCUUAAAAAAAUAAGUGAUAACAAGGCAACUAAAAUAGAUUUUUCAAAAACAUCAUAUUUUUGGAAUAAGUUUUUUAAAAAUUAUUUUCUAUUGGAAAAUUAGUAAUGAUGGUGUAAAAACUUGGUAAAUAAUUUUUUUGUUUUAAUAAUAAAAAAAAAAUUUAAAUAGUUUUCAAACAUAAUCCAACCAUUUAUGUUAUUUUUACCUUCUUUUUUUCAGGUUCAAAAUUUCGAGUUUUCUGUGGACAUAACAUAAAAAAUAAUUAUUUUUCAAACUACGACCCUUUUAAGUUUCAAAUAAAACCCGUCUUUUUUAAAAUAAGUUUACAAUAGGAAAUGAAUUUGUCUUUUAAAAUACAAAAUUUAAAACAAAAAAAAAAUAAUGAUGAAAAGUAUCAUAUUUUCAUAUUUAUUUUUUGAACAACGUCAUCUUAACAAUAUUAAAAAAAAAAAAAAAUCCUUAAAAUUUCCCCCUAAUGGCCCACGAUGUACUUCAUAGCUUCAAUUCCAAUAUCUCAAAUCAAUCUCAAUUGACUAUUGCCAUUAAAUCCUUAUUAAUUAUCUAUUAGAAUGCCCGGCCUUCCCUCAUUCAUUUUUUCACAAAGUUGGUCAACGUUCAUUUAUUUUUUUUUCAAAUAAAUCAUUUAUUUCUCUCAUAGCAAGGAAUAAUUUAAAUUAUUUAAGUCUUUAUGUAAUCGUGUAACAUUGCUAAAAAUUAGGAAAUAGACUAUUCAUGCACAUGAUCUCAAUAUCCCAUGUUCACCCUAAAUCGAUUAAAAAAAACCGUUUAAGUCAAGUCCUAUGUUGAUAUUCGUAAAUGAAAAAGAAUCUAAUAUAAUAUUAAACUUCAUAAAAAUUGGGAUAAAAUAUUUAACAAAUUUUGAUAUAAUAUUAAAUUAUCAAUAACAUUAAAAUUUAAAUGUUACGUGAUACAUCAUCACAUCCAUAUAAUAAAUCAAUUUAAGCUAAUGUUUUAUUUAAUUCUUAAUUUAUUGUUUUAUUUAGUGUCUCAAUAUGUUAAAUAAAUAAAUAAAUUGUGCCCUAAUAAUAAUAGAAUUUUUUUUAUUAAAUUUUUGGUUAAGAACUAAUAUUUUAUAUAAAUUUUAUUUAAAAAAAUCAAUAAAUCACAAGUGAGUUGUGAAACUUGUGAAUCGUAGACAACCAUUUUCGUGAUAUUAAAAAAUUAAAAAUAAAUAAAUAAAUAAAUAAACAAAGCCCCACUUGCAGUAGUGCCCGAAUGAAACAUGCGGGGUUGUAGGUACGAUACCAUGGAGGUCACAUGUAUGGGAACAUUCCACAAGUCUUCUAAAUUGUCAGGGAAAGGCGUCCCUCAUGGUGGUCUCCACAUCGGACGACCCAGAUAGACCGGUGCCUAAACUGAAGGCUGUCACACGUUUACGUGUUUGACCAAGUCUCGCGAGUCUACGCGCCAAUCACCAACCUUAAUUUUAAAGGUUCCUCCGCCCAAUCCUAUGAUGGUACCAUGCGGUCACCUUCACCUUUCCCUAUCCCACUCUCCAUUACACAGCGCGUGGUCACACUCUCCCAAAAAAGGUUCCCAUCCGAAAAAUUCAAACAAAUUUAAAGUACUAAAAAUGGGAAAAUAUUUAAAAUAUUUUUUAAAUAUUUAUUUUUUAUAUAAAAUAAUUAAAUAAAUGAAAUGAUUUUCUUUUUAAUCGUUUUAAAACAGUUUUAAAAAAUAAAAGUGAAAAUAAUUGAAAAAAAAUAUACAAUAAAUUUUGAAAAUAGAAUUACGUUGACAAUAUUCAAAAUGCAACUCACUAUAGGGCGCGUGAGCACAGGACUUGUAGAACACGUUUUAAGCAUUAUAAUAUUAUUUUUUAUUUUCCAUGGAAAAACACGUUCAAAUCCAAACAAUCGGAAUUGGAAUGCCAUGAAUUUCCACAAACCGUGUACUUGCAAGUUGGAAGAAGAUUCAUUUACAACCAAUUACAAUUUUAUUAUUAAUGGGCAGACAGACUUAAAAGUAGCCAUUGGAAAGUGCCUUAAAAGAAAUUAUAAUAUUAAUAAAAAAAAAGAAAAUAAAAGAUUUUAACGUGAACAUUUAAUCCUAAGUAUCAAUAGAUGUAGGUUCAAACAUAUUUUCUAUUUUUUAUUUUUAAAAUAAAAAUGAUAAUAACUUUUAUAUAAGAUAUAAUUUUUUUAAAUAAAUUAUAUUAAAAAAAUAGUGAUUUUAAAAACUAUUUAAAAAAAUUUAAGUAUAAAAAAUAUAAAAUAAUUUUUUUUUAAAUAGAUUAUGCUUGAAUGAGUCAAAUGUGUAAAGAUGAAUAAGAAUGUGGAUAAGUUCAAAAGAGCGGGUAGCUCUGAUCCAGCCGACCCGAAUGGGAAAUUGAGAAAAGAAAAACAUUCUUGGAAAGUGGUUCAGUUCCUUGGAAGUGGGUAUUUUGAGAACCCAACAAGUGUUCAUGUACUUUGAAUUUAUGUUCAAAUCACUUGCUUUGAGAUGGGGUUUUGAAUCGGAAAUGUCAAUGUUUCCGGUGUGAACAUGCAUACAGAAAUUAGUAUUACGUACAAAACAGGUUGAGGUAAAAAAAAAAUCAAAAUCAUGGAAAAUUCAAAGUCUGUUUAACCGGAUGUUUUAAAAAUAGUUUUUUAUUUUUUAAAAUAGAGAAUAAUUCUUACAUUAUCUAAAAAUGAUUUUUAAAAAUAAGGUAGAAUGAAGAACAAUUUUUAAAGAACACGUAAAAGUGUUUUCAUCCCUGGUAAAAAUCAAAAGAAAAAUAUAAAAAAUUUAAAAAAAAAUCUUGAAAAUAAAUAAAAUUGAAUAUAGUAUUAUUUUCUUUCUCUUUUUAAUAUUAAAAAAAAAUCUUAAAAUAUGAUUUUUUCUUUAAAUUACACAUACUUUUUAAAAUUUCAUUUUAACUUCUUUAAAAUUUUUCUUUGAGUAAAUUUUAAAUCAAAUUGUAUUAUUUAUUAUUAAACUUAAUUUCAAUGGUAAAAGAAACAAAUUCUUAGGAAUAAAAUUUAAUAUUAUAUUGAAUUAUUUAAGAGGAAUAUAUAGCGUAAGUCAUAUUAUAUUUUAACUUAAUUUUAAUUAUUAUUUGCCUACCGUGUUGCUUAUUUACAAUUAUAUUUAAUUUUUAUUUAUUUGUUUAGAAUAUUUAUUUGUUUUUCUAAAGCUUAUUUAAUGAUAGAAGAGUAUUCAUAUAUAUAUAAUUUUUGACAAAAAAAUUUAUUAUAAAAAUGGUUGAAAAACAAUUAUGAAGAAUUUAUAAAUUAUUUAGGAGUGAGAAAUCUUGAAAAAGUGCAAUAGAAAAAAAGAAAAUUCAUUUUGUGAUGUGGAAGUCUAAACAAUGAGAAGAUGUAUGAAAUUGGAAGAUUGGACAUAAUAAGUCAAUUGAUUAGUAGAACAAGAGAGAGUUUCAGACACCUAUAAUAGUGUCUAAAUGUAUAGUUUUAAACACUUUAAGUAUGCUCAGAAGUAUAGGCCGGACAUUUAUAAAACAUCCCCUCAUGCAACACAAACAAUAUUCAUAGUACCUCUUUCUUCCAACUCUAAAAGUACAAAAAGAAAUAUAAAAGAUAUCACAAAAUGCAUACCUUUGCACUUGUACCAUUAUUAGAGAUGAUUAUUUGUUUGUCCAAAGAAACAAAACUUUAUUGAUAAAUUCUAUUAGGAUUAUAGAGAGAUUAGAAGAAGAGAAGUGAAGAAAGAAGAUGGUGGUUUGAGAAUUUCAUCAAAGGGUGUUUUUAUCCUAAAAUAUGUAUUAUUUCGAUGGAUUUAAAGAUCAAUUUGGUGGAUGCAAAUAUAAGUUAUGGAAUUUUUUUACAAAAAAAAUAUCCAUCAAUAAAAAGAUUGAAAUACCCUUGCAAAUCAAUAUGCACCCACAUUCUUCCUUUCCUUUAUCAAAUUCUUUUCUUCCAAUCUCUCCACAACCUUAAUAAAUUAAAAUAAUUUUUUUAAAAAUAAAUGGUUUAAAUUUUUAAAUUUUGAAAAUUUAAAAUUUUAAAAAUACAUAAUUGUUGGCAGAUCGGAGGGUUGGCUUCAUCCAUCAACUCCUCUUGUGUUCGUCGUGGACAUUUGGGUUAAUGCACUAUAAGAUUAGGGUAUGCGUCUUUUUUAACAGCACUUGCUUUUAGGAAAGUUGAUAGCGUCUGAGGUUCUACAAUAAUUUUAUUCAAAUCCAAAACUUGUAAUAAAUUAAAAAUAAAAAUAAACCUUUUAAAAAACAAAUUUAAGCUUUUAAAUUAACUUUUGGUUUGACCUUUCAAGGUCAACACUCCCACAUCAUUCUUUUCUUUAGACUUUUUUUUCCCACUUUUUCAUAUGUUUCUCAUGUCUAAUUAUGUCUAAAUUAAUUCUAAAUACUUUCUAAUUAUUUUACAAAAAAAAAUUAUAAAAAAAUAUAUAAGUAAUAAAAUCUAAAAAUUUUCAUGUAGAACAAACUUAAUAUUAUUGUAUGGAUUUUAUAAAAAUAUAUUGAAAUUAACUUUCAACUUAUAGCAAACAACUUUUUAUGAUAAAGAAGCUUAGGUUUGGAGAGGAUAAAAAAAAGGGAAAAGGAUAAUUCAAAAAUAAUUAAAUGGAUUAAUAGGAUUUAUAUUUUGAGGUGGAUAGGUAAGUAUAGUGGAUAUGCAGAUAGUUUUAUUAGAUGUUUGGUGCCCCUGUUUUUAAGUAUUUUGGCCUACAACCCUAAAACCCAAAGUAAUUCUCACCAAAAAAAAAAAAAAAAAAAUUUUUUUUUUUUUUAAUCUUCAACUCUACAAACUCUCAUUUUGAACAUGCACUUUUUAAUUAAUUAAUUUUUUCUACUUUAGAACUCACUCAUCUUCCUAAAUACAAAAACUAAUUAUAAAAUAAAAACUAAUUCAACAAUUUAACUUCAACAUCUUUUUUUUUAAUAAUUCCUUUUCAUAUAAUAUUCCUUACUAACAAAAACUAAUUAUAAUUAAAUGACUUUAAUUUGAUAUAUAUAUAUAUAUAUAUAUAUAUAUAUAUAUAUCAAUAUUAAGAUGUAAAAUCCUAUAAACUUACACUUUAACCACUUGAGCCCAACAAGUGUUUGAUUUAAAAAUUUAUAGUUAUUAAAGAUGUUAAACUCCUUUAAAAAGUAUCAAAUGGUAAUAAAUAAAAAUUAGAGAAAAACCAUUCAAAUGAAGAGAUUUCAUCUAUAAUACGAAGUAAAAUCUAAAAAAGAAAUGUGAAGAAAAAAAUUAUCAUUGACUCUUAACUCUUGCUAAACCAAUCCCACUACCAUCCAAUACUAAAUUGUCUAACAAAUGAGAAUUGAAAGCAUAAAAGAGAAUCAUUGACUAUUGACUCUACCAUCCAAUGUUGAAUUGUCUAACAAAUGAGACAAAUGAGAAUUGAAAGCAUAAAAGAGAAUCAUUGACUAUUGACUCUACCAUCCAAUGUUGAAUUGUCUAACAAAUGAGAAUUGAAAGCAUAAAAGAGAAUCAUUGACUAUUGACUCUACCAUCCAAUGCUGAAUCGUCUAACAAAUGGAAAUUGAAAGCAUAGCAGAGAAUCAUUGACUCUACUUACCCCAUUUUCCUAGAAGUGUUGCCCCUCCCUUCAUUUCAUGAAGUUUCUUAGAAGUUUCAAACUUCUUUACCAUAUAAAGUAUAAAAAAAAUCAUUCUUAUAGCCAUUCACAUGUGUUUCAAGAAAAAUGAAGUUAUUUUGCCCCCAAGAACUACAGAAAUAAAAUCAUGUUAAGAAUUUUAAAUUAUAAUAUUUAUCUAUAAUAAGAUUUAUUUAUAAUUUUUUUUUAAAAAAAUCAUCAUCUAGUUGUUUAACUUAUUUUUUAUUCUUACUUUUUUGUAUUUAUAUUUUAAUUUUAGUUUUAUGUUUAUUUUUAAUAUCUAUUUUUCACUUCUCGGUCAAUUUUUUUUUAUUUGCUUUAAUUUUUUAUUAUUAUUUCUUGUUGAUAUCCUCUUAUAUAUAUAUUAGAAAAAUAUAUAUAAAAGAUAAUAAUAAAAUGAGACACCAUGAAUAAAGUGAAGGAAAAAAAUAAAAAAUAAAAUAAAAUCAAAAUAUUCGUGGAGAAGUAAGGUGCUCUUAGCCUAAUGUGUAAUGAUGAUGAUGGAUGACCCACCAAACCAGAAGAAAAGCAAAAGGUGAGAAAAGAAUCAAUAAAGAGAAACAACUACCCUUAACUUUUUUCAUCACUUUCCCGAAGGUUACUGGAAGUCGCCUUCCUUCCUUCCCAAUUCACAGAGCCCCUAAGUUCCUAACUUUUCUCGUCACUUUCCGGAAGGUCACAACAAGCCACUGCCACUUGCCUUCCCAACUCUUUAUAUACAGAUAAAUGAUAAUAUUUAUCAAUAAUAAGAUUUAUCUAUAAAAUGUUAGAAAAUAAAUAUAUCAAUCCAGUGAAUUUUAUUUUUACUUUUUUUUUAUAUUAUAUAUUUAUCCUUUUAUUUUUUAUUUUUAGUCUUUAUAUUUAUUUUUCACUUCUCGGUCAAAAUUUUUAUUUUCUAUUUAUUUUAAAUUUUAUUUUUAUUUCUUUUUUAAGUACUUAUAUAUAAUAAUAAAUAAAUAAAUAAAUAAAUAAAUAAAAUAGGAGACCAUGAAUAAAGUGAAGAAAAAAUAAAAUUAAAAACUUGGUGGAGAAGUAAAGUGCACGGGUUUGAAGGAUGAAUGUGAAUAGGAGAAAAAGAGAACAAGAGAAAAGCAAAAGGUAAAAGUGUGAGAAAAGAAUCCAUAUUCUGAAAAUGAAAGGAUGAGAUAAAAAUAAAAUAUAUAAAAGAUAAUAGUGAAAUACGAGAGCAUGAUUAUGGCGAAGAAGAAAAAAAUGUUAAAUAAAAUAAAAAAUUUGGUGGUAUCCCAUUUGAAAAUAGAAGGAAACGAAGGUGAUAAGAAAAAAAGAAAAGUGAGAAAAAAAUCUCUAAGUCAAUAGAGAGAGAAAGUUGUCCCUAAUUUUCCUCAUCACUUUUCGGAAUGUCACGGGAAGCUACCGUCUACCUAGCUUUUUAUAUUGUAAUAUUUUUAUUUAUAUUAUAACCACUGUUUUCUUAUACUUAUAGGAUGUCUUAUAAAGUUUUUUUUUUAAAUUUAUUUAUUUUAUUUAUUGGAUUGAUUUUCGUGUGAAAAUUUAUUUUAUUUAAUAAUAAUAAUAAUUUUACUGAUUUUUUUUAAAAAUAUUUGAUAUCUCUUAAAUCAUUCAUAAAAUGAAUUAAUUUUUUAAUAAAAGUAAUUUUAAUUUAGAUUUAAAUUAUUUCUCAAUUAUAUUUAGAUAUAUGCAUAUAAAAAAUAUUAUUUUCUAAUAUUUAAUAUUUAAAAUUUUAUUUUAAUAAUAAUCUCUUUAAAAUAUUAUCACGAUUUAUAUUAGAAUUAAUGGUUUACAUUUUUAUUCUUCUUCCAAAAAUAAAAUUAUAAUGGACUACUUCACGUUAAUAAAAUCAUUUUUUUAUUCUAAUUUAUUAUAAAUUAUAAUAUUAUCAAUAAUAAGAUUUAUCUAUAAAAUAAAUAUAUCAAUCCACUCGUCUUUCUUUUAAUAAAUUUUCAUUUCAUAUUGUGGGUCGACACGUAUCAUUUCUGUUUACUUUAAUUUUUUAUUAAUAUUUUUUAUGUGCUUAAAGAAAAAAUAAAAUAUUAAAUAAAAUAAAAAACUUGGUGGGGAAGUAAAGUAAAGGAGCGUAAUGAUGACGAUUGUAUGGCCCGAGAGAGAGAGAGAGUGGGCCGGCUGAAAAAAUAAAAUAUUAAAUAAAAUAAAAAACUUGGUGGGGAAGUAAAGUAGAGGAGCGUAAUGAUGACGAUUGUAUGGCCCGAGAGAGAGAGAGUGGGCCAGCUGAAAAAAUAAAAUAUUAAAUAAAAUAAAAAACUUGGUGGGGAAGUAAAGUAGAGGAGCGUAAUGAUGACGAUUGUAUGGCCCAAGAGAGAGAGUGGGCCAGCUGAAAAAAUAAAAUAUUAAAUAAAAUAAAAAGCUUGGUGGGGAAGUAAAGUAGAGGAGCGUAAUGCUGACGAUUGUAUGGCCCGAGAGAGAUAGUGGGCCAGCUGAAAAAAUAAAAUAUUAAAUAAAAUAAAAAACUUGGUGGGGAAGUAAAGUAGAGGAGCGUAAUGAUGACGAUUGUAUGGCCCGAGAGAGAGAGUGGGCCAGCUGAAAAAAUAAAAUAUUAAAUAAAAUAAAAAACUUGGUGGGGAAGUAAAGUAGAGGAGCGUAAUGCUGACGAUUGUAUGGCCCGAGAGAGAGAGAGAGAGAGAGUGGGUCAGCUGAAAAAAUAAAAUAUUAAAUAAAAUAAAAAACUUGGUGGGGAAGUAAAGUAGAGGAGCGUAAUGAUGACGAUUGAAUCGGCCGAGAGAGAGAGAGUGGGUCAGCUGCUUUAAUUCAAGAUUGAAUGACCCGAGAGACACAGAGCUGUCCCUAACUUUCCUCUUCACUUCCUGGAAGGCGCCUUGCCUUCCCAACUUCUUAGUUGCACAAUCUCCUCAUUUACUCACUAUCCUGAAGAGAAAUCAACCCCUCUAAACUGUCUUUGUACUUUUGAGAUAGAAACCCACAAUGGCUUCCACAAGCUCCUUCAGAGCCUCUUCUUCUUCUUCUACUCCUUCCAUCCCUCGAACAAGUACUUAUGAUGUUUUCUUGAGUUUUAGAGGCGCAGACACCCGCUCUAAUUUCACUGAUCACCUCUACAGUGCUUUGGGUAGGAGAGGGAUUCGCACCUUCAGAGACGAUAAACUCAGGGAAGGAGAAGCGAUUGGUCCAGAACUCUUGACAGCCAUCGAAGAAUCAAGGUCUUCCGUAAUUGUUUUCUCUGAAAACUAUGCUCAUUCGACAUGGUGUUUGGAUGAGUUGGUAAAGAUCAUGGAGCGCCACAAAGAUCGGGGACAUGCUGUUUUCCCAAUUUUCUAUCACGUGGAUCCAUCCCAUGUACGAAGGAAAACAGAAAGUUUUGGAAAGGCCUUUGCCGGUUAUGAAGGAAACUGGAAGGACAAGAUACCACGGUGGAAGACGGCCUUGACGGAAGCAGCCAAUCUUUCUGGAUGGCAUCAACGGGAUGGGUAACUAUAAUUUCCUUUCAACUAUUUAAAUGAGUAGUUUUGCAUUUAUAGAGUGAUGAUGUGGAUUGAAACAUUUAUAAAAAUACAAAAGCUCAAAUUUUUUAUUUGGAGGUCUACUCCUUAAGCACAAACUUAUCCUCAAAAUGCUUUUAGAUUAAGGUGGUGCAUGUUUUUUUGGCUGAAUAGAAAAAGUCAAAUAUUUUGACUUUUUCUAUUCAGCUAAAAAGUAAUCUAUUAACAUCAUCCAAUAUAAUUAAAUUAAACUAAUGGAUAACAAGUUCAUUUUAGUAAACAUGUUACUUUUAGCUUAAUAGAAAAAAUAAAAAUAUUUAGCUUUUUCUAUUCAGCAAAAAAAAACAAAACAAACAGCACUUCGAGUCUUUUAUGUGUAAAUGUGUUUGAUAUUCUUUUAUACGGAAUGUUCUUAGAACAAGUGUUUUUUAGAAAAUCAGCUAUCUUUUCCACGAAUUUAUUUUUUCUUCAAAAACACUUUUAGAUUAUAAGUACUUUUUAAAAGUAUUUUUAGAGUGCUUUGAGCAGGCAAUUCUAUUUAAAUGCUUUUAGUGAAAGUUUUUUUAAUAAAUAUUUUUGGGAGUAUAUCUCAAAGAAUUAUUAGAAGUGAUUUUUUUUUUACUUUUAAUAAGUAAUUCUAAAUUUUUUAUCAAACGUCUUAAUAUUUUUUCAUAAAGACACUUUUUAUACUUCCCAAACAAACUGUAACUUGAGGUUGUUAACAAGGGGCAUAUAUUUGUGUGCUCAAAAUUUAAAAAUAAAAUAAAAUAAAAUAUUGCUUUUUAGGGCUUUAUUUAUAAGUUGGGUUUAUUCAAGUGUAUCAUUUGGGCAGCCGACUAUGUGUCAUGAAUAAGGAGAAAAUAGGAAAUUGGAGUAUUGAUUUGACCAUUGAAGCAGCCAAUUUAUAUGGAUGACAUCGAUAUUAAUUUAAUGAGCAUGCAAUUUAAGUUUCUUUCACUUUUCAUUCAUUAGUGGGUUUUGUUUAGGAAUUAAAUUAUUAUUAUUAUUGUUAUUUAUUACUAAUAUUAGUGUUUUUUGUUGUUGUUAAUAGUAGUUGCAAUGACAGUAGUAUAAAAAGAAUAGUAGAAUAACAAUUAUAUUGAGUUAGGAUUCAUGAUUAAUGGUAGAAUGAACUUAUUAAAACCCAAUUAAUGAGUUUUACUAUUUUAGAUCAAUUUAUGAGAAUCUAUAUCUAAAAUAAUUUAAUCAAAAUUUAUUACUAUUUUUUCAAUUUUCAAGAUUCAAUUCGCAUUAAUGUUACAAAAAUUAAUCAAUUUAUUUGAAAUUUUGUGUGAAUAAUUAUAUAACAAGUAACAAUAAAAUUAAUGACUAUUACUAUCUAUUAACGAGCUUCAAAAAUUUCAAUUAACCAACCUCUUGUGUAUCAAUAGAACAACUUAAUCAAAUUCUAAAAAUAAUUUGAUUAAUUAUGUAACAAGUAAGAAGUAACAAUAACAAAAUUAUUUAACCAAUUUUAUUUGAGGACAAGUUGAUCAAGUAGUUUGAUUAAUUAUGUACCAACUACCAAUAACAAAAUUAUGUGACGUAAAUUGUUUAGUAGGAAUUCAACUUCCCAGAGAGUUUGUGUGUGUAUAUAUAUAGACAAUAAAGAACAUAGGUUAGGAAGUUAAUUCUUUAUAGAUGAUGCGAAAGGAAAUCAACUCAAAAUAAAAUACAAAUGAAUAACUUGUUUACAAGCCUUUAAUUUUUAAUUUUUAUCAUACAAAUGAAUAAUAAGGAGAUGAUGUUGUGGGAUAAAUAAGUUUUGAAGCUUGAGGAAUUGAACAUGGGGUUUUUAAACUAAAACUUCUUAUAUUAAGGGGUUGAGGCUUCAUGCAUUACAAGAUAUAAAACGAAUGUCAAAGAAUAAAAUAUUUGCUCCUACAAGGUUUCUAAUUGCCAUGGGUUGUUAAAGAGUUUUUGAAAAGUGCAUGAAUGAUAAAGUAAUGUUUCGAUUCAUAAUCAUUGUCCUCUAUCAUGGCACAAAAUUUCCAUUUGAAUCUAAUGCCACACAAGCAGCACAACUAACAAAAUUCAAAAUCCAUGUUUUAGUUUUGUUCUCAUGCAUACUUGAUACAAUGAAAAAGGUCCUAAAAAUGUAAAUGAACUAAUAUCUUUGAUAUAUUCUAUUCUACUUUAAUUUAUUUUUCGUAAAGAUGUCAAAUUUAAUGUGUUUUAUUUACAAUUGUGGCUCAUUGCUUAACAUGUUAUUCUUUUAUAAUUGGCAGGUCUGAGUCCAAUAAAAUUAAAGAAAUAACUGAUAUCAUAUUCCAUCGAUUGAAAUGUAAGAGGCUUGAUGUUGGUGCCAAUUUAGUUGGUAUAGAUUCCCAUGUAAAAGAGAUGAUUUUGCGGUUGCAUAUGGAAUCAAGUGAUGUUCGUAUUGUUGGGAUAUACGGAGUUGGGGGGAUGGGUAAGACUACCAUCGCAAAAGUUAUAUAUAAUGAACUUUCUUGUGAAUUUGAAUGUAUGAGCUUUCUUGAAAAUAUUAGGGAGGUUUCCAAUCCCCAAGUUUUAUAUCACUUACAAAAUCAACUUCUUGGUGAUAUCCUAGAGGGAGAGGGGAGUCAAAAUAUAAAUAGUGUUGCCCACAAAGCAAGUAUGAUAAAGGACAUUCUCUCAUCUAAAAAAGUUUUUAUGGUUCUUGAUGAUGUUGAUGAUCCAAGUCAAUUAGAAAAUUUACUUGGACAUCGUGAAUGGCUUGGAGAAGGAAGUAAAGUCAUCAUAACAACUAGAGAUAAACAUGUGUUAGCUGUACAAGAAGUGGAUGUCUUAUAUGAGGUUAAGGGAUUGAAUUUUAAAGAAGCUCAUGAACUUUUCAGUUUGUAUGCCUUUAAACAAAAUCUUCCCCAAUCAAACUAUAGAGACCUCUCACAUCGUGUUGUAGGCUAUUGUCAAGGGCUUCCAUUAGCUCUAAAAGUUCUAGGUUCUCUCUUAUUCAAGAAGACAAUACCUCAAUGGGAAAGUGAAUUGGAUAAAUUGGACAAAGAACCUGAGAUGAAAAUUCACAAUGUGCUUAAACGAAGCUAUGAUGGAUUAGAUCGUACAGAAAAAAAAAUAUUUCUUGAUGUUGCAUGUUUUUUUAAAGGUGAAGAAGAUAGGGAUUUUGUGUCAAGAAUAUUGGAUGGUUGUCAUUUCCAUGCGGAAAGAGGAAUAAGAAAUCUAAAUGAUCGGUGUCUUAUAACUCUUCCAUACAACCAAAUACAUAUGCAUGAUUUGAUACGACAGACGGGUUGGGAAAUUGUUCGUGAAAAAUUUCCUAAUGAGCCAAACAAAUGGAGCAGAUUGUGGGAUACCCAGGAUAUUCAACGGGCACUUAGAACAUAUGAGGUAAGAGCCAGGUGCAUAAAUUCACUUAAAGCUCUAGUUGAAGAUAUAAACUUCAAUAAUAAUACCAUUCUUGUAUAAGCACUUACAUAUCCAUAUAAGUUUAGUUAAUUUGUAUUUAUGUUUGCCUUAUCCUUGUUAUUUUUCAGGGAAUAGAAGGAGUUGAAACAAUAGACUUGAACUUGUCUGAUUUUGAAAGAGUAUGCUUCAAUUCAAAUGUUUUCUCAAAGAUGACUAAUCUUCGAUUGCUCAGAGUUCAUUCAGAUGACUAUUUCGAUCCUUAUUCUCAUGAUGAUAUGGAGGAGGAGGAGGACGAGGAGGACGAGGAGGAGGAGGAGGAGAAGGAGAAGGUAGAUCGUUAUUGUGAAGAAAUGAUUGAUUCUGUAAUGAAAACUGCUUCUAAAAUGCACCUUGACCCGGAUUUUGAAAUCCCUUCUUUUGAGUUAAGUUAUCUUUGUUGGGAUGGGUAUCCUUUAGGUUUUUUAUCAUCAAAUUUUAAUGGAAAGAACCUUGUUGAACUUCACUUGAAGUGUAGCAACAUAAAACAACUAUGGCAAGGGAAGAAGGUAUUAUUAUCAUUUAAUAAUGACUUUUUUUCCUUUAUAUUGAUUUUAAAAUUUCUAAUAGUUAUUUCUUUUAUUGAAAUUAUUUUCUUUUGGUACAGGAUCUUCAAAGUUUAAAGGUCAUUGAUCUAAGUCACUCAAACAAGCUCGUUCAAAUGCCAGAAUUCUCAAGCAUGCCAAAUUUGGAAGAACUAAUUCUUAAAGGUUGUGUAAGCUUGAUCAAUAUUGACCCAUCUGUUGGAGAUCUCAAGAAGCUUACUACCUUAGAUUUAAGGGGGUGUGUUAAGCUUAAGGGUUUACCAAGUAGCAUUAGCAACUUGGAAGCUCUUGAAUGUCUUGAUCUUACUAGGUGCUCAAGCUUUGACAAGUUUGCAGAAAUUCAAGGAAUUCAAGGAAAUAUGAGUAGUUUAACGCAUCUAUAUUUGCGCAAGACUGCUAUUAGAGAACUUCCAAGUAGCAUUGACUUAGAAUCUGUUGAGAUUCUUGAUCUCUCUGAUUGUUCUAAGUUUGAGAAAUUUCCAGAGAACGGAGCAAACAUGAAAAGUUUAAAUGAUCUUCGUUUAGAGAAUACUGCUAUUAAAGAACUCCCAACAGGUAUUGCCAACUGGGAAUCUCUUGAGAUUCUUGAUCUCUCUUAUUGCUCAAAGUUUGAGAAAUUUCCAGAGAAGGGAGGGAACAUGAAAAGUUUAAAGAAGCUUCGUUUUAAUGGUACUUCUAUUAAGGAUCUGCCUGAUAGCAUUGGAGACUUGGAAUCUCUUGAGAUUCUUGAUCUCUCUUAUUGCUCAAAGUUUGAGAAAUUUCCAGAGAAGGGAGGGAACAUGAAAAGUUUAAAGAAGCUUCGUUUUAAUGGUACUUCUAUUAAGGAUCUGCCUGAUAGCAUUGGAGACUUGGAAUCUCUUGAGAUUCUUGAUCUCUCUUAUUGCUCAAAGUUUGAGAAAUUUCCGGAGAAGGGAGGGAACAUGAAAAGUUUAAAGAAGCUUCAUUUAAAAAAUACUGCUAUUAAGGAUCUGCCGGAUAGCAUUGGAGACUUGGAAUCUCUUGAGAUUCUUGAUCUCUCUAAGUGCUUAAAGUUUGAGAAAUUUCCGGAGAAGGGAGGGAACAUGAAAAGUUUAAAGAAGCUUUCUUUAAUAAAUACUGCUAUUAAGGAUCUGCCGGAUAGCGUUGGAGACUUAGAAUCUCUUGAGAUUCUUCAUCUCUCUGAGUGCUCAAAGUUUGAGAAAUUUCCGGAGAAGGGAGGGAACAUGAAAAGUUUAAAGGAGCUUUAUUUAAGAAAUACUGCUAUUAAGGAUCUGCCUGAUAGCAUUGGAGACUUGGAAUCUCUUGAGUCUCUUGAUCUCUCUGAUUGCUCAAAGUUUGAGAAAUUUCCGGAGAAGGGAGGGAACAUGAAAAAAUUAAAGCAGUUUCUUUAAUAAAUACUGCUAUUAAGGAUCUGCCAGAUAGCAUUGGAGACUUGGAAUCUCUUGAGUCUCUUGAUCUCUCUGAGUGCUCAAAGUUUGAGAAGUUUCCGGAGAAGGGAGGGAACAUGAAAAGUUUAAAGGAGCUUUAUUUAAUAAAUACUGCUAUUAAGGAUCUGCCGGAUAGCAUUGGAGGCUUGGAAUCUCUUAAGAUUCUUAAUUUAAAAAAUACUGCUAUUAAGGAUCUUCCCAACAUUUCUAGGUUGAAAUUUCUUAAAAGACUCAUCCUCUGUGACCGCUCAGACAUGUGGGAAGGAUUAAUAAGCAAUCAGCUUUGCAAUCUGCAAAAACCUAAUAUCAGUCAAUGCGAAAUGGCUCGACAGAUUCCGGUGCUUCCUUCAAGUCUAGAAGAAAUAGACGCACACCAUUGCACAAGCAAGGAAGAUUUAUCAGGUCUGCUCUGGCUUUGCCACCGCAACUGGUUGAAAUCUACAGCAGAGGUAAUGUAAUAAUUUUUUUUAUUUAAUUAUGCCACUUAAACCUUUUUUAUAUAAAGCCAAUAUUUACAUAAUAAUUUGUGCAGGAGUUGAAAAGUUGGAAACUCAGUGCUCGUAUUCCAGAAAGUAGUGGAAUUCAAGAGUGGAGGAUAAGGUAUCAAAACUUGGGAAGUGAAGUAACAGCAAAGCUUCCAAUGAAUUGGUAUGAAGAUCCUGACUUCCUAGGAUUUUUUGUAUCAUGUGUUUAUCAGCCUAGUCAUAAAUCUACUCUCAAGUGUGAAUUGAAUUUACAUGGCAAUGGAUUUGAAUUCAAGGACAGAACCUGGUGUGACUGCUGGUGUGGGUCCCAUGGUAAUUUUAAAGAAUUGAUAGAUCAAGUAUGGGUUUGGUGGUAUCCUAAGAUUGCUAUUCCGAAAGAGCUCCGUAAAUCCACACAUAUUAAUGCUUCAUUUAAGAAUCCUGGGAUAAACAUAAAAAAAUGCGGCAUCAAUCUUAUAUUUGCGGGAGAUCAACGAAAUCAUAUGCCCAUGUUGGAGCAUCCUCAGAAUUCUGGUGACAAUGGAUCAGCAUCACAAGAUACCGAUGGUAAUGUUCAUGGGGCUAAUCAAGAUGAUGAACACUACCAUAUUCCAGCGAUGUUAGAUCUUCUCAGGAAUUUUGGUGACAAUGGAUCAGUAGUACUUGAAGACAAUGAUGGAAACCGUAAGAGAAGACGUGAUGAUUCGUUACCCGAUGUAGUGGAGGAGCCACAUUAUAAAAGAUUGGGAGCACCCAACAUCGAUCUCUCGCUUUGAACUCCAUCACUAGGUGCAUUAUCAACCCUUCUUCAAUAUUCUAACUUCUCUCCUUUUUAAAUUAUUUUUGAAGUCAAUAAACUAUUUUUAUAUGUAUCUUCAAACUUAUUUCAUUAAUUUUCCUCCAUUAUAUAAAAAUUAAAUAAUUUAAAAAUAUAUAAAUCUCUAAUCAAUUUUAAUUAUAUUUUAUUUUCUUUCAUAUUUUCUAUAGAAAAACCAAGUAUAACAAAUAAUUUUUUUUAGUGUUUUUUUUUAUUUCCUAAGUACUCUCUAAGAUUCAAACAUAUUUAUAGUGAUUGAUAUCAUGACUAUGCAUGUACUACAUUUCAUAGAAUUUCUUCAUUUUCAAAAAAUAUGAAAAAUAACUUUAACUAACUUUAAAAGUCAUCAUUAGUUUAAAAACAUGUAUAGUUUUUUUUAUUUUUUAACAUAUAGCAUAUAUAUGGUAGUGAAUUGCUUCUUUUUUUUUUCCAUUAUUUAUUUAUUUAAUUAGUUAAAUAAAAACCUCUACAAAGUGAUUAUGAAGCUCUAGGGAUUCUUCAUUACCUUAUUAGACAUUAAUUAAUUAAUUAAUUAAUUUUUUCAACUUGCUUUAAGAUAAAAUUUGAAUAAGUUAUCAAAGUUAGUUAGAGAAGAUCAUGUACACAAAUUAGAAGUCAAAUUUGAAUGUAUUAUGUGGUAGAUAUAUGGAGAAACAUACUUGAUGGAAGUAAAUAAUAAAACUCCCAUAUAUUGAUUUUAAUAGUUUUAAGAGUCAAAUUGUUUAUGGUUUUUGUAUUUAAGAAUUAAAUUUCUUUAAGCAUGCUAAAACAUGUUUAAACAUGCAUACUUAGUCAUUUCCUGAGAUGGAAGUUUUGGAUUAAUCUUAUAUUUACUUAUGAUUUUGAUAUGCUCACGAAGUUUACCUAACUAUUAAUUAUACUAAUCUUAAGUGAAAUUUGUGAUAGUAUCGAUCAAAACGAAAUCACAUGUGGUAGCUGCAAGUGGAGUUUAUCUUUUUUCCUAUCAACUUAUUGGUAAGUCAUUUUAUUCAUUUAUCCUUUUAGUAUGUGUAGAAAAUUGAUUAUAGUUCUUCAAUUUCUUUACUAUUUUCUCUUUCCCUUGAUCCCUAUUUUGUUCUAUUAUGUUUGGUUUUUGAAAAACUUGAGGGUAAAUAUAAAGAAAAGAAAAUUGAGAAAAAAAAAAAGGAAAUACAAAGUGAAAAAGAAUAAAAACUAGAUUUAAAGUUAAUCAAUUAUUUUCAUAUGUUUGUUCAAUCUUAUUUCAUUUAUUAUGCUUCAUUAUAUAAAAAUUAAAUAAUUUUAAAAUGUAUAUAACUCUAACUAAUUUUAAUUAUAUUUAAUUUUUUUUCCAUAUUUUUCACAAUGAAACCAAACAUUUAUCAUUUUCCUUGACAAUUUUUAUUGUUUCCUUGGUGCUCGAUGGGAUCCAAACAUAAGUUGAAAACCAUCAGGGUAGCCUAGUUGGUCAAGGCGAAUAUUGAGAAGUGUGGUCCUAGUAAGUGGUACAUGGUUAUGGGUUUGAAUCCUGUCACCACUGAUACCUUGAAUUUGCCUAGUGCUAGUUGUUGCGGGUGAUUAACACUUUGAGGUUUGGGUCCCCAUAGAGAGUUCGAAGGGUUUGGUCAUGGAAGGUUCCUUGAUUAUUGAGAAAAAAAAAAACAUAAGUUUUAUGUUUCAGGAGAUUUAAAAAAAAAAAAAAGGUUGUAGCACAAUCCAUAAUUAACUAGGAUAUAUAUUUGUUCUCAUGUGCUUGGUAUAAGGCACUAAGUAUCAUUAUAUUAAAUUAAAUCCUCGAUCUACUUCAUAAGAGUUAGUUAUAAAUUCCUUGCUAUUGAUAUAGGUAAACAAGAAUUUAUAUAUGUUUGAAUUAAUUCUUAAGUUAAUGGUUAAUACCCAUUAAAUAUGUUUUUAGUUCCUUUGAUGAUUAUGUUAUAAUUUGAACAUGUUAGGGGUAUGAUUCUAGCUUCAUUAGCAUGAAGUGUAUCCAAUGAUAUGUGAUUCCCUAUCACUAUGUUUGGAUCCAAGAAAGUGUAUGGGAUGAAAAAUCCUCAUGAAAAUGAUUUUCUCAUAAAAAAAAUCCAAGAAAGUAUGAAGGAACAUGAAAAUGAUUCUCGGAAAUCAAACGCAACCAUGUGAAAUAUACUUGUGUUAAUAAUUAUAAUGUGUGUUUGUUGUACUAUGUUUAUGAAAUUGAAAUGAUGUAUUUUAUAAUUUAUGUAGGUGGAAACCCUAAGGACAAUGAGGAGAAGUUAAUCUCAAGAUACAAGUGAGAUUCCAAAUGUUGCUAAGGUGGUCUACUCUUACCAUCAUGACCAUCAAGAAAGAUGCUACAAUUUGUGUAUUGAAAGUGUGAAUUAGGAAUGUUAAAAAAUGAAAACUUGAAUUGAUAUAUGUUUUUGCCUAUAAGAUGUGUGGUUAUAGGCAAUUCUUAUGGGUAUGUAAUUGACCUUGAUGUUGCAUAUGAAGCAUAUCACCCUCUCUAUAUCUUCAAGCUAAUGGUUGGAGUUUGGAUAGUGAAAGACAAGUGUCAUAGAUUUAAGUAUUUUCAAAGGGCUCAUGUGGCACAUAGACAAUUCAAGUCUCUUGAAGUUGUUAAUUCUUUCACGUUGUAACAAAGGUCUCUAUCACAUUUCACACAUUAUAACCAUCACAUUUUAACUCUGAGUGUUUAGUUUGAAAUACUUUUGCAUUAAACUCUUUUUCAAAAGUAUUAAAUUAAUAUCUUUCUCUAGUCUUACUCGUUUUGGUUUGUCAACUUAAGUGGUUUAUUACUCUCUAGAGCCAACUUUCAACUUAGUCAUUCCCACAUAAUUGUUAUUGAUUCAUGGUCAAUUAACAAAUUCUCUGAUGUUAUGAUUGGUUUUUGAAAAUUUUGAGGAAAAUUAAAUAAAGAGAAAAAGUAUAAGGAAAUAAAUUUGAAGAAGCAUAAAAAAAAAAAAAAAUUAAAAUUAAUAAAUUAUUUUUAUUUGUUAUUUUAAACUCGUUUUACACCUAAUUUUAAUAAUAUUUAUUUACUUUCCCUAUUUUCCAUGAGUUGUCAAAUAUAAAAAAAUUAUUAUUUUUAAUACUUUUUGAUAACUAAACAUAACCUAAUACUUGUCUUUGUAAUUUCAAGGUACCAAUGAUAGAAUCAUACCUAUUAAUGUGGCCGUAUACAUGUGUGGAAUAUUCAUGAUUCAAUACUAUCACUACAUUACAAUUGUGGGAUGGAUCCUAGUAUAUAGUUAACGCAAAGAAGGAUUUUAUUCUAAAAUUAAUAUAAACAAAUAUAAUUUGAUAAUGUAUUUUAAACAUCUUGUAGAUAGUGUUUGGUGAACCAAUUUAAUAAUUUAAUAUAACUUAAUAGUUUAAUUUAUUAUUAAGUAGAUUAACUAUAUUUGGUAGAAUAAGUUAAUAUUACAAUGUAAAUUUAGUGUUAAGUCAAAAUAGUUAAUUUAAGGGUGUUUGGUAAAUCAACUUAAUGACUUAAUAUGAUUUAAUAAUUUAAUUUAAGUCAUUAAAGAGAUUAAAUAUAUUUGAUAAAAUAAUUUAAUACUACAACUUAAAGUUAUUUUUAACUUUAAGUAAUAAGUCAAAAGGAUCAAUUUCAUUGAGACCCCCUGAGGUUUGGUAUAAAUAUACUCGACUAUCAUUGAUUUCAAAUUUCAUCAAUUAGCACCCUUAUAAAUUUUUUUCGUUUUAAAAAAUUAUUUUUUUAAGAGAUUUCAAGUAAAAAUAUUUUAUAUAGGAGUGUUUAACAAUUUACUAAAAACUAAAUUUUAUUCUUUAAAAACUAAAAUUUAUAUAUAUAAUACAUUUAUAGAGGUACCAAUUGAUAAAAUUUGAAACUUACAAUGGCUUAAUGUACUUACUCUAAACCUGAAGGAUCUCAAUAAAAUUAACUCUAAGUCAAAAUAGUUAACUUAUUCUUAAUUUCAAAUCAUUUUUACCUUAUUUACCUACAUUUAUGACUCACUUUUUAUGAUAAAUAUUUUAUGAUUGUAUUUGUAUCUACGAUGCUUUAAAUAUGAAUAUUUAACAAAUAAAUCUAUUGUUUAAGAUUAGUGAAAAUAUAAUGAUUAGUUAAAAUUAAUAAGAAUAAAUAUAUCAAUUUGAAAAUUUAGAAUAAAUCUUAAAUUAACUUUACUAAAUAAUCUUAAUACUUAAAGUAAAAAAUAAUUAAUAAGUUUUAAGUUUACAACUUAAGAAUCAUUUAACUUAAAACCAACUUAAAUCAUUAAAUAAUAAGUAAUAAGUUUUACCAAACACCUACUUAAACAUAGCUUUUAAAGAAAUUAUUUAAUCAAAAGACAAAUAUUAAAAUAUAAAAUAUAAAAAAUAUAAUAAAGGAACAUGCACAAUGCAAAUUGACAUUAUAAAGUCUUUCACACUAUUUUAUUCCUUUUUUUUGUUCACCUUUUUAGAAAACGAUUUUAAUAUUUCCUAGGAAAAUUAUGAUAACACGUAAUUGGUGUUUCCAUAUUUUCUAAUUUUAAAACUCUAUUUUCUGAAAUAUUGAUUUAUGUUUUCUUUACAAAUGAAAACAAUUUAAACAAAAAGGUGCUUUAUAGUUUCCAUUUUUAAAAAUGAUUUUCACUUAUUUUGACUUAAGGCAUUUUCAAGAUAAGAAAAAAAACAAGAAUAAAAGCUAUUUUUAGAGAAUAAAAAUAAAUGAAAAAUGAAAAACAUUUUCCAACCGAAACCCAUUGUUAAUGUUUUCAUCUCAUUGCACCUUUUUCUAAUCACCAUCCCCCUCUUUGAUGGACUAACUCGGAAAAAUUAUCUUGGCACGUGCUUUAAUUUACAUUUGUUAAAUUGGUUUUGACAUACAUUUUCCAUAAUAAAAGCAAAACAAUAGCCCGAGUUACAAACAUGAUUUCCAUGGUUUUUAGGUCUUUAAUCACAAAGUAUUGAUUCCCAAAUUAUAGAUGCUCUAAAUUUAGUGCAUAGGGCAUUCAGACUCUCAGUUCCAUCAACAUCCAUUUUCAUUUUCUCACCUGCCAAAACCCUAUUGUACAAAUUUCCAUUGAACCUGCAGAUCCAUCCAAAGUGAUACCAAACUGUGCUGACAAGGAGCCUUUGUAAGAAUCUGAUACAGCUCCUGCUGUUUCUGAAAGGUUGCUCUUCAUCUCUGAAAUUUUUGAUGCCAUGUGCUCUUUGUAUUUCGAAACUAAAUCAACCAAAGCAUAGAGUUCCCAAGCACAUAUCUGAAUUUCUUCCUCAUUUUGCUUGAUUGCUUCCUGCAACUUCAAUUUGGACGUCUUCAUGACAACAUCAAAGUCUAGUCAGAAUCCCUUGAAUUUUUCAAUAUUAUUCACAUUAAUCAAGAACAAUUAUAGAGCCAGGUAGGAAUUUUUCUUAAGUGUUAUAUAGGCCAUCAAAACUACUUUGUAGGGACUAAUUAUCAUCCAAGAACAAUUAUUCACAUUAGUCAGAACAAGAACAAUUAUUCACAUUUACUUGGAAAAAGAAUCAAAUGUAGUCAAUCCUUUGUAGGGACUAAUUAUCAUCCAAAAAGAAUUUUUCUUAAGUGUUAUAUAGGUCAUCAAAGCUACUUUGGAAAUUUGGGGCCUGACAACCUAUGUGCAAUAACAAUUGACAUCUCCAGCAGAUUUUAUUUUAUUUUUUUAUCCAAAAAAAAUCAUUCAUUGAUAUGAAUUUAGUUACAAACCAAGGUUAAGAAACCCUUUCAAAAUAUAAAGGAUGAUUAAAAGUUGACGAAAAACCUAACAAGAGUAGCAAGAUAACUAUAUUAAUCAAGGAUGAUACAAGAACUUGUACAAAAUAUAGCGACAAUGUACAAGAACUUGUACAAGCAAGCACUAUAACUUGGGAGUGGUGGCGCCUUGAGCCUAGUGUCACGGACUUAGUCGUUCACUAAGCUCGUGCGGCACUUAGACAAGCCAAGACGCUUGAUCUUGCUAAGUCAGCCUUGCUCCCCAAUGCUUAGCUUGCUCGGCUAAGACACUCGCGACUCAAAAGCUUAAGAAGCUUGGUAGGCAACUCUUGAAAGAAUGGAAGCUUUCACUAACUCAAGGAAACCUUUACAAGUGCUUGGAUGCUCACUUGCUUGGUGCCUUGGCCAAAUGAGGCCCUCACCUAUUUAUAGGCACUAAUGGAACUCUCUAGAACCUUGGAGGGUUCCUUACAAUUCAUGAAUAUUCUAGAAUGUCCUACACUAUUCUAGAAUAUUCAAGAGACUUCUAGAUUUCUCUAGAAAGCUUUGGACCCUUCUCAUGCCUUCUACCAUAGUGUAGAGUUGUGUAGACUUCUCUAGGCAUUUCUAGAACCUUCCACACUCUUCCCACUAGUGGCUAAGUGUGGAUGUCUCCAAGGGUCUCUAGAAGCUUCUCACCUCCUAUAUAAGCCAUGGGGAGGGUCAUUUGAAGCAUCUUGUGACACUCUCCCCCACCUAAGCCGCAGACGUCCUCGUCGUGUCUUCUGCCCGGAACCGCUCAAUCUGUUCCUGGAACUGCCAUAGUGCAUUUGCUGGCUCCCAACUAGCCUCGCUUUCUGGUAGUCCCUUCCAUUUCACUAAGUACUCCGUAGCAGGAGGCACACCACGCCUUCUGAUGAUUCGGUCUGCAAUGAUGUGUUCCACCUCCUUGUCAUAGGAGAUCACAACCGCUGUAAGUGCCCUCUUAGAAAGCCCUCGGCUUGGAUCAUCCUUGUCUUCGUGAUAUGGUUUCAAGUAACUCACGUGGAAGACAGGGUGAAUCUUUAACCUUGGCGGUAACUCCACUUUGUAGGACACCUUGCCGACCUUUCCAAGUAUAGGGAAGGGUCCUUCAUACCUCCUCACAAGGCCCUUAUGCACUGGCCUUAGGGAUUUGAAUUGUUGAGGAAGGAGCUUGACAAGCACCAUGUCUCCGACCUUGUACUCCGUGUGACGUCGCUUCUUGUCAGCCCACUUCUUCAUUUUCUUAGCGGCCUUGUCCAAGUACGAGCGUGCUAUGUCAGCUUGCUCAUGCCACCCCUUAGCGAACUUGAAAGCCGCUGGACUUCUCCCUGUGUAGCCUAUCGUUAGCGUGUGAGGAGUUAAGGGUUGCUGCCCUGUGGCUAGCUCGAACGGGCUCUUGUUGGUCGCCUCACUCCUUUGCAAGUUGUAUGAGAAAUGGGCUAUAUCUAGCAACUUAGCUCAAUCCCUCUAGUUGGCACUCACAAAGUGCCUCAAGUAUAGCUCCAGCAAGGCGUUCACCCUCUCAGUCUGCCCAUCUGUCUGUGGGUGAAAGCUGGUGGAGAAGUGAAGCUCCGAACCCAUAAGCUUGAAGAGCUCCGUCCAAAACUUCCCAGUGAAGCGUGGGUCGCGAUCACUGAUGAUGAACUUAGGCAACCCCCAAUACUUGACUACGUGCUUUAGGAAUAGCCUCGCCGUCUCUUCCGCGGUGCAGUCAGUCGGGGCUGCUAUGAAGGUUGCAUACUUAGAGAAUCUAUCCACCACCACUAUGAUAGAGCCGUUGUCCUCUGACUUAGGUAGCCCGAUGAUGAAGUCCAUGGUGACGCUGUCCCAUGGGCGUUCUGCUACAGGUAGUGGCUCUAACAGGCCUCUAGGUUGUCGUUGUUCCACCUUGUCUUGUUGGCACACAAGACAAGUCCUCACAUAGGCCUCAACCUCGUCCCGUAUCUGAGGCCAAUAGUAAGCCGACUCGAGUAGUGCCCUAGUGCGUCGUUGCCUAGGGUGCCCUGCCCACUUGGUGUCAUGGCACUCCUUAAUCAGGUUCCGCCUUAUGUUCCCCCACUUAGGCACGUAGAGUCGUCUCCCUUUGGUGUAGAGUAAGCCAUCCUCCACCCAAAACCGCUUGGUCUUCCCUUCAUGAGCCAGGGCGAUGAGGCUCUUAGCCACUGGAUUAUGUUGCAGUCCCUCCCUUAGAAGAUCCAUUAUGUCUCCUUGGGGCUGACUCGUUAUGGACGCUAGCUCGGCUUUGCGACUUAGGGCGUCGGCCACAUGAUUAGCACUUCCUGGCUUAUACUCCAGCGUAUAGUCGAACUCGGCCAAGAAGUCUUGCCACCUAGCUUGUUUAGGACUCAGCUUCUUCUGUGUCUGGAAGUAGCUAGUGGCCACAUUGUCGGUCUUCACUAUGAAGUGAGACCCUAGCAAAUAGUGCCUCCAGGUGCGCAAGCAGUGAACGAUAGCGGUCAUCUCCUUUUCUUGCACCGUGUAACGCCUCUCCGCGUCGUUUAGCUUGCGACUCUCAAAUGCAAUUGGGUGUCUUUCUUGCAUAAGGACUCCCCCAAUAGCGAAGUCUGAGGCAUCUGUGUGUACCUCAAAGACCUUGGUGUGGUCGGGUAGUGCCAACACUGGCUCCUCAGUCACAGCCUUCUUCAGGUCCUCAAAGGCUUGUUGGCACCUUUCAUCCCAUUCCCAUGCCUUAUUCUUCUUCAGAAGAUCAGUGAGUGGAGCGGCCCUUGCCGAAUAACCCUUUAUGAACCGCCGAUAGUAAUUAACUAAACCAAGGAAAGAUCUGAGUUGAGGUACCUUGGUUGGUGGAUCCCAUUCUUGGAUGGCCUUCACCUUGCUAUCAUCCAUCAUCAGCUUGCCAUCUCUGAUGCGAUGCCCAAGGAAGCUCACUUCCUCCUUAGCAAACGAACACUUCUCCUUCUUCACGUAUAGCUCGUUCUGCCUCAAGAUCUUAAAGACCUUCCUCAAGUGCUCCACGUGCUCCUUUAGAGUGUUACUAUAGAUGACUAUGUCAUCCAAGUACACCACCACGAACUUGUCCAAGUAUGGGUGGAAGAUCUUGUUCAUGAGGGUGCAAAACGUUGCUGGGGCAUUGGUGAGUCCGAAAGGCAUUACUACGAACUCAUAUGAGCCAUACCUGGUCACACAUGUAGUCUUCGGCUCAUCUCCCUCCGCAAUCCUGACUUGGUAGUAGCCUGACCUUAAGUCCAGCUUCGUGAAGUACCUUGCCCUUCCAAGUUGAUCGAACAAGUCAGCAAUGAGCGGGAUGGGAUACUUGUUCUUCAUCGUCACCUUGUUGAGUGCCCGGUAAUCUAUGCACAUUCGUAGGGACCCAUCAUGCUUUUUCUGAAAUAGAACCGGCGCGCCAUAAGGAGCCUUGGAUGGUUGGAUGAACCCCGCAUCUAGCAACUCCUUGAGUUGUCUCCUUAGCUCCUCCAACUCGGGUGGUGCCAUCCUAUAUGGCCCCAUAGCAGGGGGCUUGGCUCCCGGCUCCAGCUCAAUCUUGUGAUCUUCCUCUCUCCUAGGAGGAAGUCUCUUGGGCAACUCGGGCGGCAUAACGUCCUUGAGCUCAUCAAGGACCCCCUCGAUUUCUCUAGGCAUGGGUUCUCCCGACCCAUCAUCCUUUUCUUCCUUUAGGGUGGCGAGGUAGGUCACCUCUUCCCUCUUUAACCCCUUCUUUACUUGCAUAGCGGAUAACAUAGGGGUCUUGAGCGUACCUUCAUUGACCGUAGGGACCAUGCACGACUUCUCCUCCUCUAGGAUAGCCAUUGAGCGUAGGAAAGGUAGUGGCACGGCCUUGACCUUCUGUAGGAAGUCCAUUCCUAGCACCAUCUUGAAGUCAUCCAUGGGUGCCACUGUGAAGUCGACCCUUCCUUCCCACGAGCCGAUGUGCAUAGUCACCCCGCGAGCUACUCCAUGUGAUGGCUUGGCGGCUGAAUUGACUGCCUUGAGCCAUCCUCCUUCCUUGGAUGCUUGGAGCUCCAACCUUCUUGCCUCAUCCUCCGAGACAAAGUUGUGAGUGGCACCUGUGUCCACCAGGGCCUUGGUGGCCUUCCCAUUCACAAGGGCCUCCACAUACAUCAGCCCUUUGCUUUGAGGCGUCUUAGGCAUCGGCUUGGCCUUAAGGGCAGUUAAGAGCUGCAACGAUCCCAUCUUAGCAUCGCCUUCUUGCUCCUUUUCCUCGAUCAUAGCAUUUAAGGCCUUCCUCUUAGGGCAGUCCCGUGCCCAGUGCGGACCAUCGCACAGGAAGCAAUUGGUCCUGGGCGUGAACUCCUUUCGCUUGUCCUUGCCUUUGCCAUCCUUGCCACUAGGGCCUUUGCUUGAUCCUUCCUUAGAGGUAUGGCCUUGCGACCUCUUGUCUCCCCCACCUUUGGCCUGGUUACCCUUGGAUGGUGGCUUGGGCUUGGAGGAGUCUCCCCUUCUAUAAUCUACUAAGGACUCGGCUACUGCCAUGGCCGUGGCUAGGUCUUGGACACCACGUCUCCUCAACUCUUGCUCGGCCCAGCUUUGCAAGUUGUCCAUGAAGUUGAACAGUAGCUCCUCCUCAGCCAUGUUAGGUAUCUCAAGCAUAAGAGUAGAGAAUUCUUUGACAUACUCACGGAUCGAGCCCGUGUGCUUGAGACGCUUCAAACUCUUCCUUGCUAGGUAAGCCACGUCUUCGGGAUAGAAUUGCCUCUUGAUUUCUCUCUUAAAGGCAUCCCAUGUGUCUAUGGUGCACGUCCCUCUCUCUAUGUCGGCAAAUCGUCGACGCCACCAUAGAGUAGCAUUAUCAGUGAGGUAAAGGGUCGCGGUGCGUACCUUAGUGGCUUCAUCCGUUAAUGCAAUUGCCUCAAAGUAACGCUCCAUGUGCCACAAGAAGUUAUCUAGCUCCUUGGCAUCCCUCUUGCCACUGAACGUGUGUGGCUUGGGCACCUCCACCCUUGGUGCCUCAUGAGUGGCCAUGACUCGUGCUGAUACAGCGGUCUUAUAGAUGGCCAACUCUUGUCGAAUCUCUUGGUCUCGGGCCUCCACUCGUGCAGUCAAGGCCUCCAUCCUUGACUCCACACUAGCGAACAUGCUCAUGACCUUGUCUUGGAAAGACAUGAACUCCUCGUGUGACACCGGUUGAACUUGCGAGACCAGCACCCCCUCGCGAAGGUCUUGGAUCUGCUCCCUUAGAUCCUCUAAGCCCUUCUCCAUGCCUUGCUCGAUCAAGUCCACCCCUUCCCGGGUGUCUGCCAUGGCUAGCUCCACCUUGGCUAACCUUGCCUCCAUGUUGGCAACAACAUCAUGAGAUGUAUCCUUCUUACCUCUGCCCCUGCCCCGUGCAGUAGGCUCGGCCUCCCUCCCAUGGGUUUGUUCGCUAGUCUCCUCCACGUUAGAGCCCGACAUGCUUCCCUUAUGCCCGCUUCGUAGCCACGCUCUGAUACCACUUGUCACGGACUUAGUCGUUCACUAAGCUCGUGCGGCACUUAGACAAGCCAAGACGCUUGAUCUUGCUAAGUUAGCCUUGCUCCCCAAUGCUUAGCUUGCUCGGCUAAGACACUCGCGACUCAAAAGCUUAAGAAGCUUGGUAGGCAACUCUUGAAAGAAUGGAAGCUUUCACUAACUCAAGGAAACCUUUACAAGUGCUUGGAUGCUCACUUGCUUGGUGCCUUGGCCAAAUGAGGCCCUCACCUAUUUAUAGGCACUAAUGGAACUCUCUAGAACCUUGGAGGGUUCCUUACAAUUCAUGAAUAUUCUAGAAUGUCCUACACUAUUCUAGAAUAUUCAAGAGACUUCUAGAUUUCUCUAGAAAGCUUUGGACCCUUCUCAUGCCUUCUACCAUAGUGUAGAGUUGUGUGGACUUCUCUAGGCAUUUCUAGAACCUUCCACACUCUUCCCACUAGUGGCUAAGUGUGGAUGUCUCCAAGGGUCUCUAGAAGCUUCUCACCUCCUAUAUAAGCCAUGGGGAGGGUCAUUUGAAGCAUCUUGUAACACUAGGCACACUUAAAGCACGCCUUUUAAAACUAUGAUCAUCCAUUAGACAGGUGGUUAGACCAGGCAGCUCUUGCUAUCAAAUUUUGAGUGACAACUGCUUGUGUAAUUGACACAUCAUUUGCCCUUUGUACCAAAUUUUAGAUUGACCAUCAAGUGGUACUAUACUACUUUCCAAUUAUUUUCUCUCCCAUAUUUCAUUUGAGUCAUUCUGGAAUUUAGCAGUAUUCUAUCCCAAUGGAAUUUCUAGGAACAACAUUUUUCUGUCAAAAUUUGAAUACAUCUAAAUUAUCACCUUUUUGAAUUCCAAUUGUAGUCCAAUCAAUUUAACCGUAGUAAUUGAUUUUCCAAGAAAUUUUAUUAUUGUGCAUUCAACUACUAACAAUUCAAGAAAGCUUUUUUUUUUCUUUUUGGAUAAGUAAAUCACAAUUCAAAAAACAAAUUAAACGAAGGGGAAAGCAAGAUUAUGAACAAUUUUGUCUUUUAGAUUGCAAAGAAAAUACUCGAGAAGCUUACAGUUACAACUUUAGUUUUCCUAGAGUGGCAUCCAUGCAAUAUAACAACCAUUCAAUUGUAUAUGCUACUGCUGGUACUUAAGAAAUGGUAUUGCUCACAAAGUCAGACCACUAGGUAAAGAAGACCUGCUUUGAUUUCUUAUAUAGAUAGAUGGAUACAGAGAGAGAGAGAGAGAGAGAGAGAGAGAGAGAGAGAGUUUGGCCUUUUCUAAGAGCAGCAAAAAGAGGUUGAGUUAAUUUGUACUUCAGUUAAUUGCAUAUUCAAUAGGGGACCAUUGGCUCCAACUAUGUGCACGCUCCCUCCAUCUGUAUCCUAUGUAUGUGUCUAAGAAUUUUAUGGCUCUGUCAUUCUUUCCAAAAAAUUUGUGCUGCAGAGUUCUUCUUUCUUGUAACAUGAUCAAUCUUGUUAAUCUUAUCUAACAUCACCAAUACUUUUAGCUUUCUUUAAAAUUUUUAGGAAAACAAAGCGAAAAUCUGGCUGCUCCUGUUGACACCCUAAAAUCGUAUAAAAAAGGCAUAGUUUUUUAUUCUUCUUGAGUGGCAUAUAAAUGCAUAGCUGCUGAACAAGAAAAAUGAGUUCUAAUUCACUUACUUCAUCACUACGGGAUUGAAGUGCAGCAAGAUGAUUUCUUUUUGCUUCAAUUUUAACAGCAUUUUCAACUAAUUAUUGUUGAAGAGAAAUCAACUCUUCCAACUUUGACAUAGAGCUUUUAUUUAUGUCAUCAGCAAAGGAGUCAAAUGCAGGCUUAAGCGUUGAUUUGUAAUCAAUUCCCAAACCUCAGCAGGCAAAGACCCUUUGGCAUUCAACACUACUGCAAACCAUUUCCUAACUUUAACCUGGAAACCAUCCAAGAGAAAAUACUUCAAUUACACAAUAGAUUGUAGUUUAAUAGGUUGAAAGAGUUGCAUGAGGUGGUAUGCUAAUUUGUCAAUUCAAAGAUGCUCCUGAAAAUUAAGUAUUUAGUGUUGCCUCUUCAUGACUAUUAGUUUACUUCUAAAAGUUAAAGAGAACAUGGUCCAAAGGGAAACAAUAGGCUCCUAAGGCAGGGCUCAGGAGGCAAAGGGUUGGGUGGGUAUGGGAAGGUUCCAAGUUGAAAUUCAUAUACCGAGAGAGAGAGAGCGAGAGAGAGAGAGAGAGAGAGAGAAGGGGGGGGGGGGAGGAGAGGGGAGACUACCUUAAAAAAGGAGGUUGCCAAGGGCAACUGUAUCACCUAUCUCUGUCUAAAUAAAUGAUUAGAAAACUUGUGAGGAUGAAAGUGUUAAAUGGAGAUUUUUUUUAAAAGCCAAAUUGAGAAUGAACAUUAGCUAACCUUAAAAACCUUUUUAUUUUUCGUACUUUGACAAAGCUCCAGAAUGGUUAGCAGUUUGAGAGUAACACUUAGCUUAAAAGGUUACAGAAGAUGAACAAACAUGAAAUCAUAAACCAAUACAAAAGCUGUAAUGUACCCAAAAGAUAAAUGCAGGUAAGGCAAAUUACAACUCAGAAACUACCCAUUGUUGGUGUUGAAUCACAACCCCAAGUAAACAAAUGAAGCUUAAGUUGGCUACUUGGAAAUAAUGCAUGUGACUCAAGAAGACAUAAGCCAUUGAAUGGUUCAGCAACUACAUUCACCUGGUCUGAAUUUUUGUCUACUGAAAUUUUACAUUUUUGUUAGGUAAUUUUUUUUGUCCCUAUUGGGAUUUGAACCUGAAACUUCCACAAACCCUUCCAACUCUUUACCUCUUGAGCCAGGCCUCAAGGGCAUGUUCACUGGAAUAAUUUAAGCAGAGAACAGCAGCUGGAUCCUUCUUAGGAAUCACUGACUAGUCAUGCUAUAACUACAAAGCCAGAUCCUACGUUCUCACUGAAGUUAUACUAAAAUGUUGUAUAUGUUAAUGUAUUUGCUAAGAACAGGAAAAUAUUUCAUAUCACCCACAAAUGACAGACAAAAAAAAUCUUGUAAUCUAAUUCAUGGAGGUAGAUAACCUAAUGUUGAUAAGAAUCACAGUAGACUUCAAUGGAAUAGAGAAAAUCAAUUCCAAGCAUUACCAAACUUAAGAAAGAACACAAUUCUACCAUGUUCAUUAAUUAUCAGAAAGCAUACUGAAGAUUACUAGAAAGACUUUAGAGUAUGCAACUAAAGGAAUUAAGAAAAUCCUAGUGGAGUGGAUUAUAGAGGUAUGAAAGCCAAACAAAGAGGAUAAGGAAAAGAAAACCUCCUGAGAGCCUGGUUGCAUUCAAUUGAAAGAGUUUCAAGCUCCUUAAACUUGUGCCCAAUUGUCGUGUCAAGAUCCCAAGACUUCUCCUCCCAACCAUUCCUUGCACCCUCGGCCUCCGUGAUAUCUCUCUCAACUGCCUGCAACUCCCUCUUCAUCCUCUCUGCAUCUCUUGCAUUAAACGUCUGCAACUCAACCCUCUUCUUCAGCUCUUAAUUAUCCUCGCAAAUUCUAUUUUCUUCUCAACCUUCACCCCCAACUCCUUCUCCUCCAAAAUCUUCUCCACUGAUGCAAUCCUUCCCGAAAAUUCUGCAAUUAUUGCACGAAAUUUUUUCACAUCCUCCUCCAACACCCCCCUCUCCUUCUCCACAACCUCCUUAGCCGAAGGCCCCGACCUCAAUUCCUCCAACCUCCCCUCCCUCUCUGCCAUCUCCUUCUCCAAUGCCUUCACACCUUCCGCCACUGCGUCCCUCUCCCUUUCCAACUUCCCCAUAGACUCCCUAUCCACCGCCUCCAUCCCAUCAUCAUCCCCGUGAAUAUAAUGCAAGUAACUAUCUAAUGCAUACACAAAAGUAUUGUCAAAACACUGCAAAUUCGACACAAGAUGGUCAUUAUACAAUGCGAUCUGAACCAACCAAUGCAUUACGCCUAAAAGGGAAGGCCAAGCAUGCGGGGUUCCGGGGGCUUUGAGAGCGGACUUGUUGAGCUUGAUCAGGAAAUUGAGGUGCUUGAGGAGGAUAGGAAGAUCGUCUUCAAGUUUGGUUGUGGGGAAAUCGAGUUGGGAGAUGAGGAAUUUUAGGGUUUCGGAAAUGUCUUUGGCGGAGGGGAGAGGGGGUUUAAGGGAGAAAGGAGAGGAAUGGGAGGCGAGAAAGGAGUUGAUGGUGCGGAUGGCGGAGAGUUGGUAGGAUCGGUCGGUGAGGGCAUCACCGGCGGAGGAGCGGUUGAUUCCAAGGGAGGAAGGGCGGCUGCUGGCGAAACUAGCGUCAGAGUCGCGGCUGCAUUGGCGGUGGUGGUCAACGGAGGGAGGUGGUGGUGGUGGCGGUGGGCGGAUAAAGUCCUUCGGACGGCGGCGGCCGGUGGCUUUCAUAUUCGGCUGUGAUGGGCUUCUCCCUCUCUCUUCUGAGUUCUUAUGAAUUCUGAAUCUCUCUUUCCCGCCUAUGGAUACCCCUCAGCUAUUUGUCAAUUACACUUAACCACCCUCAAGUUUUUUAAAUUAACCAUAGUGGAGCAGAACAAUCCAUGGAUGAUGUCGUCGAAUCUUGAAAGAUUUUUAUGGUUGAUUAAUGAUGUCAUAGUUAAAAGAAUUAAAUAAAAUGUCUAAAAUAUUCGUUUUAUUUCAUUUCAUCUUACCAUAUAUUUCUAAUUAAUUUUAAUUAAAAGUUUUUAAUAUAAAAAAUUAAUUUGUUUUUAUUAAAUAGUUUACCAUAUUAUCUAAUUAAUCAAUUAUUUUUACUAUCUUUCUUAUCUAAAUAAUCAUUAAGGUUAUGUUUGAUUCCCAAAAAAUACUAAGUAAAGAAAAAAAAUACUAAUAUGUUUGAUUUCCGAAAAUUAUUAAGGAAAAAAAAUAUUAAUCCACUUUUAACCCUUUAAACACCUAACUUCACAUAACCCAAACUUUUAUAAACUUAACUAUGACUUUCCAAUUGAGCGAACAAUAACCUUGAAUCUUCAAUAAAGAGUAAGUCACCAUCUAAAAAGUUUCUUAAGCCAUAAAAUAAUUGGAAUAAAAUUGCUAACAUACAAUCUAAACUCAUUAUCUUAAUAAUCUCCCUCUUUACAAUUUUAUGACAAAACAUCAUUACAUAAUCCCUUCCAGACUCUCAUAAUGGAGUUUGCAUGACACUCAAAUAUGCUCAUCUAAAAAAUGAUUCAAGGGCAAUGCAUUAAGUUGUAGUACUUACCUCCCAGUCCUAUUAACUGCAUACAUAAAAACAACUAUACCAAAGGUAAAACAAUGUGUGGGAUAAAAUAUAAUCGAGUAAGCAAAACAAGGUAGUGAGAAAAUACGAUCAAUGCACUGAAUGUUAUUAAGGAAGCAAAACAAUAUUGUAAGGAAACCAAUGUGCAAAAUCCAAAAAGAAAUAUAUUUGAUUACAUGUAAAUCAACCAAAUCUAAGCAAAGCUUUGCAAGCAACAAUUGGACAAUAAGGGCACUAAGUGCUUUCACCAACCAAAAUAUAUGUAAUAAGGACCAUGAGAACAAGCUUCUACUAUAGAGAAUGGUUCGAGAGAGUUUGACAUAUCACAAAGAUAUAUAUCAUAGGAAAUAUUUAUGUCAAGUGUCUCAAAUUUUUAAAACAUCUAACCAAUAGGUAAUUUGGUUUCCCUUAAUAUCUCAAAUUUAGUUUUCCCCAACGUCUCAAGUAACUUCUCGUAAUAUUGCAAUAAAUACUCCUAAAAAAUUUUCCCUCUAAAAACUUAAACUCUCCCCAUUUUUUAUCUUUUAUAUAUUAUCUUCCCUUAGAUGAAUCUUCCCCUAUAUAGAAUGUCUCUCCUUAAAACCCAUUUAACAAUUCUCCUUCUAGGUCUCUCUCUAUCUCAAUUCUCCCCCUUUUUGUCAUAAAAUGGGCAAAACAAGGUAAGUAGGAAAGGAGACUAAAAGGCAAUAAGGAAUAUAUAUAUAUAUACAUAGGUUCUGGAUACAAAAAUAUGGAAAUAAAGAGCAUACAUCCAAACCAAAACAAAAACAAAAACAAAUAGGAAAGCAAGCAACUAAGCAUUAGGAGCAAAGGAUGGUAAUGGAGAAGUAGAGCUUGAGGCCUUCUGAGAAUGGAUCUAAGAUAUAAUGUAAGUGAGUUGGCCCUCAAUCCCACAAAAACAUGCAUCAUGAUCGUCCAUCUUCAAAUGUAGACUUGAAAUUGAGUCCAUAACCUCUUGAAGUAAGGGAUUGUUAGAUGAAAAAACAAUGAUAAAAGAUGUAUGAGAAGGCCCCCUAUGUCAUUGGCUAUGUUAGCCACGCAAAGCUAGCUUUGGGAAGUCAUCCUUAGUGACUAAAGGCUCUUACUCCAUGGCUCAAAUCUCAUCAUUCUCAGCUAGGGCCUCCUAAGCAACCUUUUAUGCUAUUGAAGUGGGGAUAACAGGGUCUUAAGGAGUUGUAACUGAUUUGAUCAUUGUUGGUUAAGGUUGAUGGUAAUAAGUAUUCUCAAGAUAGACACUAUAAUAUCUCAUGAGUUUAAGACAAUGAGUCUUCCUCCUAGGUGAUCCUAAGAACAUGUGAUCAUGAAAAUAAUGGUUGUAGUAAUUCCUUUAGUGGAAUUUGACAUAUGCUUUUAAAGAGUUAGAGUAUGUUAGUUGAUAAUAAAAUAAGAGAAUUUAAAACUCAAGGAUUAUAGAGGUAAUCUUAAGAAGUUGAUAUAAUUCACCUUAUUAGAUUACAAACACCAAUUCAUAGAGAGUUUACAUGUAAUAAUUAGUAGUUUCUAGACUUAAGAUUCAUAUCUUAAUUUAAUAUCAUAAAAGUACAAUUGAUUUUUUGUAGUGGAAUGUUGAGUCAACUUUAAAAUUGGAUUAUGCAAGAGCCCAUGUUUUCCUAUAGGUCCUAGUUGUCCUCAUACAAGGUCUUACUCCUUGGUGACAUAUUAUUUCAAGGAUGGUUGUGCUCUUUAUUCAUAUAUAUGUGUGUGUGUGUGUGUGUGUGUGUGUGUGUGUGUGUGUGUGUAAGAAUGUUUUGGUAAAAACACAAGGUUACAUAAGAUUAAGUGACCUUGUGGCUAUUUAAUUAAUUAGGACUUAUGGGUUAGAUUAAGUGGCCCAAGCCUAAAAUGAACUUAAGUCACUUAAACCCACAAGUAAGGCUAUAUAAACCUCUUUAUUUAAGGUUCAUAUCCUUUGUUAUUCAGUCUUCCAAAGAGAGAAAACCUUAACCUCUAUCCAUAGAGAGGAUUCCCACCAUUUUUCACAUGCUAAGGUUGAAGAAAGAGAGUCAUUGGGUAAAAGAUCAUGAGGUAUUUGAGAUCCAUUCCAACCUUUUCAUUGAUUAGAACUAAUCCAAGAAUAUCCAUAUCACAUGUAUUUUCUUUAUACUCUAAGAUCCACAUUUUUUUAUAUGUUAAUACCUUUUUUGUAUGGAUUUAGAGAUGCCUAGGAUAGUUUUGCAUGUACCUUAAUGAUCUAAGGCUUAAAAUGAUUUUUCCUAGACAUUCUUACAAAUCCCAAACUAAAAAUUAUGGAUGAAUGUCGUUAUAGACAUGAUUGGCCAAAAUAGAAAGAAACUAUCCAAAUAGAGCUAAUCUCGUUACACAAAACGAGAAAUAUUUGGACUUAUAGUUCAAAUGCUUGAAGAUGUAAAGUCUCUUGGGUAUAAAAAAGUUUUUGUAUGAAAACACAAUAAGAAAAUGAAUUCAUAAGAUAUAAAACACGAUUUGUAGCUUAAGGUUUCUCAUAAAGACCUAGUAUUGCCAACAAGGAAACAUAUUCUCUUGUCAUAGAUAUAAUCACAUUUUGAUUUUAAUUAAUUAGUCAAUUUCAAAAGAACAAGAUAUGCGUCUCAUGCAUGUUACAAUUAUUGCAAAUGUAUGUUGGUGAUUUGAAUCCUAUGGGAACUCCUGAAGAACUCAUAAAAUUGUUAAUUUUUUGAAGAAAUAAUUUGAAAUAAAAGACUUAGGGAAAUUUUUUUGCCUUGGCUGGCAAAUUAAGAAGUUUUCAAAUGGAAUGUUAAUCCAUCAAUUAACUUAUACAGAAAAGGUCUUAAAUCACUUUCAUAUAAAUUAAUCAUAUCCACUAAAUUCUCCAAUGGGAGUUCGUUCAAUAGAAGUGAAAAGAAGCCAUUUCAUUUUAAAAAAUUUAACGAAGAAAUAAAUGAAUUCAUCGAUUGAUAACUUCACAUGUUUCUUAUUUCUAGAAAAUGAUAGUCUUGAUAAUGUUUCAGUUCCAUUUACUUUUAAACAUAAAGAAACAAAUGAUGAAGACAAAGUCAAAUAAAGAGAAUAUGCUAAUGAUAGUAUGCGAGUUGAGGAUGUUCCAAAAUGAUAGAAAUGAGGUGUUUGAAUUCCUAAUGAUGAAAAUCAUGAUGGUGAUAUUUGGUCAUUUUUUUAGCUAUCAUGACGCAAUUGAAAUAAAACAAAUAAGAUAUGUGGUUGUGGAUGGAAAAUGUUGUAACAUUUCAAACAACCCAAAUUUGAAGGAUUUAGAGAAGCCAGUUGAGUCUUCUUUAAUUCAAUAUCAUUUAGCACCAUCGUCACAAUUUUGAAAAUAUUAAAAAAAUUGGUCAAGAUAUAGUGAUUGAACCUCAUAAGGAAACACUUUUAUGAGAUAUUCAAGUGAAGAGUUCACAAUUCUAUAAAUUUUUAAUCCAAAGCAUAUUUGCAAUGUGCUACAUAAUGUACUCUAUUAAUUCAUACCAAGAGUAUAUUGUUGUGUCAUCGACAAAGAAGUUGUUAAUUUUAAAAUGAUAGUAUCAAUACUUUUUUGAAAUUGUCAAUAUAAUGUAAUGGUAUGACUAGAUACGAAUGACCUUUCCUUCUUUCAUGAUUCCAUAGAAUUUUUUGAUUCAUCAUUUAGAUUCAUGAAUUAGUCAUUCUAAUCGACAUUCUAUAUAUAAAUCUCUUUUUACCUCCGUGAAGGCUUCAUGGAUUGUUGGAAGGGGUUUGGUACCAAUGAUCCUCCCGCGGACCUCAUCAAGGUCCUUGUUGAGGCCCAAUAAGAACUUGAAAAGUCAUUUUUUCUCCACAAUAUUUUGAUACUUGGUAGCAUCUUCAAGGCAAUUCCAAUCAUACUCCUUGUAAACAUCUAAUUGUUGCUAGUGGUGACCAAGAAUAUUGUAGUUAUUGGUGAUGGUUAAAUCCCCUUGAUAGAGAUCAUGAAGAACACUCUCGAUAUCAACCUAUUCUACUAUAUUUUCUUUAGUGGAAUAUGUUACUUUAACCGCAUCCCACAUAUCUUUUGCGGUCUUGUAAAGAAGAAAGUUUUCAUCGAUCUCGUUGGUCAUGGAAUUGAUAAGCUAUGAUUUGACCAUAUUAUUCUGCAUCUUCUAAGUUCAGAAUCUGGGACCAUCACUUUUUGGUUGAAUGAUUUCUCUGGUGAGGUAGUCAUCCUUAUCCUUGCUGUCGAUAAACAUAAGAACAGAUUGAGACCAUUGGAGAUAGUAAUUCUUUUUCAACUUGCGACAUGUGAUGGGAAGAAAAAAGCCAUCAGAUCCUCCAUGGUCAUUGGAAGUGAUAGUCUCCAACCUAGAGUUGACUUCAUAGAUUGAUUGUUGACUAUUGGUAGUUAUUUUGGAAGAUUCGUUUGGAUUAGAUUAAUUUGUGACAGGAUCGAAUCACUUCUGGACUAGAUUGGACUGAUGAACCUAGGACAAAUUGUGACUAAGUUGGAGAAGACCAUUCAUGGUGAGAUAGCAAUAGGGGGUUUAAGUCACCUAUUUCUGAAAAAAAACAAGCACCAGAGAAUAGGUGUCGAUCCUAGUGGGAAAUCGCUCUGAUAUCAUGUAGAAAACUUGGUAUAUUUCUAUAUCUCUCUUCAUAGCAUGUACAACGUCAAAAUUAUAUAUGCUAAGAAUCAAAUCAACCAAAUAAAAAUCUAGCUAUAAUUUAGGAGAUACAUGCCUAAGAAAAGGAAAAAAAAAAUCAAAACAGAAGUGAGAAACAAAUCUUGGUUUGAAUACAAAAUAAAAAUCCCAACAAAUUAGGGAUAUUCACAUGAAAAUCAACAUGUUUGGAGAAGAGCAAGAACAAGUUAGGGAUUCAACAUUUGUCUAUAUUAAAUAAGGCGCUUUUGUGCUAAUGGAGUUGGUGAUAUGACACUAAAAGAGGUGCCUUUUGGACACGAUUGAUUAGUGGAAAAUUUAAAAAGGAAAAGGAUGGGUGGUGUUUUGAUGAAGUUAGAGUUGGGUAUGGAGUCGAGCUUUGGAAAUCCAUUAGGAAGGAAUGAAACACUUCCUUGGGUUAUUUUUUUCUUUUGCAGCAAGUGAUAGGAGGGUGAAGUUUUGGAUUGAUAUACGGGGUAGGGAUGAACCGUUGAGUGUUUCCUUCCCCUCUUUUUAUGCCUUAAUUGUUGCAAAAGAGGCUUGGGUUGUGAAUCUUUAGGUUCAACAUGGGGAGAGAGGUCAUUGAAACCCUUGUUUCUCAUGUUCUUUAAAUGAUUGGGAAGUGGAUGAGUUGAGGAUUUAUUUUUCAAGUUGCAAGGAAAAUAAGUUGGUGUGAAAGAACUUGGACAAUAAUAAGUUUUCCAUGAGUCAUUUAUAUGUUGAUUUGGACUUGGGGGUUGUUGUGUCAUUUCCAAGGUGGGUAGUUUAGAAUUCGUGGGUCCCUUCGAAAAUUGACUUUUUUGCAUGGGAGAUAACUUGGGGAAAUUUUUUUAAUUUAGAUCAACUUAAAAAAGAAUGGUAGUCUUUGGUCAAUAGGUGUUUUCUUUGCAAAGAAGAAGAAGAUGUUGGGAUUUUGUUUCUCCUAGAUCUUUCGUAAUAAAUCGAAAAUGUGAUUUGAAAUGUGGUCUACAUUCAUUCCAUCAAUUUAGGAAUGAGGAUUAAUGUUUGGAACCACAUUCGCAUCACUAUCCCAUGUUCUGUGCACACUCGAAGCAGACUUGAUGAUGGAAAGAGUGUUUAAAAAGGGGCAGAGCAUUAAAGGGUAGGGUUCCCUAAGCCUUCAAUCUCUUUUAGUCUUAAAAAACAUCAUCUAAGUGGAGGUUGAGAAAGGUUUAGAAGCACUUAAAACCUGAAAAAUUGAAGACACCAUUUUAACUUGUACAAAUGGCAAUGGUGUGAGGUAUGUUUUCGAUCUGUUUUGAAUUCCACUUAUGAUCUAAUUGCUAUUUAAGGAUUGUUAUGAGCAUGUUUAGAUUAUUUAUGUCCAUUAGUUGGUAUCAGAGCAAUGUAUGCCUCUGCCUUGUUUGUUUUACAAUAUGCGUUUUUCAAUAAAUAAAAAAAAUACAGUCAGUUUGGUAUUUUGGAGUUUAUGGUUUUUAGAAGUUUUUGAUGAAAAAUAUGGUUAGAAAUCAUUAGGAGAUGAGAUUUCUAACAUUUUAGUGUUUAAAAUCGUCAAUCUACUGUCUGGAAUACACGGAAACUGUCGGGUUUCAUUUCAGGUUGCAAAUGGGUCAAACAUACCCGGUUGAAGGUAGAAGACGACUAGGCUUGUCAUUUUGACUAUAAACAAUUAAGAAAUAAAUAAAAAAUAAAUAAGAAAAGGGGUAUUAGCCCAGUUGGUCUCAACUUUGCUUUUCCUCAACCAUUGUCCAAGUUCGACUCUUUCCAACACCAAUCUUUAGUUUUUUUAUUUAUUUUUUAUUUGGAAAUUCAUAAAAUUUAGUGUUUUAAGAUAUGUUAAUUCAUGGGUUUCUUUAUGGAUAUUUUAUGUGCUAGAUUAUUUAUUUUUGUUAGUUAAAUGUAUAUUUUUAUGAUUUAUUAUGCACACAACAUUAAAUUAAAUAAUUUUGCACAUUAAAUUUAUUAUUAAAGGCUCUUUAUGGAUUUAAUUUUAGAUAUUUAUGUACUUAUAAUAUUUAUUUCAUAAUUUUUUGUGUAUGAUUUGUUGUUUUAUUAUACAUGCAAUAUUGAGUUGAAUAAUAUUAGUACAUUGAUAUUGAGUUUUGUGUACAUAUUGCUUAUGGUUUCAUACAAUUUAUAUAAGCUUUUCUUGUGAAUUAAUUAAAUGUCAAGUGAUCCAUAUAAUUUUAAUUAAUUAAGGAGUAGCCACAGCAUCUUUAAUUAUGCAAAAUUAUAUAUUAAGUGUUUUAGGAUCACAUAUAGGAAAAUGAAAUUACGAGUAAUUAAUUAUAUUUGAUAUAAUAAAAUUUUAUCCCACAAUUUUUUUAUAUUAUAUUUAUAUGAUUAAUUAGGAUGGAAUAUCAAAUUAUAUUUCUUAAUUACCCACAGGAAUUAGGAAAGAGAACAUAAUUUGAUAGUUUUAUCAUAAGGUUUUACAUGGAUCUAAUUGAAUUAGAACUUUAGCCCACAAACAAGUUUUAUGUCACUAGAUUCACAAUUUUGGAACAUGAGUUACAUUGGUAAAACAUGAUUUAUGGUUAUUAGUCUUAAUUUUGAAUUAUAAGCAUGUAUAUUUAAUUUUUGUGUAGUCAUGCAACCUGCGAAUUUCUCUAAUAUAAAAUGUGACAUUCCCAAAUUGAAAGGUGAUAACUAUAAGGUUUGGAAGGAAAGAAUUCUCCUUCAUUUGGGGUGCAUGGACAUUGAUUAUGCUAUUAGAAAGGACAAAUUAACCAUUAUUGACACCAACACUACAACAGAAAAGGCUCUUUAUGAACAAUGGGAGCGAUUAAAUCGCCUUAGUUUGAUGUUCAUAAAGACCAAAAUCUCUGAUGGUAUUCGUGGUUAUGUCGAUCAACAUGACAAUGUCAAGGCAUUACUGAAGACUAUUGAUGAGCAAUUUGUGACUUUAGAUAAGGCAUUUUCCAGCACCCUAAUAAUGAAGUUUUCAUUCUUAAGGCUCACCGAUGUGAGUAGUGUGUGAGAGCACAUAAUGCAGAUGAGGGACAUUAUGGCACAAUUGAAGACACUCUUUCACAAUAAUAUAGACCCUUCAAAAUCUCCUACAACACACACAAGGAUAAGUGGUCAAUUAAUGAGUUUUUGACCAUGUGUGUUUAAAAGGAGGGAAGACUGAAAAUGUAAUUAGGUGAGAGUGCAUUAAUGGAAAUGGAAGGAAAGAAUUAAAAUUAGGCAAAAAAGAAAGGGAAAGGUAAAAUACCAUCCCAAGGUGGAAUCAAGAAGGUCAAUAGGUGUUUCUUCUGCAUGAAGAAGGGGCACAUGAAAAAGGGUUGAAACAAAUUCCAGAAAUGGCUUGAGAAGAAAGGUAAACUAAUCUCAUUUGUUUGUUAUGAAUCUAAUAUGGUUAAUGUUAUUUAUAACACAUGGUGGAUUGAUUCUGGUUCUACAAUUCAUGUUUCGAAUACCUUGCAAGGUAUGUGAAACCUAAGAAAGCCAAUGCCAAGUGAGCAAUGCAUUUAUUUAGGAAACAAGAUGCGUUCACAUGUGGAGGCUGUUGGAACAUGCAGCUUAGUUUUAAGUAGUGAUUUUAUUUUGAAUUUAGAAAAGACACUUUAUGUUCCCAGUUUCUUUAGGAAUUUGAUUUCAGUUUCCAGAGUUAUACCUUUGGGUUAUUCCUUUAGUUUUUAUGAGACAUUUUUUAAUUUGUUUUAUAAAUCUAAUCUUGUUGGAAAUGGUACAUUGUCUAAUGGUCUUUUCUCUUUCAAUUUUCAAAAUGAUACCACUAAUAACACUAUGCAUGUUCAUACUAGCAAGGAUUGAAAUAUCGGUUUUUACGGAUAUAUCGGUACUUCGAUUUUACGGAUAUAUCGGAAAUAUCGGAGAAAUAUAGGUGGAUAUUUUUUCACAAAUAUCGGUGGGAUGAAAAUUAUUUAAAAUUAAUAGGAAUGCUUGAAAAAAACUUUAAAAAAUGAUAAAAUAAGUAAGAAUCCAUAUUUUAAAGUUAUAUUGUAAGUGUAAUUGAUAUAUAUAUAUAUAUAUAUAUAUAUAAUUAAGAAGAAAAAUAUCUUAAACAGAGAUAUAUUGGUAGAUUCGAUAUUUGAAUUUUAAAAAUAAUAUAUAUGAAUUUUGAAAGUGUAUAAAAUUAGAAUUGAGUUAAGAAAUAUUUGAUUUUAUUGAAUAAAAACAAUUUGUACAUAAAUAUAAUACAUAUGAGAUUGCAAUAAUCCUUAUACUAAGGAAGAGAUCGAUGUGAUUUCAUUAUAUUAUUAGAUGAAGGGAGUUCAUCUUAUUGAAGACAGUAUUUAUUUUAAAAUUUUUAAAAUACUUUUAUUAAAACAUAUUUUAUUAUAUUUUAAAUGAAAAAUUAAAUUAAUUUAUAUAAAAUAUCUUAUUUGAGAUUUAAUUUUUAAAAUUUUAUUAAAAAUACAUCGUAACAAUUUUUUCUAUUAAUAUUAAUUAAUUUAAUAAUCAAAAUAAGGUUGAUAAUUAAUAAUUAUUUAUAUAGAGAGUGGAAAAUUGUUCUCAUGAUUUUUUUAUUUUUUAUUUUUUAUUUUUUUAUCUCCACUAAAUCUAAAAAUAAAAAAGGCACGCACUUCUCUCGGCAUCAAGAAUCCUUUUCUGAAGUUGUCCUCCAAUGAGAGAAUCCCUAAAAAAAAGCCCUAUUUUCCUCUGCUACUCCUCUCGGCAUCAAGAAUCCUUUUCUGAAGUUGUCCUCCAACGAGAGAAUCCCUAAAAAAAGCCCUAUUUUCCUCUACUUCUCUCAAAUCUCAAUCCUCGCAGGUACUAAUCUAAUCAUGUUAUUAUCAUUAUUUUUUUUGCAACCCCGUUUGAUUCCCAAGAAAAUCCAUUCCCCAUUCGAUUUCCGGGAAAAUUCAUCCUCGUUUGAUUUCCGAGAAAAUCCAUUCAAAACCCCCAAAGAAAACCAAAAAAAUUGCUUUUCUUUUGCUCCCUAUGUUUUCUGGAUCUGUUUUAGGGGUCUCUUUGCUGUUGUGCCAUUGGAUUUAAAUUUCACGAACCCUAAAUCCACGAUUUUUGAGCCAGGCUAAAAAACAUAACUGUGCGGGCUAGACUAGUAGGAAAUAUCGGGAAAUUUUCCGAAAAAUCGGUAAAAAUACCUCUUGUUGCUCCGCCUGUUAGAUCCACUCGCGAUUUUUCUCCGAUUUAUCGGUGCUUCGCCGAUAUUUCGGCGAUUUUGCCGAUUUUUUAGCGAUAUUUCCGUGGAUCGAUAAUCGGUAGCCAUUAUCGUUUCGGUGACGACCGAUAUCCGAUAUUUCUUCGAAAUAUCGGCGAUAUUUCCCGAUUUUUCAAUCCCUGAAUACUAGUACAAAACAAUGUGUUAUGAAUGAAGAUUCCCCUAUGUUGUGGCACCAAAGAUUGGGAAAUAUCUCCAUACAAAGAAUUAAGAGAUUAGUAAAUGAUGGAGUACUUGGUACUUUAGAUUUUACUGAUUUUCACACUUAUGUGGAUUGCAUUAAGGAAAAGUGGACCAACAAUUCUAAGAAGGGUGCCAAGAGGAGCACAAACAUACUAGAGAUCAUACAUUCAGAUAUUUGUUGUCCAAACAUGAACGCAUAUGGUCCGAAGUACUUCACCUCCUUCAUAGAUGAUUACUCACGAUACAUGUAUAUCUACUUGCUUCAUAACAAGAAUGAAGCAUUGGGUGUCUUUAAAGUUUUUAAGGCUGAAGUAGAAAAAUAAUGCGAAAAGCAAAUAAAGAUCGUGAGAACAUAUAGAAGUGGAGAAUAUUAUGGUAGAUACACCGAGGAUGGACAAGCACCUGGUCCAUUUGCGAAGUUUCUUCAAGAGCAUGGGAUUGAUGCUCAAUACACCAUGUCUAGUUCCCCAGACCAAAAUGGUGUGGCUGAAAGAAGAAACCGAGCAUUAAUGGACAUGGUUAGAAGUACGCGUAGCAAUUCCAAGCUUCCUAAAUCCUUGUGGACUGAAACUCUUAAAAUGAUAGUGUAUUUAUUGAACCGAGUUCCAACAAAGGUUGCUCCCAAGAUGCCAUUUGAAUUAUGGAAAGAUUGGAAAUUGAGUUUACAACAUAUACUCGUUUGGGGAUAUCUAUCUGAAGUAAGGGUUUACAACCCACAAGAGAAGAAACUAGACCCAAGGAUCAUUAGUGCGUAUUUCAUUUGAUAUGCCAAAAGGUCUAAAGGGUAUAGAUUCUAUUGUCCAUCUCACAACACUAGGAUUGUGAAGUCAAGAAAUGCUAAGUUUCUUAAGAAUGACUUGAUUAGUGGGAGCGAUCGAUUACAGGACAUUGUUUCUGAAAAAGAUCAUAUUGAUGCUCAAUCAUCCACUUCAAGUGAUAGAUUGAUUGUCGUUCACAACACCUCUCAAGUUCAAACAGGUGAUAGACAACCAAUCAUUAAAGUUCCAUAAAUUGCUGAUGACAAUCCAGUAGAUCAAGUUGUUUAAGAUUCACCGCAAAAAAUUAUUGAACAAUCUGUUGAGCAACGUGAUCCUUAGGAAAAUGUUGAUACAACAUUAAAGAGAUCUACCAAAGCAAGAAAAACAACAAUACCUAGUGAUUAUGUUGUGUAUAUACAAGAAUCAAACUACGACAUUGGAGCCAAAAAUGAUCCUGAAAUGCUUUCACAAGCCAUAAGUUGCAAAGAGUCAAAUUUUAUGCUAUGAUGCUAUGAAAGAUGAGAUGAAUUCUAUGGCAUCUAACGGAGUCUGAAAUCUUGUUGAGUUGUCUGAUGGUGCAAAAUCUAUUAGAUGUAAAUGGCUCUUCAAGACAAAAAAGGAUUCAUUGGGCAACAUUGAAAGAUAUAAAGCAAGACUCAUUGCUAAAUGAUUCACUCAAAAUGAAGGAAUUGACUACAAGGAGACUUUUUCUCCUGUAUCUAAGAAAGAUUCUCUUCGUAUCAUUAUGACAUUAGUUGCACAUUUUGACUUAAAGUUGUAACAAAUGGAUGUGAAAACAACAUUUCUCAAUGGAAAUCUAGAGGAAGAGGUUUACAUGAAACAACUACAAGGAUUUUCCUCUAGUGGUGGUAAGCAUAUGGUAUGCAAGCUUAAAAAAUCCAUAUAUGGAUUGAAACAAGCAUCCCGUUAGUGGUAUUUGAAGUUUCAUGAUGUUAUCUCUUCAUUUAGUUUUGUAGAGAACAUUAUGGAUCAAUGUAUAUAUCAGAAAGUUAGUGGGUAUAAGAUUUGUUUCCUUGUUCUAUAUGUGGAUGACAUUUUACUUGCAACCAAUGAUAAGGGUUUGCUACAUGAGGUGAAACAAUUUCUCUUUGAAAACUUUGACAUGAAGGAUAUGGGUGAUGCGACUUAUGUCAUUGGCAUUAAGAUACAUAGAGACAAAUUUCGAGGCCUUUUGGGUUUGUCUGAAAAGACCUAUAUCAACAAAGUUUUAUAAAGAUUUCAGAUGAAGGAUUGUUCACUAAGUAUAGCUCCCAUUGUGAAGGGUGAUAGGUUCAAUUUGGACCAGCGCCUGAAGAAUGAUCUUGAUCAGGAACAAAUGAAGAACAUUCCUUAUGCUUUUGCUGUUGAAAGCUUGAUGUAUGCUCAGGUCUGCAUAAGACUUGAUACUGCAUUUGCUAUUGGGAUGUUAGGAAGAUAUCAUAGUAAUCUAGGUAUAGACCAUUGGAAAGCUACAAAGAAGGUGAUGAGGUACCUUCAGGGGACCAAAGACUACAUGUUUAUGGAUAGACAAACUGAUAAUUUAGAACUAAUUGGCUACUUUGAUUCAAACUACACUGGAUGCAUUAAUUCACGAAAAUCAACUUCAGGAUAUGUCUUUAUGCUAGCCGGUGGAGCUAUUUCUUGGAGAAGUGCAAAGCAAACUUUGACUGCAAUUUCCACUAUGGAGGUUGAGUUUAUGUCUUGUUUUGAGGCUACUUCACAUGGUGUAUGGUUAAAGAGUUUCAUUUCUAAGCUUAGAGUUGUGGAUUCAAUUUCUAGGCCAUUGAAGAUAUAUUAUGACAAUUCAACUACAGUAUUUAUGGCUAAGAAUAACAAAAGUAGCAGUUGAAACAAGCACAUCGACAUCAAGUAGCAGUUGAAACAAGAACAUGGGAUAGUUGCUCAAUACACCAUGCCUGGUUCCCCAGACCAAAAUGGUGUGGCUGAAAGAAGAAACCGAACAUUAAUGGACAUGGUUAAGAGUAUGCGUAGCAACUCUAAGCUUCCUCAAUCCUUGUGGACUAAAGCUCUUAAAAUGAUAGUGUAUCUAUUGAACCCAAUUCAAACAAAGGUUGUCCUCAAGACGCCAUUUGAAUUAUGGAAAUAUUGGAAAUCGAGUUAGCGACAUAUACAUGUUUGGGGAUGCCCGUCUAAAGUAAAAGUUUACAACUCACAAGAGAAGAAACUAGACCCAAGGACCAUUAUUGCGUAUUUCAUUGGAUAUAAUGAAAGGUCUAAAGGGUAUAGAUUCUAUUAUCCAUCUCACAACACUAGGAUUGUGGAGUCAAGAAAUGCUAAGUUUCUUGAGAAUAACUUGAUUAGUGGGAGCAAUCAAUUUCAAGACAUUGCUUCUGAAAAAGAUCAUAUUAAUGUUCAACCAUGAACUUCAAGUGAUAGAUUGAUUGUCAUUCACAACGCCCCUUAAGUUCAAACAGGUGAUCGACAACCAAUCAUUGAAGUUCCACAAAUUGCUGAUGACAAUCCAAUAGAUCAAGUUGUUCAAGAUUCGCCAGAAAUUGUUAAACAACUUAUUGAGCAAUGUGAUCCUUAGGAAAAUGUUGAUACAACUUUAAGGAGAUCUACUAGAGCAAGAAAAACAUCAAUACCUAGUGAUUAUGUUGUGUAUCUGUAAGAAUCAGACUACAACAUUAGAACCGAAAAUGAUCCUGAAACGUUUUCACAAGCCAUAAGUUGCAAAGAGUCAAAUUUAUGGUAUGAUGCUAUGAAAAAUGAGAUGAAUUCUAUGGCAUCUAACAGAGUCUGGAAUCUUGUUGAGUUGCCUAAUGAUGCAAAAGCCAUUAGAUGUAAAUUGGUUUUCAAGACGAAGAAGGAUUCAUUGGGCAACAUUGAAAGAUAUAAAGAAAGACUCGUUGCUAAAGGAUUCAUUCAAAAUGAAGGAAUUGAUUACAAGGAGACUUUUUUUCCUGUAUCUAAGAAAGAUUCUCUUCGUAUCAUUAUGAUAUUAGUUGCACAUUUUGACUUAGAGUUGCAAAAAAUGGAUGUAAAAAUGACAUUUCUCAAUGGAAAUCUAGAGGAAGAGGUUUACAUGAAACAACUAGAAGGAUUUUCCUCUAGUAGUGGUGAGCAUCUGGUAUGCAAGCUUAAGAAAUUCAUAUAUGGAUUGAAACAAGCAUCUCGUCAAUGGUAUUUGAAGUUUCAUGAUGUUACCUCUUCAUUUGGUUUCGUGGAGAACAUUAUGGAUCAAUAUAUAUAUAUAUAUAUAUAUAUAUAUAUAUAUAUAUAUAUAUAUAUAUAUAUAUAUAUAUCAGAAAGUCAGUGGGAGUAAGAUUUGUUUCCUUGUUCUGUAUGUGGAUGACAUUUUACUUGCAACCAAUGAUAAGGGUUUGCUACAUGAGGUGAAACAAUUUCUCUUUAAAAACUUUGACAUGAAGGAUAUGGGUGAUGCGAUUUAUGUCAUUGACAUUAAGAUACAUAGAGACAAAUUCCAAGGCCUUUUGGGUUUGUCUCAAGAGACCUAUAUCAACAAAGUUUUAGAGAGAUUUCAGAUGAAGGAUUGUUCACCAAGUAUAGCUCCCAGUGUGAAAGGCGAUAGGUUCAAUUUAGACCAGCGCCCGAAGAAUGAUUAAGAGGAUAAACAAAUGAAUAACAUUCCUUAUGCUUCUACUGUUUGAAGCUUGAUGUAUGCUCAAGUCUACACAAAAUCGGACAUUGUAUUUGUUGUUGGGAUGUUAGGAAGAUAUCAUAGUGAUCCAGGUAUAGACCAUUGGAAAGCUGCAAAAAAGGUGAUGAGGUACCUUUAGGGAACCAAAGACUACAUGCUUAUGUAUAGAUGGACUGAUAAUUUAGAAUUGAUUAGCUACUCUUAUUUGGACUACACUGGUUGCACUAAUUCGCGAAAAUCAACUUCAGGAUAUGUCUUUAUGCUAGCCGAUAGAGCUAUUUCUUGGAGAAGCGCAAAACAAACUUUGACUACAACUUCCACUAUGGAGAUUGAGUUCGUGUCUUGUUUUGAGGCUGCCUCGCAUGGUGUAUGGUUAAAGAGUUUCAUUUCUAGGCUUAGAGUUGUGGAUUCAAUUUCUAGGUCAUUGAAGAUAUAUUGCGACAAUUCAGUUGCAGUUUUUAUGGCUAAGAACAACAAAAGUAGUAGUCGAAACAAGCACAUCGACAUCAAGUAUUUAGCCAUAAGAGAACGUGUUAAAGAGAAAACAGUGGUUAUUGAACACGUUAGCACUGAAUUGAUGAUUGACGAUCCUUUGACUAAAGACAUGCCACCGUUGAAAUUUAAGGAUCAUGUAGACAAAUUGGGACUUGGUUCCUUUGUGUGAUUUUUGUUGUAAGAACGAAUGUUAUUUUCAAUGAAACUCUAUUUGUGAUGUUUUCUCAUAUUUGAUUUUCUUUGUGUACACUUUUAUUCAUUUAUUGAGAAAUAUCAUUAAUGUUUGGACCUAGAAUAAACGCAGGGUUUAUUCAUUAAGUUAUAUGGGCUAGUGUUUAAGAGACAUAAUGCAUUGUGAUACAUGAAAGAUAAUACUCGGUUUUAGAGGCCUUAUCGCCAUUAUUCGUGUGUUUUGUUUCUUGCUAUGGUGAAUGAUGGAAUAUAUGGACCAAGUGGGAGAAUAUUGGGAUUUUGUUUCUCUUGGAUCUUUAGCAAUAAACCAAAGACGUGAUUCGGAAUGUGGUCCACAUUCAUUCCAUCAAUUUAGGAACGAGGAUUAACUUUCGGAACCACGUUCGUAUCACUACCCCAUGUUCUAUGCAAGCUCGAGGCAGACUCGGUGAUGGAGAGAGUCUUUAAAAAGGGGCAAAGCACUAAAUGGUGGGGUUCCCUAAGCCUUCAAUCUCUUUUAGUCUUAAAAAAACACCUUCUAAGUAGAGGUUGAGAAGGUCUAGAAGCACCUGAAACCUGAAAAAUUGAAGACAUUGUUUUAACUGUAAGAAUGGCAAUGGUGGGAGGUAUGUUUUCGGUUUGUUUUCAAUUCCGCUUAUGAUCUAAUUGUUAUUUAAGGAUUGUUAUGAUCAUGUUUAGAUUAUUUAUGUCCAUCAGAAGAAUCCAUAGAUCACAUCCUCCUUUAUUGUUCUCUAGUUAAGAUCCUUUGACAGUUGUUUGAUCUCUUUGGUAUUUAUUGGGUGUAAGUUGCUAUGGUAAAGGAGGCUUUUUUAGGGUGGCACGGUUCUUUUGUGGGCAAAAUGAGGAAAAAAGUUUGGAGAGUGGCUCCUUUAAAUUUAUUUUGGAUGUUUGAAAGGAGAGAAAUCUCAAGUCAAUUGAGAGUAAACAACAUUUUGUUCAUUUUUUAGAAGAUUAUUUUUUUUUAGAAAUUUGUUUUCUUGGGUAAAAUAUUAUAUAGAGAUUGAUUCUGUCUUUACUUGAUUUUAUUGAGUGGCUGGGUUGUAGUUAAGGGAGGGGGUUGUUGAGGGUUUUUUCUUAUUUCUGUGCUAUUAGACACUUUUUUUAUAUGUCCUAUGUAUUGUAGAGUGUCUUUGUGGCGUUUUUAUUUUUUAACACAUUUGGUUUUAUUUAUCGAAAAAGGCAAAAAAAAAGUAUGGUGGCAAUUCGACCCUUGCAUUGUUCAAGUGGUAAAGUUCGAUAGUUCCAUGUAAAAGCGCACCACAAAUUUAAAAAAAAAAAAAAAAAAACACAAAAACAAAAACAAAAUGGCGGCAAUUCAAUAAGCAGCCUAACAUCCUCUUGGCCACAUCCUUUAGAACAACCUAACAAUUUGCAUUACAGAACUACAUACCCUCUAUUUCACUUGAUUAUUGAUUUGGGUGGGCCUGUUAUUGAUACUUGUAUCACCCAUAACAAAGUUACAGCCUGACUAUGGCAUGUUGUGGCUGACUGAUAAGCAUGGUAAUAUAUUUCUGGGAACAAAGUUCAAAUUUUAACUACUUGCAACACUCUUUCAACUUUGUUGUUUCUUUCACUCAUGCAGUAAUGGAUAUUUGCUAGUUUCUUCUAGAAGCAUUUUUAACUAUUUUAAGUGGUUAUUGGAAUCUUGGAUUACAUUUGGUGUUAAGUCCCAAAAUGUGGACCUUGAACUUUUUUGAGCCCCAUAAAGAUGUUAAAACCAUGGAUCUAUGAAUUUUCAAUAACAAUACAGCAUUUUAUUCAAAAAAACAUAUAGCAGUUGGGAUUCAAAACUCAAAUAAGGGCUAUGAGCUUGCAGCUGAUAUAUGGAGCCUUGGAUGCAAUGUGUUAGAGAUAUUGACUCGUUGACCCCCAUAUUCCCACUUGGAAGGCAUAGGUAUGACAUUUCGUAGAUAUACAACAUUAUUUUCUUUAAUAUUUUUUCUUGUUUUGUUCUUCAGUCUAUGCUCUUCAAUUACUUGUUAUUCAAAUUGAUGAUAUGGAAAUUGGUUGUGUUUGGCUCUGACUUUGAAAAUGUUGAUGAUUUUAAAGUAAGGGUGAAGAUCUUGACCCAAAGUCUACCCAUUUUUGAAGGAUUCAACAUAAAAACACUAAAAUAAAAAACAUGUCUGAAAUUAUUUGGUUGAUUGAAUCCAAGAGCUUCUCAAAUCCACGCACCUUAUCAUUUGGUGAUUAUCAGCACAUGGGUUUAAGUGGAAAGAAGGUUCAAUCUGAAUCCAUUUAUCUUUGGAUAAUUUGCAAUUAUGGAUUAUAUUUUUCAUUUUUAUGUAUUGUUAUUUCAUGCAAGACUGUUUAGUUUCUUUCUUUUUCUCUAUAGUUCCUUUUGUAAUUUCUUCAAUCGACUUUGUUUAGAGAAUGCCACUCAAUAUCUGUCUUGUCUUGGCUGUCAUGUAUGAAUACCAUGGAUUUAUCAAUAUUUUCUUUUAUGUUAUCAGACACUCCAAUUUACAAGUGCAGGACUAAAUAGGCUCAAAUCAUUGGCAACAACUUUUCUCAGUUGUCCUAUGACAUUUUGUAGUCACUCCAGAUUUUUCCUUCUUUUAAAUUUCUUCUUUUGUAAUAAUCUGGGUGAAGGAGCCUCACAUUCCUGAUUGUGUGACCUUCCUUGAUGAAGGACAGUGCAGAUGAUGCUAGAACUCAUGGUAGUAGAUUCAAAAUCUUGUUGAAUUGCCAAUUGAUAACGUUUUGAAACACCAGACAUUUUAUCACCGAAUUGGAAGUUGAAUGUUUCUGAAUAAGGUUUUGACUUGAUUAUUGCUUGUGUUAUCUAGGAAGCUCUGAAGGCACCCAAACUGCCUCUGGAACUUUUCUUUCUUGAAACUGUAAGCUGAAUACACGUUCACACGUUCUCACUUCAUGAUAUGGUCCAACACUUUGACCACGUCCUCCACCAUCUCAUCUUCCGCUGCGAUUAAGGAGCACGUUCCACCAACUGCUCAACAUGGUGGCAAGAGGCAACGUGGUUUGAUGGAAGCCACUGUUAUAAAGUUUUUCAGAAAAUGGUCCUGAACUCACUCUGUUAUUAUCUUCAAAAAAACACCAUCUAAAAAAGAGAGAUCAGAGUUUGGAAAUCUGGGUUUUUGAAACCAACUACAAUGGCUGGAGGUAAGUAGACUAUUCUUAGUCUUUUCGGUUUUGAUUCAUAUUGCAAGUACAUUGGAAUCGAAUAUAGCAUAUAAACUUUCUUACAUUUGGUAUCAGAGCCAUAAAUCUUGCCUCUGCUUUGUAUUGUUUCUGAGUGAAAAAUUCUUGUUUUUAUGAUCUCUUGAUAAUUAUUUAAACGAUUGCUGCUGGAGAUCCAUAUAUAGUUGGCAUCAUUCAUUUAUAAAAGGCCAUUACAGGCGUUCAAAAGAUGCCAUUUUCUGGCGCUCCAGUAGCGCUAUUAAGGCGUCAUUUUCAGGCGCACCAGUGACUCCGUUUCAGGUGCCAUUUUAGAUGCGCUUCAGGCCCCAUACCUGGCACUGUUCAGUUGCCAUUUUUGGGGCUGCAACCAGCGCCAUACCAGCGCCAAUUUUCAGGCGCGUUGAAGUGCCAUUUUUUGGGGCUAUAACCAACGCCGUUCAAGCACUGUUACUAGGCGUCGUUCAGGCUCCAUUUAAGGCGCACCUUAGCCACCAUCUCAACGCCGUUCAGGCGCCAUUAGAAACGCCAUUUUUUUGGGCUGCAAGUCGUCGUUCGCACGCCGUGUUGAAGCACUGCAGACGGCUUCAUGGCUUGGACUGCAUCCAGCAAGGGUGCAGUCCACGUGGGUGGCGGCGAGAACGUCGCUGCCGGUGUUGAAGCAGUCCACUGGGUGGCAGAAAAAAUAGGAUCUUGGGUUUCGGUUGCAGGUGAUAUUAAAAUAGUGAGGAAUCUAGAGAGAGAUGGGGCUCCACUAAGGUUAUGGGCCUUUAUAUAACUGGCUAUUGGGCCCAUUAGGUUCAAAAAUGGGCAAUGGCCCAUUUUACAAAAAUAAAAGGCAUUAAAUUGGGGCAUGUAUAAAUGUAAAAAAUUGGGCCAGUUUAUGCUCUUUUUGGCCUGAUUUUUUAUUUAUUUAUUUAUUUUUAUUUUAACUAUAUUGGGUAUGGAAUUGAUUGUGUUUUAUUUGGAUUUAGGCACUCAUUCAUAAUCCAAAACCUUUAAAAUUAUCAUGUAAAUUUUAUACAUGCAAAAUAAAUAAUUAUAUACUGCUUUAUAUGUUUGUAGCCUAAAUUAAAGUUGUAGCUUUUAAUGCAUGCAAUUGUUGCCUAAAAUUUAGUUAGAUAUAUUAAAAUUAUAUCAUAUAGUUUUAAUGUCUAGUGAAACCAUGUGAUUUUUAAAUAAUUAAGGAAUAGCCACAGCAUCCUUAAUUAUAUAAAAAUUAUAUAUUAAAUAAAUAAGGAUCACAUUAUGGACAUUAAUUGUAAUUAAUUAUAUAAAUAUGAUGAUUUUACCCCACAGGGUUUUCAUUAUGUUUAUAUAAUUAAUUAGGAUAAAAUAUUAAAAUUAAUUUUUUCCUAAUUUACCCACAGGAGUUAGGAAGAAUUAAUUUAAUAGGUUUAUCAUAAGGAUUAUAGACAAAAAAAAAAUAUCAAACUAUAUUCAUAAUUCAAUAAAAUAGUUUGAUAAAGUCUAUCAUAAAGAUAAUUAAUCUUAUUGAAUUAAAGAUUUAGCCCACAGACAAUUUUUAAUAAAAUUAGAUUCAAUUUUAAGCAUGUUCUACAUUGGUAAAGCAUGAAUUUAUAUUAAAGCCUAAAAUUUUUAAUAAGCUUGUAAUCCUUUUGUGCAGUUUUAUCUAGCAUAUCUGAUAUUCGUUGUGAGGUUCCCGAACUUAGAGGAGAUAACUUUAAGAUAUGGAAGGAGAGAAUUCUUCUUCAAUUAGGGUGCAUGGACAUAGAUUAUGCUAUAAGGAAAGAUGAACCGCAUAAGAUCACUGAUACCAGCACACCUGAACAAAUUUUAUUGUACGAACGCUGGGAGAAAUCUAAUCGCCUUAGCGUGAUGUACAUUAAGACAAAAAUCAGUGCUGGUAUACGUGGUUCAAUCGAGCAACAUGAGAAUGUCCAUGAAUUGCUAAAGGCUAUUGACGAGCAAUUCGUCACUUCAGAUAAAGCCUUGGCAAGCACCCUAAUUAUGAAGUUCACAUCCCUGAAGCUCACCGGUAUAAGAGGUGUGCGUGAACAUAUCAUGGAGAUGAGGGACAUUGUGGCUCAAUUGAAGAAACUCGAGGUAGAAAUAUCUGAAUCUUUCUUGGUGCACUUUAUCCUUAACACUCUUCCACCUCAGUAUGGACCUUUCAAAAUCUCUUACAACACACAUAAGGAUAAGUGGUCUAUCAAUGAAUUGAUGACCAUGUGUGUUCAAGAGGAAGGAAGGUUAUUGAUGGAACAGGGAGAAAGUGCCAUGCUGGUGACGCAAAGGAAAGGAAAGAAAGGAAAAUCUCAAGCUAGUCAGAAAGGAAAGCAACAAAUUCCUCCUAAAUCUGACAUUAAGAAAGACGAAAAGUGUUUUUUCUGUAAAAAGAAAGGACAUGUGAAGAAGAAAUGUCUGAAAUUUCAGAAUUGGCUUGAGAAGAAAGGUAACCCUACCUCAUUUGUUUGCUAUGAAUCUAAUAUGGUUAAUGUAAACACCAACACAUGGUGGAUUGAUUCUGGAUCUACAAUCCACAUUUCAAAUUCCUUGCAGGGUAUGCAAAACCUAAGGAAGCCAGUGACAAGUGAGCAAUUCAUCUUAUCCGGAAACAAGAUGGGCUCGCAUAUGGAAGCAAUAGGGACAUGUUAUUUAACUUUAAAUAGUGGUUUUGUUUUAGAAUUGCAAAAGACUUUUUAUGUACCAAGUUUCUCACGAAACUUGAUUUCAGUUUCUAGACUUGUACCGUUUGGAUAUUCCUUUCAUUUUUCAGAAACAUCUUUCAAUUUGAUUUAUAAAUCUGAAUGUGUUGGGAAUGGUAUCUUGUCUGAUGGUCUUUAUUGUAUAUUCUUACAAAAUGAUACUGCUCAUAAUUCAUUGCAUGUCCAAACUGGCAUUAAGAGAUGUGUUGUAAAAGAGGAUUCCUCUACAUUGUGGCACCGGAGAUUAGGUCAUAUCUCCAUAGAUAGAAUCAAAAGAUUGGUGAAUGAUGGGGUACUUAGUACUCUAGAUUUUACUGACUUUGAGACUUGUGUGGACUGCAUUAAGGGUAAGCAGACCAAUAAGUCAAAGAGAGGUGCUACUAAGAGUUCCACCAUACUAGAGAUCAUACAUACUGAUAUAUGUAGUCUUGACAUGGACUCUCAUGGUCAGAAAUACUUCAUCUCUUUCAUAGAUGAUUUCUCACGAUACAUGUAUCUCUACAUACUUCAUAAUAAAAAUGAAGCUUUAGAUGCCUUUAAAGUCUUCAAGGCAGAAGUAGAGAAACAAUAUGGUAAACAAAUUAAGAUUGUGAGAUCAGAUAGAGGUGGAGAAUAUUAUGGUAGAUACUUGGAAGAUGGACAAUCACCUGGACCAUUUGCGAAGUUUCUUCAAGAGCAUGGGAUUGUUGCCCAAUACACCAUGCCUGGUUCUCCAGACCAAAAUGGUGUAGCAGAAAGAAGAAACCGAACUUUAUUGGACAUGGCGAGGAGUAUGCUUAGCAGCUCAAAACUUCCUAAAUUCUUAUGGACUGAAACACUUAAGACAGCUGUGUAUAUAUUAAACCGAGUUCCAACCAAGGCUGUCCCAAAGACGCCAUUUGAGUUAUUGAAAGGUUGGAAACCGAGUUUGCGACAUAUGCGCGUUUGGGGAUGCUCGUCUGAAGUGAGAAUUUAUAAUCCACAAGAGAAGAAACUGGACCCAAGGACUAUUAGUGGGUAUUUCAUUGGAUAUGCUGAAAAGUCUAAGGGGUACAGAUUUUACUGUCCAUCUCACAGCACUAGGAUUGUGGAAUCGAGAAAUGCUAAAUUUCUUGAAUAUGACUUGGUCAGUGGGAGCGAUCAAUUUAGAAACAUAGUUUCUGAUAUUGAUCAUACAGAGUCUCAACCUUCCACUUCAAGUGAUAGAUUGUUUAUUGUUCAUAACACCCCUCAAGUACAAUCGGGUGUAGAACGAACAAUCACUGAAGUUCAACCAGUCGUUGAAGUUCCACAAGUUGUUGACAACAUUCCAGUAGAUCAAGUUGAUCAGGAGUUUCCUGAUACUUCUGGACAACAAGUUGAACCUCAUACUUCCUUAGAAGAUAUUGGUGCAACCUUAAGAAGGUCUACUCGAACUAAGAGGUCAGCAAUUCCUAAUGAUUAUGUAGUGUAUCUACAGGAAUGUGACUACAAUAUAGGAGCCGAAAAUGAUCCCGAAUCUUUUUCACAAGCCAUGAGUUGCAAAGAAUCAGAAUUGUGGUACAAUGCCAUGAAGGAUGAGAUGAGUUCCAUGAAGUGCAAUGAUGUUUGGGACCUUGUUGAGUUGCCUAAUGGUGUAAAAACCAUUGGUUGUAAAUGGGUUUUUAAGACAAAGAAAGACUCAUUAGGCAACAUUGAAAGAUACAAGGCCAGACUUGUUGCAAAGGGUUCACUCAGAAAGAAGGAAUCGAUUACACGGAAACCUUUUCUCCUGUAUCUAAGAAAGAUUCCUUGCGCAUUAUAUUGGCAUUAGUAGCCCACUUUGAUUUAGAAUUGCAACAAAUGGAUGUGAAAACAGCAUUUCUUAAUGGAGAGCUAGAGGAUGAGGUUUACAUGAAACAACCUGAAGGAUUCCCCUCUAGUGAUGGUGAGCAAUUGGUUUGUAAGCUUAAGAAAUCCAUAUACGGUUUGAAGCAAGCAUCCCGCCAAUGGUAUUUAAAAUUCCAUAACAUAAUUUCUUCAUUCGGUUUUGUUGAAAAUGUUAUGGAUCAAUGCAUAUACCUUAAGGUCAGUGGGAGUAAAGUUUGUUUUCUUGUUUUAUACGUGGAUGACAUCUUACUUGCAACCAAUGAUAAGGGUUUACUUCAUGAGGUAAAACAAUUCCUCUCUAAAAAUUUCGACAUGAAGGAUAUGGGCGAGGCAUCUUAUGUCAUUGGCAUUAAGAUCCAUAGAGACAGAUUUAAAGGUAUCUUAGGUUUGUCUCAAGAAACCUAUAUCAAUAAAGUUUUGGAGAGAUUUCGAAUGAAGAAUUGUUCACCUAGUGUUUCUCCUAUAGUGAAGGGUGAUAGGUUCAAUCUGGACCAAUGCCCGAAAAACGAUCUUGAGAGGGAACAAAUGAAGAACAUUCCAUAUGCUUCUGCAGUCGGAAGUUUGAUGUAUGCUCAGGUUUGCACAAGGCCUGACAUUACAUUUGCUGUUGGAAUGUUAGGACGAUAUCAGAGUAACCCAGGUAUAGACCACUGGAAAGCUGCAAAGAAAGUGAUGAGAUAUCUUCAAGGAACCAAAGAUUACAAGCUUAUGUACAGACGAACAAGCAAUUUAGAGGUAGUUGGCUACUCAGAUUCAGACUUUGCUGGCUGUGUUGAUUCACGUAAAUCAACAUCUGGAUACAUUUUUAUAUUGGCCGGUGGAGCUAUAUCUUAGAGGAGCGUUAAGCAGACCAUGACUGCUACUUCUACUAUGGAAGCUGAGUUCAUAUCUUGUUUUGAGGCUACUUCACAUGGUGUAUGGCUUAAGAGUUUCAUUUCCGGGCUUAGAGUUAUGGAUUCAAUAUCUAGGCCAUUGAGUAUAUAUUGCGACAAUUCAGCUGCAGUCUUUAUGGCGAAGAACAAUAAAAGUGGAAGUCGAAGCAAACACAUCGACAUUAAGUAUUUAGCCAUAAGAGAACGUGUUAAAGAAAAGAAAGUGGUUAUUGAGCACAUUAGCACUGAAUUGAUGAUCGCUGAUCCUUUGACUAAGGGCAUGCCACCAUUGAAAUUCAAGGAUCAUGUAGUGAACAUGGGACUUAGUUCCCUUAUGUAGUUUCUAUUGUACAAACUCUUAUUAUGAUGUUUUCUCAUAUUAAUGUGCACUUUUUAUUUAAUUUUGAGAAAAUUCAACUUCAUUGGACCAAGAAUGAACAUAGGGUUUAUUCAUUAAGUAAUAUUGCCACAUAAAGUAUAAUGUUAAGAAAUGAGUACAUUGUAAUACAUGGAAGGUAACACUCGUUAAAUAGAGGACUUAUCGCCAUGAUUCAUGUAUUUGUUACUUAAUGGGACAAUUGAUGGACUAAAUUAGGACAUUAGGUUAAAGGGGUGGACCAAGUGGGAGAAUGUAAGCUGAAUACACGUUCACACGUUCUCACUUCAUGAUAUGGUCCAACACUUUGACCACGUCCUCCACCAUCUCAUCUUCCGCUGCGAUUAAGGAGCACGUUCCACCAACUGCUCAACAUGGUGGCAAGAGGCAACGUGGUUUGAUGGAAGCCACUGUUAUAAAGUUUUUCAGAAAAUGGUCCCGAACUCACUCUGUUAUUAUCUUCAGAAAAACACCAUCUAAAAAAGAGAGAUCAGAGUUUGGAAAUCUGGGUUUUUGAAACCAACUACAAUGGCUGGAGGUAAGUAGACUAUUCUUAGUCUUUUCGGUUUUGAUUCAUAUUGCAAGUACAUUGGAAUCGAAUAUAGCAUAUAAACUUUCUUACAGAAACUUGACCAAUGACUCAUCUUUGGGCUAGAAAACAGGUUUUACAAAAGCAUCCUUGGCAUAAGGUUUGAUAUUAAUUUUUCUUCCAGCUAAGUUUGAAAAGCAAGAUUUUAGACUUGUAGAUUUGCGCUCUUCCUUCAAAUCAAGUACUUUGUGUAUGCAAAUAUUGACCAUGCAUCUUGCUUUGUGUUGUCCUGCAUCAUUACUCAACCUUAUAUUCCUUGAAUGCUCUACUCUUGUAUUCAUAAGAUAUGAUAACCAGACUUGUGUUAAUAUGCUUCUUGAUAUUGCUGUAGAUCUUGCCACUUAAGAAAUCAAGUUUUAGUGUUAUCUAUUUCAAGUCCUAUGCAAAGUUAAUUGGAAGGUUUCUGUUUAGAAAUGGGAAUGAAGGGGUGGAUCACAAUAUUCUGUGAAAGAGAGGAAUAAAACCUCCUGACAAAAGUGCGUUUUUGUUUCCAUGAGAAUGGUUUUUUAUUCCUAUUCGUAUUUCUAAUAUAGGUAGACUAAGCACAUUUAUGAAUGAAAAAUGAAAUGGAUUUCGAGCUUCCAUUCCCAUUCCUAUUCCAGAGUACCAAACAUGCCUUUGGUAUCUAAGGGAAAAAAAUUGUGUCACCUGAUAAUCAAUCUUACAACUUGGAAUGCAGCAUGCCUUUGCCAUGUAUGCCUCUAAGACGAGGGGAGGGGGCUUGGAUCCCGACCAGCAGACUCGUCGAAGGGUGGGGGGCAUAGCGGGUAUGUUCCUGAGGGGGUUGAAACCUCAGGGCACUUGGAAUGCAGCAUGCCUUUGCCAUGUAUGCCUCUAAGACGAGGGGAGGGGGCUUGGAUCCCAACCAGCAGACUCGUCGAAGGGUGGGGGGCAUAGCGGGUAUGCUCCUGAGGGGGUUGAAACCUUAGGGCCGGGGUCGGGGAAAGGGGAGAGGGGAGUGUGCUUGGUGUGGGGGAGAGACGAAUCAGGGCAACAUAGGAUUGAAUCUCAGUAGAUCAUGGUAGCAAGGCCACUCUGCCACUUACAAUACCCUAUCGCGUAUUUAAGUCAUUUGCAAAGGAUUCUACCUGCAUCUCUGAUAUUAUAUUUUGAGUUCUAAUAAGGGAAUAUCUCUUUGUGGCUUGGCAGAUGCAAGCGUUAUUUAGGAUUGGCAAGGGUGAACCUCCUCCUGUUUCUAAUUCCUUGUCAUCAGAUGCCCGAGAUUCUAUCCUCAAAUGCUUGCAAGUCAACCCUGGUGAUGGGCCUACUGGUCAGUUACUGGACCAUUCAUUUGUCAGGAGCCCACAACACACUUUCUCUGGCCCUCAAUCUCCUCGUACAAAUGGAAUACGACCUUAAAAGCUUUUGAUCUUGCUACGGAGCAUCAAAUACAUAGAGGUAAAAUAAAACACUUUUACGUCUUUUCCACUUUUUCGUAUAUUUCUCAUGUGUAAUUACGUCUAAAUUCAUUCUAAAUAUUUUCUAAUUAUUUUACAAAAAAAUAAUUAUAAAAAAUUAUAUAAGUAAUAAAAUCUAUUUUUUUUUUUUUCAUGUAGAACUAACUGAUCAAUAUUAUUGUAUGGAUUUUAUAACAAUAUAUUAAAAUUAACUUUCAACUUCAUAUCAAACAACUUUUUAUGAUAAAGAAGCUUAGGUUUGGAGAGGAUAAAAAAAAUGGAAAAGGAUAAUUAAAAAAUAAUUAAAUAGAUUAAUAGGAUUUAUAUUUUAAGGCGGAUAUGUAGAGAGUUUUAUUAGAUGUUUUUAAGUAUGCUGGCCAACCACCCUAAAACCCAAAAUAAUUGUCACCAAGUUCCCAAAAAACAAUGACCCCUAAAAGUUGGCCUGCACCUCUCAUUAUUUUAAUUUUUUUUUCUUUUUUCUUUUUUUCUUUUUUUUCUUUUUUUUGGUAAUCUUUUCAACUCUUCAUACUCUCAUUUUUAUCAUUCACUUUUUAAUUUGUUUAUUUGUUCUACUUUAGAACUCACUCAUAUUCCCAAAUACAAAAAUUCUUUAUAUUUACACAACAAUUUAACUUAACAUCUUUUUUUUUAAGAAUUCUUUUUCAUAUAAUAUUCCUUACUAACAAAAACUAAUUUUAAUGAAACAACUUUAAUUUGAUAUAUAUAAAUAUGAAGAUAUAUACUCCUAAACUUACACUUUAGCCACUUGAGUCCAACAAGGGUUUGAUUUAAAAAAUUUGUAGUUCUUAAAGAUGUUAAACUCCUUUAAAAAGCAUCAAAUGGUAAUAAAUAGGAACUAGAGAAAACCAUUCAAAUAAGCAGAUUUCAUCUAUAAUACGAAGUAAAAUCCAAAAUAGAAAUGUGAAGAAAAAAAUUAUCAUUGACUCUUGACUCUUUGACUCUUGCCAAACCAAUCCCACUACCAUCUAAUGCUAAAUUGUCUAACAAAUGGGAAUUGAAAGCAUAGAACAGAAUCAUUGACUCUUGACUCUUCCCAAACCAAUUCCACUACCAUCCAAUGUUAAAUUGUCUAACAAAUGGAAAUUGAAAGUAUAAAAGAGAAUCAUUGACUCUACUUAGCCCAUUAUCUAAAAGAGGCUACCUCUCUCCUUCUUUCAUGAAGUUUCUUAGAAAUUUCAAGCUUCUUUAUCAUAUAAAGUAUAAAAAAGAAUCACUCUUAACCCAUUACAUUAAAAAUCCUACCCCUUCUCUCCUUUCAUAAAGUUUCCUAGAAAUUUCAAGCUUCUUUGUCAUAUAAAGUAUAAAAGAGAAUCAUUGACUCAUUGUAACCCAUUAUCAAGUGUUGUCUCUCCUUUCUAAAGGUUAAUGCCCUUGUAGCCAUUCACAUGUGUUUCAAGAAAAAUGAAGUUAUUUUGCCCCCAAGAACUAUAGAAAUAAAAUUUUGUUAAGAAAUUUAAAAUAUAAAAAUAAAAAUUUUAAAUAAGAGUAUUUUAUAUAAUUUUUUUCAUAUUUUCUAAAAUUAAAUAUCCAAUUUUUAAUUAUCUCAAAAGCUAGAGAAGCUCCAAAAAAGAAAAAUAAUGUCUUGCAAUUAGAUAACUAAUUCAAAACAAUCCAAAUACUUCUUGAUCCACUUGUGGUUAACAUUCCAUUAAAAUUAUGUCAAAUUUAUUAAAAUCUACUUGCAUUUAUUUAUUUAAAAUUAUUCAAAGCAUUCUCAAUACUUUAUUCUUUUUUUUUUUUUUUGAAAAAAAAAAUUGUAUCACGUUUCUAGAAAAGAAUUAUUAAUAUAUAUUGAUUUUCUUAUAAAUAUUUUUCAUUAAAUUUUAAAACUUGUUUUUACUUUAACUUUAAAUGGGUUUGUAUGCUUGUGUUUUUAUUUUUCCUUUUCAAUCAAAUGAAUUAAUUUAUAAUAUGGGAAUGUCUACUUGAACUCAGUAUUUUAUUUAUUUCCUUUUUUAACUUUAUUUUAGUAAAUGCAUCCUUGAUCAAUAAUUUGAUGAUUGUUUUAAAAUCAAAUAGUGAAGAUAAAAUUUUGAUAAUUAAAAAACAAUUGACUUACUACAUCACUUACAUGAAAUAUUGAUUUGUUGUUUGAAGUUUUUUGGCAUUAUAUUUAAUUCAUCAUAAUAAGACAGUUUUUUACUCAAUAAUUUAUGUAGAAUAAUAAAUAAAUUAAGGAGCGCUUUAUUAAAAAUCAGUUUUAAUAGAAAAAUAUAAGUUGGAUAUUCAUUUUGAUUAAAAAUAAAAUUAUAAUUUGAUUUAAUUAGAAAAUGAAUUUUUUUCUUGUUAAUUUAAUUUUAAUUUGUAAUCCUGUUAAUAGGGAAAAUAAGAUAGUUUUCAUGUCUUUUUAAUUGAAAAAAUGAUGAUUUUGGUUGUAAUUUGUGAAUUUAUUUUAAUUUGUAAAAAGAAAAUAUUAUUCUAUUAGUUAAAUCAAUUUUGAUAAGAAUACUUAAUUUUAUGAAUAUAAUAAUAAUUGUUAAAGUAAUCUUAUAUGUGCAAAAUUUUAAAAUCUUGUAAAAAAUAAACAAAAAGAUAAGAAAAUAUGCAAACAAAAUUUUAUGAACUAGAAAUUUUGUAGGGUACAAUUCUUUGGAAUAAUACUCAUUAAAAAAAUAAUAUUUUCCUUUUAUUUGAUCACUUUCAUCACAACCCAAUGGAUAACAUGUUUUCACUUGCAAUUGUUUUUAUAUUAAGCUUUUAUAUAAGACUUUAUGUCAUGUGCUCAUGUGGACAACUCUUCAAAGGUGUAGAGUCACUUGCCUUGGAGGAUAUAUAGAAGCUCUCAAUGCAUACCUUAUAUGUUCAUCUCCACUACUAAAUAUUAUAUAAUCUAUUCUUGUUGCCAUGGGUUAAAAAACGUGAGUUGAUAUAGUCAAUCAUUUACUCAUCUUUCUACUGCUUGGUAUUUGUGAACUUCAUUAUGCUUAUCGUUGGUUGGGAAAAGUAAUUGUCUUCAUGCUUCAUUUGAUCACAACUGUCAAUAGGUUUAGGCUCAAGAUCCAUGUACCAAUCAAAAGCACACAUUUGGAGGGAACACACAAAUUGUUUGAGUAAGAGGUCACCCUCAUGCUAGCAUUGUUGCAAGUUUGGAUGAAUCAGACAUUGCAUUGCUUUGGAAUUCCUUUUCCAUCAAAUUAUUGAAACUUUAGAGGUUAAUAACUCAUAGGUAUUUGUAGGUUAUCAAUUUUCGUACUGUAAGGUUUAAAGCACACGAGUGUACUUCAUGACGAUCCACCAUACUAUUCUCCGAUGGUGUUACGUAUCAUGUUUUAACUCACUCAUUUAAAUUGGAAAUCUAUUAAUUUUUCAAUGAAAAUAAUUUUAAUUUGGCUUUAAGUUAUUUCUCGGUUAUAUAUAGAUAUAUGAGCAUACACAAGGUUUUUUUUUAAUAUUUAUUAUUUGAAUUUUAUUUUAUUCAUAAUCUCUUUAGAAUAUUAUUUGUUGGAAUUAAUUGCUAUGUUGUUAUUCUUCCAAAAAUAUUUUUUUUUGCUUAAAAAAUGAAUUUCUUCGAACACUAAAUUCGCUACUUUAAGUUAAUAAAAUCAUUUCCUUUUUUUUGGUUUCCUUUUAUUUAUUUAUUUUAAAUUAUAAUAUUUAUCAAUAAUAAGAUUUGUCUAUAAAAUGUUAAAAAAAAAAAUCAUCCUCUCAUUGUUUAACUUAUUUUUUAUUUUUACUUUUUUGUAUUUAUAUUUUAAUUUUAGUUUUAUGUUUAUUUUUAAUAUUUAUUUUUCACUUCUCGGUCAGAAUUUUUCUUUUUUUAUUUAUUUUUUUAAAUUUAUUAUUAUUAUUUCUUGUUGACAUCCUUUUUUUUAUAUAUAUAUAUAUAUAUAUAUAAACGUAAUAAUAAAAUAAAACACCAUGAAUAAAGUGAAGGAAAAAACUAACAUGUGAAAAAAAAUUAAAAAACUUGGUGGAGAAGUGUAGUGCGAGAGCCUAAUGUCUAAUGAUGAUGGAAUAAUCCCACCAAACCCGAAGAAAAGUAAAAGGUGAUAAGAAAAAGAGAAAGUGAGAAAAUAAUAAAUAAGAAGAAAGAGUUGCUUUUAACUUUCUUCAUUACUGUCCUGAAGGUCACCGGAAGUCACCUGCCAUCCCAAUUUAUAGAGAGAUGCCCCUAAUUUUCCUCGUCACUUUUCAGAAGGUCAUAGGAAGCCACCUGCCUUCCCAACUCUUUAUGUAUAGAUAAAUGAUAAUAUUUAUUAAUAAUAAGAUUUAUCUAUAAAAUGUUAGAAAAUGAAUAUAUCAAUCCAGUGAAUUUAAUUUUUACUUUUUUCUUUUUAUAUAUUUAUCAUUUAAUUUUUGCUUUUAUUUUUUUUCUUUUUAGUCUUAUAUUUAUUUUUCACUUCUCGAUCAAAAUUUUUAUUUUCUAUUUACUUCUAUUUUUUAUUUCUUUUUUAAGUACUUAUAUAUAAUAAUAAUUAAUAAAUAAAAUAGGAGACCAUGAAUAAGGUGAAGAAAAAAUAAAAUAAAAAAACUUGCUGGAGAAGUAAAGUGCAGGAGUUUGAAGGAUGAAUGUAAACAAGAGAAAAAAGAGAGCAAGAGAAAAGCAAAAGGUAAUAACAAAAAGAGAAAAGUGAGAAAAUAAUCAAUAUAGAGAGAGAGAGAGAGAGAGGGAGAGAGAGUGGCCCCUAACUUUCCUCAUCACUUUACAAAGUUCACAAGAAGCCAUCUGCCUUCCCGGAACUUUCUAUAUUGUAAACUAGGGUUGCUCACUAUCUUCAAGAGAAAUCAAGCCUCAAACUGUCUCUUGUAGUUUUGAGAAAUCAGGCCAAUUUAGUGAAUGAAAUUCUUACUCAAUUUCUUUGCCAAAGAUAUCGUUCAUUCUGAUAUGUUUUUUUUAUAAAUGUUUUAUUUCUUUUCAGUUUUUGAUCUUGAGGUAUUUUUUCUAAAUAAUUUGUUUUUUUAGAUAGAUCAUUUUAUAUAUCCUUCUUAUUUUAAAUAAAACAAGUUUCCAAUGACAAAUUUUUUAAGAGUUUUUAAUGUGAAAUUUUCUAAAAUUUUAUCUUUUUGUCAUAAUGUUUCCUUUUGUUGAUAUUUUUUUUGCAAAGUCAAAGAGAUAAUGUGAAAUAAUAACUAAUUUAAUAUAAGGUUAGCAAUUUAAACCUCACAACUAUAAAAAUGCAAGUGAAAAUAGAAGUGAAGGUGGAAAUUCUUUGGUUGGUCAGAUGAGAGGACUUGGUAGAGAUAAUUUUUAGAUGUAAGUAAGUAGAAAUGUUUAUAGGAUGGCGAAAGAAUUAGUAAAGAAAUUUGUUGAAUGUAACACAAAAAUUUCUUAGAUGAAUUGGUAAAGAAAUUUGUUGGAUGUAAUGGAGAAAUUUAUUAAUAAUCACAUGAUUAGUAGUAGAGAAUUUUCUGGAUGGCCAUAUAUAAAUGUGAAUAGUGGACAAUUUCUUAGAUGUCACACAAUUAGUAGAAUAGAGAAUUUUCNNNNNNNNNNNNNNNNNNNNNNNNNNNNNNNNNNNNNNNNNNNNNNNNNNNNNNNNNNNNNNNNNNNNNNNNNNNNNNNNNNNNNNNNNNNNNNNNNNNNAAAGAAAUUUGUUGGAUGUAAUGGAGAAAUUUAUUAAAUAAUCACAUGAUUAGUAGGUAGAGAAUUUUCUUGGAUGGCCAUAAUAAUUAAAUGUGAAUAGGUGGACAAAUUUCUUAGAUGGUCACACAAAUUAGUAGAUAGAGAAUUUUCUUCUAUUGUCAUAAUUGAAUAUGAAUAGGUGGACAAUUUCUUAGAUGGUUACAUGAAUUGCUAGGUGAGAAUUUUCUUGGAUGACCACAAUCAUUGAAUGUGAAUAGGAGGAAAAGUUUCUUGGAAGGUGACAAAGAUUGGUGGAAAAAUUUUCAAUCAAGUUGAGAAAUUUCUUCCAUGAUAACAAGAAUUGAUGGGGAAAUUUCUUAAAGGUGGAUAAUUAGGUUGAGAAUUUUUUUGGAUGGCAACAAGAAUUGGUGAAGAAAUAUUUUGGAAGGAUAGAGGAAACUACAAAAAGUUCCAUUUGUUUCAAACAACAUUAAAAGUGUGUUUAGUAAUGUUUUCAUUUGAAGUACUUUUAGUGAAUGUGUUUUUUUUAGAAAUAUUUUUGGAAGAAUCACUUGUAAAGUGUUUUAGGAAACAUUACAAGCGAUUUUUUAACAUUUUAAAUGUGUUUUCUAAAUUUUAUUAAAUACUUGGUUUUUCUUUUAAAAAAAAAUGUUUUUUGGUUUUAUGCUAGAAGUGAAUUUUUAAAUUUUAUCAAAUAUAUGAUUUUUCUUCAAAAACGUUUUUUAUGCUAUAAGUGCUUUAUAAAAGCACUACCAUGACCUUGACCUUUUGCCUCUAAUAAGGCUAAAGUGAUGACUAGUUGGUGAUUGCGUAUCUCUGCUAGUUUUAGCAAGUGAAUGUGCUCGCUUACUUGCUUUGCUAAAAAUGCAAUGAAUGUCUUUGCUUUGCUGUAGUCAUAGGACUCAUAGAGGUGUUGUGUCUUAACUUUGCAUACUAGAAAUUUGUACGCGUAAAAUUUGAAAGUCCUAUAAAAAAUAAGUAAAAAGAUGAGAAAAAUAUAUAAACAAAAUUAUUUGUAUUAGAAAAUUUUGAAGGUACAAUUUUCUAGAAUAAUAUUCUUUACAAAAUAAUAAUUUUUUUCUUAUUUGAUCACAAUCCAUAAAAAUAUAUAAACAAAAUUAUUUGUAUUAAAAAAAUUUUAAGGUAAAGUUUUUGGCUUAUUAUCAAAUUACUUUUGUUGAACUUUGAAUACAUAUUUAGUAUUUUGUAUGCUUCCCCAAAUUUACAAGAAUAUCUUAUGAAACCUCUUUUUAGUUCUCUUUUAAAUUUGAGAUCUCAAAUACUUUAUUGCUCAAAGCCCUAGAGCUUAAGGAAUACCACAGAGAACCGCUAACAUAUAUGCAUUUUGACGCUAAGUAUGGAAAACAAAAAAACAUAUUCUUUUUCUAAAAAAUUUAUAAUAUAAAAUAAAAUAAAAUAAAAUAAUAUUUUAAAAAAUUAUAAAAUUAGUUAAAAUUAAAUAAUUUAAUUUUACUUUAGUUUCAAUAUAUUUACAUUUAAAUACCAUAUAUAUUUCAUUUAAUAAUAUUUAAAAUAUUAUUAUAUUUAUACUUAUGCAUGAUUUAAUUUAAUAAUAUUAAAGAUAAAAAAUAAAUAUUAUUGAUUUUUAAUUUGGUUAUAUAUAUUUUAAAAUUUUUUAUUAUUUUUAAAUUUAAUAAUAUAUAAAUUAUAUAUUUACCAUAUCAUCAAUUCUAGGUGAUUUAACUAUUAGUCUAACUAGUGAACCGUGAACCAAUAAUUUUUUCGAUUUAUUAUCCGAUCUGAUUCCAAAAACAUUGUUUAAUAUUUAAUAUUUCAAUUUUAUGUUAUUAAUGAUCUCAUUAGAAUAUUAUCAAGGUUUUUAUCAGAAUUAAUUGUUAUGUUGUUAUUUUUCCAAAAUAAAUUUUUUUUCUUCUUAAAAACUAAGUUUCUUCCCACACUAAAUUCACUACUUCAAGUUAAUAAAAUCAUUUCCUCUUAUUCCAGGUAGCUUUUAUUUAUUUAUUUUAAGUUACAAUAUUUAUCAAUAAUGAAAUUUGUCUAUAAAAUAUUAAAAAAUAAAUACAUCACUAAUUCUAAAUAUAUCAAUCCAUCCCCUUAUUCUUUAAAUUAUUUUAAUUUUUAAUUUUUAAAAUUUAUAUUUAUAUUUUUUUAUUUUAUUUUUAGUUUUAUAUUUAUUUUUCACUUCUCGAUCAUAAAUUUUCUUUUUUAUUUACUUUAAUUUUUUAUUAUUAUUUCUUGUUGAUGUCCUUAUAUAUAUAUUCGAAAAAAUAUAUAAAACAUAAUAAUAAAAUAGGAGAGCAUGAAUAAAUUAAGUGAAGGAAAAAAAUGUUAAAUAAAAAAUAAAAAAAAUAAAACUUGNGGGAGAAGUAAUUGAAUAANNNNNNNNNNNNNNNNNNNNNNNNNNNNNNNNNNNNNNNNNNNNNNNNNNNNNNNNNNNNNNNNNNNNNNNNNNNNNNNNNNNNNNNNNNNNNNNNNNNNAAAAUAAAAACUUGGUGGAGAAGUAAUUGAAUAAUCGAAAUUCAAUUACUUUCCCGUCACUUUUCAGAAGUUGACAAAAAGCCACCUCCUUCCCAACUUUUUAUAUUAUAAAUUAGGGUUGCUCACUAUCCUCAAUAAAAAUCAAGUCACAAAUUAUGAGGUACAAUUGUUUGAAGUAAUAUUUUUUUAUAAAAAGAAUAUUCUUUUAUUGGAUGAUUUUAAUCACAGUCCAAAGAAUGAUGAUACCAGUUUCUUCUUCAAAUUGACAUCCAAUUCAAGACUUAUUUUUGAAUGACAUUUGUUGAAUUUUGGGAAUGAUGAAGAAGAUAUGUAUAGUAUUUAAAUUAUUCCUCAAUUAUAUAUGUAUAUAUGUAUAUAGAAAAGAUUAUUUUUUAAUAUUUAAUAUUUGAAAUUUAUUUUAGUAAUGAUCUCUUUAGAAUAUUAUCACGAUUUUUAUUGGAAUUAAUUGCUACUUUCUUAUUCUUCCUUCUUCCAAAAAAUAAAACUAUUUUUUUGCUUUAAAAAUAAAGCCCUUCCAAUACUAAAUUGACUACUUCAAAUUAAUAAAAUAAUUUCUUCUUAUUUUAGUUUACUACAAUUGGUCAAUAAUAAGAUUUAUCGAUAGAAUAUUAGAAAAUAAAUAUAUUAUUAAUUCUAAAUAGAUGAACCCAUUCUUCUUUAAUAAAUUUUAUUAUAAUUAUUUAAUAAACAAUUAAUAUCUACCUAUUUUAUGAUUUUAUUUUAAAACAUUUAUAUUUAUUUAAAUAAUUAUAUUAAUUGGUAAAAUCAUAUUUGUUUUCUUAGAGAGAGGAUAAGAUUAAAUUUUAUUAUUUGUUUAAAAAAACAUAACAUUUCAAAUUGUAAUUCAAAGACAUACAAUCUAUAUCAAGUUUUAUAAUAAAUUAAUACAUUAUUUAUUUAUUUCCUAUAUUUAUUUUUAUUAAUAGCUAACUUUGUUUAAAUUUGAAGUUAAGUCUUAUAAUAAUUUAAUAAAUUUAUUAUUUAUUUUUAUAUAUUUGCUCUUAUUAAUUUUUUUCUUCUUCUUUUUUAUCAAUAAAUUAAAAUAUGAAUUCAAAUAUAUAACGAUUGUUUUUAAGAUAUUGAAAUUAGAAGGAUUAUCAUAUGUCUAUACAUAUCUUCUAAUAUUAAUAUUUGGAAUAAAAAGUUUAGAUAAUACAUAAUAAGUAAUUAAUUAUUUCUUAUUAAAUUAAUUAGUCAUAAUGAAUAUAAUUAUAAUUAAUUUAAUUUAUUGUUUACUAUUAAAUAAACAAGCAUAUUAUAUUAUUUGUAGAAUUUUGAAAAGUAAAAUACCUAUUCAAAUAAGAUUUAUAAAUUUUAUAAAAUUAAAUCAAGAAAAAGUAUACUUUAAUCAUAGUUUUCUUCCAAAUAUGGAAGUGGGGACAUUUAUGAAUAUUGACAAAAAGAAUAGACCUUUGUGACACAUCAUAAUUAGAAAAUAAGUAAGUUUUAAAUUAAAAAGAAACUUUAAUUUUAAGUUAGAUAAUUAUUUGAAUUUUAAAAUCAAUGUAUCAUUAUCUACAAUUUUAUAUAAAUAUAGAAAUUAUUUAGAGUGAAAAAGGAAAAGAAAAAAAGAGUUGGAUAGUAUUUUCUAGUUUUGUUGUGAUGAUAAUUAGUCAUCACCAAAUCUAUCAAAAGAACAAUAUCUUCAUUAGGAAAAUGAAGUAAAACAAUUAUUAUUUUUUGUCCUAUAUAUAUAUAUAUAUAUAUAUAUAUAUAUAUAUAUAUAUAUAUAUAUAUUUAUUUAUAUAUAUUUCAUUUCAUAAAUUGAAUUUUUUAAAAAUAAAAAAUAAUAAUUUAGAUUACCAAAAAGUUUAUAUUUUAAUUUUAUAUAUUUAAUAAAUAAUAAUUUUAUCAUCAUUAAUAUUUGUUUGUGAUGAAUAUCUUUUUUAUUUUUCUUUUAAUUAAAAAAUGGAAAUGGAAAAGAGGAUGUGAUUGGAAUUUCUUUUUAAAUUUAUUAUUUUCAUUCAAAUAAGUGUAAUUAUUUUAUACCCUACAAUUUCUUUAUUUUUCACUCUUCAAACGCCAAAAAAAAUUCUAAUUGUAAAGAAAAAAUUGAAUUAUUUAUAUGAAUUCUAUAGCUAUUCAUAAUAGUAAAAAAAAUUAUUAAAAAUCAUUAUCUAAGCAUACUUCUUAUCUAUAAUUCAAUAUAAAUAAAAAAGUUAUUUACAAAAAACAAAAAUAAAUUAAACUCUUUUUAAGGAUUUUACUAAAUACCCUCAUAAAAAAAAUAUCCUCAUGUUUCAAAAGUUCAUUGAAAUACAAUUUUCGCAUAGUAAUUGAAGGAGAUAUUGACAAUUGUGCAAACAAGUUUGAAGCAUUUCUAAAAAGGAAUCGACAAAUUUGAGAAAAGAGUUAGGGAAAGUUGUGUUUUCAUGGACCAAUUUGCUAAAUAUAUGGUUUUUGGAACCCAGAUUUAUGGAAUAUGAAAAAUAUAUUUCAAUGUGGAAACUUAUAUCAGAUUCAUGCACUCUGAGCCUGCUGUAUUUUUUCUACCGAAAUUGCCCCUCCAGGUAUCCACAUCAGCAACCCAUCUCAGCAAGGGUUGAAACUGAACCGGUUGAAAACUCCAAAAUCAAAUGUUAAGCUUCCCACAAAAACACCUAGCCGACGGUUCUUUCUUCCCUCUUUCUCAUUUGAUACCCAUUCCUCUCAGUUGUCUUCACUCCGUCACCAAGGCGAUUUGAGAUUCCCAGAAAAACGGUGUAGCCGACGCUUGAAGACCCUUGCCGACGGUUCUUUCUUCCUUCUCUCUCAUUCCAUACCCAUUCUUCUCAUCUGUCUUCACUUCGUCAGCGAGGCGAUUUGAGCUUCCCAGAAAAACGGUUAGGUCUUUCUUCCCUCUCUCUCAUUCCUUACCUGUUCCUCUCAUCUGUUUUCACUUUGUCACGGAGGCGAAGCAGAGAACCAUGUAGAGUGUUAAAAAAGUUCUGUCAUUUCAGUUGAGAAUGGCUUAAUCCCAUUUGUUUCAUCUCAGAUUUUCUGUCUCGAGGUAACGCAUUCCUUCCUUCUGUCAUUUCAGUUGAGAAGGGCUUAAUCCCAUUUGUUUCAUCUCAGAUUUUCUGUCUCGAGGUAACCCAUUCCUUCCUUGUUUUGCAUUCGCAUUUACAUUCACGUAAAUAUGUUGUUUGUGUGGGUUUUUUAUGAACUAGGUGUGGCUCAAAUGUUGGCAUUUAGGAGUUGGUACUAAAUUUUUAAAUCUAUUCGUAAUAAAUCAUCAUCAAUUUUUUCAAUUCCAUGCAUUUUUUGAGUUUUUACUGUUUUAUUUGGAUUGGCAAAUUCUCGAAAAUCUAUUGUUUUGAUAUAAAAUGAAGGCAAGAAUAUGGGUUGGGAAUUGUUUUUGUUGUGGUUUAGAAUUGGGAAAAACAUAUUUUGAAUUGGUUUGCCAAAAAAGGAAUUUUUUUUUCCCCAAACUGUUUUUGGGUAUUGGGAAACAAUGCAUUUUUAGUGAAACCCAUUUAUUGGAUUGUGUUUUUGGAUUGGGUUAUGCAGUGGAUUACCAAAAUGGAACACUUUUUGGGGAUGAUGUAUUUCUUUUGAGAGCGAAAUAAGUGCUUCUGAAAUGGUGAUUUAUAGAUUCGAAAUUACUCAUGUUUUUGGGUUUUUGUGAUAUUCAUGGUUAGUGGGUGCUAACGUUUUCGUUGUUGUUUUUUUAUUUUUAUUUUGUAUUUGUUUUAUAUGUAUAGUUUAAAUUCACGGCCCAUUUCUUCAAAUAUUUUUGGUUAGUAUAUGUUACUCUUCUUGUUGAUUAGUAAUUGAUAUUGAUUUAGAGAUCUCUUCUCGUUGCUCUCGUUGUCAUAUGUCUGGCCACAAUAGAAAAACCUGCAGGAAACCUUUGCCCUAAAUGCAUAUUUGUCACCUUAUUGCAUUAUGUAGAUCUUGUCUUACUCUAUUUCAAGUAUCUUUAGUGAAUUGGUUGUCACCAAAUCAGCGUUACUAUGUUCAUUGAGUUAAGUUAUAUUGCUUUGAUUAUUAAUUUCUUUCACAAUGUCCGAACUAUGGUUGCACUACAGUUUGUUUUAUUGGUAUUUACUCCAACCGCAUGUAUUGCCUCCCAUUACAUUGCUUAAACCAAUUUAACCAAACUGCAGCAUAUGUUUCCAUGUAUAAAGACUACUGCUUUGUUGUACUAUAUAGUACGCCUACGCAAUAACAUGAAUUGUAUACCAUUGAAUCAAUGUAUUUUGUUAUUCUUAGUUUUUCCCUCAUUUCCCCUUUCUGUCGCCGCCACAGCUUAUCUUCACUUGUUUGUUAGUCUUCUCAUAGUUUUGACAGUUCCGAUUUGUUCAUUAGUGCAUACUGACUUUAAACUAAUUGUACAGGAGCGUGUUGAAAAUUUGGGAAACAUUUUUUUCCAUCAGUGUUCAUAGUUUUCUUCUUCAUGUUUCAGAGCUGUUGAUCUUGUGCUAAACCAAUGACAUUAAUAUAUAUCACAAUAAUCUAUUUGAAGUCAUACGUGUCUCAUUUUUACUCCUUUGUACAACUUUCAUAUCCAUAGGCUUCAAUGUUCAUAAGGCCAUUGAUUACUUUGUAGGUUUCGAAACUCGCCGAUUCAGUAUCGCCAUCCAAACAUACUGAUUAUACACAUGGCAACAGAAAAGAGAAAAAGGAAGGAGCAUGUUCCACCAACAUGCACACAGGUGGGUAAAACAGAUUUCAUUGAACAAUGGCUCCAAUCUUCAAAUUCAGCUUAAUUGGAAAUUUGCAUAUAUUGGAUUUUUUUUGUCACUAACCCAUAUUUCAUUUUAACUGUAGGUUAAGCUUCCUAAGUCCCGAUGUUCUGGGAAGAAAUUCAUAACUGCCAUUGCACGCCUAGCCCCUGAAAAAUAGCAAGCCAUUAGAGAGAUGGGCUUUGGGGGCCUACUGACUUUUGCUUGCCACGAACUAAGAUAUGAGCUAUGCGGGUGGCUCAUAUCUCAAUAUGACUUUACCUACCAUAGACUUAAUAUGGAAACCGGCAAUGCUAUCACUGUCAAUGAAGAACAUGUCAACAAAGUGAUGGGCAUCCCUAACUUCGGGGUAGACGUGGUUAUCCUUAAGAGAACAACCCCGUCCAAUCGCACAUACACUCUCAGGGUACUGGAGCAAAACCUUGAGAACUUGCCCGUGUGUGAUGAAUUUUUAAAAUCAUUUUUAAUUUUUUCAUGUGCCACUCUACUGGCACCUAAUUCAAAGCUUGAAGGAAGCCAUGACCUUUGGGACACCAUAUGGGAUGGUGAUGUUGGUGUCCAAAGGAAUUGGGAAAAGUUUCUGCUGAAACACUUAGAAGAUGGAAUCAAGGAAUAUCGACAAAAGCAGCCUACUUACAUCCGAGGCUGCCUCAUGUUCCUCCAGGUACAGUUUAGGCUCCAACCCCUUUUGCAAUUAGUAUGAACUUAGUUUACAUUUUAAUUUGAAUGUCAUGCUUACUGCAAUUUGCUGUUUUAAUGCUCCUUGUUUCAUAUACUUCCCUUGGACAGCUGUUCUACAUGGCAUACUUCUACAUGCCAUCAGUCAAUGUUGAAGUGACCAGCCCGCUAGCUGCUGCAUGGACUGACGAUGUAAUGAAACGCCGAUUAGCAGCUGAAAUAUCAACAUUCGAUGGUUAUGGAUAUGUGCAUGUAUGCUCUAACUUAACAAAGCUUUCCCUACUAGUUAAAUUACCAUAUUAGCCUCGCACCAGUAAUAACCAAUUUGUUGAUUCCCUCAUUUAAAUAAUGAUGCAAGACACAGGCACAGGAGCGAGCACAAAGCACAACCAAUAUGAAUAUACCAUCAGUAGCCUCAACCUCUACAGCUGAUGACGAGGCUACAGAGGUAGUUCUUCUUCACUAACCACUCAUACAAGUUCUUCUAUACAAUGCAUACAAUACUAUUCUAAAACUAUUCUGUUUUCCACUAUGUAAUAGGUAAUUGAAGCCCGUGUCAUUGACACAUCGGAGAGUAUGGUACGAUUAGCUUCCUCUCUGGCGCGGGAUGUUGCUGCACUAUGUUCCCGCCGAAGUGGACCAGAGGGGAUAUCUUCAAUCCCUUGCCCAAAAGCACAGCACCACGCUGAAUAUCAACCAAUGCGCGAAACACCGGGCAAGCAGACGUCAGCUGAUGAAAUGGAACCACAAGAUAACCUCGCACCAACCCCCCAUUCUCCAAUUGGAAUGGAACCGUCACCAGAAGCCACUCAUUCCGAGCCAAUGGCCCCACAGUCUCAUGCAGAGGCAUCGCUUCCACCACAAGUGACAACAGAAGAAGUGCGAGAAUGUGAUAGGGUAGGUGGGAGUGGUAAUCAAGCCAUUAAACCUUCAUCUAUCAACAGAUUUAAGCGGACUUGUAAGAGGAUAGUGAAGCGUCCUCCCACUUGCAAAAGUCCAUUUGUCACCCAAUGCGUUAAACAAUUCCCUAAAAUCCCCCAUGCUCAUCGGGUAGUAGCAGAUUACGCUUUGGCAGAAAUUGGUGAUCCUAGGUACAUUUCAUUUUUCUAAAAAUAAUUCUUGCAAUCAUUUAAUAUGUGAAUAACUUUACAUCAUUAUGACAUUAUUCAUUUUCAAUCAUUCUAGCGAGAUUUUAUGCGAGAUGUAUGGGAUGUACAUUACCCGAGAAGAAAUUUCUUGUCUAAAUGCAGGGCGGUGGGUUAAUUCAGUAGUAAGUUACUUAUCUUUAUGUUGAAUUAAAUUCAAAAUUAAUAGGUCAUAUAAUGUAUAAAGUGUUGAUGGGGUUGUAAAAUAUGUUCAUUUCUACAACUUUGCCAAAUUGUGGCGAUUGUCUCUCGCAUGAUGAAUGGACAGCAAGCACCACCAGCGCGCACACACUAUUUUGAUCCUUCGUUCUCGGUGAACCCUCUAAUAUCCUAAAUUGACAUAGUCUCAAAAUAGAAUAGCAUUUGUUGAUGUUUGUAUUGAUAACCCCACUCGUGAACAGGUGAUUCUGACCAACUUGAAAACAAAUGCAACCAGCCAAGUGAUCAUGGAUAGAUGUCGCAUGUAUCUGGAUGCUGGUAUAUUGGGCCAUGAUUUGGGGACAUGUGACAUGGUAAAUAACGGUUGUUAAAUUUCAUUUCCAUAGUAAUAUAUGCAAUGGCAUUGGACAUGACUAUUAUCUUAUACCAUAAAAGGUAAUAACUCUUUUAUGAUCAUGCAGAUGUUCAUCCCAGUUUGUGAGAACAAUCACUGGCACAUGCAUGUAGUUAAUUUUGCAGCUGGACGAGUUGAAAUUCUUUCAUCUUUGCCCUUGAGGCGAGGAAACAGUAUUAGUGCUGCAACAAAGCGAUUAUCUAUGGCAAUCAAUAAAGCACUGCAUGCAUAUGCAAUUCAUAUGGACGUGGAUGUCUCGACUUUUGAGCAUGUCCAACCACACCUUGUGCAACAACUGAAUGGGUAAAAUAUUCAUAUAUUCUAACCAAAACGGACAUUUGAGGUGAAUUUUUUUUCUUAGAUUUCUAUGAUAUACAUGACAAGCCUAAAUGUGAUGUGUUAUAGGUUUGACUGUGGUAUCCUUGCCCUAAAAUUCAUGAAAUUUUGGAAUGGGGCCACCUUAACUACUUCAGUGGCAGAGGUUAGAGCUAGUUUACAUCCUAAUUGGUUUUGUUUUUUUUUAAAAAAAAAAACAGUAUAAAAUAAGUUUUUCCCAUUUCUGUAGGACAAGCUCAACAUGUACAGACUCCAGCUUGUUGUGGAACUAGUGCUCAAUGAACGCAACACUGUUAGAGAUAAAAUUAUGGCCUCCUGUCAUUUGUGACUUCAUGGUUGAUGAUAAGUUUUUUCCUAUCUGAAGCUACUUACCAUAUAAAGCAAUACUUGAUUGUAGUUUGUCCACAAAUGACUGAAUUCAUAUCCUGUUAUGUGAUGAUGUGAUUUUGUUCCCAUUCUAAAACCAUUAUUUAUGUUCUAUAUUUAUUGUAUCUUAUUAAGUAUACCACAUCCCAUUGUAAUAGUGACAGUAUGGUGAUGCUGAAUGUCAGAACUUUAUGUACAACAAUGGGCAACGCGUAAGGGAAAGAAAGACUGCAUGGUGAUGCUAUUGCUAUAGCUUACAAGAGGGAGUAAUAUCAGAAUGAGUCAUAUGUUAUCCUCUUUCUUCGGAUUGUAUGAAGCAAACUUGGUUUACCAUAUGAUCAAAAUUAGGUUUAUUUGGUUUGUUGACUAUAUUACAAACAUUUGGCUGAUGUACACAUUCCAAGGACUAUGUUUGUGUUUUGUUUUAUACAGGAAAUCCUAAUAUAGAUAAGGCAUUUGUUACAUAUCCUUUCAAUUUUUUCCCUGUUCCAUCCCAAUGUCCUCUCCAAAUAUAGUUCAAAAAUAAUGAUCCUUUGUUGAAGUAGAAUGUUACAAACCAUGGUGACAAAUUUAGGUGUCAUGGGUGAUGGUGAAGACAUUGGAUGGUAUUCGUAAUGAAUCAUUGAAGACUAUUGGCACUGGUCAUUUUUUUAGAUUGUCAUGUGCUGAGAUAAUUCUUUGUUACAUAUCACGAGUUUUUUUUCUUUUAGUUAAUAAUAUUAAGUGAUGAUCUGGCAUUUCAUCAUGUUCUUAAUAUUUGGCUUAGCUCUUACUCAUGAAGAAUAUUUCUCCUCAUCCUUCGGUCCCUAACUUAACAUCAUUAGGGAAAUGAGAAUUCUAAUGUUGAUCUUGUAGGGCUGGCACUCGCUCUCCCAAAGAAAGAGCAUCCCCAUUUGCAAAAAGUUAUAUAGGGUUCCAAAAUGGUUUUGCAUGUAGCAUGUUUUGCUUCCAACAAUCUAUAGGUUGUGAUAGGCAAAUAAAUAUAUGUUACAAAACCAAAAAAAAAAAUUGGUUCACAUGAUCACAUUCCAUAUCCAACCACAACCCUUCAAAAUCUAGAUGAAUACCAAAAUGGGAAGACAACUGUUUACUUAAAUAAAUAGUCACAACAAAAUAUUGACAAAAGAACAACAUUUCUCGAAUGUCCAUUUAGGUAGUACAUGAGGUACAUUAAGGUAGUACCUAAGGGUCUUAAGGUCGUACCUCAUGUGCAUUAAGGUAGUACCUUCAAUUUCUGAUGAUUACAUAAGCUAUCGAAUGAGUCAGCAAGAGGAACAUAACAAUGGCAUGCUGUAAAUAUUAAUGCAAUGAACUAAUUGUAGCUUAAGUUAUAGAAGAGCAACAUUUCUCCAAGGUGCCUUAAGGUAGUACUUGAGGUACAUUAAGGUAGUACCUAAGGUUAUUAAGGUAGUACCUCAUGUGCAUUAAGGUAGUACCUCCAAUUUUUUAUGAUUACAUAACUGACCGAAUGAGUGAGCAAUAAGAAUAUAAUAAUGGCAUGCUGUAAUAUGUAAUGCAAUGAACUAAUUCUGACUUAAAUCAUAGAAGAGCAUCAUUUCUCUAAGGUGCCUUAAGGUAGUACCUCAGGUACAUUAAGGUAGUACCUCAUGUCAUUAAGGUAGUACCUCAUGUGCAUUAAGGUAGUACCUCAAAUUUUUUAUGAUUACAUAACCUACCGAAUGAGUAAGUUAUAAAAACAUAACAAUGGCAUGCUGUUAUAUGUAAUGCAGCAUGACAUUGUUAUGUUCUCAUAGGUUACUCCAACGGUACCUUAUGUAAUCAUAAGAAAUUUCAGGUACUACCUUAAUGCACAUAAGGUACUACCUUAAUGGUCUUCAGGUACUACCUUAAUGUACAUAAAGUACUACCUUAACGAACCUGCGAGAAAUGUAGCCACUUUGUGGCUUUAGAUUUUUAUUAGUUAAUUUCAUGACCUAUUGCAGCAUGACAUUGUUAUGUUCUCAUAGGUUACUCCAACGGUACCUUAUGUAAUCAUAAGAAAUUUCAGGUACUACCUUAAUGUACAUAAGGUACUACCUUAACGCACCUGCGAGAAAUGUAGCCACUUUGUGGCUUCAGAUUUUUAUUAGUUAAUUUCAUGACCUAUUGCAGCAUGACAUUGUUAUGUUCUCAUAGGUUACUCCAACGGUACCUUAUGUAAUCAUAAGAAAUUUCAGGUACUACCUUAAUGCACAUAAGGUACUACCUUAAUGGUCUUCAGGUACUACCUUAAUGUACAUAAGGUACUACCUUAACGCACCUGCGAGAAAUGUAGCCACUUUGUGGCUUCAGACUUUUAUUAGUUAAUUUCAUUACCUAUUGCAGAAUGACACUACCUUAAACCAUAUUCGAUAAAUUUUACUCUCCCGACAAUUUUUCACUCUCAAUAUUUAUUUAAUCAUACUGUUGUUUUCUCAUUUUUCUGGUUAUGUCAAGUUACGAUGGUUGUGGUUGGAUACGGAAGGUGAUCAUGCGAAGCAAAUAUUUAUUGGUUUUCUACCACAUUUAUUUUUUCUAUAACAACCUGUACAUGGUUUGAAGCAUAAAAUUAGCAAAAUGCACAAUCAUUUAGGAACCCUGAGUAGCCCGUGCCAAUGAGAAUGUGCAAUAGUCCUGAACCCUGGUAGUAAAUCACCAAUAACAUUAACACAAGAUGAUAUGUAAAAGCUUACACAAUAAGUAAAUAUGAAAGGAAAGUCGUCAAACAAUUUACUAAUGUGUGUAUGGAAGGAUAAACUGAAACUGCAUCAGUGUACAAACAAAUAGGUUCCAAUCUAUGUUUGUUGUUCUCUUAUGAAAGUAGUACCAUACCCCAUAAUCAACCUAUCACUGUGGAUCACAUCUUACAAUCACAGUUGUUGUCCAAUCAGUCGCCAAUACAACACUGACCAGCACCCUUAACUAUAAUAAAAGAACAAAUACUGAGUGUUGUCCAUGUUCCUACUCCCUUACUUUACAAUAUUGAAGGAAAAAUGAACAGCCCUAUUACAUUGCUGUGACUGCAUCCCAUAUGCUCCAGCAGCAGGAUUACCAGGUACUCUUCCUUUCCCUUACACGUUGGCCAUUCUUGUACAUAAAGUCCUCAUAUUCAGCAUAAUUCAUUUUAACUGUUACAAUGGGAUGUGGAAUACUUCAUCAGAUACAUCACAUAUAGAACAUAAAUAAUGGUUUUACAAUUGUAACAAAUCACAUCAGCACACAACAUGAUAUGAAUUAAUAAAUUUUGGACAUACUUAAAUCAACCCUUGGUCAUUUUGGUACGUAGCAGCAGAUAGGAAGAAACUUAUCAUGAACUAUGAAGUCACAAAUGACAUGCGGCCAUGAUUGUAUCUCUGACACUGUUGCAUUCAUUGAGGACUAUUUGCAGCUCUAGCUGGAGUCUGUACAUGUUCGUCUUGUCCUACGGAAAUGGGAAAAAAUUAUUCCAUGCGGUUGGGAAAAUAACACUCAAAUCAAAGGACAAAUAUGCACAUAAUUAAAUGAAACAGGCUAGCUGACACUGAUAUUAGCAACCAGCCUCUGAAAAAUGCCACCAAAUGAUGCCACUCAUUCAAAGUAUUUAUUUUCGGAUAAUUAAAUGAUGCCACCAAAUGAUACAUGGGAACACAAACUGCAGUAUGGUUGAAAUGGCUUAAGCAAUGUAAUCUUACCAAAUACAUGGGAUUUGAGUAAAUACCAUUAAAACAAGAUGUGGUGCAAACAUAGUUCGGACUUUGUGAAAGAACUGAAUCAGCAGAGAAAUAUAAUGUAACUCAAUGAACAUUGGAGGUGAAUGGAAAGGCACAAAACAUUCAAAUAGUAACGAUGAUUGGGUGACAACCAGUUAGUUGAAAUAGAGUAAUACAAGAUCAGCAUAAUGCAAUAAGUAGACAGAUAUGCAUUUAGGGCAAAGGAUUUUUGCAGGUUUUUCUAUUGUGGCCGGACAUAUGACAACGAGAGCAAUAAACAGGUCGUUUAUCUUGAAAUUGAGACUCAAUGCGCUUCUUCCUUGGCCUUCCGAGAGGGCGCUUUGUAUGUGGAGGCUUUAGAGAGAAGAACACCUCCCCGGUGAUAGAUCGAACCAAACCAUCAUCGUCCACAGUAGGCAUGUCAUGGGUCUCUAUGCCGGAGAAAGAGCCCCCAUAUAUCAACUCUUGCAUUGGGUAUUUGUAGCAAUCAUCGACGAAAUCAGUAACAUUUUGACCAAUGGAAAUAAUGACGGCUGUGGCAUGCUCACAAGGGAUUCCCAACAUCUGCCAACCCCUACAAGUGCAUGUAUGGUUCAGAAUGUCUACAUUCAACAAGGCUCUCCCGAUACAUACCCCAAAUACUCCAUUCUUGAACGGUGUGACUGGAUACACCGCACCCUUUGCAAUAUUUUCCUGCACCUUAGCUUCAAUUUUUGGCCCUAUACACCCUUUCCAAUUCUUAGACUCUUCUUGAUGCUUCACAAGCAUAGAAGCUAACUUGGACAUGUGCUCCAAUAAAAAGUUACAAAUAGAGUGAUGUCUUUCAAUCCGUAACCAAGCAUUAAAUGACUCGGCAAGGUUCGUAGUCAUUUUAUCCCAUCUUUGUUUUGGGAAUUUUGACAUGGCCCAAUGGUGCGGCGCAUUUUCUUCAACCCAUGUGGCUAAAGCCUCGUUGUAUUUUUUUAGUUCAACCAUGGAAACGUUAUAAUCAUGUUCUAGCCUUCCAUACGCAAUGCUAUCUAGGAAUUGCAAUGCAUUUUCUUUACCCUUGUUCCCUCGUGUGUUAUGCUUGGACAAGAAACUACUAAAAUUCUCCUUUAGGUGACGGUAGCAAUAAGCAUGGUUUUCAAUGCCAAACACCUCAGGAACACUACGAAGCAAAGCAUGAUGUCUAUCUGAGAUAAUAAUAACUUCCUUGUUUCCCACAACUAUCUUCAGUUUUUCCAAGAACCAUAACCAAUCUUCAUAAUUUUCCGAGCUCAUCACUCCAAAGGCUAAGAGGAACAUGGAGUCAUUAGCAUCGUAAGAGGUGGCUGAAAAUAGAGCACCGCCAUAAGGCCCACUCAUAUGGGCCGAAUCAAUUGCAAUGAUUGGUCGACACCCCCUUACAAACCCUUCGAUAGAUAUUGAAUGAGCAACAAAAAGCUUCUCAAAAUGGUCAUCAUUGGAAUAACUCAGCUCAACACUCGAUCCCGGAUUUGUUGCAAGCAUUCUUUCACACAUCCAUGGCAACAAUUUGUAAUAAUUCUUGGGUUGUCCAUAAAUGCGCUCCUUAGCCUUCUCCUUCAUUUGCCAUGCUUGUAGGUAAGUUAACUGGAUGCCAUGUUGCCUUACAAAGUCCUUACAAAUUUGGCGUGGUUGGUAUUCAGGAGUAGAUCGAAUGACAUCAUCAAUGACCAACGAUGCACGAGUGGAUCUCACUAAAGGCUGAGACAAGACAACAUCUUCCAAGCAAUGGUUAUGCACAUUUCGGAAUGUGUGUACUUGAACAAUGUUUGAAUCCCCUAUUGCACGCGCAGUGAUUUUCCAAGGACAAUCUUCAAUUGUGCAUACUACGGUCAUGUGUUUUGGACUAUUCCUUUUGUAAGAAUAUCGAAAUUUUCCAGCCAAAGACAUCAAAUAGAUUGCAUCUCGAAACUCCGACGCAUUUGGGAAGGUAUGUCCACUACCUACAAUUGAAUGUUCGAACCGGCUUGGUUGAAGUUGAACGGUAUUUGUCAUAGCACAUCUUUGGGAAAACCCAACUGACUGAAUUGUGGGCGACUCAUUAGAGAUGUGUAAUGGGGGCUGGCCAAUAGAGGAAACAUGAGCUGAGUUUGAAGCAACAAUGGGGGUUGGGCCACUGCAAAAAACAUAAGGAAAAAAUUUGAUCAUCCAUCAAUCUAAGUGUGAAAAGCGAUUAUACAAAAGGGAACAUUAUUGUGGAAGGACAUUAGGCACCUAGUAGGGCAAAUGAAGUCAUCACCACAUUCAGUACAAUGGGAGAUGUAGACAUGACAAAACAUGUCGUUGAAUUUGAACAUAUUGACUAUGUCGCCAUCAUUAUGCAGUGGCAAUAGACAUGAUGGGUCAAACUUGACUGUGAAUUCCAAUUUAAUGGAAUUGGAAUCCAAGUUCAAUACACCACAUACUUUUGAAACGAAUUCAGAUUGUGAGAUAUUCUUGCUAACAACACUGCAAUUGGUCCGACCUCCCUUAUAUUCGACGGACCCAACAGCAGUCUUAACAAGCUCACCACCUUCAUGAAUGUAACAAAACAUCUCCUCUUCCAUUUUCUUAUUGACAUAAAGAUUUGUUAAAAAUAAUACAACAAUGAAAGAUUGAGGAAUUAUGCAUGUUGAUUCCAUAGACUUUAAGGUUCAAACAUGCUAAUUAGCUGAUGCACACAAUUAAGGUUCAAACAUGCUAAUUGGCCGAUGCACACAAGUAGUGUACAAGUCCAACUACGGUAGUACCUAAGGAUAUCUAACCUAGUACUUAAAGAUUACUAAGGUUAGACCUAAGGUUAAUUAAGAUAGUACCUAUGGUACAGUCUCAAGUAAAGGUACGGGGGAACCAAAUGAGCAGAGUAGUCAAACACAUAAUGUCAUGAUAGCUUGUAUGUGGAAGUGAAUACAAUUUAAUUUAUGCAUGACUUGAAAACAGCCUGUAGGUCCUAUGUUUGACAAACUGAACCCCAUUGGGUUAACAAUAAAGACAACUUUUAUUCACAUAUGAAUUAUUUGAAUAUUAAAAAAUGAAGUUUCCAGUCGUCACACAACUUGUACCCAAUAUUGGUUCAGGUAGUACCUGAUGUUGACUAAUGCAGUACAUACAGUCGAUUAAGGUCGUACAUUCAGGAAUAAUGAGGUAGUACAUAAGCUUAACUUACCAGUACAAUAAGGUUAACCAACUGAUCACCAAAACAAACAAUAUAUAGAUAAAAAUGCAUUUCAUCCAUUCUGACCAGCAUUCCCUAUUUUCUAUUUAUGUUAUGAAGGGAAUUAAACCAAUGCAUGGAUACCAAUAGUUCCUAUAUAGCCUUUCCUAUUACCAUCUUCUAAAACGGAUCUCUGAAUCAAUAUCAAUUACUAAUCAACAAGAACAUUAACAUAUAGUAACCAUACAUAUGUUACUAUAUGUUUGAAGAAAUGGGACGUGAUUUGAAACUAUACAUAUAAAACAAAAACAAAAAAACACAACAAAAACUUUAGCACCCAUCAACCAUCAAUAUCACAAAAACCCAAAAAAUUGAGUAAUUUGGAACAACUUUCCCAUCUAAAAAUCACCAUUUAUUAAGAACUUUUUUCGCUCUCAAAAUGAAAACUUCAUCCAGAAAAAUUGUUCCCUUUUGGUCAUCCACUGCAUAGCUUAAUCCAAAAACACAAUCCAAUAAAUGGGUUUCACUAAAAAUGCAUUGUUUCCCAAUACCCAAAAACACCACUAGGAAAAAAAAAAUUCCUUUUUUGCUAAUCAAUUCAAAAUAUGUUUUUCUCAGUUCUAAGCCAAAACAAAAACAAAUGUCUUUUUCAACGAAACAAUUCCUAACCCAUAUUCUUGUCUUUACUUUAUAUCAAAACAACAGAGUUGCGAUAAUUUGUCAAUCCAAAAAAAACAGUACAAAAUCAGAUUUGCAAAAAGACGAUGAUGAUUCAUUACCAACAUAUUUAAAAUUUCAGUACCAACUCCUAAAUGCCAACAUUUCAACCACGCCUGGUUUAGAAAAAACCCACACAAACAGCAGAUUUUCAUGAAUGAGAAUGCGAAUGCAAAACACGGAACAAAUGGCUUACCUCGAUAGAGAAAAUCUAAGAUGUGACAAAUCGGAUUAAGACCUUCUCAACUGAAAUCUGCUUCGCCUCGGUGACGGAGUGAAGAAAUAUGAGAGGAAUGGGUAUCAAAUCAGAGAGAGGGAAGAAAGAACCCUCGACUACACUAUUUUUAUGGGAUUUUCUGCUUCGCCUUGGUGACCGAGUGAAGACAGAUGAGAGGAAUGGGUGCCAAAAUGAGAGAGAGGGAAGAAAGAACGGUCGAUCGGCUAGGGUUUUCUUGUGGGAACUUCUGCUUCGCCUUGGUGACGGACUGCAGAAAGAUGAGAGGAAUGGGUAUCAAAUGAGAAAGAGGGAAGAAAGAACCAUCGGCUAGGGUGUUUUUGUGGGAAGCUCAACAUUUGAUUUUGGAGUUUUCAACCGGUUCAGUUUCAACCCGUGCUGAGAUGGGUUGCUGAUGUGGAUACCUGGAGGGGCAAUUUCGGUAGAAAAAAUACAGCAGGCUCAGAGUGCAUGAAUCUGAUAUAAGUUUCCACAUUGAAAUAUAUUUUUCAUAUUCCAUAAAUCUGGGUUCCAAAAACCAUAUAUUUAGCAAAUUGGUCCAUGAAAACACAACUUUCCCAAAGAGUUAUUAGGCUCAAGCCCUUGUAUUAAAUGUAGGAUUAUAAAAUAUUUAAAAGAGGAAGCCUCGGGCCCACCAACUGCACCCAAACUUAAGUAGAAAUCAGUUUUACUUUUUACAGGAAGGUGCCUUGAAAUUGGAUGAAAUCACUAAAUUGCCAUCAAUAUUCUAAUCUUCCAAAUGAAAGGAUGGUAGUUUAAAAAAUAUAUGAAGAAAAUAAAAUUAAAUAAUAAUAAUAACAAAAUAUAUUAAAGAUAAUAGUAAGAUAGGAGAGCAUGAAUAUAAUGAAGAAAAAAAAUGUUAAAUAAAAUAAAAAACUUGGUGGUGUCCCACUUGAAAAUAGAAAAAAAAGAAAAAAGAAAAACGAAGGUAAUAAGAAAAAGAAAAAAGUGAGAAAAGAAUAUCUAAGUCAAUAGAGAGAGAGAGCGUUACCCUUAAUUUUCCUCGUCACUUUUCCGAAGGUCAUAGGAAGCUACCUGUCUUCCCAACUUUUUAUAUUGUAAUGUCCUUUUUAUAUUGUACAUGCUUUUCUAUACUCACAGGAUGUCUUAUAAAGUUUUUUCUUUUUUCAAUUUAUUCAUUUUAUUUCUUGGAUUGAUUUUCAUGUGAAAAUUCAUUUUAUUUUAAAAAAAUAAUUAUUUUACUGAUUUUUUUAAAUAUUUGAUAUCUCUUAAAUCAUUCAUAAAAUGAAUUAAUUUUUUAAUAAAAGUAUUUUUAAUUUAGAUUUAAAUUAUUUUUCAAUUAUAUUUAGAUGUAUGCAUAUAAAAAAGAUUAUUUUCUAAUAUUUAAUAUUUAAAAUUUUAUUUUAAUAAUAAUCUCUUUAGAAUAUUAUCACGAUUUUUAUUAGAAUUAAUGGUUACAUUUUUAUUCUUCCUUCUUCCAAAAAUAUUUGUACUUCAAAGAUAAAGCUCUUCCAAUAUAAAUGACCCGAGAGACACAGAGCUGUCCCUAACUUUCCUCUUCACUUCCUGGAAGCCGCCUUGCCUUCCCAAUUUCUUAGAUUAUAAGUUAGGGUUGCACAAUCUCCUCAUUCACUCACUAUCCUGAAGGGAAAUCAACCCCUCUAAACUGUCUUUGUAGUUUUGAGAUAGAAACCCAGAAUGGCUUCCACAAGCUCCUUCAGAGCCUCUUCUUCUUCUUCUACUCCUGCCAUCCCUCGAACAAGUACUUAUGAUGUUUUCUUGAGUUUUAGAGGCGAAGACACCCGCUAUAAUUUCACUGAUCACCUCUACAGUGCUUUGGGUAGGAGAGGGAUUCACACCUUCAGAGACGAUAAACUCAGGAGAGGAGAAGCGAUUGCUCCAGAACUCUUGAAAGCCAUUGAAGAAUCAAGGUCUUCCGUAAUUGUUUUCUCUGAAAACUAUGCUCAUUCGAGAUGGUGUUUGGAUGAGUUGGUAAAGAUCAUGGAG
rnacentral:lncRNA from 1 species